UUUUUUUUUUUUUUUUUUUUUUUCACUAAAAAAAAAAAAAUUAUAAAGGAAUAAAUGCAUAAAAACUAGAAUUUUUGAAGCGCAGCUAAAGCAUAAACUUUUACUCAUUAUGCUCUUGUUUCACACAUUAAGUCACUAAACCACACUUAUAUUAUUGAUUGUUUAUUAUACUUAUACACCAUAUAUUUUGCUGCCACGAUUCAAACUUUUGAUACACAUGUAUUCAAACGAGUAUACAUUACAUUAUCUUGAAAAAUGUUGGCAUUAUUCGUUUGUGUGGACACAAAUAUUAUUCUUUAUUAAAUAAACUUAUCAUGAAGCAUUCCAUGCUACCCUCAUCAUUGUGACUGAUUUUUGUGAUCGAUUGACAAAGAAAGACUCGGAAAAAAAAAUUUCUGAUUUUCCAUCCGCACAUUUUUUGAAUCGUCACAAUUAUUGCUCAAAGUAAACAAAAACAAAAAAUACCCACAAAACGAAAUAUAAUUAAUAUCCCUCCUACCCAUAUCUCCUUCUAUCCAUCUCUCCCUCUCUCAUUCUUCGGCACAAAGCAUAAGACUUGAAGGUAAUCCUACCGAUCUCGGCCUCUCUGAUGUUUCAAUUGUAGAAGAAACUCUUAAAUUCUCGAAUACUUCUAACUAUAUGUGUUCUUUCCUUGUUCGAAUGUUGCAUGUACCUUGAUCGUGUUGAAAAUUUAGGAUUCUUCAUAGGUUGCCUAUUUACGACACAAUGGUGAUGCUUUGGUGGUUUUAGUUUAUUUUCAUCUAUGGGUGAUUGAUUACAAAAACUUGAAGACUCUAGAAAAUUUUUCUUCUUUUAAGUCAAACAUUUUAAAAUAAGAAUAUAUUGCCCCAAUCCCAACUAAUGAAACCCAUACUCUUUUUCUUUUUUCUUUUUGGGGUUAAAUGAUCCACUAAGCAUGCUAUAUAUAUAUAUAUAUAUAUAUAUUCAUAUUUCUUUUAGGAUUGUCAACUAUCAAUUGAUCCAACUUGAAAUUAAUUUACUUUGUAUAUCCUAUCCCUUUUUUGUGUAGGAAGCAAAAUGAGUUUGUGGUAUAUCAUUGUUGCCUUCGUCUUCUUUUCUUCUAUAAUCAUUGUAAGGAACACGAGAACGACAAAGACGAAUCUACCUCCUGGACCACCAAGACUUCCUAUAAUUGGUAACUUACACCAAUUGGGAUCCAAACCUCAUCGCUCGAUGUUCAAAUUAUCCGAAAAGUAUGGAUCGUUAAUGUCUUUGAAGUUUGGGAAUGUGUCUACUGUUGUGGCAUCUACACCAGAGACAGUGAAGGAAGUCUUAAAAACAUUUGACGUAGAAUGUUGUUCGCGACCAUAUAUGACUUAUCCUGCAAGAUUUACAUACAAUUUAAAAGAUCUCGGCUUUUCUCCCUAUAGCACAUAUUGGAGGGAGGUACGAAAGAUGACUGUUGUUGAACUCUACACCGCAAAAAGAGUGAAAUCAUUUCAACACACAAGAAAAGAAGAAGUUGCUUCCCUCGUUGAUUUCAUCAAACAAGCUGCGUCAUUGGAGAAAUCGGUUAACUUGAACAAUAAGUUAAUGAAACUAGCAGGAAGUGUGAUUUGUAGAGUUGCAUUUGGUAUCAAUCUUAAAGGAAGUAAACUUGAGAAUACUUAUGAGGAAGUAAUUCAAGGAACAAUGGAGGUUGUGGGGAGUUUCGCAGCAGCAGAUUACUUCCCGGUCAUUGGUACAAUCAUCGAUAGGAUCACAGGGUUACAUAGCAAAUGUGAGAAGAUUUUUAAGGCAAUGGAUGCAUUUUUUGAUCAAUCUAUAAAGCAUCACCUAGAAGAUGAGAGUAUUAAAGAUGAUAUCACUGCCUUGCUCCUCAAGAUGGAAAGGGGGGAGACUGGGCUUGGGGAGUUUCAACUUACUCGAGACCACACCAAAGGAAUUCUUUUCGUAAGUAAUGUGAACCUCUCAAUCCAUAUACACCUUCAUUCUUCACAUGUUGCAUAAAGUUUAAAAAUAUGUACUGACUUUGAUUAUUACAGAAUAUUCUCAAUGCUGGAAUAGACACUUCUGCACAAGUUAUGACAUGGGUGAUGACCUAUUUGAUUGCAAACCCAAGAGUUUUGAAGAAAGUGCAAGCCGAGGUGAGAGAAGUGAUAAAAAACAAAGACGAAAUCAUAGAAGAAGUUAUAGAACGACUCGAAUAUCUAAAAAUGGUAAUUAGAGAAACGUUUAGGGUAUUACCGCUCGUGCCACUUCUAAUUCCAAGAGAGGCUUCAAAAAAUUUAAAGAUCGGAGGUUAUGACAUUCCCAAGAAAACAUGGAUCCAUGUCAACAUAUGGGCUAUUCAUAGGAAUCCAAACGUUUGGAAAGAUCCAGAAACUUUCAUCCCGGAGAGAUUUAUGGAUCGCCAGAUUGACUAUAAAGGUUUGAACUUUGAGCUGUUGCCGUUUGGUAGUGGAAGGAGAAUGUGCCCUGGUAUAGGAAUGGGUAUGGCUUUGGCACAUUUGACAUCAAUCUUCUUUACCGAUUUGAUUGGAGGCUUCCGGAAGGCAUGGAGGUAGAAGAUAUUGACCUUGAAGAAUCAUAUGGACUUGUAUGUCCUAAGAAAGUCCCACUAGAGCUUAUCCCGGUCCUUACUCAAUGGACUUGAUUUUAUAUUUUCAUAGUUUAAAAUGUAACCCUUUGGAAGUAUCUUAAAGGUAUUAUCAUUUUCAUUUAUAAGGAACUUGUUUGAUGCAUCAACUUUUAGCUCAUUUUCUUUGGUAGCUUAACCUCAACUUUUAAUAAACAUUGCUACAUUUUUAAACUAGUCUAAAUUAAUGUGGUUAGGGAUUCUCUCGUUAUAUGGCAAAUAUGAGACAUUCCCUUGGGGCGUUACUCUCCUAACUCAUUAACAAUGCCUAUAAAAGUAUACAAAAUAUUUUCAAUUUAAAGAAAAUACACAAAUCAGAAUUUUGUUCAUUUUAAUUCUCAAAAUAAACACAAUGACACAUCUUGUUAACGUACAUUAAAAAUGGUUGAACCAUGAUUUUAAGUUUGGAUUUCACGAGACGAAUCUAUACAAAGAGAGAACAAGAGAUAAUGAAAGAGAGAGUGGUGAUAACUGAUGAAGCUUGAAGGUGGGUUCAGUUAUAAGAAACGAAGCAAAGGACAUAGAGGAAGUUUGAGAUUUGAUGGAUUGAUAAUUAAGAUAUUACUUGGAGAAAAGAGACUCUCAUCAACCAGUGAUGCGGUUUAGAGAUGAAAAUUUCAUAUAGGUUUAUUCUUUCUCGAAAAAAAUCCUAUAGAUCUAUAUAUUCACUUCACUUGUCUUGUAGAGUAAAAUUUAAGAUAUCUUUAGAACCAAAAUAAACAAAUUAUUUACUGACUAAGGAGAGUUUGAUGAACCAAAUUCUUGGUUUAUUUGUCACAAUUUCUCCUUCCCAUACAACUGUGAAAAAAGACUAUUACCUGCAAAUUGUUACAGGCUUACAACACUACCUCACAACACAUAAUGUGUAAGAUUGACGUCAAUAAUUUGUUAAUAAGAGACUUUAAAAUUUUAAAUACUAAAUGCAAUAAUAGUAGAAAGAUCGAACAAAAGAUUAAAGUGAGAAUCAGAGCUUAACCGGACACAGUGCCAUGUUAAGGCUAAUUGUUGCUUAGAGCGAAUAAAAAAAUGUGGUCUUUAUUACUAAAAAAAAUCAAAAUAACGAAAAUAUUGUUUCAAAGCAUAUACAAUAGUGAUAAAAGAAAAUAAAACAAAAUUUCUUAACCACUAUUUUUCUAUACUUUUUUCCUAAAAAUCAUGCACUAAAAACUCACAUAAUCGAGUUGUCGAACCAAUUCCCUCUCUAUAGAUAUGAUAGCGUAAAUAACCAUUCACUAUAUUCAAAUAAUCAUUCACUGUUUUUUUUUAUUGGUUAGAUGUCAAUUGUCAAACUAAAUUGAACUUGAAACACAAUUGAUUUAUUGUUUUAAAACAUAUAAAGUCAAAUAUACUUGAGAAAGACAACACGAGCCAAGAGAAACACAAAAACUCUUAUGAAAUUGAAGCAAGAAAAGGUUUAUGAUUUUGAAGAAGACGACACACGGUCACACGAUAGUUUAACCCUACAAGGCUACAACUAAUUUUGUUUUUAAUAUUUUUAUUUUUAAGUGGUCGAUUGAUAAUUAUUUGAAAAAGGAAUACUAAAAAUCAAUUUUUUUUUUUCAAAUUAUCCUUUUCAUUUAAAUAUGAAGAUUAUUCCAAAACAGAUUUUCUUUAUUCUUAGUUAUCUUUAAUUAAAAUUAUCUCCCAUUAGUGUUAUAUUUAUAAACUAAAGUCUAAAACAUGUGCAGAAAUUUCCUAAUACAUAACUUAUACGUAUUGAUAUUAUUCUAGUGUCAUGGGCUUCUAAAACAAGUACCCACUAUACAACUUAUAUACAUAAGCCUAAAAAUAAAUAUGUGACCUACGAAAUUCAAAAAUUUUUUUGUGGCCAUGGGUAAAUGCCCUUUCCUCUUCCCAUUAAGCACAAAUGGCGGACCCAUAAAAAAUAUUUACCAAGGUCAUAUAUAAAUAUGAAACUAUAUUAUUUAGUAUAUCGCAUAAUAAUAUUAUUCAAGUACAAUGAAUCUCGAAAAAAUAUUAAUUGUGGUUUUCAAUACUUUUCGACCAACAAAAUAAAAGAAAUAAAUUAUCUAAAGGUGUCAAACUGGGGAAUCGAACAUGGUUACUGGGGUGUCAAUGGGCAUGCAAUUACCAAAUCUACUGGUUGUUUUUUAAGUACUCUUAUACAUAAACACAAAUAUAAUUAUUUUACCCAUGUCACUUGACCCUCCUUUCCCUUGAAUGGGUCCGCCCGUGACAACACUGACCGGACAUUAAAAGAAACAUGAGACCAACGAAUAGUCAAGAUGAAGGACGGAGACAACCAUGAGAUCAAUACGAUGGAAUCCGACGAUGACGAGGCAUGAAGGAGUUUUUAUGUUGUAUAAAUGGGACAUUUCAUAUUUUUAAUAUGUUUGAAGUCAGUCACUUCAAAUUUCAUGUUUAACUAUAUAUGUCUAUUUAAGAAAAUAACAAUAUAUAUAUAUACACAUAUAUAUAAGUUUCACAAAAUAGUUUUUCAUAAGAUGUUUUCUCAAAUUGCUAUAUUCCUAUUAGCAUAAUCUUUUCUAUGAAUUUUCAUAUAAUUAAUAUAAUCGUAUAACGAGAGAUUUAAAAUUAAAUUUUAAAAAUUUCAAGUUCACUAACAAUACAAUUUGAGAAGACAUCAUUAGUGAUUUGGAAGUCCUUUAACAAAAACAGAUGAUUAGUGAUUUAAGCUACUGUCACAGAUGUGUUACUAUCCGAAUUCAAAGUCGCAUAUUACAUGGCAAUAAACACAUUUCAAAUCAUCACUUAAAUAACAUGAACUAUAAAGAAAAUAUAUAUAUACUCUUCAUAUUUGUAAAUUUUAGAUUUUAGUGGAAGUUUGGUAAAAGAACCUAAACUCAAACUAUGGUAUUUUGUUAUUUCAAAAUUUAAACAUAAAUCAAUAAAUAAUUUCUCUAAGAUUUUGAAUUUUUGUAAAUUUUAUUUCAUUGACACGAAAUAGAAUUUAUUAUACAAUUGGUUUCCCACAAGGCCACAAGUCAACUUCAAUCGUUUUUGUUACCCACCUUUUUUUGUAGCCAUCUAUCAGUUUUUGUUUUACUUGUUUUACAUUACUUCUUCUGUCCACAAAAGAUAAAGAUGCAAUUAUUGGCUUGAAAAUUUUAGUAUUAUUCGUUUGUGUGGACACGAAUGCUAUGCUAAAUAAAAUAAACUUAUAAUAAACACAAUCAUUAUUGCUCAAAAAAAAGCAAAUAGUCACAAUUACACAACACAAAGUAAGAAGAUAAAACAGAAAAUUCUUCGGGGACAAAUCUGUACCUCCAUGUCUCCCUCUCUCUAUCUCUCUAAUUCUUCGGGGACAAAGCAUAAGACUUAAAGGUAACUCUUAUAUUCUCCAAAAUUCUUCAAUCUUUUUAACUAUGUGUUCUUUACUUGUUCGAAUGUUGCAUGUCUCUUGAUCGUGUAAAGAAAUUUAAGAUUCUUCAUAGGUUGCCUAAUUAUGACAUAGUGAUGAUGUUUAGGUGGGUUUAGUUUAUGGGGUUCUAUAUUUUUCAUCUAUAGGUGUUUGAGUACAAAAAUUUUAUGACUCCAGAUAAUUUACUUAACCGGUUGGCGCGUAAAAAAAGUCUCCUCAUUUCAGCUUAUUGAUUCACGCAAAAUGGAAAAUGGGCUUCGAUAAAUUUGGUUCAACUCGCGAAACUGAAUUCCUAGUACUCUUUUGAUUCUAUAAAACAAUAUUUGAUUUAAGGUUUAUUUUUGUUGAAUAAAUUUUUACAUUUAAAAAAAAUCAAAUUCUUUUGAAUCAAACUUAACACUCUCAUAUACAGCCAUAAAGAAUCUUUUAAUUUUCUCGGAGCCCAUUUGUUUUUGGUUUUUGAAUUGUAUUUUUUUUUUCUUUUUAAAGUCAAAAUUAAUGCAACAAACAUUUUAAAAUUAUUAAUUUAUUGUCACAAUCCCAACUAAUGAACCCCAUACAUACUCUCUCUUUCUUUUUGGUAUGAUCCACUAAGCAUGCUAAUUAUAUUUCUUUUAGGAUUGUCAAAUAUAAACUGAGUCAACCUGAAAUUAAUUUACAUUGAAUAAUUAUCCCUUUUCGUGUAGGAAGCAAAAUGAGUUUGUGGAUCAUUGUAAGGAACACAAGAACGACAAAGAAAAAUCAACCUCCCGAACAAGCGUUUGAACUCACUUUUGAUACAUGAACGUUAAAUUAAUUACAGAUACACGAAUAUUCAAACGAACUUAUAUCACCUUAUCUUGAAAAAGUUAGCAUUAUUGGUUUGUGGGACAUCUAUAUUAUGACUUAUUGCAAAAUGAACUUAUCACGAAGAAGUUCCGUGCAAAAUGAUUGAAAACUCUAACAACAAUAGAUACUAGUUUUUCAAUAUAUAAGAAAAGUUGCCGACCAAACAAAUAUAUGGUGGUUCAUUUGGGUUUAGAUAUCCGUUUAAAAAGUAAAAGAAAAAUCCAAUUAUCCAUCUCAUUAAUUUAAUCCAUUAUCUCAUACACAGAUUUAGAAUUAGAAAUUGUAUAUCUUGACUAUUCGAUAUCCGAAAUCUUGAUAAGGAUCCGAAUAAAAAUCAUGAAUUGUUGGAUCCGAAUAUCAGAAUUUUAAAAUUCGAAUAAACCUAUUUUUAUAUGGUGGAUACAUGUAUUUUGAAGAUUAAAAAGAAAUUUUGAUUUUUUAUUAUGUACUAUGUGUAAUCAAUACAAUAAUAACACUAAGAAUCUUUUCAGGUCUGACACAUCAGUAUUUUGGGCUUUUCUCAUGUUGACACCUCAUUAAAAUCGUCGUCCAAUGAAAACAUUUCGAUUAAUACAACUCAACAUGUUUCAGCCUAUAAAUAAUUCUCUUUAUGCCAUGUCAUUAUAUUUCAAUUUGUUGGGCUUUAUUGUUUGUAGAGAAGUGGGCUUAAAGAACCAUAGCAAGAUGUAAUAAUUUUCUUUUCUCCUAUUAGGCGCGUGAGGAUAUAUAAGUCUACCGAGAACAGUACUGCGACGGUAGUAGAGGCAGAAGCUGCAGAGGUUAAAAUCAAUGAAGAGGUUGUGAGUACAUUGCAAAAAGCUUUUAUUCUCCAAUUAAGUCGAGAUUGAAAAGGUUUUGAUUUUUGAACGAUCAAAUUUUUUGAUAUUUUUUUACGACUAAACAGUUUGAUUCUAAUUAUGAUUAUAAAUUUUGUUGAAAGAUCAUAAUAACAAUGGUUCAUGAAGAAUUUUGAGAUAGGGUUACCAAUGUCAGAAAACAUAACUUGAUUUUAAGGUGAUUUUUGAUUGAAUUUAAAUUUGCUUAGAUCUUCCACUUUGUUUUCGUGAAUCCAGUCAAGCUGGGGAUUUGAUUUGACGAUUUUGUCGACAACUUGAUUGAGAUGGAAGUUCAGUUGCAAGGAAGAAAUAAUUUGUGUGGGUAGUUAUCUAUUUCUUUUAAAUGGUGGUUUGAUGCUUAUAUUCUCUUGAAAUUUUCAAAUGUGUUUGUCUUUCUAUUUCGAUUGAUUUGAUCAAAUUAGGUGAUGGAUCCAUCAAUUUUUACCCUUGUUUAGUAGCUUACCAAUGUUUUUAUAAUUCGCUAUAUUUAUAUUUUCGUAAGGUUUUCUGACUCACUGAUCUUUAAAAUUUCAUAUUUCUUAUGACACAUGCAUAAGAGGAUCAGGAAGCUAACAACUUCAACACAGCCAAAAAUCUUCAAAUCUCGAGCAGCAAAAAUUUCUCAAAUUCACGCAAUGAAUAUGAGAAUGAAACUAGAGAAACCAAAUCCUCAACAGAAUCCGUCGCUUUAUUAGAAGCUGAAAAAGGUCAUGACUGAGAGCUCGAGUACAUAACCAAGUUCAUAGUCUCUGGCCAACUGAUGAUAAAAGAAUUCUCCUUGGGGAUAGCUACUGAUAUUACCUCUGAACUUUUUCGCUAAAAUUGAAGGUAAGAGAGAUGCCCAGAGUAAGAUUGAGAGAAAAACACUGGUCGACUUUGUGCUUAUCAAAUGCGAGCAAAUGUUCAUGGGAAGCUAUAGAGGAUUGUUGGGGAGAGAAGUCAUUUUUCUUGAAAGAAGAGAGAUUUUGACAGAAGAAGUGAAUAAAGAGGUUCACGGAUUGAAGAAACCAUGGUCCCAAGAGUUCGCUCAUUACACACUUGCAUCGAAUUGGAAUUAGAUUUGAGAAAAACUUUUCAAUCCCCAAAAAUUCUAUGUAUAAGAAAAACACACAUUUCAAUUUUCUAGCUGAGAUUGAACCUUAGGCUCGCCGAAGAAGAAGAAAACGAUCAACGUUGUGACGGUGGAUUGAAAUUCAUUGUUGUGGAGGUUCUCGGUUCUUUUUUUUCAAUCUCUCGCUAUCUCUCUUUCUUAAUGAAGAGAAGAAGGAUGUUCCAGUGGAUUCAGAGGUUUGACUUUACUAAGCCAAACCGAUAUGGGCCAUUCAAAUCCAACAGAAACCUUGGGCCAUUCGAAACCCAUCACUUCUCAGUCAUUAACGCCUGCAACAAGCAUAAAAGCGACACACAAAAUGUGUGUUCUAAGCAGUAAAUGGUUUUGGUAGUCAGAAAUUUAAACAAAUUAUAUAAUUAACCUCUUCAUAUGUAUGUAUUAAAUUAUUAAAAAAAAAAACCCCAUUUUUUUUUUUGACAACUGAUUUUAUUAAAUAACUGAAAUGGGAUUUACAUAAGGUAAAUCGGAGCCUAUAACAUCAUAUCAAAAGCCCAAUUAUAAACCCAAAACAGAGGUGUCAAUGGAAAAACAAAGGUUAAAAACUCAACAUUGGUGGAUUAGAUGGAAUAAAUGCAAAUUGGAUUUCUUAUUGAUUAAGAACAUAAAAUAAUGUGUGAUAUCUAAAGAAAAGAAUCUAACAGAGGUUGGGCAAUUUUGAACACAAUCGGCUCAUGCGAGAUACAGAGUGUAUCUCACGGUAGCGAGAAAGAUCAAAUUUUCAUUUGUGUUCAUGAUUAACUAAUCUCAUAAACAUGUAGACAUGUAGUGGAAGUAGAGUGGAUAAAACACAAUUAAGCAACUUCUUAAAAAAACGUUUUUAAAAAAGCCCCGCGGCAUAGCCCGGGUUUCGCCCUAGUUUUUAUAAAUAUACGAAUGGCCUCCUUAUUUUUGGGAUUACGGAAUGAUAUUACUAUUCUUGUCCAAAUCUUGCAUUUGUCCUAAAAUAUAUUACCUCAGAAAACGAGAUCAAAUGUAAUAAUUUCUAGAGGAUAGCAUGUGCUCAAGGUGCCAAAGAACAUGGUUUUUUUUUUUUAAAAAAUUUAUUUAGAUAAAAAGACCUUAAAUCUAUACUAGUAUUUUCUCAGUUAUUUUGGUGACGGAUGGGUAUAAAUGUUUUCGGGUUAUUUGGAUACCCGACCUGUUUACAAAUUUUGGUCAUAAAAAGUUUGUUGGGUCGGAUUAUAUUUAACACAACUCAUACACCGGAUAUUUUCGCAGUCAUUUUGGUGACAGAUGGGUAAAAAUGCUUCCGGGUUAUUUGGAAACCCGAUCCGUUUACAGAUUUUGGUCACAAAAAGUUUGUUGGGUCGGGUUAUAUUUAACUCAACUCAUACACCAGAUAUUCCAUAUUUAAUAAUUUAGAUAUUUAGAAGAUUUGAUUAAAAUUUAGAAUUAUGAUUCUCCUAUCAUCUUUGUUUGAUUUGUUUUUAACUGUUUUGAAUCAUCAUAUAAUACAUAAAGUAAAAAAAAAAUCAUUUUUUUUCUGCAUAUACUAUGAUUCGAAAUUUUAAAAACGGACAUAUAUUAUCCAGUUGACGAAAAUGUGUGUUCAACGUUCUACAUCGAUUAAAAUAUUUAGACAAUGAUUCAGAAUCAUAUCAUAAAUAAGAUCAACAUUAAUAAAAUAAAUGAGUUAUUUUGUCGGACGGGUUUGACGGAACGGGUUUUUGAAUCAACAAUAAUAAAAAGAUUAAAAUAUCAUUAAUCCGCCACUUCAAUACGGAUUAGAUCCUUAAUUUUUUAAUACCACCAAUAUUAGACAUAUUAAAUGAAUCUCAUUUAGAAAAGAUUGUAUAAAACCAAAAGUUGUCCCGUGGUAUAAUGUUACUUACUAACAAUUGUAAACUAUAAAAUAUAAAUAUCUUAGAAAAUGAUACAAUUUGCAAACUUUUAUAUAUAAUAAAUAAUCGUUAAAUUUUAAAAAUUACUACUUUUAGAAAACAAAUGACGGAACGGUUUAAGAAGUUACAAGACAGGUUAUAUUUCCGAACGAAGUUAUAUGGUGGGCGAGUUUGAAUCAAUAUUUAUAAAAUUUUAAAAUAUCAUUAACAUGCCGCUUUAAUACAGAUUAAAUCUUCAGUUUAUUAAAAUAUAAAUGACUUAGAGAAUGAUAUGAUUUGUAAACUUUUAUAUAUAAUAAAUAAUCAUUAAAUUUUAUAAUAAAAAAAUCAUAGGAUGGGUUAAGAAAUUACAGAACGGAUUAUAUUUCGGAACGGGUUUAUAUAAAUAACAAUUGUAAACCAAAUAUUUAUAAAUAUCAUUAACAUGCCGCUUAAUACGGGUUAAAUCCUCAGUUUAUUAACAAUUGUCUCGUGAACUCGUGGUAUACGGUUACUUAAUAACAAUUGUAAACUAUAAUAUAAAUAAAUAUUUUAUAAGGAGAUACAAUUUACAAAAUACUUUUAUAUUAACUUUAAAAAUAAAUCAUCCCGCGGUGUACCGCGGGUUAAAAUCUAGUUUUAAAAUAUUAAUAAGAAAAGGUCCAUAUUUUUGAAUUUCUAUGUAAGAUAAGAUUUGAUUAUUUAUAUUGGGCACAAAGUCUAAUAUAAUUUUGAGACGGGCAUGCUUAUGUAAUUGAAACGUCAUAUCACCGCCAAACCCUGUAUAAAUAUGGAAUUUUCACACAAUAAUUUCACAACACAAGUUAAAAAAAAAAAAAAUCUCAUCUCCACUUUUGAUCUCUAAAAUCUUCAGCACAAAAUAUAAGACUUGAAAGGUAACUAAUCUUACCAAAAUUGUUUAUGUUUCAAUGUUGUAGAAUAAACUUUUAACUAUAUAUUUGUGACUUGUUGCAUGUACUUUGAUCGUGUAUAAAGAAAUUAUUUGGAUGCUUCUUCUUCUUGUUUUGCCUUAAUUAGGGUGCUUUGGUGCUUUAGACUUUCGAAUUUUAGUUAGCGUGGUUCUGUAUUUUCCAUCUGAUCCACAUAACAUUCUUUUUUUUUUUUGGGUUAACUGUCCACUUAGACUCCGAAUGUCAGUCCGUUUUAAUAACAUUUAGUUUACUUAUACAAUAUUUAUAUCCUAUGUCAUUACUCAUUACUCAUUAGAUAAUUAUUUUCUAAAUAAUUACCGGUCUUAAAAAGUAAGUGAUACAAGCAUAAUUGACUUCAUAUCUUAGUGGUUAUUAUUAUUUUAUUAAACCCACUUUGCAGAAUAUAUAUUUAAAAAAUCAUUUUUAAUAUGAAAAAAAAAACAAAAAAUCUUGAAGAAAGUAAAAUUCUUCAAUUUCCAUAUUUUCUUAUAGUUUAAUUACUUUUCUAUUUCUUCAUAUUUGUUUAAGUUCUUUUCUAUUUCUUCAGACUUCUGGCAAAUAAUAAUUAUAAAAUCGUUCUAUUAUUUUAUUUUCAAUUUUAUUAAUUUUUGUGAUUUUAUUUAUUAAAAUCUGUUUUUUUGGUGAGUAUUUAUUAAAAUCUUUUUAUAACUGUAACUCAUCAAAUAUUAGUCAUUUGCUUCCAUUUGAAAUUUAACAAAUACAUAAUAAAUAAAUAACAUUUUAAAAACUUGAAUAUAUAAUUUAAAUACAUAGUAGUAGUAUUCAUUCUAAAAGUAUAAACACAUGGUUAAUAAAAAUAAAAUUUUUAAUUAUUACCUUUUUGAGUACUCAAUUUCUCAAACAGAAUAAAUACAUAGUAAAUAAAACUUAGAAAACUUAAUGUAAUUGUUUCCGCGGACAACACUGGUAAUCACCUGGUGCUACAUAUAUAUUAUCUUAAAACUAUCAAACAUAUAUAUAUAUAUAUAUAUAUCUUAUAUAUUAAUAGAGAAGCACUCUAAAAAAUAAACUUUACUUUUACGUGUUAUUAUCUAAACUGCCAUGUUGACGUGUCGUUUUCAGAGUGAUUUUCCAUCCAUUUAAAUUAUUACCCAAAUUUUACUAGACUAUUUACCGAUUUUGCCAUUAGUCUUAAUACAUACAUAUAUCACACAAAUAAAAAACGAAAUCAUAACUAAAAAACAAAAAUUAGGCGACUAAUUUACAUAUUUAUAUUUAACAACAAUUCACGAGAGUUUUGUUUAUUUAUAUUAAUGAUCUAUUUUUUAAUAAUUAAAAAACAUACACUUUUUGUUUAUCUUAUAUUAAUAAAUCUUUAUAUUUAUAUUUUUCUUUAUAUAUAUUUAUAUAAAUCUUCUCAAGCCGAUGGGUAAACAAUCUUUAUAUUUAAUUUAUAUUUGUAUUAUGUUUAUAUAUAAAUAAUAAAAUAUAUACAUUUAGUUCAAGAAUCUCGAAUUUAAAACUACAACAUCUCUACAUCUUUCAUAAAUUUAUAAAUCUAUUGUACUAAAAUACAUAAGAUAAUCUUUUUUCAAUAUAUGUUACGAAUACUUAAAAUCCGUUUUUUUGGAGGGAUUCUAACUUUUCGAAAAAAAACCAACCACAUUUAUUUAUAAACUAAAAUUUGGCCCUAUUAUAACCAUUUCGUAGUAAUCCAUUCAUAAUCUAAGAAUCUUAAUUUGAAAUUCACUACAAAAUCUUAACUUGAAAACUAUCAAAUCUCAUCUUUGAUAAAUUUUUGGAUUUCUUAUACUUAAAUCUCGACAUCUUUUUUUUUUUUAAUCAUUCUCGACAUCUUUAAAACAUAUAGAAAGGGAUAUUGGCAUAAAUGGUAAUAUUUCGUCAAUACUUUCUUUAUCACGUUGAAGCUUUAUUUCAGGUUCAAAUAUUUCACGGGUAAAACGUAUACAUAUACGAAAUAGUCCCAAAUUUGAAUAAAAAAAAAUAAAAAAAAUUAUUACAUGUUUCGUUUUACACAAACGGAUCUUGGAUCCCAGAUAAAAAAUUUAAUCAUAAUAAUUUUACUUGAAUAACUUCAUCCCGCACAUACUGCGGGUUGUUAUCUAGUAUAUAUAUAUAUAUAUAUAUAAUGUUUUUUUAACUAACAAAUAUAUAUUGAGCAAACUAGUAACUAAUUGAGGUUUUGUAUAAACUAUCCGUUUUAUGCAGGUUGCAAAAUGAGUUUGUGGUAUACCAUUGUUGCAUUCGUCUUCUUUGCAUCUAUACUUAUUGCAAAGAACACGAAAAAGACAAAGAAAAAUCUACCUCCUGGACCACCAAGACUUCCUUUAAUUGGUAACUUACACCAAUUGGGAUCUAAACCUCAUCGCUCGAUGUUCAAAUUAUCCGAAAAGUAUGGAUCGUUAAUGUCUUUGAAGUUUGGGAAUGUGUCUACUGUUGUGGCAUCUACACCAGAGACAGUGAAGGAAGUCUUAAAAACAUUUGACGUAGAAUGUUGUUCGCGACCAUAUAUGACUUAUCCUGCAAGAUUUACAUACAAUUUAAAAGAUCUCGGCUUUUCUCCCUAUAGCACAUAUUGGAGGGAGGUACGAAAGAUGACUGUUGUUGAACUCUACACCGCAAAAAGAGUGAAAUCAUUUCAACACACAAGAAAAGAAGAAGUUGCUUCCCUCGUUGAUUUCUUCAAACAAGCUGCGUCAUUGGAGAAAUCGGUUAACUUGAACAAUAAGUUAAUGAAACUAGCAGGAAGUGUGAUUUGUAGAGUUGCAUUUGGUAUCAAUCUUAAAGGAAGUAAACUUGAGAAUACUUAUGAGGAAGUCAUUCAAGGAACUAUAGAGGUGGUGGGGAGUUUCGCAGCAGCAGAUUACUUCCCGGUCAUUGGUAGAAUUAUCGAUAGGAUCACAGGGUUACAUAGCAAAUGUGAGAAGAAUUUCAAGGCAAUGGAUGCAUUUUUUGAUCAAUCUAUAAAGCAUCACCUAGAAGAUGAGAGUAUUAAAGAUGAUAUCAUUGCCUUGCUCCUCAAGAUGGAAAGGGGAGAGAUUGGACUUGGGGAGUUUCAACUUACUCGAGACCACACCAAAGGAAUUCUUUCCGUAAGUAAUGUGAACCUCUCAAUCUAGAAUUUACUUUCAUUCUUCAUGUUGCAUAAAUUGUAAAAAUAUGUACUGACUUUGAUUAUUACAGAAUAUUCUUAACGCUGGAAUAGACACUACUGCACAAGUCAUGACAUGGGUGAUGACACAUUUGAUUAAAAACCCAAGAAUUCUGAAGAAAGCGCAGGCCGAGGUGAGAGAAGUGAUCAAAAACAAAGAUGAUAUCGCAGAAGAAGAUAUAGAACGACUCGAGUAUUUGAAAAUGGUGAUUAAAGAAACAUUAAGGAUAAACCCAGCUCUGCCAUUUCUGAUUCCAAGAGAGGCUUCAAAAGAUAUAGAGAUUGGAGGCUAUGACAUUCCAAAGAAAACAUGGAUUUAUGUCAACAUAUGGGCUCUUCAGAGGAAUCCAAACGUUUGGAAAGAUCCAGAAGCUUUCAUCCCCGAAAGGUUUAUGGAUAGCGAGAUUGACUACAAAGGUUUGAACUUUGAGCUGUUGCCGUUUGGUAGUGGAAGGAGAAUGUGCCCUGGUAUAGGAAUGGGUAUGGCUUUGGUACAUUUGACUCUUAUCAAUCUUCUCUACCGAUUUGAUUGGAAGCUUCCAGAAGGAAUGAAGGUAGAAGAUGUUGAUCUUGAAGAAUCAUAUGGACUUGUAUGUCCUAAGAAAGUCCCACUUCAGCUUAUCCCGGUCCUUACCCAAUGGACUUGAUUUUAUAUUAUCAUAGUUCAAAAUGUAAUCCUUUGGAAUUAUCUUAAAGGUCUUAUCAUUAUCGUUUAUCAAUAAGGAAAUUGUUUUAUGAAACAACUUUUAGCUCAUUUUCUCUGGUAACGUAACCUCAACUUUUUAGUCUACCAAAUUUAUGUAGUUAGGAUCCUCUCGUACCAUUUUUUAGAUAUUUCAAAAUCUUCAAAAAGACACACUAAUUAUUUAGAUAUUUCGUAUGGACACAAUUUACAGAAAAUACACAGAAUCAGAGAUUUAAAAUGGACUAGGUGAAUACCAGCGCGCGAGUUUAUGUUAUUUUAAAAUUAGUUUAUAUAAUCUCAUUUUUUAUAGAAUAUAUUAUUUUAAAUAUAGCUAAAUGUAUUACUUGAAAGACAACAGACAAUAUAAAUGUAAUUAAGACUUUGUUAACGGGUUCAUUUGAAAAAUCAAUGAGUUUGCAAUUCUUUGAUUCAAAAUUUUAUAUGCAUAUAACUCUGAACCUGUUAAAAGUUUGUCAAUCUCUAUUUUACACACAAAAAUGCUCAAGGUCCCACAUAAUCUAAUUUAUCAAAAAAUAUAUUUUUUUUUUGUCGUCUGUUUUUAUUAAUAUCACAAAGAAGGAUACAUUGUUGAAAUACAUAAGCCGGCGGAAACACUAGAAAUCCCCGGAAACUUAAAGCCCAAAAGAGGGAAGCGAAAGCCUAAAAGAGGGAACCAAUUGAACACGUGGAGAAUACAAUCCACAAAAACGAAACAAAAGUCAAAAACUUAAACAAAAGCUCGAAAGAAAACGAACUUGCCAAUCUUACUCCCACACCAAUGUGAACAAAGCCAGCCACAAAGGACAACACGCGUCCAUCUUGCAGUUAACGAAACCUCCUAUUAGGACAAAUCCUUUACUCUUUCUGUCUCACUUCUCCCUCCAAUACACUUUCAUUUUUCUCCUUUAUCUUCCCAUUUUUAACGUUUAAACAAAUUUCCCAUGGCAAUUAUAUUCUUUCUUAUAAAGAGUAAUUUAAGAACAUGAUAUUGUUUUUCAAGUUCUCUCUAUAUAUACUUACAUCUCUUUUAUUUCUCUUCUAACAGCGCUCACACAUGGAAACACGAUACUGUUAUUGUUUACGACAAAAUGUCACUUCGCUUGAGUCUUCUCCAACGUCUCUUGGCUCAACUAUCAUCUUACAUGGCUGGUUUGAUCUCCACCCAGUCUCCGUUAACUUCCUCAUGUAACGUUCAUGAUUGCACAAGAAAAAUUAACAGAAGAAAAAAUUAUUAAAAAAAGUUAUUUUUAUAUUAAAAAAACAAACCAAAAACCUUGAAGAGAAUAAAAUUCUUCAAUUUCCAUAUUUUUAUAUUUUUCAUAUUUGUUUGAAAUGUUUCUAUGUCUUCCUAUUUUUCUGGAAAAUAAUAAAUUAUAAGUUCGUCCUAUUAUUUUGUUUUCAAUUUUAUUAAUUGUUGUGAUUGUAUUUAUCAUAAUAUAUUUAUAAUUUUAACUCAUCUAAUAUUUUGUUUUUUUUUUUUUUUGAUAACUAGGGUGUCCGGCCCCACCGAGGUGGAACCGACUAGCGUGAGACCCAUAUGCGUCAUCUGCCCUAGGGUACCCCACAUCCCGGGGAGCUGGCGAUUCCCUCAUAUAAAUCCGCCAGUGGCCGUGCCUCGAACCCUGGUGACCCCCAUAUGCGUCAUCUAAUAUUUUUCAUUUGCUUACAUAUAAAAUUUAAAAUUUUAAAACACUUGAAUAAAUAAUUUAAAUACAUAUUAGUAAAUAUUAAGUCUAAAAGUAUAAAGAUGUCAUUAAUAAAGAAAAAAUGGGUAUAAAAUCUUUACCUUUCCUAAAAACAUGUAAGAAACCCUCAACUUUUUUUGUGGGUUUUUAAACCCUUACCUUUUCAUUUUUUUUUCCAACAAAGGACUUUUAUUAAUUUCAAAGAGUAAUUACAAAGAUAUUAUGUAGAAUUACUGUAACACAAAUUAUUACAUACGCAGAUGUAUGCGCUAUAUACUGAGAAAAGUACAGCAGAAGGGAGUUUGACGAUGCUUUUCGAAGAAUAGCCUUACUCGCUAACCGAUCAUAAGAUCUGUUAUUAUCCAACUUCAUAUUUGCUUUUCUUUGAUACGAUUUGAAUGCAGCAUCACUUGGCUGAACUUUAUUUUUACAAACCGCAGCUUUUAACCCGACGUGUGUAUAUGUAAUUCUGAAACGUAGACACAAUGGUACCAAAACUUCCGUACCAAGAUCCUUAUAAUGAAAUAUCCUUACCCUGUAAUUUUCUCCCACAUAGCCACAUAGCUUUUUGCCGGUUAGAUUCUUGGUUAUUAUCUUGCAUAUCUCCUUGGACCCAAAAGUUCUGAGAAUCGGUUUCAAUUUCUCCAUAAAUGUGACAAGCUCUUCCAAAGCCUCUGCAAUAUUCCCUUUCUCAUUAAGAUCAAAUGCAAGAAGUAACGCCCAUGUCUCAAAGAAGUUCUCGGUGAAGUUGGCAUAGGCUUUAAUUUCCUUGGAACACUUUUCCUCCAUGACUUCCAUUGAUAAACCAUAAUGCCAAAAUCCAUGUCUUUCUUCCAUUAGAUCCAUAUCAAACGUACAAUCCUUAGGUUCAAGGUUUUUCAUAUCUCCGGCAAUUCCAAGGGUCAUCUUAAACAAUCUUCUAUACCAAUUUUCUUCCAUGAGUAAUAAAAUUAUGAAAAUUCGGUAUAUAUAACGCCACUCAAUUUUGGGCUGAGAAACUCCCAAAAUUAAGACAAAGACACACCAUCCCAUCGAAAGGAUGAUGAAGAUAACCCUCGGACUUGAGUAAUGCUUACCAGACACCGUCGAUUCGAAGAUAAUUCCGAUGAGAAUCACGCUAAUUGCCGAGAUAACACUCUCCAAAAGGGGAGAGAAAGAAACCGUCGUUGAUAUCCAAUGGAUUGCCAUUGCCACUAAGAUUUGUUCAGAGAAACAUGCCUUAAAUGGUAUGGAUAGAGAUGUAAAUUGACGGAGAAUACCAAGCGAUCCGAAACCAACCAUGGAGGAAAGUAAACCGAUAGCGAGAAGAUGAUGAAAUCGUUAGAAGAUCUCACAAUUAUUAACCAGAAUGUAUAAAGAGAAAGAAAUUGAAAUCUAAACAGAAAUGAAAGCCGACCGACGCCGGAGAAGCCGACGCCGGCCGGAAACGGUGGUGUAACGGAGCGGUUGUGUUUGAAGAGGUGUGAUCGCUGUUAUCGCCCUAGAGAGAGAAGAGGUGUAUUUUUGAUACCCUUACCUUUUCAUAAGUGGUAAAAUAUAUACUAAUACUAAUAAACCCAACUUAUUUAAAAAAAAAAUAGUUAUAUUAAAACAAUAAGAAACAAAAAUAAUUUAUUUAUGAUUUUUUUAAAUUCGAGUUUACAAUUUUUCUUUCUAAAAUUAAGGUUUUUGCGCUAAAAAAAUUCAUUCACAAUUUCGUUGAGAUUAGACAAAUCAUUUUUGUUACCAUUAGAAGUUACAUUAUAUAAACUAAAAAAAUUUAUAGGAUAGCACUUGAUUUUUUUUUGUUCGAGUUUUCAGAUUUUGGAUUAAAAUAUAGCUAAAUAAUUAUUAACUAUAUGUUAUUUAUAUUAUUUUUUAAAUAUAUCCUAAUAUGUAUAUAGAAAUAUUAACUGUUAGUAAAUCUUAUUUAGUUUGUCCGAUGAAAAUAUUUUGAUUUGGAAAUUCAUGUACUUUUCGUAGUAUUAUAAAAUUUGGUUUGGUUUUACUUUAGCAAAUUUAUGUGAUCGAACCGAAUAAACAUUUAUUAACAUAAAAUCAUAUUCGGUUCAAUAUAAGAAUUUAUGUAUUAUUCGUAACAAAAUCUCUUUGGUUUCACGAUGAAUUUUUGUAACACAACGGAAUACAAUUAACUUUUUUACAUUAUGACUUAAAAAAUUUCAAUUUAGAAAAAAGAUUGUAAAUAGAAUUUUAGAAGAAAAUCCUAAAUCAAAUUUUUAUACUCCCUCCGUUUCACAAAAAGUGUCAUUCUACCAGUUUUCACACAAGUUAAGAAAAUUAAACAAAUUUCAUUUCUACUCCUUAUUAAUACACUAGAUAAUACCAUCUAUAUAAUUAAUAAGCUGAAAUAGUAGGGAUAAAAAAAGAGAAAUAGUCUUAAAAACUGCAUUGAAAACAUAAAACGACACUCUUUGUGAAACAAAAUUAAAACCUUAAAACGACACUUUUUGUGAAACGGAGGGAGUAUUUAUUAUGUUUAAUAUAAGGAUUUAUUAAUAAUAGAGUUUAUUUUACCAUAUGAGGAUUUAAAAAUCCACAAAAAAAGGUGAGGGCUUUAUACAAUCAUCGUUCAGGUGGUGCUUUAUAGAUUGAUAAAAAAAUGACUUCUACAAUCGCGUCUUUUGAUUAUAAUUUUUCAAAAUAUAUUUGAUUUAGUUUUUAACUAUCAAAAUAUUAAAUAAAUUUUUAUAACCGUUUAGUUGAACCAUUAAAAAUAUUUAGGUUACUUGACUAACCAUCACAAUAUUUAGUUUAUUUAAUAUACCGUUGUAACCCUUAGUUUAUUUGAUAAACUGUUGCAACGUUUAGCUAUAUUUGCUAUCUACAAUCACGUCUCUCGCUAUAACUCUUCAUAAAAAAUAUUUUUUAUUGAUUUAAAUGAAUUUUGCAACCGUUAAAUUAAAUUUUUGUAAUAUUUGAUUAUUUGAUGAAUCAUAUAUAGCAGUUUUUAGUUUUUUUUUUACGAACCGUUGUAACUUUUACUUUAAUUGACGAACUGUUGCAACCUUUAGUAUAUUUGAUAUCUAUGGUCGCGUCUCUUAGUAUAAAUUUUCAUAAAUUUUAGUUCUUAUUUUUAAUUACUUAGAUAUAUAAAAAUCAAUUGUUGCAACCGUUUAAAGUAAUCAUUACAACAUUUGGUUUAUUUGAAGAACCAUCGUAUUUUUAAUUUGGUUUAUUUUAUGAACCGUUGUAACAUUUAUUUUAUUUGGCGAACUGUUGCACCCAUUGGUAUAUUUGAUAUCUACAUUCGUGUCUCUUGGUCAAAACUCUUCGAACUAUUAAUAAAAUAUAUUUUAAUGAAUUAUUGUUACAGUUUAAUUGAACUAUUGUAACAUUUGGUUUAUUUGACGAACCAUUGUAAUUUUAUAAAUCAUUGUAACAACUAACUUAUUUGAUGAACCAUCGCAACAGCUAGUAUAUUUGAAGAACCAUUGCAAAAUUUAAUUUAUUUGAUGACUCCUUGCAACUUUUAAUAUAUUUGAUGAACUGUUACAAUUUUUUGUUUUUAGAAUAUUUUUUGUGGGAAAUAAUUGAAGGUAAAUAGAACGAGCUAAAAUCAGUAAACAAAAAAAUAUAUUUGAAGAGACACAAAGAUGAAACUGGUAAAGAUACAUUAUGAGAUGGGUAUAUCGAAAAGUUUGAAUAUUAAAAAAAAAAAGAGAAAUUUGUUUAGAAUAUAAAGAUACUUUGGAUAAUUUUCAAUUUUAUAAGAAUUAAUCACCCAAACAAUAUAUUGGUAUCAUGUCCUAAUCUUUAAGUUGAAAUAAAUAAUCCAAAGCGAGAAAUUUAAAAGGAACGGUUCUAGCUGAGAAAAUUCCGAUUGAAAUCCGUCACUUUUUAAAAGGAAUGGACAUGACUAAAUAAAAAUGUUUAUUAGUACCUAAACCGGGUUUUUUACAUACAAAUUUAUUUGGCACAUUUAAGAGUAACUUCUAAAAAUGGAUUUAAACUUUUAGUUGUAUAUAAAGAUAGAAAUCCUAAUACAAAAACUCUAAAUUCAAUUUCUUAAUAUGUUUUAACAUGUUUCUUAACAUAUAAAGAUAGAAAUCUUUAUAAAGAUAGAAAUCCUAAUACAAAAACUUUUAGUUGUUUAAAAACAUUUCUUAAUAUGUUUUCAUCAUGACAAUUAAAAAGAGUAGGUAUAUCCAUUUUUGGAAACAAGUACUUCAAAUAAUAAAAACUAUUACCCAAAUGAUUUCUGAUAAAUACAAGACGAGAAUUUUGGGUAAUAAAACGGUAAUGGAAAAUUCGGAUGGCUAAAUUCAAUUCUCUAACGCUCAAAUAUUAAUAAAAGUGGAUUUAGGAACGGGUACGGCCCAUCCAAUUUGGAAUAGUUAUUUUGGCAAAUUUUGAUAUUUAACAAAAUUUAGAGAAUUUUUGAUAAAUAUUAAAAACUAUUAUGAUCCAAACAUCGGAAAACUUAGGAAAAAGAAGAUUACUCAGCUGAUUCUACUAACUAAACUUAGGCUUUGUGGCUUUUGAUUUUUAUGCUCUGUAUUGUUAGAACUAUCGUUAUUAUUAUAUUCAAUUUUUUUGUCGUUGAAAAAUAUUUUACAUAUUAUACAUUUUAGUUUAAUUUAUAUUUAAAUCCAUACAAUUAGUGUUCAGAUAAGUGCAUUAGAAAAAAUCAGAAAAAAUAAAAUAAACAUAUAUCAUAAUAGUUUGACAAGUCAAGAAAAACAUAUCAAAAAAUAUUUCACCAGAAAUUUGAAAAGUUUUUAGAUGUUUAUAAAAUGCUACUAAAUAAUAACCAUAUUUAUUUCAAAUUUAGUUUGAUUUAUUAAUAUCGAAACUUUUAAUUCAAAUCAAGAAAAAAUUAUCUGAUCACAUAUAAAAAGGUUAGUUUUCUAUUAAAAAAAAGGAGAAUGAAUUUUUCUUAUCCAAUCACGUUAUGCAAUUUCAUUAUCUUAUUCAUUUUCUAGUUUUCUCUCCUCUCGUCGCAGUUUUAGGCGGUGAUUUUCGGGUGAUGUGAUCUCUCGAUUUAAAAAACAUGGCUGGUCAAAACGUAGACUGCGUCACACAUUCGAUGUUUGAAGACGAAGCGUGUUCGCAGUGGGAUUGUGAUCGUCUCCGAGCUCGAAUAGCUUUGGGAAAUUUUUAUAAAUACUCUCAAUUAUAUUAGAAUUUUGAAAACUACAAUCAAUUUUACACUAUUUUGAAAACGACGUAUUUUUAAUGGAAAAUUGGCCAUAAUAACCUUUUUAUUUAUUUAAAUAUUAUUUAAAUAAAUUAACUAAAAAAUGAAAUUUUAAUAUUUUAACUAAGAUUCGUAUUUAUUUAAUUUAAUAAUAAAUAAUUAAGAAAAUUAAUUUACUAUAUUUAAAGUAUUCAUUAUCUCGUUUAAAAAUUUAUAAAUAAGUUGAUAAUAUUAUUUAGAUUUCUAAACUAUUCAAGAAUAAGUAAUUCAAAAUUAUAAAAUUUGUAAUAAAUAAACUAAUAAUCAGUGUAGAUAUAUUUUUGAUAAUUUUUUUACUCUUAUUUUAUUCUAUAUAGAUUUAUUUUUCAGGUUGAUAUUUUGAACUAUUGAUUUAUUUUUCACUUUUGUUGAUUUAAUUUUCUUCUCUGUCGACUUGAUUUAAAACAGUUGACUUAUGUUAUGGCUAGUUGAUUUAUAACAUAGUCAAUUUUUUGAACUUUUGACUUUUUUUUGUUCAUCGACUUUUAAUUUAAUCUGUAGACUUGUUUAUUCAUGGUGGAUUUACUUCAUUCUACGUUGACUCAUUAUAAGGUCGAUUUUUAAAACUGACGACUUAAAUUUUAUUUUCGUCGACUAAAUUUAUUUCUUUUGAUUUAUUUUAAAACAAUCGACUUAUAUUUUGUUUGAUUAUUUUUUUAUGUAGUCGACUUUUUAAAACUGUUGACUUAUUUUUUUGUUUGUUGAUUUAUAUAUAUUUUUUUUGUCGAUUUGUUUAUUUUUGGUAAACUUAUUUUAUUUCACGUUGAUUUAUUAAUAAGGUUGAUUUUUUGAACUGUCGACUUAUAUUUUAUUUAUGUCUACUUUUUUUUUUUCUAUUGACUUAUAUUAAAAGAGUUGACUUAUAUUUUGGUUAAUUGAUUUUUUACAUUGUCGACUUUUUUGAACUGUUGACUUAUUUUCUUUUAAACGGAGCUAAUUAUUUUUGGUAAUUAUAUCUAAAUUAAUAUUUUUUAUCUAAAUUAUUUAACUUAUAUUUGUAAUUAGGUUAAAAUAAAUAUAGUUUAUUCGAAUAUACAUAUAUUUUUUAAAUUUUCUACUAAAUGAAAAAUAUUAGAAAAAUUAAUUUGAAUUAUAUUUAAUUAAAAUCUGUGAUUAAUUUUAAAGUGAAUUAUUAUAUAAAAGUCUUACCAAAUCAUUCCAUAUCGAUAUAAUUUUUUAUUAUACAACUAAAAUUCAUAAUUUAUUUUUUUGUAAUUAUAUGAAUUCUGAGUUUUUUUUUGGUAUCCUUUAUGUUACUUGAUUUUAUUAGUUGAAUUUUUCUUAAAUCUGAAUUUUAGUUUUAAUUAUUGAUUAUUAUUAACCAUUGUAAAUUAUUUCAUCAUUAUCAAAAAUCCUAAAAAUAAAUUUUGAGUAUCUAAGUUUUUUUUAAUAUAAACAGUUUUAUUUUAAUUUUAAAAUAAUAUUUCUAAAACGAAUUAUUUAAAUUAUUUUAUUGUUUCUGAAUUUUUAUUAUUAAGUAAGGACAAAAAUAUCAUUUUGUUUAAUAUAUAAUGUAUAAUUCAAAUACUAAAAUCUUUUAGGAUAGAUUUCAAAAAUUUUAUGAGAUACAAGGUAUACAAUCAAAUUAAUCCAAUAGCUUUAUACUGCGGCGCAGACCACUUCCUAUAUGUAAGCCUAAACUCUUUUAAGUUUAUCUCUCGUCGACAUGAGUCAUCAAGAGAAAGCUGGACAAAGUGGCCGAAAGAAUCAAGGAUGUCAACAAGGUAAGUAGCCUUCUUCUCCUAAGAUUUCAACCAAAGUUCUCACUUCCAAACCAAAUCCGCUUCUAAUAGGUGCGUGAUUCAAAUCUUAUUUCUACUCUUUUUAUAACUUUUUUAUUUAUUUAUUAGUCCCUAAAUAUUUGUGGAAGUACAUGAACACAAUUGCUUUGAUGGGUCUUAUCACCCUUUAUGGUGGAAAUAGAGUAUUUCAUUGGAAGAAAAAAAAUCCCAAAACAGUGAAGUUUUUUACCGAUGUAAGCGAGGAAUGUAUGUUUUUUAUCAACUCAUUUUUUACUUUUCAUUUAUUUCAAAUUAUUUAUUUGUGUGGUUAAUCACUUCUUUUGCAGGCAAAAAUGGAGGAUCCCUAAAAGAUCCAAGACUAUGGUCGAAGGUUGCUUGGAAGUCGAAGAUAAAUUUCUUUGAUGGAGUAUGGAAAUUUUUUAAGAAGAGGAUAGACUUUUAAUGUUUCAUUUGUUUCUCCGUAUACUUUGUUCACAAAUUGUACAUUUAGAUACAAAUUUUGUGUUCGUAAUUGUGUUUCUUAUAUUAAAUUUGUAACUGAUUUCAGUCAUACUUUUUGGUUAGUUCAUGCGAUGAAGAUUCAAGUAAUGUUUUCUCUGGUAAUAUCCUCUUCUUUUGUUUCAUGAAACUUAGAUUUCAUUUAGCUUGUUUUAUCUUGCCCAUAGAGUUUUCCUGUCAGUCCAGACUUUAGGGUUUAUGUAAAUUUGUAUGAUUCCCUUGAGUUUACACUUGUAAUUGGAUUCAGAGUUUAGUUUUACUAAUUCAUUGGCCGUUACAUUUUUCAAUGUUUGUGGCAUUAUUCACUUCAAUAUUCAUCUUAUGUGUCUUAUUGUUCCCAUUUGGGUUCCAUUUGUUGUAGACCUUAGAGUUUAGUUUCCUUUCUUGAAUGUACAUUUAUGUGAUUCUUUUGGGUUGACCUUGUAAUUCGCUCUAGGGUAUAGUUUUACUAUUUGAUUGUCUGUUACAUUAUACACACAUAGAUUCAAUUUAGAAAAUCAAAGAGCACUCACUUAUAAUUACAUUUCACUUGAUAUCAGCCUAUCAGGUGCAUACGUGAAGUGAUCAAAACAGAUUUAGUAGGCUUGGUCCAUGCACAGCUUAUUUGGGAGAUAGUUUUAGUUGGGCCACAAUUAGGCCCAUUGAAAGAGGCCCAGUUUUGGGAGAGAGAGACAGUGAAUCUAAAACAUGAGACGACGAGAUACAAGUUUCUGAGGAGAGGGAUUUGAAUCGAGAGAGAGAGAGAAGCGAGAACAAUAAUGGAUCCAGAGCAAAUCAACGAGUUCGUUGUGGGUUACUUGAAGAAGAAAGGAUUCAAUAGCGCUGCUAAAGACCUUGAAUCUUAUCAUCACCACAACAACAAUGGUAGCAGUUUCACUUCUACCGAUUAUCAUAACGAUCCUGACCUCACCAAACUCAUCCGCUCCUUUUCCCAGUAAUCAAUCUCCCUCACAAAUCUCUCUCCUUUCUGUUUUUAAUUCAAAAUUAGGGUUUAUAUUUCUGUGUUUAUGCAUUUGUUUCUUUGUGUUUCGUAUUUAAAUUAGGGUUUAUAAUAUUGCUUAUGUAGAGCAAAUGGUUUAUGAAAUGUGGUUUCUUUUGUUUUUCCAGACAAGAAGAUGAUCCUACUCGGUACCGUGAGGGUUACAGCAAUCUUAGGUCAUGGGCUUAUAACUCACUCGAUUUAUAUAAGGUGGGAUUUUUUUGGUUUUCCCUUGGCCAUUUUGUGUAGCUACAUUUUGUAUGGAAUUGACAAGAUGAUUGUAAUUUGUAGCAUGAAUUGCUUCGAGUUAUGUAUCCUGUGUUUAUUCAUUGUUACAUGGAUUUGGUGGGAAAAGGGCACACUCAAGAAGGUACUUCUCGAUAUAGCAUAUUAGAUGUAAUGAGUAAAGAGUGACUUAUGCUACUUAUCUGAUAAGCUAUACUUUUUUGUAUGCCAGCGAGAGGCUUCUUUAACAGCUUCCGCAGAGAUCAUGAGAUGGUACACUUACGGGAUCUUCAGAAAUUGGAAGGUGUUCUUGCUCCAUCUCAUCUAGAGGUUUAAGCUAAACCUUAUAUGGUUGUAUAAUGUUGAUACUGGAUUUGUUUUUUUUUUUUGGUUUGGUUAUUAACUUUCUUGUGAUCUUGGUUCUUAUCAGGAGAUGGAGUUUGCUCGGUCUCUUAGAAAAAGCAAGGUCAACAUCAAGAUUUCUAAGGUAGACUUAAAGUGAAAUUUUACUAGUCACUGUAGCUGUAACAGGCAAAUGCUUCAAGGUUUCUGGUCUGAUUAACUGAAUUCCGUGACUGCAGACCUCUAAUAUACUUACUGAAUGUUGCAGUAUUCAUAUGAUCUGUUAAUUCAGUAUCUACAAAGGACAAAAUCGACUUUAAUGCUUGGUAUUAUUAACGAACACAUCAAUUUCCAAGGUAAAUGUGUUUCUUUCUCUUAUAUAUGCAAUAGCUUGUAGCAGUUUUUUGGUUUGGUCAUGGAUAAUUUGUUGCAGUCUACUCAGGACAACCUAAUUCCUCAUCCGAUGACAUAGAAGCUGUCACCAUUUUCGGUAGUUUUCAGGACACAGCUAAUCACAUUAAUCAAAAAGAAAUUCAGUGGGGAGUACGUAUUUUUUCCCAAAGCUCUUCUCUUUUGUUUUUUCCGGUGUUGAUGCCUCAUCCCAGGGAAGAUAAUAUAUAUGCGUAGUCAUUAGCUACAUAUGUGUUUUUCUUUUACAGUUGCUUGAAGACUCGCUAGAAGAUCGCCUUGAGAAGACAGGAGGUCUGCUGUCUGAUUCUGAGAAGGGACAAGGAGAAAGUAAAGACGGGGAUGCAGAUGAUAGUAAGGUGAUACAUAGCUUCAACUUAGAUCAAUAAUUUUUGAAUUGGAAAUCCCAUUUUUACUCGUCAAUUGAUACUCUGUUCAGAAAAGAUCCACUGAAAUUGGAAAGCAAGGCUCUUCCUUAAAAAAGUUAAAGAAGGACAAAGUGGGAAAUGCAACAGCAAAAGUUGCACGUCUGGAGACUAUUACGGUGCCACCGGCGCCACGUGUAAAACCAGAACUUGCCUUGCCAGUAAUGUACUUUCGAAUCCCUUGCCCAUUUUUUUGUGUUGGGAUUUGAUGAAAAAGGAAUGAACAUGGGAUAUCUAUGGGUGAUGCAUGAUUGAUUAGGAGAAAUGAAUAUAGUAGCUGUCAAAGACUCAACCUCCUUUAAGAUAGAUUAAGUGUUUUCCAUCUCCUUUUUUUCUCUGUCAGGUCUACAGAUGUAGAGCAAUCCAUCCUUGAAGACCUGAGAAACCGUGUGCAGUUGAGCAGUGUCGUGAUGCCUUCAGUCAGCUUUUAUACAUUUGUGAAUACUCAUAACGGGUAAUGUCCACCUCUCCUCCUAAUUUUAACUACUUAUUUGCAACUUGUUACUCACUCUCUUAUUGUCCCCCAGGUUAAAUUGUUCAUCUAUAUCUCAUGAUGGAUCUCUGGUUGCUGGUGGGUUCUCAGAUUCAUCAAUAAAGGUAGGACAAUAAUUCUGUGAUGGUUGUGAUAUGUUUCCUCUUUUUUUUUCACCCUUUUUUAAAUCAUGCCUAAGUGACAUAUAUGGUGUUCAGGUCUGGGACAUGGCUAAGAUAGGACAAGCUGGCAGUGGUAUGCUUUUUCUCUGAAACAAUGAUUUUUGUAAUGACCUUCAUUCUGAAAGACAUAUUAUUGACGCCUACAAUUAAGAAAUGAUAUUUAUCUCAUAUGUUUCGCUUGUUGUUUUUGGUGAUAUUUAUGAUGAUUGUUUGUUUUUCCAUGAGAGUUAUAGACACUAAGCUGUCUGGUUCCAGGUGUUUUGCAGGGUGAAAAUGAUACAAAUGAUCAAAUUAUGGGACCAAAUGGCCGAAGAAGUUAUACAUUAUUACUGGGUCACUCAGGGCCAGUUUACUCGGCCACUUUCAGUCCCCCUGGAGAUUUUGUUCUAUCUUCUUCAGCAGAUACAACAAGUAUGUAUCUGUCCAUCACUCCACAAAUCCAUACACUGGCUCAUUAGUUCAGAUUUUUUUUUAGUUACCAACUAUGUAUUCAUAAGUGCAGUUCGACUGUGGAGCACAAAACUAAAUGCCAAUCUCGUGUGCUACAAGGGUCAUAAUUACCCUGUAUGGGAUGUCCAGGUAUAAUUAUUCAAUUUUACACAUAUUACUUACAUAACCUGCUAUAUAUGGUUGCUGGACAUGUAUGUAUAUAUACUCGUUUUAUGGUGCAGUUUAGCCCUUUCGGUCAUUACUUUGCAAGUUGUUCUCAUGAUCGUACUGCACGGAUUUGGUCAAUGGAUCGAAUUCAACCUCUUCGGAUAAUGGCAGGGCAUCUAUCUGAUGUUGAUGUGAGUGUCUCCCUCAUCUUCAUUGUUUGGGUUAUAUCUUGCAAAGGUUGGACCAUUUGAGUUGUUAAUUAAUGCAUGGAUAAAUUUCUUCAACGGUUUAGUAUGCAAUUGAAGUCGUUAACUUACCGCUUCACUGUUUACAGUGGUUUAGCUAACAUUUUGCAUUGUUUAUUGUCUUAGAUUAGUACCCACUUUUUAUUUUAACGAGACCCUGACAGUCAUAAUUUAUAAAUCAUAAGCUUAACGAUGGAUUACUUAACUAUUUGGAUUGACAUUAAUACAGAUGAGUAACUUCAAUUUUUAUUUGGAUACCUGUUGAUGUGACUUUCUUUGUACUUGUCAAAUGCAUUUGAUUUCAGUGUGUACAGUGGCAUCCCAAUUGUAACUACAUUGCAACCGGUUCUAGUGAUAAGACGGUUAGACUGUGGGAUGUGCAAACUGGGGAGUGUGUCCGGAUAUUCAUUGGGCACAGGAGUAUGGUUUUAUCAUUGGCUAUGUCUCCGGAUGGGAGAUAUAUGGCCUCCGGUGAUGAAGAUGGCACCAUAAUGAUGUGGGACCUCUUAACAGCUCGCUGCAUCACUCCUCUCAUGGGCCAUAAUUCAUGUGUCUGGAGUCUCUCUUACAGGUGAGAGAUAUCGAGACAAGAAGCAAAAAGCUUUCAUUGAUCGUUCAAUUUUUGUUUAGACGAGCUAUGCAGUAAGCUCAGUUCUAUCGAAACAACGUUUUGAGUUAGUGAGAACUAAAGAAAAAGUUAUAUAAUCUCUUGUCAGCCAAGUAUUGGUUUUGGUUGAUAUGCUUAGAAUCUCUGAGGUUUCUUCUCGGAUAGCAUUGUUAAAAGGUAGUUCAGGGUUACGAACUAUAGUGGUCCGGUGUGGCUAUUUCUUUUAAUUCCACUUUGACGUCUACUGGACUGGUAGAUUUUUUUAUACCCACGCACUCGUGUUAGCUUUAACGAAGGAGUUCUUGUCAUGGGUUGUGCAAAACUGUAUAUGCCUAGUAUGUGGUGGGUCGUUAAUGCAAUGACUGUCUUUGGUUGGUCAAUUCCGCUUGCUUGGAAUAGCGAACCCGCAAACUCCACUUCUAAUAAUCAUAGAGCUACUACAAUUUAUGACUAACCUGUUUAUCUGUUUCAGCGGCGAGGGCUCUCUUCUGGCUUCUGGAUCUGCAGACUGCACAGUGAAACUGUGGGACGUCACCUCAAGUACCAAAUUAACAAAGGCCGUGGAAAAGUGAGUUUGCUCCUUCCAAAGUUGUAUCAUUGUUCUCUUUGAAUAGUAGAUUGUUUUGUUAAAACGACUUAUCAUUUGUCGAUCAGGAAUGGGAACACCAACAGGUUGCGCUCGCUCAGGACUUUCCCCACCAAGUCCACACCAGUUCACGCUCUCAGAGUAAGUUAUACUUUCUUUCUUUACUAGAAUUAGUUCCACCAUUCUCGAAAUACCGUAAUAUUUUUCUCAUCGCUGGAUUCCCUGCUAAGUUUAUCAUCUUGUGCUUGUGAGUAAAUCAACUCUUUCCAAAAAUUAAUUAGAACCAAAGUUUCAGGUUGUUUGCCUAAUAAUUGAUUAAUCAUAUAGAACCUUUCCUCUUAACCCCUAGAAUUGCAAAGCUCGUUGAUCAGGCAUACACUAAAACUCUGGUUUUACAUCGAUGCAUGCAGUUUUCUCGGAGAAAUUUGUUGUUUGCUGCAGGAGCACUCUCUAAACCUGCAAGCUGAUCAAAACAAUGGUAUCAGAUAUUGAUACUUGAACAUUCUUACAAGCUGUUUGUAGAUCAGAAGAAAUCAGGUGUAAAAUAGUUGUCUCCAAAGAUUAUUUGUUUGUGGCUUUUGUUUCUCAUUUCUAAAUCCCAAAGAUGUUGAGAUUCUUUAAGUAACUCCUCCUGCUUAUAUAUGCCAUAUGAGUCCUAAUACUCUGUAAUUCCUAAAACUUUCGUUAUUUUCUAAUGAUAUUUACUUUUAUAUCAAAAAAAAAGUUUGAUUGGUUUUUCGUUUUGGUUAACUAGGAAUAAGUCUACUGGUUGAUCGAUCGCCAUCAAAAACAUCGAUUUUCAAGCUUUCACAAUAAUCAAGACAAAAUUUAAAUUAUAAUUUUGUACAGUGAAAUAUAUAUCUAAUAAAUAAUCGCCAAAUAAGAUUCAUCUUUUUUAUUUUUUGUUAAAGAAAUAAGAUUCAUUUUGCUAUGUAUGAUCCAAUAUAUGUGUAUUCGGGACUAAUUCUUUGGUUAUUGUUUGAUGGUUGAUUCAUGAUGAUGGUAGUCAUUGGGAAAUGUAGGUUGGUGGGGCUGGGGCUUACGAGCCUGGUACCGAAAACUCGAUCCGAACUCGAACCUGAACUGGACCCCAACGCCUAGCCCUUUCAAACCUACUCAAAGUCAAUAACACAAACAAUACCCACCAACUAUUCUCAAAAUUCUUAGAACGUUUAUGAUAUAAAUAUGACCACGUAACUAGUUGAUAACUAAGUUAAUGGUUAACUAAUAUGACCACGUAAGGGUUUCCGAGACGUGUAAAAUGAGAAUGUUAUCUCUCAAAAAAGGACAUCGUGUGUUGAGAGAAAUCUUUCUUUAGACAUGGUGGUUAUGUGGCAUGCUGUGAACUAUGGUUUUUCUUAGCGAGAGAUAAGAAAUCAGUCCCAAUAAACAAAUUUUUUAGAUACUAACAUAUUUUAUAUUUUAGAAACAUUUAUUCUCCUAAUUUCUGGAGGCGGUACUUAAAUAAAUAUAGAACUGAUCAAGAAAAAAAAUAUGUUUUGAAAGACAUUGGCUUCAAAAUUUUGGAUGAGACAUGAAAUCUACCAAAAGUAGAUUUGGUUGUUUAUGUGACUAGACAAUUGUCUACACUUGGAAUUAUAUGUGGGGGCAUGUGUUACUCGUUAUCUUAUAUGAUCUCUCCCAGUCAGUUUCUCAUUACUUUUUCAGAAACAAAUAAAGAUGCAUAUCUAAUCCAUUUUCUAAAGGGAGAUUUGUCAAAAGAGGCACAUUUCGGCAGACAUAUUCGGAUUUGAGCCUUUUUUACUGUAGACGUAAAUAGUUCCAUCAAAACUGCACAAGCUAAGACGAUUUUGCCCUUAUCCCCUGUUUCUCACUGAUAUUAAGUCAUAGGUCAGAAGAGAGAGGGAGUUCUCUUGAAUGAUGAAGAAUUGUGGUGCUCAGAAACGGUGGACUCUUCCCUGUUUGUGGCGAGGUCUCCUCCGGCGUGUUACCUCCGGGAUCUGAGGCAUUAGAGGAUGGUGCUCUGUUUAACGGCAGAUUAAGAAGGCGGUGGCUCAUGGAGUUGUUUGAGGAGUGGAUGUGUUUGGGUCUGGAUCUGGCGGUGGUGGCGUAGCUGCUUAACUGAUUUUAUCCCAAAGAUUUUCAAGAAGCUUAUCUCGUGGCUUCUCUCGUGCAGUGGUGGUUGUGUGGCGCCUCUUCAGUAGAUUAUUUUAGUCCACCAAUAUCAUUUCUUGUUUUAAAACCCUCCAACAUAAUUUAUUUACACCAAUUUUCGCAUUCUUUUGUUAUUACUUAUACAAUGAUACACAUAACAUGAAAACAAUAACAUUUAAAAAGAACUACUCGUUAAAAAUAUACGACAGUUAGUACAUCGACAGAAACCUACAAAAGGCUUUUUGUCCAUGAACAUAAAAUUGUUCAUGAAAACAGACAUUGGCUUUUUGUCCAUGAACAUAAAAUUGUUCAUGAAAACACACAUUGAUAUAUAAUCAGUCGUAAGGAAAAAGUUAAGCUUAAAUAAGGAACCAAAACGAUUAAUAUAAAAUGAACCAUUCAUAAAAGAACUUUCAAAAGAGAAAAACUAAACCCUAGUAGAUUGUAAAUAGGGAACCCAAACACAAUGUCUUAACUACUUUACGAGAUAAUAAAAGUGUAAACGAAACAAUGCUAAAUCCUAAUCAAGGACUAGUGAACAACAACCAAUUUAUUUAUAAUGGACCAUUCAUUAAGAAGAUCUAAAAGAGGAAAACUCAAACUCAAACUGUAAAUGAAAAACGAAAAUACAAUAUUUUAAAUACUUUACGAGAUGCUAAUAGCUAAACGAGAAAACGCUAAACCCUAGUUAAGGACGAGUAAACCCAAACCGGAUUUAUCUACAAUGGAAUGUUCAUUAAUAAAAUAUCUAAAAGAUGAAAACUAAACCCUAUUAGUUCGUAAAAAGGAACCCAAACAUAAUAAUUUAACUACCUUACGAGAUGUUAAAUAGUCUAACCGAAAAAAUUCUAAAUCUUAGUCAAAGAUAGAUGUAUCCAAAACAAUUGAUGUUUAAUGGACUUUAAAAAAAAAAAGAGUGUUUGAAGGUGUGUACUAUCAUGUAUUGUAUAUAGAUGUCUGAAACAUUGAAUAAGGUGUGUACCAACUUUAGCACAAUGUGUUUGGCGUGUCUCUUUCUCAAUAACGUUUAGAACAGCAAGUCCACAAGCUGAACAAACCUGAUUUCCACCAAAAAGUGUUGAACAUAAUAUUGCUAACUAAAACACUUGCGAUUUCUGGUGUAGUUACCACAACUUCUAAUGGCAAUACAUUUCCAGUUCCAUGAGAUCAGAACCUGUACCAAUUGUUACUAUGAUCUUCAUGAAAGGAUGGCUUCUUGGUUUACUAUCCAUACACAUACACACAAACACAGACAAUUCAGAUGGAAACUUCUAGAUUUCGUGUAUGCAUCACUGCCAAAUGCCCAUAACAAAUUUAAAUGUAAUUAUUACUUUUCAGAGUCUCGAAGACGAACAAUUCCACCCUAUAAUCAUAAUAAUUUACAUUAAGAGAAACUUAAUAUUAUCCUUUCACGCAACAUAGUUAACCAGAAUAUAUAAUUGUAUCAUUUCAUCGUGAUUUACCAGAAAAUUCUUAGAAAUUACAAUAAAUUAGCAAAAAUUCAUCAAGAUUCUUAUUUUGAUUGAAAUCGCACAAAAAUUCAAACCGAGCAAUGAGAGAAAGAGAGAGAGUAUGCCUUGCGAGAUGGAAAAUCAUCAGAGGAGAAUCAAGGAAGGCCAUCGCGAGAUUGAUUCCGGAGAUCAUGAAAGUCUUAGGCGGCGAGGCAGAAUCCUAAUUGUGAGAUCUUUGCAACAUCACCAAAAUUCCCUAGAGCUUCGACAUCAGAUACUCUCCGUCUUCACCAUCAGGCGGCUAUCGAAAACUUCCAUCGAAUUUUAGAGAAAGGAAGGCGCUUAGAGAGAGGUUCGUGAAGAGCCGUUGGAUUUUCGUUGCACAGAGAGAAGAAGAAGACGUCAUUUAGUUAAGGGUAAAACUGACAUUUCCCAUGGACAGAGUGCCUAAAUCCGAAAGGCAUAAACCAAAGUGCCUAAAUCCGAAAGGCAUUCUACGUUUAAUGGUUUUUUUUUAAAUAACUAUUUUCUAAACUUUCUCACAAAAAAAAAAGCUUAAAUUUCAAUGUAUAACACCAUAGCUAUAAAUUUCAGUGUAUAACACCAUAGCUAUAGAAAAAUUUUCCAAUAAGCGGAAAAGUAUAAUAAAUUACUAUGUACUAAUGUAUACUUAUGGCUGAGGGAGCCGAAACCAUAUCCAAACUAAUCAUCAUAAUGUAGAAAAUUGGGUUAAAUUUUCAGUAUUUUUUAUAAAUAAAAUCUUAUGAGCUCUAAUAAUCUUGGACAGACUCAGAACUAUAUGAUUAUGUAAUAUACACAACCUUCUGUGGGAAACCAACAACAAAAAAAAAAAACUUUUUAUCAAUUCAAAUCACACAUUCACUGCUACAUGGUGUAGCCUACACCAACUGCUACACGGUGUAGCCUACACCAAAUUAAAAAAAAAAAAAAAAAAAAAAAAAAAAAAAAAAAAAAAUUCUCAUCGAAAUAUAUCUAUCAUACAAAAAUUUCCAAAGAGUUUUUUUUUUUUUUUAUAAAUUAUAAAAUUCCAAAGAGGUUACUAGUGGCAGUAGUGUGCAUAACUCCACGAGGUAAGUUACUCAUAGUGGAUAUUAUUUCUGCAAGUGAUAGUAUGUCAAACUUUUGUUAAUUACUUUUUAGUUUUUUUAACCAACAAAACAAUUCCACUUUUAGAAAAUAAUCAUUGCAAAUUUGUAAUUGUAACUGUUGCUUUAAAAACUUUUAUUGGAUUGAGUAAAUUUAGCUAAUCAUGUAAACUAUUAGAUUAUAAUAAGGCCCAAAAAAACUUAGAUGAACCCAGUUACUGUUUAGUACUUUUACUAUAUGAUACUUACCUAUAGCAUUGUCAGAUUUAAAAAAUACACAAAAGCUUUACCAAACAAAAAAAUUUGAAAGACGAAUCAAAUCUCUCUACAUACAGGGAAAAUUAUGAAUAGAUACAUGUCACCAUCUGUUUAAAGUAAGAUCCAAUGUUCUAUAUCUUUUGACCUGAUUGAUGUUAACUAUAUCAUACUAUAAUAAUACUAUUACGUAGAAAAUUAGUAUACUCACUAAGCUAACCAAUAAUACACAAUUCACAAUUCAAAUUACUCAUUAAUGUAACAAUUUAUGAUCAAUUUAUUGAGGAUACAAAGAACGAGGGUGUAUUUAAAUGGAGGUAUCAUAUAUAACUCAGAAAUAACUCCACCAAUACAUUAAUUAAAAUUAAUUUCUUAUGAAAAUAGUUAGCGACUAGAUCAUUUCUAUUUCAUUACAAGCUAAGUAAAUCAAAUUCAGCUAAAUAAAUUUAAGCUAAAACUUUGGAAAUGUUAAGUGGUUAGAUUGUUAGGAACUAUUAUAUCAUAUGCUCAAUAGAAUAACUUUUACUCGUCGCUCAAGUUGGUUUGAUUUUGCUGAUGUGGCUUCCAAAAGAAAAGUUUCAAUUGGUUAAAAGAAAGUGACUUUUGUCAUGCAACCUAGUUGUAUCUCAUGAUGUGAAAUUAAGUGGGAAACCAAAAUUCAUAUUGACAAACCCACUAAACUCUUUAGAUGAUAAAGAAGAAGAGCGUGUGGAAGUUUCAAAUAUCCUUUCCUUCAAGAUUACACAAAAAGAAAAAGGUUGAUCUCUCAUAAUUAAAGACAAAACUAUUCUUUAAGUCAUAUUACCCUAUUGAAGGUGAUGAGAGUUUAUAAUGGAGAAUUGUAUAUUUACUCUCAUAAUCAUAAGCUUUGGGUUACAUAUUUUAUAUAGUAAAAUGGUUUCCUAAACUAAGAUAGACCUAAAUCUUUACAUAUCAAUAUAAUAAAUAUUACAAUAUCUUCAUAUUAAGUUGUGGAUCUUCUAGAUCCUUCUACAUUUCUCACUAAGAUACAUAAUAAAAAAAAAAAAAAAAAAAAAAAAAAGAUACAAAAUAAAAUCGACAAGUAUAAUAACGAAAGGGUUUUUCAUACGAGUGGUUUACAAGUUGUUUUAUUAUUAGACCCUCUAAUUGAUAUGUUCUAAGUCCUAAGUGAACCAAGUGGUUUGUCAAAAUCAAAGAUCUAUUCUUACUUGAAAUAGUUGCUUGAUUGUUACAAAGUCCAAACAACCAGUUAUUUUACUUUCUGAUUAGUUUGAGCUUUGGUCUGGUCCCAAUAGAGGACAAAAGAAAGAAUAGAUGAAGGAGAGGACCACACGAAAAGCCAAAGGAGACAGAAAUGGUCACUUACCUCGUGGAGUUACAAAAAUUAGACAUAAACAGACCUGAACAAAUUUGGAUGCAUGGUCCAUAAACAGUACUCUUCCUUUUCAAUUUAUUUUCAUCUUUCUAUUCUGUCAUUUCAUUAUGAAUCAUGAUGUACUAGUUUCAUUACUAUUUUGAGAAACUGCUUAGUUUUCAAUUGUCUUUUGUAUCCCUUAACUUCUUUGUCUCUUAACAAAAGAAAGGUUCAUACUCAAUUAUUAAGGGUUCCUUAACCAAAUAUAUAUAUAUAUAUAUAUAUAUAUAUAUAUAUAUAUAUAUAUAUAUAUAUGGAUUACCAAUGGUAAAGUAGUCAUAAUUUAUUUGGUUUAAUUUACGUUAGAUAUUUUAUCAUUCAUAAACUGAAAAUCUAAAAACCCAAAAAUUCUGAACCGGAACCAAACCAAAAUUUGGAUUCUACACCUUAAUGUAUUGGUUGGAUUAUUGAAGGAGGAAGAAGCCAAAAAGGGAAAGGGUCAUAUAUUAUAGACAGAGAGGUACUUAAUUAGAUGGUGGAGUUCCAAUCAACUAGCUUUAAAGUGUUUUGUGAGAAGGGUGUGACAGCAAACCAAACCUACCUAUCGCGCGCUCUCAUCAUAGUACUUUGGUCCACUUAUUACAAAAACCAUAAGAAAAUGUUCUAGUGUAUGGUCUUAUUUUCUUUCUCUAAUAUUCCUUUCUAAUACCAUCUACUUCUGCUCCCAUUCACUGAUAUAAACCUCUUCCAUAGCUAUUUAUUAAUAGAAAGAGAUAGAGAAAGAGAGAGAAGAAAUCAUCACCUGAAAAAAAUCUUUUCCCUUUUUAGCUCUCAUGGACGCUUCAAUAGUUUCCUCAUCCACAGCUUUUCCAUAUCAAGAUUCUCUAAACCAGAGCAUCAAAUACGAAGAAAAAGACGUUCAUGAUCCUAGUCAAGAACUCAAUCUCAUCGACUGCAUAGACGAUACAGCGAGUAUCGUUAACGGAUCUACAACAUCCACAGAACAAAAGCUUUUUUCAUGUAACUACUGUCAAAGAACUUUCUAUAGCUCACAAGCCCUUGGUGGACACCAAAACGCACACAAGAGAGAGAGGACGUUGGCGAAGAAAGGACAACGUAUGGCAGCGUCAGCCUCAGCUUUUGGACAUCCUUACGGUUUCUCUCCACUUCCUUUCCACGGACUAUACAACAACAAUAGGUCUUUGGGGAUUCAAGCGCAUUCGAUGAGCCACAAGCUAAGUUCAUAUAGCGGGUUUGGUGGUCACUACGGUCAGGUCAACUGGUCAAGACUUCCAUUUGAUCAACAACCAGCCAUAGGUAAAUUGCCUUCAAUGGAGAAUUUUCAUCAUCAUCAUCAGAUGAUGAUGGCUCCUUCAGUAAAUUCUCGGACCAAUAACAUCGAUAGACCGAGCAACACAGGAAGAAUUUUAGAAGGUUCACCGACUCUUGAACAGUGGCACGGAGACAAAGUGUUGUUAAGUUCUAAUCAUCAUGAAGAGCAGCAGAAACUUGACUUGUCCCUCAAGCUUUGAGAUUCUUUUUCUUGAUUCUUGAAUUUAGUGUCUUUUUACAGCUUUUUCAUGUGAUUGUUAGUACUAUUUUGUGAAUAUUUUUGUCUAGUAUAUCUAAUGUACAUCUUUUUCACAUAUCUACUUUAGUCUGAGAUUGAAAACUACAGUAUACAAUAAUGGAUUUCAGGUAGACACCCAACAACCGUAUAAAAUAUAGAGUAAAGGAAAAAAAAAAAAAAAAAAAAAAGAGAAUAUUGAGAUCUGUGGGAAGAUUUUGUUUCAUAGUCACAAGAAAAAGGAAUUAAUAUUAUAAUUUAAAGUUGGGUUACCUAAAAGUUAGAAAAAUCAUUCUAUUUAUUUAAAAGUUGCUAACAAGACAUUUAAACAGAACAAAACCGAUAGAAAAAAAAAAAAAAAAAGAAGAAGAAGAUAGUUGCUGUGUAGGAUGAUUGUGACACUAAAAGCAAAGAGUACUAGAAGAAAAUUGAAACACAAUAUCAAAUACAUUUCUUGGCCUAAGUAGACAGUACAAAAAAAAGCAUGAAACGUUAAAUAAAGCAUCCAAUGGGUUCUCUUUGUUAGACCCAAAAUUGGUGUACACUAGACAACGAAAGAGAUUAUUAUAAGGUAAAUCACAUUAUUCCAUAUGUAAGAAGACAUUAAAAGAAAAAACUUGUCAUAAUAUUAAAAGACGAAUGGUCGAAGAUAAUUUGUUCUGGUCGAAAUAUUCACUAAACAACCGAGAACUUCUCUCGACUAACCGACUAACCAAUCGAAUCAAGAACAAAGUAAGAUCGUAAGCAGAAACCGAAGUAAACUAUGAAUCUGUGUUCUGAUUGACCCGAAUAUUCAACCUUACUCCUUAAUUACCAGAUUUACCCUGAGAAUUCACUAUGAUCUUGGAGAGUUGUACAAGAGCAUUAAAUACAAAAUCAUCGUCAUUUAUCGACCUCAAUCUCGGCUCUUGAAACAUAGAAGAUUGUUUUAACAAACUCUCACAAGUGAGAACACACACACACGCACAUCUCUCUACUCUCCCUUAACCACCAUGAUAUUGAGCUUGGUUUCGCUCUAGAGCUAAACCUAGUCCGUUUAAACAAAAUUUAUCUUACAGAUUUGAAUCAAAUAAAGCUCUGCCAUAUAUUUUUUUUUCACCAGUAAACAUUUAAUCGAAGAAAGAUAUGCUUGUUUAUAUCCAUAAAGAAGAAACAAAUCUUUAGAUACUGAACCAAAAGUGACACAGUUCCAUUAAUAAAUCCAAGAACAAAGUUAGACAAUCACACAUGGUGCCAUGCAGACCAUGCAUGUAAUGUAAUCAACCUGAUGAACCUUCAAAUUAUCUUCAUCUUCUUGUAUAUUACAAUUUGGCCCCAAAAUAUUUCCUACAAACUCAAAUUAUGAAAUAUGAUUUAUUGUUGGUUAUCUAAGUAGAGCAAAAUGACUCCCUUUUCUUGGGUAACAAGGCCCAUAGCUGAAAAUGACUAAGCCGAAAACGACAUUCUCCGACAGUUUUGAAGGUCCAGUAAAGGAUGGUCCAAUGGAUUCUUAAAUCACUUUUUUUUUUUUUUGGGCAAAAGAUUCUUAAAUCACUAAAUUCCAAUUUUUUCAGAGGGAUAAAUUUGCAGAUUUUUGGAGUUGCCGGUAAAAUCACGUAAUGCAGCUCAAUUGUUCAUUGUUAGUGGGAUAUGACCGUUGUAGACCCUUCAUUUACAUAUCAAAGUAAGAUAUAAUUUUUUUGGAUGAUUUGUUAUAUUUAAUGGAGAUAAUGGUUUGCUCAUUAUAAAUUAAAUUAAGGUGUAUUAUAUUUUACAUGUUUCGUCUAACUUAAACUCGUAACAUAAUUGUUUAUGUUAGUGUUGUUGUUAUAUGAAUAAUGAAUUUAAACUCGAAUAUUUCAUUUCACUAUUAAAAAACUGUCAGUCCUUUGUAUAGUUGUGUGAGUACGUAUAGACGCAUGUCGUCGAAGAUAUCAUAUGUUUUGUCUGUUCAAAUAACUUUGAGAGAACCAUCCGAUUUUUGGAAAGUAAACGGCUAAACACAACAUGCACCAUAAUUAAUUAAGGUCCACCCACAACAAAAAAAAUUGGUACUCUAGAAAACUACAAAUAGUGUGAUGACCAAGACUUAAUUAAAAUCAAUAUAUGGAUCUCUUGAAAAAUUAUGGACUAAGAGAGUUUUUGGAGAUUCUAUUUGGAAGAAAAGAUAAUUAAUCAUAUGUUAUUUACUUGUCCGAUCCCUAUAUCAAAAAAAAAAAGUGCUCUGCCUUGCUUUAGAGGAACCACAAUUUCUACUAAUAAUAUCGAUAUAUAUCGGGAUCUUUCUAAUUCAUUUGGAUCCUGAUUAUCCAAUUCAUUUGGUUAUUCAUAAAUGAGUUUCAUUUUCAUGAGGUCCACGGUCCACCGAACAACGUUAUCGAAAAGACUAAGGAAGUUGCAAAUAGAAGCGAUCGGCCCAUAACGCCGUCGUCACUUUGACCUCCUUUCAUUUAUGAGUCUCUGACUAUAUUGCCCGUCAUAACCAAAUAAAAAAUUAUUUUAAAAUAAUGAUAAUUGAUAAACAUGGUAAUUGACAAAAUAAUCACUUGAAUAUAAUACUAGUAACUUAUAUUAUCAUCACGAGAAGUUGUAUAUAAUAAUUACGUACACAACUUGUUGGUCUCCAAAGUCGUUCUACAAAUGGCCAUUGCUAAUUAAUUGUCGAAGUCAUUAAAUAGACAAAGUUUGUUUUUUUGUUGACCUUUUAAAAGCCAACUUUAAUUUUUUUUUAAACACUAAUAUGUUUAGAAGAAUGAUGAAAGUAUACCAAUUUAAUAGGUUUUCUUCUGAGUCUAAUGGUCAUUCCACUAAUAUAUUAAAAAAUCUUUAAAAGACGGCUAAAACAUUUUUGAAGGGUUUAUUAAAAAAAAAAAGACAUUUGUGAAGAGUCCAUUAUAAUUUCUAACCCUUAUUGAAAGUCCGUUAAUGAUAAUAUUUUUGGUCCAUUAUCUUACAUGAAAUCUUAUGCCUUUUCUUCAUAAUUUACGUAAAAUAUCAAUACAAUAAUAACUUUAAGAAUCUCUCUAUGCCUGACACAUCAGCAUUUUGGGCUCUUCUCAUGUUGACACCUCAUUAAAAUCAUCGUCUAAUGAAAACAUUUCGAUUAAUACAACUCAACAUGUUUCAGCCUAUAAAUAAUUCUCUUUAUGCUAUGUCAUUAUAUUUCAAUUUGUUGGGCUUUAUUGUUUGGAGAGAAGUGGGCUUAAAGAACCAUAGCUGAAACAAGAUGUAAUAAUUUUCUUUUCUCCUAUUAGGCGCGUGAGGAUAUAUAAGUCUACCGAAAACAGUGCUGCAACGGUAGUAGAGGCAGAAGCUGCAGAGGUUGAAAUCAAUGAAGAGGUUGUGAGUACAUUGCAGGAAGCUUUUAUUCUCCAAUUAAAUCGAGAUUAAAAAGGUUUUGAUUUUUAAACGAUAAAAAUUUUUGAUAUUUUUUUUACGACUAAACAGUUUGAUUCUAAUUAUGAUUAUAAAUUUGGUUGAAAGAUCAUAAUAACAAUGGUUCAUGAAGAAUUUUGAGAUAGGGUUACCAAUGUCAGAAAGCAUAACUUGAUUUUAAGGUGAUUUUUGAUUGAAUUUAAAUUUGCUUAGAUCUUCCACUUUGUUUUUGUGAAUCCAGUCAAGCUGGAGAUUUGAUUUGACGAUUUUGUCGACAACUUGAUUGAGAUGGAAGUUCAGUUGCAAGGAAGAAAUAGUUUGUGUGGGUAGUUAUCUAUUUCUUUUAAAUGGUGGUUUGAUGCUUAUAUUAUCUUGAAAUCUUCAAAUGUGUUUGUCUUUCUACUUCGAUUGAUUUGAUCAAAUUAGGUGAUGGAUCCAUCAAUUUUACCCUUGUUUAGUAGCUUACCAAUGUUUUUAUAAUUCGUUAUAUUUAUAUUUUCGUAAGGUUUUCUGACUCACUGAUCUUUAAAAUUUCAUAUUUCUUAUGACACAUGCAUAAGAGGAUCAGGAAGUUAAUAACUUCAACACAGCCAAAAAUCUUCAAAUCUCGAGCAGCAAAAGUUUCUCAAAUUCACGCAAUGAAUAUGAGAAUGAAACUAGAGAAACCAAAUCCUCAACAGAAUCCGUCGCUUUAUUAGAAGCUGGAGAAGGUCAUGACUGAGAGCUCGAGUACAUAACCAAGUUCAUAGUCUCUGGCCAACUGAUGAUAAAAGAAUUCUCCUUGGGGAUGGCUACUGAUAUUACCUCUGAGCUUUUUCGAUGAAAUUGAAGGUAAGAGAGAUGUCCAGAGUAAGAUUGAGAGAAAAACACUGGUCGACUUUGUGCUUAUCAAAUGCGAGCAAAUGUUCAUGGGAAGCUAUAGAGGAUUGUUGGGGAGAGAAGUCAUUUUUCUUGAAAGAAGAGAGAUUUUGACAGAAGAAGUGAAUAAAGAGGUUCAAGGAUUGAAGAAACCAUGGUCCCAAGAGUUCGCUCAUUACACACUUGCAUCGAAUUGGAAUUAGAUUUGAGAAAAACUUUUCAAUCCCCAAAAAUUCUAUGUAUAAGAAAAACACACAUUUCAAUUUUCUAGCUGAGAUUGAACCUUAGGCUCGCCGAAGAAGAAGAAAACGAUCAACGUUGUGACGGUGGAUUGAAAUUCAUUGUUGUGGAGGUUCUCGGUUCUUUUUUUUUCAAUCUCUCGCUAUCUCUCUUUCUUAAUGAAGAGAAGAAGGAUGUUCCAGUGGAUUCAGAGGUUUGACUUUACUAAGCCAAACCGAUAUGGGCCAUUCAAAUCCAACAUAAACCUUGGGCCAUUCGAAACCCAUCACUUCUCAGUCAUUAACGCCUGCAACAAGCAUAAAAGCGACACACAAAGUGUGUGUUCUAAGCAGUAAAUGGUUUUGGUAGUCAGAAAUUUAAACAAAUUAUAUAAUUAACCUCUUCAUAUGUAUGUAUUAAAUUAUUAAUAAAAAAAACCCCUUUUUUUUUACAACUGAUUUUAUUAAAUAACUGAAAUGAGAUUUACAUAAGGUAAAUCGGAGCCUAUAACAUCAUAUCAAAAGCCCAAUUAUAAACCCAAAACAGAAGUGUCAAUGGAAAAACAAAGGUUAAAAACUCAACAUUAGUGGAUUAGAUGCAAUAACUGCAAAUUAGAUUUCUUAUUGAUUGAGAACAUAAAAUAAUGUAGGAUAUCUAAAGAAAAGAAUCUAACAGAGGUUGGGCAAUUUUGAACACAAUCGGCUCAUGCGAGAUACAGAGUGUAUCUCACGGUAGCGAGAAAGAUCAAAUUUUCAUUUGUGUUCAUGAUUAACUAAUCUCAUAAACAUGUAGACAUGUAGUGGAAGUAGAGUGGAUAAAACACAAUUAAGCAACUUCUUGAAAAAACGUUUUUAAAAAAGCCCCGCGGCAUAGCGCGGGUUUCGCCCUAGUAUUAUUAAUGAAAGUAUUGAACAGUGAUCGUAAUCAUAUUUAAAGAUAAAUUCAUACCUAACAACACAAUAAAAGUAUUUGAUAAUUGCGAAUCCGUGAAUUAUGUUUGUUAUUCGUAAAAGAGAUUUGAACUAAUGUAUAUACAUAUAUACACAUAAAACAAAGAAUCAGUCUAUAAUUAUCAAGUACGUCAGCGUAAUUUUUUUCUUUUUUUGUUUGGUCAAAGAUUAUAAAACGUAAUUAUGUUGCCAACUUCACGCCCAAACAGCUAGUCAUCGUUUUGCUUAGAACGUACACAAAGACACACAACUCCUGAGACAUGGCUCGUGGCUUUGUCUAAUUUACCUAUUUAUUUAAUCUAAUUUACCUAUUUUACCCUGCUUUUCCUCAUUUUAUUACAAAAUCAACCACCCACUUCCACGAGUGAUUCUUUGCGUCCAUUGAACCGGUUUAUCUAAUAACAUACAAGGGGCUGAUUCAUUCCAUAGCUUUCACAACCAAAUUAUUCACAUACUAGUUAUUUAAGAUGUUUCUUCACAAACAAUUAUAAAUAUAAUGAAAAUGUAGAGAAUAAUGCAACAGUUCAAAUAUUAGUUUCUAAAUACAUAUAACAUAUAUCAAUGUUAAAUAAAUUCUAUAUACAUUAACCGGACGUUCAGACAAAAUUUAGCGUUUUAGCCAUUAAUAAGAAACAAAAGUUUUUUUUUUUAAUCUUUUAAUAUUUGAUUAAUCAGAAAUAAUAUAAUGUUUCAUUUUUUUUUUAUUUUUUUGGUCAACUAUUUAAUUUGACAUUUACUUUUACUCUUUUUAGUAUAUAUUUUUGUCUUUUUAAUUUUUUUCAUAUUGGAACAAAAAUAUUAUUUUUACAUCUAUUCCACUUAUCUAGAUAAUUAGAAUAAUCAUACAUCUAGGCUAAAAUCGAUUUGGAUGAAACUAAAACGUUCAUAUAAUUUUAAUCAUCUAAACGACAGAUUUUUAGAAUACGGUAUAUGAUUAACGACCGAAUUUUGGAACACGGUAUAUGAUUAACUAAAAUUCUCAGGAUGUCAAAAAAUAUUUAUGUCCAUUUUAUUGUUGUUGUUGGAAUGUUAAACUAUGUGCACUUUGCUACAAACUAUUACAUUGUCAAUAUUAUAAAAAAAAGAAGAAAACUAUUACAUUGUCAAAGUUGAUUCCCCUAGAAAGAGAGAAAGCAUACUGUUCUCAGCUCUCCAUUAGUCCUCGUUGGCGUCGUUGACGUCAAAAACUCCAAUUAAUAAUAUUGGGGCAAAACGUAAAACAACGUAAAUUAUAAGGACUAAAAAAUAAUUUUAAAAAAGAAAGAAGAAUGACAGAAAGCAGAACCCCAAAAAGAAUGUAACUUUAAAGAAAGAAGGAAACAUCAUCAGAAGCUUCUCUCUCAGAUUGACAGAAGAACAAGAUUCGAAGCUCCUCUUUCUUCUGUUAAAGAAAGAUGUUGUGUAGAAUGGUGGUGGUGACUGGCCGGAAAAAGAAACCCGGUUCGGUUCCGGUUUAUCUGAAUGUAUACGAUCUCACACCCAUCAAUGGUUAUGCUUACUGGUUGGGACUUGGGAUCUAUCACUCUGGUGUUGAAGGUAUAUCUUAUCUCUCCCAUAUUUCUGAAGUUUCUUGGAAAAUUAUUUGUGGGUUUUGGUUAAAGCUUAAAACUUUUGAAUUGGGGAUUGAAAAUUUCUCAUCUUUGAGUGGAAAAUUUGGUUAAUAUGAUUCUGUUUUAGCUUGAAGUAAGAGACUUUUUUAGUUUGUUGGUUUGUUUUGUUUGUUUGUAGAAAUUGAAAUAGACUGGUUUCGUUUUCAAUAGAUUCCAAAACUGGAAACUUUUUUUGACCCAUUUUUGGAUUUAACUCUUUUGGUUUUCUAUGAGUAAUAAUAAUUAUAAUCAGAACCUGGUUUUAUGUGACUUUUAAAUUGAAUUGUAUAUUAUCUUAUUAGAUAAUAGAUAUGUAUGUCCAAAAAUGAAGUAUGUUUAAUAUUGAGAUCUAGUUGUUGUUUUUGAUAUUGUGUUAUCAAUGUUUUUGGUUUAGUUCAUGGGGUUGAAUAUGGUUUCGGAGCUCACGAGCAUUCGACGACGGGGAUUUUUGAGGUGGAACCGAAGCAAUGUCCGGGUUUUACAUUCAGGAAGUGUAUAUUGAUUGGAAGAACUGAUUUGGAUCCUGAAAACGUUCGUGCUUUUAUGGAGAAACUUGCUGAAGAAUAUAGUGGAAAUACUUACCAUUUGAUCACUAAGAAUUGCAAUCACUUCUGCAAUGAUGUUUGUGUGCAACUGACUCGAAGAUCGAUCCCUAGUUGGGUUAACCGUCUUGCUCGCUUCGGUAAGAAGCUACAAAACAGAACAUUGGCUUUUACUCUGUUUUAGUAAAAGCUCAGAAGUUUAGGUUUGUUUUUUUUCCCUUUAGGUUUGUUUUGCAACUGUGUUCUGCCGGCGGAGCUGAAUGAGACAAAGGUGAGGCAGGUGAAAUCAAAGGAAGAGAAGAUUCCGGAAGCAGAGAAGAAGAAACUUCGGAGUAGAUCAAGUAGAUUUCCACCUGACCCUUCACUUUCUUCAUCGGGUUCUUUAAACCGAAGCAGAAGAGGGGAAAGGAGAAGACAAUGUCUUCCUCCAUCACCAACUGUGAGUGUUUAGCUCUAGUCCUAGUAAAAUUAUACCCGCCUUUUUGUUUCGCAAUUUGAUUCGGUAGUCAUUGUCCCAAGAAGUUGUGUUUAAGCUACAAGAUAUGGAUUGGACAAAUAUUUUCUUGAUGGUAGUAGUGGUAUAAGAUCUUCACAUCACAUGUUUUUGAACUAUAAAAUUAUAAAGUGAAGUGAAGUCCAAAAGAGGAAAGUGAACUGAAGUCAAGUCCAUUGCGUAAGGACCGGGAUUAGUUGAAGUGGGACUUUCUUAGGACAAACAAGCCCAUAUGAUUCUUCAAGAUCAACGUCUUCUACGUUCAUUCCUUCCGGAAGCUUCCAAUCGAAUCGGUAAAGAAGAUUGAUAAGAAUCAAGUGUACCAAAGCCAUACCCAUUCCCAUACCAGGGCACAUUCUUCUUCCACUACCAAAUGGCAACAACUCAAAGUCUAGACCUUUGUAGUCAAUCUCGCUAUCCAUAAACCUCUCGGGGAUGAAAGCUUCUGGAUCUUUCCAAACGUUUGAAUUCCUCUGAAGAGCCCAUACGUUGACAUAAAUCCAUGUUUUCUUUGGAAUGUCAUAGCCUCCAAUCUCUAUAUCUUUUGAAGCCUCUCUUGGAAUCAGAAGUGGCACAAGUGGGUUUAUCCUUAAUGUUUCUUUAAUCACCAUUUUCAAAUACUCAAGUCGUUCUAUAUCUUCUUCUGCGAUAUCAUCUUUGUUUUUGAUCACUUCUCUCACCUCGGCUUGCGCUUUCCUCAGAAUUCUUGGGUUUUUAAUCAAAUGUGUCAUCACCCAUGUCACAGUGUGGCCAGAAGUGUCCACUCCAGCAAUAAGAACGUUCUGCAAUAAUCAACGACACAAAAAUUAAACACUAUGCAAUAUGUGAAGAAUUAAAUUAUGGAUUAAGAGGCUCCCAUUACUUACCAGAAGAAUUCCUUUAGUGUGGUUUCGUGUAAGUUGAAACUCUCCAAGUCCCAUCUCUCCCCUUUCCAUCUUGAGGAGCAAGUCAAUGAUGUCAUCUUUAAUAUUAGCAUCUUCCAGGUGACGCUUUAUAGAUUCAUCGAAAAACGAAUCCAUUGACUUAAAAACCUUCUCGCAUUUGCUAUGUAACCCUGUGAUCCUAUCAAUGAUUUUUCCAAUAAUCGGGAAGUAAUCCGCUGCUGCGAAACUCCCCAGCACCUCCAUGGUCCCUUGAAUAACUUCCUCAUAAGUAUUCGCAAGUUUGCUCCCUUCGAGAUUUAUGCCAAAUCCAACUCUACAUAUCACACUCCCAGAGAGUUACACUAACUUUUGUUUCAUAUUAACUGGUUGCUCCAAUGAAGCAGAUUGUUUGAUGAAAUCGACGAAUGAGGCAACUUCUUCUUGUCUUACAUUUUGAAACGAUUUUACCCUUUUCGCAGUGUAGAGUUCAAGGACCGUCAUCUUUCGUACUUCCCUCCAAUAUUUGCUAUAGGGAGAAAAGGCGAGAUCAUUUAGAUUGUAUGUAACUCUUGCAGGAUAAGUCAUAUAAGGCCGCGAACAACAAUCUACGUCGAACGUUUUUAAGACAUCCUUCACUGUCUCUGGAGUUGAUGCCACAACAGCAGACACAUUUCCAAACUUUAAGGACAUUAAAGAUCCAUACUUUUCAGAUAAUUUGAAUAGCGAACGCUGAGGUUUGGAUCCCAAUUGGUGCAAGUUUCCAAUUAUAGGAAGUCUUGGUGGUCCAGGAGGUAGAUUCUUCUUUGUCUUUCUCGUGUUCUUUGCAAUGAGUAUAAAUGCAAAGAAAAAGGAUGCACUAACGAUAAUAAACCACCAAUUCAUUUUGUCUCCCUACGGGUACAAAGAAAAAGAAGAGAGUAUAUAAACUUAAUUAGUUUUUGACUGGGGGAUUAUUGUCUAAAAUGCCAUUUUUUAGGAAAAACUUACGAAAAUGCCAUUUUUUGAAUAGUUUACGGAUUUUGCCCUUUUUUAACACUUAAAAAUGUACGUAUUUUGUGAUUUUUUUGCAAAAAUACGUACUUUAUACCAAAUACUAAACCCUAAGAACAAAUGGAACCGACUAAACCCAAACAUAACGAGUGAAACGCAUGUUAAAUCAUAUUUUUGGAACCUGAAAAAUGACAAAAUCUACAAACUAUUCAAAAAAUGGCAAAAUCCACAAAUGCCACUAUAAAAAAGGGCAAAAUCCGUAAUUAAUUCUUUGACUGGCUCAAAAAAAAAAAAAGAAAAAAAAAAAGUUCUUAAAGCAUUUGACCUAUUGGAGCUAUCUACUUAAUUAUUUCCAGGUUUGCAAACCUAUAUAGUCUGAGAAAAUUUAUACUUUGUUUAUUGACAAAGUUUAUAGUGUUUACUAUUUUGAAUUGUCUACUUUUUUUUUUUUUUUUUUUUGUAUUGUUUACCUUAUAUUACGUAAAAUCAAUAAUUCAACCUAAUAUUUCGCUUUUAGUAUUGUUGUUGGGAAUAAAAAUUUCACUAAAACAAACUAUGAACCAUAUUUCCAUUAUUGAUAGAUUAAUGUAAUUUUUAGUUUCGCAUAAUAUUUAGAUUUUAGAGUAUUCAUUUAUCAAUUAAAAAAAAAAAAGAGAAUAUGCACAAAAUAGCCAAAUUUUUGAAGAUAAUUAAAAAAAUAGUCAUGAGCUACAGUAACUUGUAUGUAUGAUGUCGGAAAGCACGUGUAAUUACAUACAUGUCCUUUAUUAACAUGCUUUUCUCUCGAAUUACAUGUGAUAGAAUAAUAUAUCUCUUUUUAUCAUAUUAUUUUCCGGUAUUACACGUUAUUUAUAAAGAGCACAUGUUAUUUUUUGAAAAAACACUCUAUUCAGUUUAAUAUCUUUCUCUAUCAUGUUAUUUUGUAGUAAUACACGUUUUUUAUUAUGAUCACAUGUGAUUUCUUAAAAAAAAAAGAUUCUUAUUUUAUAGUAAUUCACGGUUUUUAUUAAGAUCACAUGUUAUUUCUUUGAAAAAACACUCUAUUCAGUUUAAUAUCUUUCUCUAUCGUGUUAUUUUGUAGUAAUACACGUUUUUUAUUAUGAUCACAUGUGAUUUCUUUCAAAAACGAUUCUUAUUUUCUAGUAAUUCACGGUUUUUAUUAAGAUCACAUGUUAUUUCUUUAUAAAAAGAUUCUAUUCAAGUUUAAUUUUUCCGUAACAAUGUUUUUUCUUAAAAAUUCAUUACGUUUUUUUAAAUAGCAUGUCUUUUAGUUAAAUAUAACAUGUGAAAUUUAGAUCUUACGUGUUAUUUUGAAAAAUAUCACGAAAUAAUGUCGCCUACUGUAGAUCUCAAAACAAACGAAAGAUGAUUUUGUUAUUUCACAUCCUCAGACAAGGUGGGUCCAUGCUGUUUUCCGACAGAAAAUUUUCUUUCUGGUAGUUUCUUAAUUUAUGUGUCCAAUUUGGCUAUCUACUAAUAUUAUCCUAAAAAAAAAAAAGGCAAAUCUAAAAGAAAGAAGAGUCAUCGAUCACUCUGUAAGCCAAGACAAGAACACUUUUUUUUUUCUUUUGAUAAAGUAGACAAGAAUACAUUCCUAAAUUGAAUGAUUAGAGAAAAUAUUAACUAAUAACUAAAAAUAAAUUGUAAGAGAUCUAGAGAGAAAGAGAGAGAUCCGUAAAUUUACCUUAAACUUUUAAAAUUUGUGGCGAAAGAGUUUGCACUGCGGGAGGGAGAGAGAGAGAGGUAGAGAAGAAAUGACUUAUUAUUGAUUGUAUUCUUUUUUGGGAUUGUGAGAAUUAAGAAGAGACGUAGAAUUAAGAAGAGAUGUGGCUGCGUGGACUGGUUCCAUGUAUGUGACUGCGUGGAAUGCUUUGAAGAAUGAAGAUAAGUUCACUUUUGUAAUGAAGCCAAAAAUAUCUAUUGAAAUAUAUGUCCACAAAAAUCUUUUAAGACUUUUUUUAAAGAUAAGAUUGUAACAUUACUUUUGUACGUCCUUUUUUCUAAUAGGUUAGUGCAAAGCAACGAAAUAGUUGAAAUAUCAUAAUUUCAAACCAGAUACAUUGAACCCACAGAGAUUUACGAUAUUUCAUGUUUAAACAUCUACUUGGUGGAAAGGAUUGUGAUGAUCUCUCUUACAGGCCAAAGAACUAAUAAAGAGAAAAAUAAGAAUUAGUAUCUAGUGAAUACCACUAUAUAUAACAGGCUAACAGCUCAUAGUUGUAUUAAAGGAAUCUAUGGGUUGUGGUUUUACAAAUAUCACUGAUCUGCUUAAUAGCUGAAUAAAAACUAUUUACAGAUAUAAUCACAGAAUCGUUUUACUGAGAUAAAUUUUGAGUUGACAUACAAUUAGACAUAGAUGAUAUAUACAGAACGAGGGAAGUAAAAAAAAAAAAAAAAAAUGGGUUUGGUUUUUAUUUUCGGCCUAUUGGGCUUUAGUCCAAAAUCUGGAAGUAUAGUUGUGGCAAAAAAAAAAAAAAAAAAAAAAAGUUGUGGCAAAUAUUAAUGGAGGCCGCAUAAAAAUUUGAAAUUUUCAAAAGAUAACAUCAAAUUUAGGAAAAACGUUGGGUACAUAUGGUGAAAAGAGUUUAAAACUAUACAUUACGAUACGUACCAUAUCUAACGCGAGAAAAACGAGAGGAGGCAUGGCGAAAAACCAAACCUAAGAACAUAGUUUGGAUAGAUAAGCAAGUUCGAAAUCAACUUUCAUCAAUUUAAGCUAGCGGAGAUAGACGCUACAACAAGGGUUUUCAAAUCUGGUUCGAAUCGAGAAGUUAAGUUUCAAAGCAUUUUGAGUUUUUGUAUCUAAGUUUUUUUGAAACAAAAGUUGCAUUUGUUGAAAAAACGAUAUCUUUUUAAUUUAAUAUUAAAUUAAAAAAAAUUCAACUUUUUAAUAUAUUUAUAAUUAAAUGUGUGAAUAAAACUUUUAAAUUUAUUGUUAUAAAUACACAUUGUGAAUAAUUUAUUUUUAUAUAAAAAGGAAAUAUAAAUAUAAAUAUAUAUAUAUAUAUAUAUAUAAUAUAUAUAUAUAUAUAUAAAAAGAAAGAUAUUAAGACGAUUUUGUAGAAGACUUGUUUGGAUAUAUAGUGUAUAGGUGUUGUUUGGAUCCCGUCUCCAAGGAGUGGUGGUCACCGAACCUUCCUCAAUCUUUUUUCUCCAACCCCACCCGACUUUAGAACUGUAACCAACAUUCUUCUUGCCGAAGAGCAAAUCCAGCUUGUUCUUCUUGCGUCGACGAGAACCUCGGUCAUGGACCUUUUUCAACGUCACUUAGUCUAUUGACCGUGACUAUUGUAUCGUCUAACACUUCGUCCAUGGAUGAUUCUUCGACAAACCGUUUUAUCACUUGCACCAACUUGCUACCUAGCUUUAGUCUCCAAGCUUUAAUGGAUUCUUCGUCGAACUACUUUAGCUAUUUUUAUGUAGCUUUUCCUUUAACUUUUGUUUGCUCCGUUUGUAAUCUUAGUAUCCUUGUACAUUUGGUUAUUUUGAACCUUGUUCGGUUGUGAUAUAUAAAAUCAAGUAUUUUUACACAAAAAGGUAUUAUUUGGCUAUCAAAAUAGUAGUAUAAAUUUUUAAAACUUGGUUGGCUUUUUAAUAAUUAGACCUGUUUAUUUUUAAUAAAAAGUUUAUUUUAAUUUUAAAAAAUAUUGACAAAAUAAUUCUAGUUUUAUAAAUGAACUUAUGAAUAGUAGGAUGAAUGAAUUCUUUGUGACAACUUAAAACUUAAGAGUUAUUACACAUUAAAUUUGCUAUUUCGAAAAAUGGGGAAAAUUUUGAAUAUUUAUUUUACACAAAUUUUAUGAUUAUGUGAUAUUUAAACAAAACUGCGGCGAGCCCAAGCGACUGUUUUGGUUAAUUGUGCUCUGGCAUAUCCCCGAUUCCAUAUAUAUUUUACGAAUCAAUUACGGAUUUGCCAUUUUUUAUUAUGGCAUUUGUGGAUUUUACCAUUUUUGAAUAGUUUGUGGAUUUUGCCUUUUUCAGGCUAUAAAAAUGUGAUUUAACAUGAGUUUACCCAUUAUGUUUGUAUUUAGUCGGUUUCAUUUGUUCUUAGGAUUUAGUAUUUGGUAUAAAGUAUGUAUUUUUAUUAAAAAAAAUCGUAAAUACGUACACUUUUAAGUGUUAAAAAAUGGUAAAUCCAUGGCAUUUUCAAAAGAUUUUGAUGAACAAAAGCAAAAUCAACAAUAAUUCCUAUAUUUUACACAUUUAAAGUAAUUAUUAAUAUUUUAUAAACAAAUAUUUUUGAAAUACUAGAAACGUUUAGAACCUUAGAUAAAUGAGUCUAAUUCAGAUUGAUGCCCAGUCUUAGAUUUAUGUAUCAUGGCAUAUAUCUUACAAUAAUACAUCAGGACAAACAUUCGAGUUAUCGGAUGGUAGACAGAAAAAAAAACUUAUCAUAUCCACAUUUAAUAUGAGCGUAAAAUUGGCCCCAUGCAAUUUUGUUUUUAUCGAAAUAGAUAGGAAGGUAAUGCACAUGUGGUAUUUAACACAAAAAUGCAGCGUGUAUGAAAUGUAUAUAUAUAUGGCAGAGUCUAAGGAAUUAUCUACUAAGAUUAAAAUAAAAUAAAAUUUAAACGAUUUCAUUAACAUUUUUUAAAAAAAAUGUAUCAUUACAAAUAUACAGUAAAGAUGUAUGGGUGUGACUGAUAGUAUUAUAUAGAAGAAAAGUUAUGAGAUGUAAAGAAAUUCUUCUGUUAUACUUAAAUUUCACCAGUCAACUAAAUGACAAAAGUAAGAUAAAAGCGUAUAAAACAUACCACUACAAAUACAUAGUACAACAAAUUCUUCUACUUUUUAUUUUUCUUUUCUUCUCAUUUCUUCUCUUAUUUUUCUUCUUUUUUCUUCUUAUAUGGUACCAGUCACACCCUAUGUGUUUUUCAAUACAAUAAACUAGAUAAUCACCCAUAUAUUUACGCGAGGUCGUUUUUUGUUUAAUUUAUGGUGGAGAAUCAUAUUUUAAGAGUAACGGUUACAACUGAAAAAAAAUUAAAACACUUUUACUAGAAAUAGAUAAACCAAAGAUUGUGAAGAAAAAAAAAAGUUUCUCCGAUAUCACACAAGCUAACUUGAUCAAAUCAUUAAAACAUGCUAACUUCCCUUUGGUGUAAGAUUUUCUUUGCUUUGGAAAUAACUAUUUAGAAUACACACUUGAUCAAAGGCACCUUGACAAGCUACAUCAACGCAAAAAAAAAACAAAAAAGAGUAAUUGGAUUUUAGUGAAAAGGAAUUUCACCAUAUAAGUCCAUGUUUGGUCGUCUUUCAAACCAGCACCUUCACAUGAGAUUCUACAUUCCUCAACACCAUCAUUCUCUUCUCCAUUAUUGCCUUUGACCACUUUCCUCCUUUUUUUUUUUUUUUUUUUUCUAUAUAUGUAUUUAUGCCUGUAAACGGAGCGGAUAUCCGGUUUUUUAAAGAUAUCCGUAUCCGCAUUAUCCGCCAAUUUAGUAUCCGAAUCCGGAUCCGGAAAUUCCGGAUAUUCGUUAAAAUCCAGAUAUCCGCGGAUAUCCGCGAAUAUCCGGAAAUAGUGUUUUAAAAUCCUAAAUUCAUUAAAAUCAUACAAAAAAAGCUUAAAUUUUUUAUAAAAUAGCUAAAAGUUGAUUAUAUAUACAAAACAUUACAAAACCAAAGAAUUUAUUGAAGUAGCAAAAAGUUUAAAAGAUUUAAGUGAUGUUCUUAAAAAAAAAAGAGACAUUAAUCAACUUCUUAAAUUCUUCUUAGAAAUUUAUUUUUUAUCUUUUUUUAUAUAAUUUAUUUAUUAACAUUAAAAAUAAAUAAAAACAAUUAAAAAGGUUGGGCUUUCAUGUUUUUUGGGGCUUUAAAUCUUGAAAAAUAGAGUCAUAAGGCUUUUAAGUUAUAUAUACUAGGUGAGUUCCCAUGCUACGCGCGGGCUUAUGUUUAGCUAUGAUGUUUUACAGUAUUAUCUUUACUUUUUCAUUCAUUCUAAGAACUUGUAGAUUUUUGAAAUUAUUUUCAUAUGAAAGUAUGAAACUAUUAAAUUUUAUAUUGUAUAAUUAAUAAAUUUCGUAAAAUUCACAAGUCCAAAUUAUAGAUGAAAAUAGAGUUCUUAAGUUUGUGAGAGUAUUAAGAGAAUUCAAAAUAAACAAAGGUCAUCAAUGUGAGAUAUGUGCUUAUCAUCAUAUUGUCAAUAUUGCCAUUCGUCGAAGGAUUUGUUUUUUUACUUGUGCACUUUAGUUUGAGGUAAAUCAACAUCACGAGUUUUCUCUUUCACCAAAAUAAUUUGAACCUCAUCUAUAACCAGAAAGAAAAAUAAUAUUAUUCAUGGGUUGUGUUUCUAUUAAACCUUCUGCUAACUUUGUCUCUAAACCCAAGAACUCAGCUUCAUGUAUGCAAGCCAAUUCAUGAAACUACUAUUUGCCACAUAGAACCUACAAUCAAUCACUUUAUUCAAUUUAACUACAACAAACAUACACACAAUUUUGCAUUUUGUAUGGAUAAGAAGUUGUAAGAACAAAAAUGAAUGACGUUGUGUGCUACCAUUGAUUCUAUUCAUGUUUUUCUUUUUUCCUUGUGCAUUUUGCUCAGUUAAGUGGUAGAACAAUAUUAAUGUUAGUAAAACAUUGUAGAUAUAAACGAUUAUAAUAACCUUACAAACUCCUUGAUAAACUUACCUUUAACUAUUUGGUGCAUAUAAAGGUAGGUAUGAGGUGAUAGAGUAAAAAAACUGUUUUACCUUUGAGAAUGAUGGCUUAUGAAGAGUUGAUGUUUUAAAAUGAUAGAGGAGAAGUUUAAGGGUCAUGAUAAUAUGAAAUCUAAGUGGUAAAAGUGUAUGAUUAAUGGAGGGUAAAGCUGAACUUUAUAUUUUUAAACCCGACCCGGACGGUGAACCGGACUACCUUCUGACUUGCAGAGUCAUUAGGUCAACCAGGUUCGACCACGGGUCAAUUGAUUCAAAUUUAUUUAAUGUAUUUAAUAUUUAUAGAGAUUAUAUAGUUUUAUAAAUAUAAAAAUAAAAUUAAUCAUACCAUGUUUAACAAAAUAUAAAGUCUAACAAUAAUAAUAGAGUGAUUAAAAUUUUUGAAUCCAACAAAAACCGUUUGAAAAGAUCCAAAGAAUUAAAAAAGUUCUUAAAAUAAUUAAAUAGUGAAUACACUAAAAGACUAAAACUUUAUAUUUUAUUCCAAAAAAACAAUAUCAAAUGAAUUUUGUUAACCCAUACUCGGCCGGUUCAACCAGUUCACCGGAUCGCGGAUUAAUGGCGGGUUUUUAUGGGUUUUUCUGGUUUUAAAAUUGGCGGAUAUUAAUACUAAACCCAAACCGGAGAAGUGUCCGGGUCGCGUAUUAACCGAUCGGACCGAGCGGUUCGUGUCGGACUUGAAAACACCGGUUUCAGCUUUAAAUUCUAUUUGGACAUGUGGCACUCUCUUAAGUGCUGACGUGUCACUCAUAUGGAGAGAGUUGGUCACCUUUUAUAUAUAUGAUUUUUUUUUUUGCCGGAUAUCCGUUAUCCGGCCCAAAUUUUAGGAUUGUUCGUAUCCGUAUUCGUAUCUGGCAUAUCCGUCAUUUUACUAUCUGUAUCCGUAUCCGUUUGGCCGGAUAUCCAUUUUUCGGAUCAAAAACCGGAUACGGAUACGGAUAUCCGCGGAUUACGGAUAUAAAUCUGAGACCUAUAUGUAUUUAUACAUGUACACAUACGUAGAAAGAUAAAAUUAAAAGAUAUCUACCUCACUCACAAUAUUCAACGGGGUACAAUUUGGGGUAAACUAGUUGUCAGCAACUUCGAUAGAUCUUUUGAGUGUCGUACUUUUUGUUUUAACCUAUCAAUAAAGAAAAUUUUACGUACAAUAAAAGUUUUAAAUUACUUGUCAAUCAUUCAUGCAUUGUAAGAACUGUGGAGAUGAAAACAGAUCAUUAGUAUGUUCUUACUCUCAUGUAGAUGUUAAAUCAAUACUUUUUAUCUUAGAUUCGUAGCUAAAUUCUGCGACUAAAAAUCUUCGAUCGUCUCUCAAUUCACUUUUCAGCUAGGGGCAUAUUUUGAGUUAGGACUUAGGAUAGUUUGUUCGAUUCACUGUCGUAUAAAAUUCAGAAUAAAGGCUUUUACUAAUAAGAAAAAAAAAGCAAGUAAGAAUUAAGACAAUUUAUUAUUUCCUCUGUUUUAAAAUAUAAAAUGUUUUUGCUAAAAGCAUAAAUUUUAAAAAACUAAUUAAUCUCAUUUGUUUUUGUGUUUUACAUUAAAUAUAUAACUUAGUAUCUAAAUAAAAAUAAUUUGACCAAUGAUAAAAUUUAAUGGUGAAUAGAAAUAGUCACACAAUCGUUUAAUUUAAUGUUUUGCAUGGAAAUUUUUUUUUAUAAACAUCUAAAAUUGUGAAAUUAAAAUAAAAUGUCUAAAACAUCAUAAUUUGAAACAGAGGGAGUAUCUUGCAAAGCACAAUAAUUUUGUUUGUUAAAUGCUCACGAUUUCUAAGCCCUAUCAUUUGUAAAUCAUAUAACUAACAAAUACUAAUUAAUGUUAAGUGUAUUAAACUCACAAACCACCUUGGGAACAAUUUCUAUUGGCAUUGGCCUUAAAUAAUUUGAAGUAUAAUUCUUAAGAGAAUUGUGUAUUAACAAGAUUAAUUUGAACUUAGCAAAACUAGACUUAAAUAAAGGAGAUGGUAUUUACUUGUUGGGGUUUAGAUCAGUGGUUAAGACAUUUUCACAAAUAAGAUGCUUAGUUCAUAUGACUUAGAAAACAUUGAUCAACCAUAUUCAAACAUGAAAACAACUAGGGAUGAAGGAACCAUGCAUGAAAGAUUUAGCCUUUGUCAUUAUCCUACUGACUCACAUAGAACGAAACAAGAAGAAAUAAAGAAAGACAUAAUUUAUAGCAUAUACAUGUAAAAAAUGUUUUUAAGGACAGAUCAUCAUCUUCACUAAUCUCUUACAAAAGAGGUUAUUAGAUCAAAAAGAUGCUUAGUAAAUGAAACUAAGGUUUACGAAGUUAAAAAAUUUUGAUAUACAAAAAUCAUUGAUAAUCGAAUCGGAUCCAAGAUAAGUUGGAUUGAGUUUCUGGAUUAAAUGGAUUAUCAUUGAUCAUUGAUGGCACUCGGUUAAUUUGGUGGGUGCUUGCCGAAUGAGUUGCUAAAUGUGACAGUUGGAGUGUCUUUGUAAAAAUGGCUCGGCUAGAAUGUGACAAUUCACGGCGGUAAGUAUGGCAGGUUACAGUCUUCAAAUAAUUAGGCUUUUUCAUGUUCUGUUUCCAUCUAACUGAGUGAGGUGACCGAUCAUGGUUCUUGAUUCUUUUGUCGCUCAUGUCAUGUCUGGAUAUAACUGAGAUUAGUGUAGUCGUCGAGUUGCAAGCUCACCGGAUUUUCUAGUGGACUUGAAGUGUGACACCAUUUCGACUAGUCGUGUGAAAAUGAGAAAGUUUCUAAUGAAAAUCAAAAUUGAGGAGAGGGCUAAUCGAUCAUAUAUCAUUUAUUUUUAUUAUGAUAUGACCACAAAGAUAUGAUAACAUAACCACAAAGAUAAAAAAAAUUAUUUUCAUUUCGUUUAUCUUAAUUAAGUGUGGUCAUGAAAAGGAAAUGAUCUCACUUAUGUAUGCAUGGGCUAACGUUCGAUAUAUAUGCCAGUAUCUAUAGAGAAACAUGGCAUUUAGUGUUUUAGACAUGCACAUCUAACGGGCAUGCAGACAUUAUUAGAGAAACAAGGGUUCAGUAGACAGUAGUGUUAAUAAUAAAAAAAAAAAAAAAAAAAAAAAAAACACAACGGGUCCUUUAGACAUGCCGAUCUCACGGAGAUGCGCGGACAAGCGUUUAGUGUUUUCAAAAGAUCGAGAGAGAGAGAGAGACUUGAGCCAUUGAUUGAGAUAUAUUCUAGUUUGCGUUAUAUGUUUCUCAAAUCACAUGUUAGAGAGGAACUUCCGAACUUGUGUAAACCUUUGUAAAUGUUGCAUAGUAGAUGUUAAGUCAUAUUUGUAACGAUUUUAGGAGUCGUUUUAGUGAUUAAUCUUGAUUCUUUUUGUCGAAAACAAUUAGUUUUUGGUAUAUUUAGUAUUUUCAGGUUUCUAGACCUGUUUGGGUAAAACAAAGAGAUUAGGAGAGGAGUAAAAUGCGUUAAGUGGAGAGAAGAUUGAAAAUCAAGACUGACCGGUUGGACAUUUGUACCAGCCAGUACCAAAGACUUAGAAACCGAUCGGUUACACUCUUAUACCGAUCGGUUUGUAUUUUUUAAAACUUCAUUUUUUUAAGUUUUAGGCUUCGACUCAUUACCUAUAACUAUUCUAAUAUUUGUGGCUGCAGAUGUAUGACUUUUUGUGCGAUUUUUCUAGUUUCCUAAGGUUGUUCUUCUUUCAUAGUUUUGUUUAAAAAUUCCUAAAACCUUUUGCAAAUCUCUACAUAAACUCUAUGAUCUCUUUUUCUAUUGUGAUCACAUGUACUUUGGUCAUGUGUGAGUAGUCUAAUUAUCAUUGAGUUUGGGGAUUUCGAAGGGUAAGUUUAUUUAAUUUACCGGUUAUUUUAUUGAUAGGAUUUUCUUUUAGUUAUUUAUCUUUGAUUGUUCUUUAUUAUUUAGUCGAUAUAGACCGAUUUAACUAUUGUCCUAUAAUCGAAUUCAUCAAACCAUCAAAAAUGAUGUUGAAUCUAUUGAUCUAUCAUUAGAAGGUCAGAGCUUCCUUAGCCAACCAACAAUUGAUGUUAUUGUGCUUUGUGUAUUGAUUGAAUUGGGAUUUUAAUGCUUGUCAGAAUUUUCUGAAACAAACGAAAGUUUAGUUCUUAGGAAAUAUCUCUCAUAGUUUUUAUUACAUGCGAAAGCAGGAUACUAUAAAUAAAUAAAAUAAAUUCAAGAACGACCCUUAAUGCUUUCCUUAAUUAAUUUAAAUGUUUUUAAAUGAAUUCUCUGAUGAUUUUCCUAGACUCAGUGUUCUCUUUAUUAUUUGCUUUUAUUUAUUUAUUUAUAAAAAUAGAUCUUAACUAUGAGAAAACUAAAUAUAAAAAAGAAGCACUCGCACAGUCUUGUAUUGAACCCUAAAUUAAUGAGAAAAGUUAUGUUUUGUUCAAAGAAAAAAAUAUGAGAAUUGAUGUUCAGAAAAAUAUGAAGUUAUUUGACUUGAUUCUUAAUGUUUGUAAAUCACUUAUAUUACAAACGGGAGGUUAGCAACUUUACAUAGUUAACAUAGGAUUUUAAAGUUUUAAAAAAUGAUUAGUCUCAAUUAUCGAUUUAUAAUCUAAAAUUUUCCUUGAAUUAUCCUCUUGCAUCUCAAUCAAUUCAAUAGGCAUGCUUAACUUAGGUUAAUUCUGUAUGAAUUAUGAUCCAAGUCUUUAGCGUAUCAAUUAAUUGCUUAUUAACUCUCCUUUUCUUGAUUCAUUUUGUUUAAUCAAUUAUUCAAUUGAUUAUUAUAAUCAAAAGAGUUUCAUUCUUUUUAUGACAAAUUGGAAGUUAUGAAUUUGCAUGCUCCAACAUGAGAGCUAGAAGAAAGUGUAUUGGGAGAUCGACGUCUCUAGUUCUCGUCAAUAUGUAUAUAAGAUAGAUUUUCAUAAGUCUUUAUUUAUUUGGGGAAAUCAUACGUGAACCCUAUCAUAAUAGUUUUUCUUUACAUACUGAAUAAAAAUGCUUUCAUUCACUUAUUUCCUAGAAAAUAAUUAAUCUAUAUAUCAUUUUAACCUUAUAUUUCUUUAUCUAAAAAGAAGUCAAAUCACAAAAAUUGCAUAUUCAGAUUAUUGAUAUUCCACUGAAUCCUAGAGUAUGUUUUAAUUUGCAGGAUCAUCGAUUUGUCAACUCUUUUUAAAAAAAUGAAGAUAAUUAACUUAAACAUGUUCGAACUCAUAAUCUCUAUAAAAUAUGAUAAGUACAAGUGGAAAACAGAUGCACAACUAACACAUUUAUCAAAAAAAAACUAACACAAUUAACUGAAAAUGUUUUAGAAAUAAGCUCAAGAACAAAAACCAUACAUAUAUGUGUAAUACUUUUUGGUAAAACAAGGGUGAACAAAAUACAUUUACAUUUACUACCACGAGUUAAAUACGAAAAUAAAUAUUCUGUAACAAGAAUGGAAAACAUACGUUUUCAUGUGAAUCUGAAUCGCUACUUUUUACACAUUUAUCUUUAUUUGGUUAGUGCAAUGAAAUUUUUAUUGGGACAAUAGAAAAGGACCUUCCUUAAAGGAAAAAAGGGUCACAGAAGUUCAAAGAAGUAAUGAUGAAGAACUCACAAGCAUGCCCAUUAUUUAAAUCUCUCCUUUGCUGCUUCAAAAUGCUUUAAAGAAACAGAAUAAUGAGAAUAAAACUACACUUUUAUAAUUUCCUCUUCUUUAUUUAUUUACUUUUUUAGAAAGGUUGUGGGGAAACAAAAUCAAUUUCCAAACAGGUACGUCGAAUAAUCAUUAUAAGUUUUAUUCGAUAGAGACCUCGAUCCAAAAAAUAAUAUCACGUUGAGAUUCUAAUAAUAUGUAUCGUUUGACAAAUUUUGUCCCAUAUAACUGGUUAUUUUCUUCUUUUAUUUUAUUUGUUGUUAAUGGAUCUCAGACUCGGAGAGUAUACAUAGUCACGCAGUCAAUAUCAGGUUGUUACCAAAUCAAAUGUGAUUGCAUGCAUGCCUACGGAACUUUGAAUAAAUUAGUUUAGAACAUCUUUAAAAAAUGUAUUUCUUUAGCCUCGUAAAAUUUACUUUUGGAAAUAAAUUGUACCAUUUAUGUAUGAUUAUGUACAAAAAAAUAUUUGAGAAUUUGAGAUUAUGUAAUCUUAAAUUUGAAAAAAAUGAAAUUUAUAUCGACAAACAAAUAAUCUGUACCAUGCAAAUAAAUCAUCUUUAAUAGAAAAUAGGUUUUCAUAAUUUGACAAGAAACCUUAUCAAAUAUAAGAGGACAUACAAUUUUGUGCUUAUAAUUUGAGUAAUAUAGCUAAUUUAAUUUGAGGAUGAUCAGAUUUGCGGUAUAUAUUUUUUUUUCUUUAAGGAUUAUCAAAUUUAUAGUUCGACAAAUAAACCAUAUAUUGCAUGCAAAUAAUUAUAGGGACAAGAAAAUCUUUAAAUCCAAAUAAUUCCUAACGUCAAAUCAUUUGUCUGCUGCAAUUUAGAUGCAUUGCAUGUGUACUGGUUAUAUCGCAACGAGCUUAACCAUGUUGAAUUUUCCAUUAUAGUUAUUUUUUGUGUUGUUUUGGCAUAUUGCUAACAACUGAUAUCGUGUAUAUGCAUGCAAGAAGAAUCAACCGAUCGUCAAGGAUAUUCAAAGCCUCCUCAUGUUAUGUUUUUCAUUCUUGUUAUACAAUAUUUAUUUUCGUAUUUAACUCGCUGUGGUAAAUGUAAAUGUAUUUUGUUACCAAAAAAAAAAAGUAGUGGUUAGAAAACACUAGUGUGUUUUUUUUACUGAAACCCAAAAAAAAAAAAGGGAGACUUGCAUAAUUAAGUUCUAUGAGGAACCGGAUCAUAUAUCAAAAAAGUGAGAGGAUAUAUGCUUCACGAUUCUGCUAAGUUUGGACUGCUCGAAGAACGAGUGUUCUCUAAGGAAACAGAGUAUUUGCAGUCAAACAUCUAUUUUUCAAUUUGUAACUAUUUGACGAAUAUUUUAUGUAGCUAACAAAUAUUUUUUCUAUUUUAAUAUAAGGUGCUGGAAAACACAAAUCCCUCUAAUUUAAAAGUUGGAUUUUAUGGUCGUCAAGCCACAGCUAGGGACACUCUUUUUCUACUUAGCAGCAAUCCCAAAUUACUAAAAAACAAAAUAUAAAAAAUAAGGCCCACCGUUGAAAAAUGAGAACAUGCAUGGAACAAAACCAAAAGCUAACUCAAAAUAUUCAAACACUCGUCUCUCUCUCCUUUAGAUAUCUUUCUUCUCAUUGUUGUAUCUUUUCACUACAUCAAAUCCCCACUUUUUCACACACGAACACAUGUGUAAUUUGUAGUUUUGGUUAAGUGUUCAUCAAUUCGUUUACAUGGAGAAAAUCAGAAAAUGAUCCAAAGAAAUUGAUAACAUUUUUUAUAAUACUAUACAUUACAUAGCAUAUGAUCGAUUGCCUCUUAUGGAAACCAGAACCAGUGUUUCAAAAGAGGCCAAUUCAGAUCAAAAUGUCUUGAAAUUAGCCUUUUCUCUCCUUCUCUCACUACUACCUCAUCACUUACGACGCCGUUUUGUGGAAUUAAAAUAAAAAUAAAAUAAAAUAAAAAGAAUACGCUAAAACGACAGGGCCAUUUCUCACAGCGUCUGAGUUGGUAAAACAGAGCAAAGCUCAAUGGAACCGUAGUGAAGCAGCUCCUCAAUCAUUUGCUCAAUAUGAUCUUCCUCCAAUGGCCUAAAAUUCUGUUGCAUAUUCACGUUUCCAUCUUCCCACUUGAUCUCCGUCGUCUCCGUUACUCCUACUUCCCUGUUAAACUGGUUUCCAUUGGCCGUCACACCGUCAGUGUCCGGGGAUUGUGAUCUUGCGGUCUGCGUUUGCGUUUGUGUUUGCGUUUGCUUGGUCAUUUGAAGAGAAGCCAUGUAGCAUUUGUGGAGUUUAGCUGUGAGUGUGGCUGAAAGAAGCUUGGAAGAGGAAGUAGGAAUGGCAUUAGGGUUGUAUGGGAAAUUGGUACGAGCUCUAGGACCACACAUUAGCCUCGCCGCCUCGUCGUAGGCCCUUGCUGCAUCCUCCGCGGUCUCAAACGUCCCUAGCCAGAUUCUUGUUUUCCUAAAAAAGUAUAAAAAAAAGUUAGGUCACUACUAAAUAUUAUGAGACGAUUAUGGGUCUAAAGUCCGGAACUUCUUGUUAUAAAAAAGAAAAGCGACAGAGGGUAAUUUGGGAAUUUGAGAGAGGGAGGGAGGGUUUACAAGAGUGGGUGACGAAUUUCGGAGACCCAAGAGCCCCAAUGCCUUUGUCUAACGCCUCGAAACCGUUGUUGUGGUCGUGCCAUUAGUGUGAAUGGUAAAUGGGAAAAGAGUUCAGGUGAGUUUAGUGUGUUUGUGGAAAUGUUUUGAAAGAAGAGAGUGAAGAAAGAAUGAUGAGAGUGAAGGAGCGUUUUUGGAAGAGUGAAGGGUGGCUAUAAGUAGUGUUGGCUUUAGCUUCUUGAGAGAGAGAGAGAGAAAUGUUUUGUGUUAAAAAUUUCUUUGGCAAUUAACUGGCAAUCAAUUUGGUCCUAAAUUGGACCCACAACAUUACCAAUACGACCCAGAAAAUCUUAUGGAUUUUGUUUGAUGUGAGAGAGAGCUAUAUUAAUUAAUUUCUUUAAUUUAAAAUUCUUAAAUUUACUUCAUUUGUUGUAUUCGAAGUUGCUGCGACAUGGGCAAAUGGAUUAUCUAAUUCUGUCACAUAUUAUAGUGAAAAUUGAAAGCUUCAAAAACUACAUGGUAAUCUGUCGGAGAAUAUUUUUUUAUUUAGAGAUAUUUUUGGAAAGUAUUUUCGUAAUUUAUCUACAAGCUUAAAAUAGAAUCAAAUUUAUGAACAAAAAAAUUAUCACAACUAUUGUAAGAGUGCAUUUGUUCAGUAUUAGUUUCAUAAGAAUUGUUUUCAAAAAAUAAUAUCAACAUAUAUAAGUUGAUUAAAACGGUUUAAAAAAUCCAAACCGGGGAAAAUUUAUUUUUUCUUAUUCUUACUCAAGUUCCUUUUUUUGUUGUCCCAAGUUACAUAUAUUAUACUUGAAGAAAUAAUAGUUUUAUGUAUAUCCUAAGUUAUGGGGUUAUUUUUAAGGUAAAUUAGUAGAUAGCUAUAUAUCUACAUAUUGACAACCCUACUUAUAUAUAUAUAUAUAUAUAUAUGUAUAUAUAUAUGUAUCAAUUAUCUUUAUUUUCCAAUUGUGAACAAGUUGGAUCCAAAGAGAUUUUUUGGCUGCGGUGAAACUUCAAACCCACUGUACCUAUUUUCACAUGGGUUUGAUCAUCACAACAUGUCUCUAUAUCUUAGAUACUGCCAAAUUUUUCUAGAUUUUUCCCCAACUGAUUAAUAAUAACGAUUAAUAAUUGGAAAAUAAAUAGUUUGAUAACUAGUAUGACUCUUUCAUCACCAUUCUUCACCCAUGUGAGCCUUCGAUAAUGACUCAAUCAAACACCCAAAACCAUCUUUUUUUUUCCUUCUUUAAUAUUAUUUUGUUAUGUUAUUAUUGAAACAAACCUUAAUGUAUUGUCAUCAUACCCAUGAUUUCUGAGUGCACAGUUUACCUACGAGUCUGCGACCUAUUAAAAAAACUCUUAAUACAUUAUUUGUCAUUUAAAGAAAUGUAGGUUUACUAAUAUCUAAAUAAAUCGGUGAUUAUGAGUCUAUGACCAUUACUAAAACUUGGAAAUUAAAUAAUGAUAUUACAUAAACUUAUCCACAAUUUUUUAUAGUAGUAUAUGAUACUUGUAUAUAGGGAAUGUCACAUUGUAACUACUUCUUCUUCAGUGUGUUCUCUUUUUUUUUUUUUUGACAUCAGUGGGUUCUCUUCUUAUAUACGAAUUUUGUUUUUUCUUCAAUUUAUAUUUUGUUGCGUCAAAAUAAAAACAUAAAUUUUCUGUAAAACAAAGUUUUCAAUCCAGAGAAUAUAUCCUUUUAGAGUCAAUAAUAAUUGGAAUAAGAGGUAAUAGAAGAAUAUGUUGGGCAAAAGAGUGUGCAGGUAGAAUGGAUACAUCAAAAUGACAAGUGCCAAAUAAUAUUGGUUGAUUCCAGUAACAUAUUGAUGAUAGAAUCUUAGACCGCAAUUAUGACAACAAGAAAAACCACUAGAGUAGGUCAUUAACUUUUUAUCAAAUAACUGAUCAUUUUAACCCUACUAAUAAUCAUUUUAUACCCUAAUGAUUUUUUUUUGAUAAUAAAUUAAAAUUAAAGUAUAUGUAUGAGCAUUUUAACCCUAAUGCUUGCUUUUUCGUCGGUAUAUAUUUGCAUCCAUGUCCACAAGGAAAAAAAAACAGAAGUGAUUAAUUUAUCUCUCUUGAUGGUGUACAUAUCAGUAAGUUACAUAGUGGAAAUAUAUGUACCUUUGAAAUAAUAACAUUACUACUACUGUAACUUUAUUAAUUAGACAACAAAUGUGUUAAUAUGUCUAGUAUUAUCAUUUUUACUUAGUUAACUGAGUCUUUGUUUGAUACGUGGUUUAAUUGUAUGGGUCGAUCAAACAAUAAAGCAAAGCAUGUGAGAGUGAGAAGCUCAAACAAAGAGUUGUAUUGCGGAUUUUGUCUCUUUAUUACUAUUUUGGCACGUGUGAGUAGAUAUGGACUAAUCUUCCAAGUUUCAAUUAGUACCAUACUUCUGAAAGAGAAAGAGAGUAUUCAAUAUAUAUCUCCAAAUGGACGGCAUGGACCAAAAAAGAGAUUAAACAAGGUUCAUUAAAAUAGAUCAAACAAGCUUGUACAAGAAAAUCCGUCUUAGAAAUUGUAAAUGAUGCAAAUAUGUGAGAUUUAAAACCCACGAAACGAGCUCCGAUUAUGCAAAAUUUUAUAAAUAUGACUUUAACAUGCAAUUAGAUCAUACGCUAAUAUGUCUAGAUUGUUUGUCUUUAUAGCAUAGAGGGUCAUCAUAUGUUUAGUGAAUCAUUUUAUUAGCUUAUCUUAAUUGGUUUUUUUUUUUUUUUUUUGUCGACUUUGAGGUAAUGAGAAACUUGAACAUUACAAUUAUCUUUAAUAAAAAAAAAAAACAUAAAACAAUUAGUGUUUUGGGACUACAUACAAAGUUAUGGGAAAAUCAGACAAGAAUUAUGAAUAAAUAUAAGUAGGGCCUAGGUCGUAAACGCGUGACGUGGGACCCAUAACGACAUAGAUAAACAUGGGUGAUGAAAUGGUUUUGAUUGUGAUUCAUGUCCUUUUCUUCAUUCAGCUGUAAAUUAACUAGAGAUAAUUAGCUCACAAGUAAAGAUCUGGGAUGAAAUUAGUUUUUGAUAAAAUUUUGUCGGGGUCUAAAACAAUUCUAAUAUUAGCCCAUCCUCUUUCCAUAUUUAGCCUCACGCGCUUAGUAAACCGACGAAGUUUUUUUUGUUUCUUUCUAGACGAAUAUGAGUGGUUUUGUAGCGUGCAUGCAUGUACACAAAUGUUAACAACGUUCUAUCUACGUCUUUAUAUGUAUAUAAAUAUUAAUAACGUUCUAUAUACGUGCUUACAUGUAUUUUAAUGUUAAUAACGCUCUAUGUACGUGUUUACUUGUAUAUAAAUGUAUUUUACUUGCUAAUAACGUUCGUUCUAUAUACUUGCUUACAUGUAUUUUAAUGUUAAUAACGCUCUAUAUACGUGUUUACUUGUAUAUAAAUGUUAAUAACGUUCUAUUAUAUAUAUAUAUAUAUGUGUGUAUAUGUAUAUAUUUACAUAUAUACAUAGAUCCAAUAGCUUAACACUAAUAACUUUUAACGCUCUAUUUAUGUGUUUACAUGUGUAUAAGUAUUAAAAUCGUGUAAUAUAUGUUUGUAGCGUGUUAAAAUUGCUCUAAUUCGAGAAACAAACAAUUAUUGUUAGUUUGGUAAGAGUCCGUUCACGUGUUGAGCAUUUAAUGUCUGUCAGUUCAUUUUUAUUCUCUCCCAAAAGUCAAAGCGUCUGUCACGCGCAUAUCAAAAAAAUCAACAUGGUUUUUUCGUUAUUAUUGAGAAAUUGAGGACCACUUGUUACAGUGUUUUUUCUAUUGUUUGAGACAAAAAAAACAUUUACCGAUUCGCAAAUUACUUGCUCUGUUUUUACCUCUGCACAAAUUCUCCCAAUUAACUAUAUAUACAACCCAAAAUAAAUCUAGUAUCCAUUUAGGAGUAAUAUAUAUUUUCUCGAAUGAUACAUUUGUUCGAACAUAUAGUUUUGUGCGUUGCAUUCUAGUGACUUACCAUAUGAAGAAAUGGGAUAUGUUAGCAACUUUUAGCAUACACAUUUUAGAUCAGUUAGUUUAAAGAGUAACUAUUUGAACAAUUAUUAGAGGUCACUUUUUUAUGUUUUAUGAUCAUCAAUAUUAAAACUAUUAAACAAGAAACCAACUUCCUCCAACACUUGUUUGUGAAGUCAAACCAGUCCUUUAAAUGUCAUAGAUGAUUGAAAAUGACUUUCUCUAGUCACAGUAUUUGCGCUGGCUCUAACGCUAAAAUUAGGCGAACGUAACGUUCCAUACCGAAUGAAGAACGAUAGAUUAUGAUUGAAUUCAUAUUCGGUUAAAAAUUAUGACUGAAUAAAAUCUCCUAAGAUAGAUAUACAAAGAUUGGAGGGAAUAAACAUUAGCUAAAAAAUUUCAUAUCAAGAUUAUAAAUAUAGAUAAUUACGAAAAUUAAAGAUAAAUUGUAAUCUUUUGAUAAAAAGAUAAAAUGUAAUUCUAAUUUUUUUUUUUGUAAUUACUACUUAGUUUAAUUGCAAAAAGAAUUUUGACAAAAAUAUUAACUAUGCAUGUGAUUUAAUUUGUAGAUAAAUGUGAAAUAAUAAGGUGACGUCCCCAUAUCAAAGACCGCCAUUCUCUCGUCCCAUUCCACACUCAGUCACAUGCAAAUAUGGAGGGUCCAUUGAAUCAUCAACAAAAGGUCACAACAAGACUAAUAUUCUAUAGAAUAAAUGUAGUUUUAAUAAUAUAUAUAUAUAUAUAUAUAUAUAUAUAUAUGCUUAUUUUAUUAUAAUGGAUUGGAGUUAAUUCAACAUGCACUUUGGAGGUUUCAGAGACAUUGUUCCUCAGCUUGCAUACACACAUGCAGUAUCUUUUGGUGUUAUCUAUCCUAUUUUAUGUUCUUGGUACAAGAGUAUCUAAUCUAUGUUGACAAAAUUUUCUUAUUUUAGUUUUGAAAACAGAAAGAAAACAAAAUAUUAUCAAGUUUGUUUGCCUUUUUGUAUAUUAUGUCGAGAAGAUAAAAAAUCUCACAAACAUAAAACCACAAGUACUUACUGGUGACUCUUGUCAUUUCAGUUAUAUGGUUUGAAUGUUGCUAAUUGUUGGCACUAAGCAACUAAUUCCACAAAAUGUGACUGCUCAUAAUUUAGAUCGUUUGUCGAUGAAUAAGCUUAGGUAUGACUAUAAAGAUCACGAUUUAUAAGUUACGUUAACCAAUGUAAGAUACAAAAAAAAAUGCUAAGAAAAAGCUUUGGCAUGGAUCGUGUAGUUUACGCUUAAAUUGUUAAAAUUCAUUUAAUCUAUCUGGUUCAAAAUGUCAAAAAUUUGUGAUAGUUACAAGAUAUUCGUAUAGAAGAAAAUCAAGUUUAUUUUUCUACACCACAUAACAGAAAGUCUAUGAUGACUAAAAAUUGAGUUUUAAAAUUAAUGUUCAGUCCAAAAUAAUAAUAAAAUGUUCAGUCAAGUAUUUAAAACGCUAGAUCCUAAAUGAGAGGGAACCUAAAACGUUCAAUUGUGGCUUAACCGAUUUUAGACGGCUUAAACAUUGACAACAUAAAACAUUAUAUAUUAUUGAUUUAUAGUAAAAAUAUAUAUAAUAUUAUACUUCAUAAACAAAAUAAUUCAAAUAUCAUAAUUCUUAAAUAUAGAUUUUAAGCUAAAACGACAUAAUUUACUUAAAGAUAUAAUAUAAAUAUCAGAACUAAGACAUUAAAAUUUUCAUAUAUGAAAUUUAGACAAAAAAAGUCCUUUUAAGAAAUAAAAAUGAGCAAAUUAUACAGAAGAAUUACACAAAAACAUUAAUUCAUAUUAAACAAUAUGAAAUUUAAUAACCAAAUAUAUAUAAAUAAAUUUUACAAACUGAAAUCUAUGAUCGCUUCGAACCGCUUAGAAGCGUUUAAGCCUGUAAGAGCAUGAUUAUCCAUAGUGUCUUAGAAAUAAAUCUUAGGAAUAUUUAAGUAAUAUAUUUGUAAAAUAUGGUUUUUAACUAUUUUUUUUGUUGCUUACAUAAGAAAUCCUCUUAGCAAUAAUGACUUAGUUGGGAUUUAAUUUUAAUCAUUUAUUGCUAAGAUUCAGCUUAAGAAAACUUUAAAAACCGGCCUUUAAUCAUGGUGUAACCAUAUUAUACCGUUUAGUAAACAAAACGUCCAACUUCAACACCUACAAAAUAAUCUCCAUGAUUUAUAGAUGCCUAACGCCUAAACAAUCCGUAAAGCGGUUAUUAGAACAUUGAUUCAUUCAUUUGUAUAUUAGUGUUAUCGUUGAAUACUCAUUGAUUAGAGUUUUUAUCAGUGAGUAUCUAGGUUUCUUCUAUAGUUUUUAUAUUACUCGUAUUUUAAUGUUCAUUCAUUAUUACUAAUCAAAUAAAACAUCAUUUGACUCCUAUAAGUCUCACAUGCGUAGCCGAAUAAAUAUGGCUUGCAAUUAAACGAUAACUCUAAUACAAAUUCUCAUCAAUAAGUUAAAACCUAGGACUUUAAAGAAUAGAAGUAGAAGUGAAAGUUGGAGAGAAGAAAAUAAAUAAAGGCUCUCCAAGAGAACGCGGUUUUGGAGGAAAGUGAGAGGCUGAGAGCAAGUAAAUGUUACAUUUUUUUUUUGUGCAAAGUAAAUGUUACAUUUGACUCCAAAAAGACAGAGAAAUUGAAGUGUGACUUUUUGUCAUUCCCAUUAACCGCACUCCAUGGGAUCUUUGUUCCCUCCUUAUCUCCUAAUUCGUUGAAGUUCUUUUGUUCUUACAGACAAAUACAAAAUGCUUCUAGUAUAUCUUAGCCACACAAAAAAAAAAGUUCUUUUGAUUAUAUAUAAUAAAAGAACAUCUCGUAAUUUUGUAAAAUGAAAAGUAAAAAAAUAAAAUUGUGAUUGAUGUCAUUGUCUCUUCCCUUCUUUUUUCAGUUUUACAUCAUAUUUUUUUUUUGUUAUUCAACGAAAUAAGAAUUUUAGAAAAUUGAUUUUCUCUCAGCUUUAAAAUAAGAUUAUAGUGUUAUUCCAAAAAAAAAAAAAGAAGCUUUAUUUCGUAAUGCAAAUAAGCUAAAACCAUCUAUCGGCUCGUUUCCAUGUGCCUUGGUUUAUUUAAACAUUUUUGACCUGCUUAACAAUAACAUCAAGUCAUCAAUUAUAAGUUUCUUUGGCUCAUUCAAAAUUUAAACUUCUAACAUAAAUAUAUUAAAAUCUUAUAUUAAUCACUAUGUUUCAUGAAUCCAACAUUUUAUAUUUUUAUUGUUGUUUAUUGUUGUAGUCACUUUUGCGUCAGGAAUAAUUAGUAUCCUUUCUCUCAUAACACAAUUUUAUUUUUCAGGUAACUAGAUUUUGGACUAAGACGAUAGAGCACUUUUAUUGGUGAGAUACUCUCUUGAGUCUCUCAUUAAUAUAAAAUUCAUAUUUAAAAUAAAAUUUAAUUGUAUAAUUAAAUUUAAAUUAGAAAAAAAAAAACUGAACCAAUCAUGUGAAAACAAGUGUUAUUUGAGUUUUUCAUGAUUAUCUCAAAGUUUUUCAUUUAAAUGACUCUCUUCAUUCUCUUUUUUAUUUUUUGAUUUUUUUGAUUUUUUUUGAUUUUUUUUUGGAGAGUCUUUUAUUGAAAGACUACUAAUAAAAAUGCUCUUAGUUUAAAAUAAAUUAAUUUCGGGUACUUACAAGGCUACAACUAAGUUUUCUGGUCUUUUAAACUAUCUUUACUGGCCAAUUAAAACAAUUAUUUUGUUUCAGUAACUAUAUGAUUUAUAUUGGGUUUUAUGCAAAAAAAUCUUCUUACUCGCCAAUUUUUCCAACUUUACAUUUCAUCUAAAAAAUACAGAUUAAUCAUACAAAGUUAAAAAUAAUUCGCAAUAUAACCUUUUUUUUUUUUUGGUCAAACAUUUGUUCUCAUUCAUUCAAAUGAGACAAAGUACAAAGUAGCCAAUGUUACAAGGAUAAAAAGGCUUAAAACAAAGUAGGACAAGCGUACAAAGGUUAAAGCAGAUAUUGCACAAAGAUAGCUAAAACAAUUCGACAAAAAAUCCAUGAGAGCUUGGAGACCAAAGCUAGGUAGCAAAUUGGUGCAAGUGAUAACACGGUUUGUCGAAUAAUCAUUCACGGACAAAGCGUUAGACGAUAUAAUGGUCACGGUCAAGAGACUAAGUGACGUUGGAGAAGGUUCCAUAGCCGGGAUUCUUGUCGGCACGAGAGGAGCAAGCUGGAUUUGCUCAUCGGCAAGGAGGGUGGUUAAAUUGGUUCUAUAGUCGGACGGGGUUGGGGGUAAAAAUUUUAAAGGUAGAGUUGAAUUCUUCGUCACGAGGGUUUCGAUUUGAUAUAUUAUUCAUCUAAAUUUUACAAACUUGACGGCAACGAAAAGAUUUAUAUUGCGUAUAAUUUUUUACUUCGAAUGAUUAAUUUGUAUUUCUUAGAGAUAGAGAAUAAAGUUGCAAAAUUUGGCGAGUUAGAAUGUUUUUUUGUACAAAACCCUUUUAUAUUCAUACAAGAUAAGUAUACAGUGAAUGGAAGGGGAAAUUGGAUUCACUAGGCCAUGUGAUGUGAGCUUUUGAACAAGGUUUGAAUCUCCCAAUGGUUGAAUAUGGAAGAAGAAACUAUUGACUUUGUCGUUAGAGUGUUUGUUCUUUCAGUUUUCACGUUACGAUUUUAUUUUCCCCUGUCACUCUCAUGAGUCUCAUCCCAUAGCAGCACCAGCACAUGUACGUCCAUAUCUAACACAGACACUAUAUAAACCUUAGCUUAUGGUUAUAAUUUUUGAAUCAGUUUUGAUUAUUUUGAACAAGAUUUUUGAAAACUGAAAACAUAUGUGAAUUAGUUUAUUGUUAUUUACUUUGGACAUUACAAUAUAUGGACCCAAUCAGACAUAUAUAUGAUAUUGUAUCAUCAAAAUAAUAAUUUUAAAAAAAAAAAUUAGCAUCCAAUCUCUAAAAUCAAAAUUUAACUAAAAUAUAUGCAAUUAUUCAUGAAUAUUAUAUCAUUUUAAUUACAAAUAUUAAUUCAAAAAUAUUAGAAAAUUCAUUGCGGACCAACCGUGGAACAAGACCUGCUUGUGCGAACUAAAGUCUUAUUGACCGACGAAAAACCACACAACUAGAGGAAAAGGUUUCAUGUAUUUGACGUGUUGGUGAGAUGGGUCAUGGGUCAAUGAAAAUCAAUACGUCUUUAAUGGGCCUAGCCUAGCCCACGAAUUGAUUUACGCAGUCCAACAUCUUAAACCUGCCAAUCUCACUUCUCUUCGGUGCUCUAGAUGGGAAGACUGAAAAUAUCUCACUUAGGUAUAGGUAGAAAUGAGUGUAGUUAUUAGUCUCAUUGCUUAGACCCUUGUUAGGUUUUUAUAAGCUGUUUGUUUGUUUUUCAAAAUUUCAUGAGCGCAUUUAAAUGAAAACUAUCCUUAAAGAGUUCUGAAGCAUUUCAUGAGAAUGAACACAAUUAGACAAUAGUAAUUAAGAAAAUCUUGCUUCUUUUGUUGACCACUUUCCAAAGAUAAACCUUGGAAACAGCAAACAAGCAUAGAGAUCGAUCAUGACUAUGCUCCAAGUUAUAGCUUCUAAAGGAAUUAAAGGUUGUGACUUAUCUUCACACCAUGACAGGUCCAAUAUUUAUGGAUGACUCGCGCAAGAUAAAGAAUUAUGUAUUUUCAUAUGUUUUGUGUUAAUAUUUACACCAACGAACUAAUUCAAGGCACACCAAUUCAAGGCAACAAAUUGUAAAAAAAUAAAUAAAUAAAUAAACGAUACUCAUAUAACUUGGGUGGCAAUGUAGACCUAAAAAAGAUCACAGGUAAAAUUAUUAAUCCUCCACAAAACCUAAACUUAUGUCUAUAUAUAUCACUUAAUUUAUUCUUUUGUCUCCAAUCAAAUAAUACAAGGUUAAUCCAGUACUCCCUAAAAGCUUGUAUUAUGUAAUUUUACAAGAGUUUUGGUACAUGAGAUUUGGUAAUUAUAACUUGCUCUUUAUUCUUUGCUUAAACAAUGAUGUAGAUCGAGUCUUUCGUUCACUUACAAUUCUCCCACCAAGUGAUGUUCCAUGAGUAAAUGUUUCGUGUGUUUGUGAUAAAUUGGGUUUCAAUCAGUUGCAAUGGCAUAUAACCUUUUUUUUUGUCAACUACUCGUCAGUGUUUUCGAGAAAAUGCUAGAAGAGAAAAAGAUUGAGAGCUUUCACGGAAACAAAAUAAUUAAUGAAUUGUGAAGAAGUUAUAGAAAAACAAAGGUAUCAGCUCUAUUUUUCAUCAAUAUAGAUACUAGUUCUUUCUCUUCGAAUCCUAGCUCAACUAAUAACAUUCUCAACCAUACCACUUGAUUUGUUACAUCAUUUAAAGUCAUAUAUUAUGUUUUUGUAAUAAGAUUUUGCUAUCAUUUCUUGUUUUUGAGUUUUUUCAUGAAAACAAUCCAUAUCCAAGAGUAAUACAAUAACUGAUUCUCAUAACUGUAUUGAAGAUGUGCAAAUUCCUUCGAUUUCAAACCCAAAUUAACUUGUUUUGAUAUCAUUGAUUUCUCCUUCAAGGCUCAAAAGCAUUAGCCAUAGACAAUCUGUAAAAAAAGGCAUCAACAUCAUUAUCAAAACGAAACCAUCAAGAACAACUUAGCUAUCCUUACGAGAAUUAAUCUGAGUAGAUCAUUAUCAAAAAAUUAAGAGAUUAGUUUAUUGCAAUAUUUGCUUCCAAUGUACCCGUAAGAAUCAGCAAGACAAAACUAAAAAAAAUUAUUGUCACAUAUCAUAAUACCAGCAAUCUAAAAUAAAUAUCAAAUAAAUAUUAUAAAGAUGAGUUGUACUUUUAAUGUCUUCUUUGCACCUCGUUUAAUCUGAAUCCAAAAAUCCUAUAUUUGUCUUUCCAACUUGUAACUUAGACAAGAUCCUUUUGAUAAUGAUGAAGUUUAGGUUAUUGCAUAUAAUAUGCUCUUCAAACUACUUGUAGUAGUAAAAUCUAAUCAUAAUAUAGGUUUAUAUAUCAUUAAUAUAGCCAUGUGAAUAUGUUGUUUUCAAAAUGGUUUAGUGCCACGUUUUUAUGUGUACACAUUCAAUAGCGAUGUCUUUCUUAUAUGUCAUGAGCGUUUAUGUUGAUUUGAAUAUUUAAACUGUCAAAAGAAAAAUUGUACAUAUGAUUAUUAAACACAAAAAAUUAGAACUAGUUAGACAUGUUUUAUGAGAAUGUAUGAUAUGAUUUGUAUUAAUAACCAUAUAUAUUUUGUUUUUAACAAUUUAAAUAUUCUUUAGUCCAUUAUUCUUUUGUUUCUAGAGAAAUAUUGAGGUAUUUCGAAUGGAUAUAACCGUUUUCUUAUUUCAACCAAAAUUUAUGUGCAUAUUAAAAUAUCUAGUUAUUUCUUCCAUUUCUCUUUCAUUUUCUCAUGUGUUUGGUUAGUCUUUUUUUUUUUUUUUUUGUAUUCUAUCAAAUGAUACAAAUUUAAUGUAGUUAAUAAAAUCUUUCAGUUCAGUUGAUAAUGUAUACUCCCUCUAUUUUAUAUUACUUGUCGUUUAAGACUUUUACACGAAAAUUAAGAAAAUAAUUAAAUUUUCUACUUUACCCUUAUGCCUUAUUCAAUAUAUUUUCUAAUUUUUUUAUUGGUCAAGAUAUUAAAACAAUGAGUAUAAAAUUAGAAAUUUUACCAAACACUUGCAUUGAUAAUCUAAAACGACAACUAUUAUGAAAUAAAAUUUAAAUGCUAAAACGACAACUAAACUAAAACGGAAUGAGUAGUUGAUAUAAAUAUAUAAGAGGUGUUGGAAUCGAUUCACAAAUUUUCAUCAAUUUAUCAUGAAGGAAAGAACAAAAAAAGUUUAAUGUAAAAUGCAAACAAAAAUUCCAAAGUCUGUAUAAAUUAGAGCACCUCUUUAGUGGUAGCUUUUAUAUCAUAAUAUUCCAAGUAAAUUUGUUUUCGAUCCAAUCUAAUUUAACUAGUCAAAAUUUGAAUAAGACUAAAGUAUUAAUUGCUUAUGUCCCACUUAAUUCUCCCACAUCUUCACACGUACUAAUAUAUUAUACAUAUAUAUCAAUUAAAUAAAAUAUCAGAAAUAAAGAAUUAAAACAAAUAAAAACGCAUUUUAAUAAAAUCUCACCAUCUUCUUUCUUUAUCUCUCUCUCUCUCAAAGUUAGUAUCUCAGUACCUUUACGCUUUGUCUCUUCUUCUUCUUCAUCUUCUUCUUCUUCUUCUUGGAUUCAAAGAAUGGUUUCAUCAGAUGAUUGGACGAAGUGUGCGAUGAGAGAUGGUGAAGUGGUGGCAGAGCUUUUGGUGACGCUUAAAGAAGCCAAAGUAAUCAAGAAUCCGAUUGUAGCAGCACUCCGGUGGGGAAUCCGGCAGCCACGGUCUCGCUGUCCAAGAAAAGAAGCUGAAUCUAGAUGUAGUCCAAGUACACCACUAUCUUGGAGUGGUGGUUGUGGUGGUUCUUCUUCUUCUCCAUCUGGUUAUGUCGAUGGUUACGAAGCUACUAGUCGUCAAAUCAGUACCGUUGGAUCUAGAUCCAAGGUUUGUUCGUUUGUUCUUGUCUCUCUUCUCUCUCGUUUUUUGCUGAUCUGUUUGUUCCACUUCUCUGUUUUGGAUUCAUCAAAAUCUGACAUAGACUCGUUGAUCUCUUAAUUCGACCUAAUUCUUGAUUUGAAUCGUGGAACACAAGAUUCUCUCAGUUAUACAACAUACCAAAGAUUCAAGAUUUGAGCCAACUUUUGUAAAUGUUCCUCUGCUCCAAGAUUCCAUACGUCCUUUUUUUUUUUUUUUGCUUUCAAGAAGACUCAUUGACCAAAAUCAAAAAGCAUCAUCCUUCGAGUAAAAAAAAAGCACCGUGUUUUAACUAGAGAGGGUUAUUAUGGUCAUUUGUGAAGGCGGCCGUGUGAUACGUCGCCGUUUUACUGUUUUUGUUCGUUUGUGAAUUUGAGUGGUAGCAAGUGGAUGGUUUGAAGAAAGAAGAGAUAGAUUUUAGUGAUUACAUUAUAUGCAUAGAUUGUUUUUAAGGUAUGUAUAACAUUUGAUAUAAGCAGAGGAAUAUCAUUAGUUUUGGGUUAUAUUUGGUAGUUUGAUAUUAUUUGGGAUUAGUUGUGUUUAUAAUUUGCUAAUGAAGAGUUUAAGGAUAAGUUUGUCUGAAGUUUUGUUAGGUUAUCAACCUCAAUGACGCGUUGUUUAAUGUUUUUAUGGGUCACAUGGGACCAUUUUCUCAACAUUGAAUUUGUGUGUGUGUGUGUGUGUGGGGACUUCUACGUCUGUUUCUUGUGACUCAACUUUAUUAUUCUUCAUUUAUUGAACGUUCUUGUUCUUACUUUUCGCAGGUUCUUGUAACUUCAGAUUUGGAUUUUGAUGUCAAGAGAUUACAGAGGAAAAAGGUACCCAAUUCUUGAAAUAUUCUGGAGUAUUUUGCAAGCAGUUUUCGGUUCUUGAUGAUAUCGACAACUCUUUUCAGCAUUAACUUGAAUUACUGAACUUUGAUUGUGUUUUUGAUAAGCAGAACAUUGCAUCACUUAGAUCACCAUUCAGCGAGCGAGGCAUCGAAAACGAUAACUUGAAGAGAAUGAAGGUGAAAACACAUAUUUUCUACUUUAAUCUCUUUCUCUAACUUUUGUUGUAUGACUUGGUGACUAUACUUAAGAACAACUAAAACCCUUUGGUUGGUUCGUUUUAUUUCAGAUGAAUCAUAGUCAGAAUUUGGCAGAGAAUGAGAAUCGCAAGGCGGAUGGCAAUUUCUUGCUACCAGAUUUGAAUAUAAUGCCAUGUGACGAAAAUAGUGACCAUUUUUCGUCUUUGGGUGUGGAAACAACACUAUAUGGGAUAAGGAUUAUAAGUUGAAAGAAACUCACUUAAUCAUGAGAAGUGUUUUUGAGAAUCUGGUUCGAUCAGAGUAAGCUGAUUUGAUCAUCUUUGGCUCGGCUUUUGAAAAGGGUUCGCGCCACGCAGGAACUCGAAAAGACAAAAGAUCUUCUGUGUAUAAAUUCCUCUCAAGGAAGUUUCCAUUAUGGGGUGGUAUCUAAUUUUCUAUAAAGAUCAUCAACAAUGUGUAAGAUAGAUAAAACAAAGAGAAGAAUAUAAUAAUUUCUGAUUAUUUCUUUGUAGCAAGAACAAAAAUAGAUAUUUUGUAUGAUUAAAUUACCGGACUGGGCCUUUUUCCAGACAAACUUACGGAAUCCGGUACGAUUGCCGGGACUUUCGUUUUAGGCAUUUAUUUGGCUGUGUAAUGACGGAUUUGUCCUUCAAAUGCUGAGGAGAAAUUUCGGGCAUAUGAUUAAUUGUUGGGAAAAUGUUUGCCAGCUACACGAAAGAAACGCCAUCACAUAGUCACACAUGCAGACUUUAAAAAUGUUUCGUUAGCUACACUAACUAUUGACAUUACAUACGGACAUCCCUGAACUAACAUAAGUCAUGUUGCAAACACCAUAACCAUCCAAUUCCAGUGAUUUGGUUGCCGGAAUCUGGCGUUGACCGAUGUUGACCGGCGUUGACCAAAAAUAUUUUCAAAAAAAUAAUUUUUUUUUUAAUUUUUUUGAUAAAAAAAUUAAAACAAUUAUUACAUAAUUUUACUUAAAAAUAUAACAAAAUAUACCAAAGUUAAAUAUAACAAAAUAUACCACAAAAAAAAUACAACAAAAUUUUGGUAUAUAUUUUUGUAAUAUAACUAAAUAUACCACAAAAUAGUCCAUAAAUUUUAUUUUGUCUUAUAUUUAUUUAUAAAAUUUUGGUAAUAUAACAAAAUACACUUUUUCUUUUUGAAAAUCAUUUUUUUUGGUAUUCAACAUCGAACAACCGAGAAGGAAAAAAAUAUUAUUUUAUGGUAAAAAAAUGAUUGUCAAAAAGAAAAUGUAUAUAUUGCUAUAUUACCAAAAGUAUAUACCAAAUAUAAAUAUAUAAUAUGUAAUUGAAAAAUGUAUAUUUUGUUAUAUUACCAAAAGUAUAUACCAAAUAUAAAUAUAUAAUAUGUAAUUGAAAAAUGUAUAUUUUGUUAUAUUACCAAAAGUAUAUACCAAAUAUAAAUAUAUAAAAGGAUUACCCCGGCGGCGAAGGCUUUCGUCACGAAGAAGAAAGUCGUCUCCGGUUUAUAUUUGGUAUAUACUUUUGGUAAUAUAACAUAAUAUUUUUUUACCAUAAAAUAAUAUUUUUUUCCUUCUCGGUUGUUCGAUGUUGAAUACCAAAAAAAAUGAUUUUCAAAAAUAAAAAGUGUAUUUUUUUAUAUUACCAAAAUUUUAUAAAUAAAUAUAAGACAAAAUAAAAUUUAUGGACUAUUUUGUGGUAUAUUUAGUUAUAUUACAAAAAUAUAUACCAAAAUUUUGAUGUAUUUUUUUUGUGGUAUAUUUUGUUAUAUUUAACUUUGGUAUAUUUUGUUAUAUUUUUAAGUAAAAUUAUGUAAUAAUUGUUUUAAUUUUUUUAUCAAAAAAAAUUAAAAAAAAAAUUAUUUUUUUGAAAAUAUUUUUGGUCAACAUCGGUCAACGCCGGUCAAUGCCGGAUUCCGGCAACCAAAUCACUGGAAUUGGAUGGUUAUGGUGUUUGCAACAUGACUUAUGUUAGUUCAGGGAUGUCCGUAUGUAAUGUCAAUACUUCGUGUAGCUAACGAAACAUUUUUAAAGUCUACAUGUGUGACUAUGUGAUGGCGUCUCUUUCGUGUAGCUGGCAAAUAUUUUCCCUUAAUUGUUUUUCAUUUUUCUUUCUCACAGAAGACAAUCUCAUGUCUCUCUCUCUCGCAUUACGCGUAGCCUCUCUUAUCUCUCUCUCCCCUCACCCAAAGUCAAUUUUCCUUUUACAUACACAAAAUCAAACGAAAAUCCGAGUUUUCUUCACUAACCAAAAUCUCACAGGAAGAUCUAAACGACUGAAACGAAAACCCUAAUUUUGACAAUCCUCGUUGUCGUUCUCUCCCUUAGAUUCUUGAUCGGAAAACUAAAGCGAAAGCCAAAUCUACCUCCAAAUUCGGCAUGGUCGUUACCGGUGAUGCGUCACCGCUCCCUUCUCAAGUCGUCGAUCCAUCUACAAUGUUACGUAUCAUGUCUCCCUAAUUCGAAGGUAACAAAAAUCCCUAAUUUUUUCCAAUUUUUCCAUUUUAUGCUCCUUGAUUCUAUCUAUCGAGGUUUUGAUGUGUCUAUUAUGGCGGAGAUCUGACCCAGCCAUGUCAUUGCCCACUUCGACGACGGUGAAAUCGAUCCACAAAUCUCGUUUUAUUUUUUUCCUCACAAACUCUGGCUCUCAGGUGAUGUUCGGGCGUUUUUUUCUCGUAGAUUAUCUGUUGUUCUCUCUGGUUACACUGAAGUGAUUAUUUCCUGUGACUAGGUGAAACUUUGUUGUUAAGAGAAUUGGGUUAUUUGUUGAGAGGAGUUGGUUCUGAAAUUUUUUGGAUCACAAAUAGGUUCUAGUUAAAGAAGAUGAAGUGAUCAAGGUUUUAGAACACAAGAUGUUGACCAUAUUGUUCGUGAGAGUUAGUUGGUUGAUAGUUUUCUGGAUAUAUAAAGUGAUCAUCAUUUUGUUAGGUUUUGCUAUGUUACUUACUUAAUACAUAUAUUUUUCUAUAUUGUGGAGAUGCUUAGUUUCUAGAUAUAGUGUUGUUAUAUUGUAUAUAUUGUUCAGGCUUGAAGAUGAUGAUCUAAUUUCAGGCUUGAAUUUUGCCUUUCAAACGAGACUUCCUUUUACUGUUAUGAGUAUUUCAUUGAGAAUUUGUGUUCGUUCCGACAUUAGUUUUUCUCUUCAAAUCAAUUGUCAUUAAUUACUGUCUUAGUAAAUGUGCGUUUCAUUUUGUGUUUGGGUUCCCUCAGUUGUAGACUUGUAGUUCCUUAGGGUUUAGUAUUCCUAAUUAAGAGUGUUUCAUUUUGUGUUUGGGUUCCCUCAGUUGUAGUUCCUUAGGGUUUAGUAUUCCUAAUUAAGAGUGCGUUUCAUUUUGUGUUUGGGUUCCCUCAGCUGCAUUUCCUUAGGGUUUAGUAUUCCUAAUUAAGAGUGCGUUUCAUUUUGUGUUUGGGUUCCCUCAGCUGCAUUUCCUUAGGGUUUAGUAUUCCUAAUUAAGAGUGCGUUUCAUUUUGUGUUUGGGUUCCCUCAGUUGUAGUUCCUUAGGGUUUAGUAUUCCUAGUUAAGAGUGCGUUUCAUUUUGUGUUUGGGUUCCCUCAGUUGUAGUUCCUUAGGGUUUAGUAUUCCUAGUUAAGAGUGUGUUUAAUUUGUUACUUGGGUUCCUCCGGUAAUAGUCCUUAGGGUUUAGUUUUCUUAAUACAUCUGUUUCAUUCGGUCCUUGGGUUUCCUUAGUUACAAUCCUUAGGGUAUGUAUAGUUUCCCUUAAUACAUUUGUUGUCCUCUUUCAUGUUUGCUCGAUGGUAAGUAUGAUGAUCUUUCUGAACAAUUGUGUUACAUGGUUUGUGGCAUCGUCGAGAUGGUUGCAAAUGAAGAGAAGAUCUCGAACAAGUCAGCAGCUUAAGUGACGAGAUGGUUGCAAAGGCAGAGAAGAUAUCAAAGGAGUAAGCAGCUUAUAGGACUAAUUCAUCUUUUUCAUGUAUAGAAUUGUUAUAUUGUUGUCUUCUGAGAUUGAACAUUUCAUUCAUUAUUUGCAAGAUUCUGUAUAGAAGCAGAGUUACUUACUAAGAAGAAUUGUUGUUUUUGUUAUUUUGGUUUGUAAAUGUCACAAACACAAAGAUGGACUAGAUUUCUACCCGUUUCUUUUACAAUUUUAUAAGUCAUGACUCAUGCCGUCAUGCGUCAAAAUUAGAACAAGAAACGUAGCAGAAGCUCUAAACAUGGCAAGAAAGAUUAUAACCACAGAUCACAAUUAAUGGUAAGUAGAAUCUAUGGCAGAACUGCAAAAACUUUCUCUCAUUUCGACAGGGUUAGUUUAGUCUUUUUACCCUCACCAAAAAUGCCCAAUUCUAUAAGCAUGGAUAGAAAUGCCUAAAAUGAAAGAUUUUGCUCGACAAAUGCCUAAAUCAACAAUAACCCCUAUUUUGUAUUGACUGUCUAUAGUAGCACAAGGGAUAAAUGUCUCUUUUCAAUAAGAAAACAAAAACAAAGGAGUAACACAAAACCUAAAAUGUCACUUUCAACCACAUUAUCCAUUUGUAAAAACUAAAAACCUAAGAAAGUUAGGGGAAUCAAGCUGAUACAAUAUAUAAGAGUCCCAUUUGAUUUAGCCUUGUAACAAAAAUCAAACCCAAAUAUAUAUCCAAAUUGGCUGAAUAAGAUUCUUAUUUCGACCCACAAUAGAAGCCUGUUGGCUAUGGGCCUUAGGGCUGAAACAACUAAUUAUUGUUAUUUUAAACUUCCACCAACUUCUUACGUUAAUAACAAAAAUGGCAUUGGUUUUAGCCUAAGCAUAUAAACAGAUAAACUCAAUUGUAAAAACAAGGAUUUUAGGAACGGAAAUGAGGAUUUAAAAAAUCUGAAAAACAUUUUACGAGCGAAAACAUGUCUAAAAAUUAACUUGAGAAAAUUGUAGUAUUAAUACUCAGCAAACUCUUAUGUAUCAAUAAGAGAAUGCAUAGUUUUUACUAGUUACCAUGCAUCAUGCAUGUAGAGAUGUAUCAUAAAGCAAUAAUAAGUAACAUAUUUGGAAAAUGAACCAUCUACCUCAUAUGCCUAUGACCCAAAUUCAAAAGUUGCUAGCUACCUAAUCCCAAGUUCAAGCACCACUAUUUUACGAUUAAAGUAUUAUUACGACGUAAUCUUGAUUAGCUACAUGAUGUACUCAUUUACAUCGUUCAAAUUCAUCCUGGUGCAAUCUGAAGUUUUACAUCGAUUAGCAGCUAAUCAUUAGCAUUAGCUAUAUAAGCGUAUCAUUCUUCUUGGUGCUUUUAGCUUCUAUUAGGAAUGUGGCCUAACUUAACCCAAAAGCUAGCUCAAGAGUUAAGGAUUGCUACAUCCUUUAUAUACUACCAAAAGAUCUUAAUCCCAAGCAAUGUGAGACCUUCUAAUAGGCCUCCUCGAGAUGUGGGUGGGAAACGGCCCAACGGGAACAGCCCAAGCCCAACAUCUCGGAAAUACAACAAGACAUGCCACUUAUAUGGGCCACAUAGGUGGGAAACCAUUUUUGUGGGAAUUUUGCUUGUUGGGCCAACCUUGGGCUCUGAUACCAUAUUAGGAAUGUGGCCUAACUUAACCCAAAAGCUAGCUCAAGAGUUAAGGAUUGCCACAUCCUUUAUAUACUACCCAAAGAUCUUAAUCCCAAGCAAUGUGGGACCUUCUAAUAGCUUCAUGAUACAUACAAAAAAAAAAGAUGGUAAUUAUCUUCUUCUAGGCCUAGCCCGAUGAGUUUGAUAUUUUUAGCUAAAACCAAGUCUUAUGACCAAAGACUUUAGACUAAUCCUACAUCUGCAGAAUAAAACUGUAAUGAAAAACGUCUUUAUGGAUAUUAAAAUUAUGCUUUCAAAUCCUAAAUGAGAACAGAAGAACCAGCUGGAAUCUUUCAAGAAUAUAUUAUUGUUUAUCGUCUUUUCGAUAUUGGGUGGAGAAAGAUGGCCUAAGAUACUCAAAUGUGUCGAAUUCAUAACCAAAAGUGAGCAAGCAAUAUGGGUGUGGUAUGGCCAAACGCAGAAGAAUUGAGAAUGAAAGAAGAGGAGAGUGGAAGAGUGGUCCAUAAAAGAAUUGAUUUGAAAAUGAAAAAUACUUACUUCUCUUUGCUUUUCUCUAUUUUGGGUGGUCCACUUUUCAUGGUGAACAGUCUAAUUUGGGAGUUUUAACUUUGAGGAGCAUACUAUAUGUCUUAUUCCUCUUGACUUUCAUGAUCCUUUUACUCUUUUUUUUUUUACAUUCCUACAUGUUUCUUUGAGUUCCACUAGUAAGAAAAUUUAAGAUCAAUAUAGUUUGUGUUCCUCUUUGUGUCCCUAUUGUUAUUGAUUAGUUACUGUGAAAGCUGAUUAAUUUCUGUUGAAUUUAAUUUUGGAUUAUUACAUGAUCUAUGUGCUAUAUAUGUUUCAUUAAAGUAUAUUGUAGAUUCAGUUUAAUUUGCUCGGACUGAACAACUUUUACCAGAGCGGGCCAAGAAGAUUAGUAGGGCCCCAAAUUGGACACUUUUUUUGUUCACUAAAUAUAUUUUAUACAAACUAAUAUAAAAUAAAUAAUGAUAAAGUAGAACCAUAAAUAUGUUGCAUUUAGCUUUUUGGAAACAACCUAAAUAUGAAAAAGUUGAAUCAGAAUAUCAAUAAUGUUGGGAUUACGAAUCAAAAUUGUCUGUCUUAGUUCAAUGGUUCACAAAUUCACAUCUUUGUUGCGGAUUAACCAUAACCAAUGGGAAAGAAAAAUAAAAUAAAAAGAAUAAAUGUAGGAAAUAAUUAUAAAAGAUCUUUAUGUGGCAUGUAUUUUUUUGCAGUUUUUAACAUAACUAUUUUAUGUUAUAAUUUGAUCUAAUAUAGAAGAAAUUUGAGCACUUCAAUCAAUUUGAAUAUAUGGGGCCGAGUAUUAUUGAUUAAAAGUAGGGUAUGUGUAUCCAAUAUACUUUGAGUUCUUGGAUAUUAUAUUUUUGUGGAAAUGUUAUGACUUUAGGUACAUAGUUCCCACAAAGAUGUAUCAUACACUAUCUACAGCUAAAACAUAGAUUAAAAUUGAUCUUUAUAAUUAUGGGCACAAGUAUUUAAUUUUUCAAAAUGUAAAACAUAAAGAAAAAUACUUGGGUUCACUGGUAAACCCUUAUAUUCACCCCUCUUUAUUUCAACCAAUCAGAAUCUGUCACCUAAUAAUAAUAAAAUUUCAUUUAGUUAUAAAAUCUAAUUUGCUAGUAAAACAAAAUUAUGUAUCAGUUUGGGUUUAUUAGAAAGGGUAAGGGUUUAGAUUUUAUGAUUAAACGAGGUUAAAUAUCGGUUUGGGUUUAUAAACGAGAUUAGAUUUUACAACAAAACGAGGUUAAAUGUCGGUUUGUAUUUAGAAAGUACGAUUAGGAUUUAGAUUUUUAUGAUGUAGUCAACUUUGGCAUCACCUUUCUCAUCAGACCAAAAGUUCCCAUCAUCUUCUUCUGUAACAAUACCCCCAAUCAUAGAAAUUACAUGACUCUGUUAAUCAGCGUAUAUAUAAUCCAAACUAACUUCUAUUUUUUUUCGAUCGCUAUAGCCCUUGAUUCCAUAAAUCUAGCAGUGCGUGACAAUACCCUUUUGAUUGUAGAACUGCUUCAAAAACUAUUAUACUGACAAUAUGAAUUCUUGGCUUUUCAAUGCUUGACUACCUAACAACUUACAUAUUUUUAUUUUAUUUUCUUAACUAUCAUAUUAAAUACAAUGGUUACCCAUAAGCAAAAAAAUUGUCGAGAUUCUUCACAAGCUCUACAUGUUCACAUGAUACAUGCGACAUAUUCGAAGUUAGAGAAAAAAAAUCUCAUCAACCAGGAUCAAUAACGCAUAUCGAAUUCUCCGUUCGAGGUGUGUCACAUCACUUGCCAUAAGUUUUGUCCAUACCCAUUUAGUAGAAAUUUUACAAACAAAACUUAGUGGUAAUAUUUAACUACUUUUUGCGGUGUACAAGUGCAUGGGAUAUGAUUGUCAUUAACUUUUUAUUGAAAUAUCAAUCACAAGAAAAAAAAAAGACUUGAAUUGGAUAAUACUAGUAGAUUGGUUACCAUAUUGACUAUUUUCUAUUGGUCAAGAUAAAUUUUUGGAGAAAGGUUGAAUCUUUCUUCCAAAUUUGAACAUGGCCUGAGAAUAAUUAUUUUGCAUCUUAAGUCUUAACAUGCAUGAUUAUCAAACACAUAUUUCGGAUUAGGAAUUCUCGUUAACAACAAAAAAAACAUAUAUAUGUAUACUAAUUGUCAGCAUCUUACUAUUUAGCGAUGAUACUAUGAUAAAAAUAAUUUUAAUCACAUUUAAUAUUCCAUUGCAAAUAAAUUGUUCCUUAUAAUGUUCUAUUUCUACAUACUUUUGAGAGGUGUAUCUUGUCGGCAGUAUAUAUUUGUUGUGUAAAAAUGAAAUAUUUAUGUUUUCGUGACGUACACUAUUUGGCAAUGAAGAUAGACAAAGUAAUGAGGCUUGACUUUGACAAUGUGUAUAUGACUUUCUGCGAGUACGGUCGUUUAAACCCGUCAAUUACAUUAAUGUUUCUGAUUAGUAUAGAUUAUCGACAAGGUUUAAUGAAAAUCUUUGUCAAUUAGCUACAUUUCGUUUCCAUCUCUACCCCACAAUUCUAACUAACCCCUUUGACAAAAUCUUUUAGGUACUCCAGUCCACUGUCGGCAAAUUAAUUGAGAUCUCUAUAAAUUUCAUUUUAUUUUCUUGCAUUUCAACAUAUACACUAUUGAACAGUUUUAAAUAUGAUUUUCAUGAUGUUUUGUUAUCGGUCCAUAUCUAAUUUUUCUAAUCAAAACAAUCAUGUGUGGCAUUAUAUUUUUAAGUUACACAAAAAAACAUGAAGACGAUUUCAUGUAUUUUUAUCGGUUUUAAGUUUUUGUUGUGUGUUUCAUCAAACCUAAAUGUGUUUAUAGUGUCCCUUCUAUGUCUUUCUAGUCAUUUCAGAUUCUAAAAUAAGUGUGAGUCUCAUUAAGUAUAAUAAAAUGGGAAUGCAUUUUAAUUAUAAUUUUUGCACAAUUUCAAAUUUUGUCUACUCCUCAAAAACUGUCUGUCCUACAAAAUAAACUUAACAAAGUGUUUAUAUAUAUUAACAAAAAAAAACAAAGUGUUUAUUCUCUUAUAUAUAUGCGACACAUCCUAUUUAGUACUCCCUCCAUUUCGUUUUAGUUUUCGUUUUAGAGUUAAAAUUUUGUUUCAUAAUAGUUGUCGUUUUAGGUUUUCGAUGCCAAUGUUUUGUGAAAAUUCCAGUUUUAUCCCUACUGUUUUAAUGUUUCGGCCAAUGAAUUUUUUUAUAAAAUAUAUUAAUAAAGGGUAAACAGAAAAUUUAAUGUUUUUCUUAAUUUGUGUGAGAAAACCUUAAACUACAACUAAAACGAAACGGAGGGAGUAGUAUUUUACUGUUGCAUAGUAAGUAAAACAAUAGUGUGUCAUAAAAAAGCAUAGAUAUUAUUUCCCGCCUUUUGCUUUUUUUAUAAUUUUAAUCUCGUAAGUCGUAACUAAAAUAUUAUAUUAUACGUUAUAUAAAUUAGGAACCCAAUAUAUCAAAGUUUAUUUAUUUUUCGUUAUGGCUUUGACAGCCUUGUGAGAAAUUUGGAUGGAUGUGUUCAGGCUUUAAAGAAAAGGACGCAAGCGAAGAUCAAAAGGUUGUGAAAAGGACACACUUCCAUUAAAAUUAGUAAACGACUUAUAAGCCUCUCUCGAUAACGAUGACCCAAAGGCAAACACAUGUUACUGUUUAGCCACUGACCUAUAACAACAUAUUCACUGUUCGAUAAUCUCACGUUUUCUAUAACAUAAAUUAUAUCGAUGAUCAUGCUUGAUUUGGAGCUUAAGAUAAUUAGUAUUAGUGUAUAUUACAUAAGAGUUGAUUAAAAAAUACUGUAAAGAAUUGGUAACGACAAUUUAGGUUCGAACCACUUUGUUUUGUAGUUAACCGAAUAGUGAUGAAAUGGAUAAAUGUAUAUUGGUGAGCUAGACCGAAAAUAAGAUGAAAUGAACAAGUGGCUUGUAAUUAUGAAAGUUUUACGACAAUAUAUCAGAAACAUAGUAGUUCUAUUACGCCGAGUAGAAUUUAAGGCAGUUCUUUUUCUUUAUAAUUUUUCAGUUUUGAGUUCUUUAGUCACUAUGGAUAAUUUUGUGAUCAACUUACAAAAAAAAAACAGAAAUAAGUAUAAAGUUCAGAAAAACAACUCGUUAUCGUUAUGUACUCAAGAUCAUUCACCAAAUAAUUUUAAAUUACAAACAAGAUGAAAUUGCAAUAAACCACAAAAUGAGGUUAACAAGAAAAACAUGAUAUUUUCUACAUACCAUGUUCGUUUGCCUGUCGCUGAAUCCAACGACAGCGAUAGCGAUCAGCGACCAGCGACAGCAUGUAUUGUUCGUUUGCAUGUCGCUGGACCGAAACUAGCGACUAUCACUAACGACUGUCGCUGUGUUGUUCGUUUGACUGUCGCUCAAAACAGUCGCUAUAUUUUUAAAAUUCUGAAAUUAUUAUUUAUGACAAUUUAUAUUUUAAAAUAAAAAUGUAAAUUACAUAUAUCAUACACCAUUAGAAAAAAUAAAUCAAUACAUUUAUUUACUUUAAUUUUAUCAAAUUUAAUUUGACUAUAAUUACUUUGAUUUAUUUGAAUUUAAUUUAAUAAGAUUUAUUUUAAUUUAUUUAUAUUUCAUUUUAAUUUAAUAAAAUUAAUUUUAAUUUAGAUUAUAUUUAAUUUGAUUUAUUUGAAUUUAAUUAAGUUUAAUUUUGUAUAAAUUUAUUUAAUUAAGUUUAGUUUUGAUUAUAUUUAAUUUAAUUUAAUUUAUUUUUGAUUAUUAUUUUAAUUUAUAUUUUUUGAUCGCUAAGUUGUUCGUUUGCCUGUCGCUGGAUUCAGCGAUCGAAACCAGCGACUGACCGCUGAAAAUUUCGGCGACUGAAAAUUGCGGUCGUUGGUCGCUGGCGACUGUCGCUGCAAUUGGUCGCUAAACAAGCGACAAGCAAACGAACAACUUUUAGUCGUUGUCGCUUGUUUCAGUCGCCAGCGACAGCAAACGAAUAAGACCAUACUUGGAAGAAAUAUAAGAAAUAAUUUUAUUCUUUUUUAUAUUUGGGUUUUUGUAGUGCAAAUGUUAAACGGAUAAUUUGACAUGAAAAAUUUGUACCAAAUUACAUUAUAUCACAUAUAUAAACAAUAUUCUUCAGAAUUGGCUCAUUUGAACUGUUCGAAAAAACAAACAUCUCCUAAAAAACAUUAUGUUACAAAAUGUUAGAUCUAUGAUUAAAAAUAAUCAAAAUGUUUAUGUUUCCUUAGGUCCAAGUAGACAUGUCAAUUAGGGCCAAAGCCCGCGGGCUAUCCUGGCCCAGCCCUGAAAAACAGCGGGCUCAGACUUUAAAUUAUAUGUCCAAAAAAAACCGGGCCUUUCGGGCUAAGCCCGUUCGGACUAAAAGAUUUUUUGGGCUUAGCCCAGCGGGCUCGGGCUAGCCCGAAAAGCCCUUUAAAAAAUACUUUGAUUUUUUUUGUUAAUAUUUUCGUUUAAUUGUAAGAUUUGUUGUAAAAAAAUUUUUUGAUAGAGUUGAAAACCAUAAACUUAGUUUUUUUGUGUAUUAUUGUAAAUCGAAAAAGUAAAUAUUAGCUCUACUACCUAAUUUGAAUUAUUUUGAUUUUAUAUUUUAUCUAGUAUAAGUUUAAACAAUUUAUUUAGAUUAUUUAUUUGAUUUUAACUCUCUUUUUAAAAAACUAAAUUAGCGUUAGUGGUUAGAGCAUGUUUACUCAUGAACCAAAAUGAGUAUCAUUAACAGUUUUUUAUUAUUGUUUCAUCAGUUGAAACCCAAAAUGAGUAUCAAUAGACUCACUCCAAUGAUACUUUUCAUCCAAAUAUCAACCCAAAAUAUAUAUUUUUUAUUAUUAUUCAUGGGAUGAUACCCACAAAAAAAUCAUGAGUAAACAUGCUCUUAUUUAAAUUUUGAUUGAAUCGUUUUAUAUAUAGAUUAUUUUUUAAGAGAUAUUAGAUUUUAUAAGUUUGUUUUCUGUUGUCGGAAGAAAAGCUCAAAAAAACCCAGAAAAGUCCUGUAGCCCUGUUAGGGCCGGGCCAUGCUUUAAAAUAUAGACUCAGAAUUUUUACGGACCGGACCAAACCGGACUCAAAUAUAUACGGGUUUUACGGGGUUCGAGCCAGACUUAAAUAUGUACGGGUUUUGCGGAGUUCGGAUCGGGCCAGGCCGGGCUACCCGAUUGACAUGCAUAGGUCCAAGUCGAACAUUAAUCAUUCAUCCCAAAUGCAGCACGGAAAGUCAUUUUUUUUUUUUAGAUAUUAACGAACACAAUGUAUUGAUUGGAGAUCUAAAUUCGAACCAAACGAAACACUAAAUAAUUUUAUAAUGUCUUGACUUGGAAGGUCGGUAAUAAUAUAAUGGAUUUUCUUUCAUGUCAGAAUACGACAGAUAUAAAAUUUGAAAAUGUUUCAUGAAAAUGUAUUUUUUGUCAGAACCAAAAUUGAUUUUACCUUAAAGAAAUAAAAUGGUUUUAUUCAGAAUUAUGUGGAGUAGUAGGCAGGGGACCAUUUGGUGAUAGCUAAACAGUUGGCUAUUUAUCACACCUUCUUCUCACCAAUAACUGGAAUCCACGCGCUAUCUCGUCCCCACAACAACACCCAUAUUUUUUCCUUUUAAUAAUUAUUACUAUUAUUUUUCUUAAUUUUGAUAAUAUUUUAAAAAUAAUCAAUCCGGAUAAACUGAUCCAAUUCAAAUCGAAAUAUCCAAUCAGAAAAUCGUAUUUUAUGUGAAUAUAGUUUUUUUGGUAAGCUUAUGUGAAUAUAGUUUGAAUGAAUUAAACAGUUUUUCGAGAAAUCUAAUCAAAUUAAGGAAAAUUUAUUAGAUCAUAAUUUAAAUAGAGUUAGAAAUCUGAUAGAAACCAUAAGUUUUUUUGUAAAUUAAGAAUAUAUUUGCCUACAACCUGACUUUGAACCAAAACUGAAAAAAUAUCAAAUCAUUGAUUCUAUAUCAGAUUUUAGUUUGGAUACAAUUAUUCCAGAUAAAUCAAUUUGAUCUAAACCAAAAUAUUCGAUUCUAAAACCGAACUAUAUCUUAAUAUGGUUUAUGGUUUAGAUGGAUUCAUUUUUCUUAUACUUCGAAUACGAGCUGAAACCAAAAAAUAGAUAAACAAAAUUUAAAAUUAUUUUUAUUUGUAAAUUAAGAUUAUAUUUAACUAAAGUUCGAAUCUAAACCAUGUAAUCUUACAUUGUGGCUAACUUUUCCUACGUAAUUGAAAACAAUAAAAAUGAGUUUGAUUUAUUUUUUUAUUCAUUAGUUUCUCGACGUGCGAAUAUAAAAUUGGAUAAAUUGACACAAAAUUUUCGUUCUCAAGCGUAUAUUAUUACAUAUGUAAACAAAAUGAUUUAACAUUGGUUUUUAUAACUUAAUCUAAUAAAUUUAUAGUUAAAAAAAAAUCUAAACCAAAAUUAAAAUCCUAAAUCGAAAACUAAACUGAAAAAAUCCAGUGUUCAAGAAAGCGCUAGGCGCUAAGCGGGCGGUGACCCAAUGCCUAGCGCCUAGAACGUCUAAUCGGGGCCUAGGCGAUUUUUUAGGCGGUUUAGACGUUUAUAACAUAAAAUAUUAUAAAUAUGAUAUUAUAUAUAAAAGUUAUAUAAAAUAUCUAUAUAAAACUAAAAUUAUGAAAAUAUAAACAAAAAUUAGAUAAAACAUUUAUUUAUAUUUAUAUUAAAUAAUAUAUGAAUAUUUAUAAUUAUAUAUAAAAAUAAAACUCUAAUUAAAAUUGAAAAAAUACAUUAAACAAGAUCUGUGUAAUUUUAGGCGGUCAAGGCGGUUAUCUAGGCGUCGCAUAAGAGCCUAGCGCCUAGUCGGAGCCUAGGCGACCGCCUAGACCGCUUUUUAGAACACUGGAAAAAUCUAAACAAAAAUUAAAAUCCUAAAUCGAAAGCUAAACCGAAUCUAAAACCCGGUUUGAACAUCUUAAUUUUCUUUUUUUCUUUGUUGGGGUUAAAUCAGUACUUCUACUUUAAUUAAGCCGGCGGCUGUCAGGCUAAGUCUGAAAAAUCUAGGAUUGGUCCCCACGUUUAUUUAUUUUAAUUUGCUUUUUCAAUCUUUUGUCGUAUCUAUUGAUUUUCCUAAUUUUUAUAAUUAAUUAACUUUUUUAUUUUAUCAUCUUUUUUCUUUAUUCGGGGUUGCAUCAAUCCAAAUGUACGGUUGGGAUUCUCUUAUCCCAAACGCAUGCUAUUGCUUUGUUGUGGGGACCACAAAUGGUCCAAACUAUGUCGUCUUGACGCGUGUCCUCUGUCUUUUUUGGCCCGCGCGAGUAGCGACGUGAUUUAUGGUCCCCUCCUCUCUCUCUUUAAUUUUUUCUUCAUUACCGGCUAUUUCCGGUUUAUUGGUUUAUGCUAACCGGUUUUAUCCUCCGUCCCCGUUAAUUGUGAUUACUGAUUCGCUUCGCACUAAUUUAUCUGGUUAAGUAGAAUUAUUAAUGACGUUGAUACAUGACAAAAACAAAUAAGUAUGGUUGAUAGGUGCUAUUCUUAGAAAAUAGUUUAUUUUUACAAUAUUCUGGAUACAAACAUAUGAGAGAUCCUAACGUUUUGUAUGAUGAAAUUUUUGUUGUAUUUAUGUUUAUUAUUAACAAAAAUAUGUUUAUGGUGAACGUAAUGUAGAUACAACUGUAUGUUAUGUGUUAUAGAUUGGUGUAAGGGAAACAUAACUUGUGAAUUUUUUAUAAAUAUUUGUAAAAAAGUAAAGAUUUUGGGUAAAAGGAAUAAAUAAAAGAAAUAAAUGGGUGUUAGUGUAUGACAAAAUUUAAAAGGUUAGAGAGGGAUGUCAAAAGUGAUUAAGAGAUAAGAAAACUUCGAAGCUGAUUGGUUCUUUUUCCGACUUCAAUCAAAUACUUCUACUUUUCGUCGAUGUUGUUCUUCACAAAUACAAUUCCUUGUUUUUUUUCUUUCAUUCUUAUGUAGUUAUAUUUGAUUUGAGUUAUCUUCUUUUGUUUUGUUUGUAUUUUUUCAUGUUUAACUUCUUCGAUGAUCGUAUAUUUAAAUUUUAAUGAAUGAUUAGAAAAUUUUAACCUUACAAAAAAAUACAUUCUUCAUAUUUUUCCCAACAAGCAAUUGAGUUUUUAUUUAAUUUAUGAUAUUUUGUAGUUUAAUUGAGGUUGUGAAUUGCUCACGCUCCAACCUUUAAGGGGUUUGCUACGUAUCGCAUCGCUUUAAGAUUUGUGGUUGCUUAUUGUUUUUAUACAUAAAUUUCAUGUUUUUUUUUUCUCUUCUGUCAUUAUCCAUUCGUAUAAAAGAACUCCAUAAACCUGAGUAUGAGUCACUUGUAGGAUAUUCAGUCGAUGAUGGAGAAUAUUUCAAUAUUUAAACCAUUUCAGACUAAAAAAACAAAUCAGUAGAAGGACUAAAAAUCAUUUGAAAUAUGAUAUUAGGACAUAAUGUUCCACAUCGGAAGUUGGAAGGGAUCUUAAGUAAUAUAUAAGGGAUAUGGGCCACUCCACUCAUUGCCAAUUGAUUUUGAGUUGAAAGCCCAUAUUCUAAUAUAUGAAACACCUCAUUUUCGUGUUUAGAUUUUCCUGACGCUGGUUUUUUUUUUUUGCUAUAAAAAAAAUAAGGGUCCAAUUGGUAACCAUUUUUGACUUGAUGUCAAAGAAAUGAUGAUCGAUAUAAAAAAAAUUAUAGUGAUCGGCCGGUCGGUACCAACAAAUUUACUUGUCAUUAGCACUAAAAAAAUUGGAUUGUGAAACUAUAAUGCUGAGUUUUAGAAAGAUGUGACAGAAAAUCAAAAUGAAUAUACAGAUUGAAAAUGAAUAUCAUGCUUUUUUAUACACCAAAGUAUCACCAUAAAUUCAGAGAUAAGAAAAAAAGUAAUAUAAAUUAAACCAUGUAACAAAAAAAUUACAAUUAUACACAUUAUGUAAAUAAGUUUUUUUUUAUAUUUUUCCAGCUAUGAAAUUUAUAUUAAAUUUUCGAUUUUACCAUUACUUUAAUUACUUUUACCAAUGUACUUUGCAUAUAAAUUUCGAGGGCAUUGUAUGAUCAUGCAUGCUUGAGUAGGCAUGUGAAUGGAAAUGAUAUUACAUAAAUUUUAUUUUUCUAAGACUUCGCUACAUUUUUUUUUACUCACUAAGACUUCGCUACAUGGACAUAAGUUUUAUUAAAUCUGUAUAAAUAUGUUAUGUAUAUGAAUAUGAUCGGGCAUACUUCAAUUCAGCGUUUCACACGUGUAGUUUGGCCUUGGGACAACCUCGGCUUUUUUGGUUGAGUAAGAGACAUAUGGCUUGACAUUCAUAACUAUUUUGAUAAAAUAAUUUGAAAUAUGUAAUGAUUGGACGAUUAGUGGACACAUUUGAUGAUAUUGUUUCUUGAAAUUAUCAUCAAGCACAAAGACGGUUUCGAUGAAGUUAUAUAAGAACCGGCCCAAAGAUGAAGUUAUAUAUGUGAGUAUGUUAGCACACAUUUAUUUUAUGAACUAACCUAGACUUUUUUGCUUAUCACUUCUUAGUAAACGCUAAAUUUUUUCAGUGAACACUAUUUAUCACGUUUUAUGUUUACGAAUAUUGCUCUUGUUUUACUUAGGUUAAUUAGCUAUGCAUUUCACUGUAUUUGCUAUCUCAUUUGGUUCAUUUAAUAAAUAGAAAAUUUAAAGUGUUUAUUCCUUAAACUCUGACCGUAGUUUUAAGUUUUGACCAAACUCAACAUUUAGUUGACAAAAAUCUAAACUCAUAAAUCCUAAUCUUCGUUUUAAACUAUAUAUUAAUUUGUAUGUCAAGGUUGCAUAUACUGCCGCUAAAUUUUAUCCUAAUUUUUCUUUCGUUGUACUUACGAAAAUGCUCACUCAAAAAAAAUUUGUAUCAAAAAAGUGCAAAAGAAAUUACUAAGCAAAAACUAUGAUUUCAUAUAUCCAUUAUAUAUUAAUUGAGAAGCAUUUUUAAAAAAUAACCUUACUAUCACGUGUGAUUAACGAAAAUGCCAUGAUGACGUUUCGCAUUUGUAUAGCUCCUUAACCCAUUUAAUUAAUUGUCCAUCCUUUACUAUACUAUUUACAUCAAUUUGCCAUUGGUAUUAAUAACACUUAUUUUACUCAUUAAUUAAUUAAAAAAAAUUACAUCAUCCAUUAUAUUGUUACCACGAUUCCACUUAAUUCAAAUUCUUCCACUGAUUAUGGUAUUUGGUAACUAUAAGUUAAUAACGGAAUUUAUAAUUACCUCAAACUGUCAUUAUGGACUUCUAUCAUUUUACCAUAUUCGUAGAAUUUUACCAUGUACUACUACAUGUACCAUAACAAAAGAAUAUUGAGAUAUAUUAAUUGACUUAUCCAAAAAAAAUCCUUACGAAAAUAUAAAUAUUAAGAAAUUAUGAUACUUUAUAUGAAAUAUCGAUUUUAAAACUUCUAAGAAGUAGAAAAUGUAGGAAUGAUAUUGUGGAAUAUAUAUGGAACCUAUAAUACUUUCAAUCUCUAAGGUUUUAUUUAGUUGAUCAAAUAUUAAGGAAUUUUUUUACCAAGAGUCUACAUGUAAUCAUAAUGAAACAUUUUAGUUUUGAUGUUUGAUGACUGCGGUCACACGUAACAAAAAAUAUAUGAAUUUAAUUAUUAAAAACACAAAACGAUAUAUGUGCCAUAAAUGAUAAUAUUUCAUCAAUAUUUUCUCCACAAGGAAGUAUUUAUCACGCUCAAAUAUUUUACGGGUGAAUAAAAAAAUUUAUACAAAUUAUUUGCAAAUUUGAAUAAAACAAAAAACUUUUGUUAUAUAUUAUUAUUUUUUUUUUUGGUGAGCUUUAUUUUUUUUAUAUACAAACAGAAUUUGGAUCCCAUAUAAUAAUUUUACGUAUAAUAGUUUUACUUAAAUUAUUUCAUCCUGCACAUAGUGCGGAUUGUUUUAUAGUUUAUGUGAUUUGGGAAUAUCUGUAAUUUAUGCUAGUAUUUUUUAAAUACAUUUGUUAGUAGAUGGGUUAAAUUAUGAUCCAAAAAAAUUGGUACCCUACUCACAUAUUCCAUGUUAAACAUAUUAACUUGGAUCGGGUCAAAACAUAUCCAAAAAUAUGAACCGGAUAUUCUAUAUUUAAUAAUAUACAUAUUUAAAGAUUUGGUUAAGAUUUUAAAUUAUGAUUCUCCUAUUAUCUUUGUUUGAUUUUUUAAAUUUUUUUGUAUCAUCAUACAAUACAUAAAUUUAAGAAAAAUCUUAAAUUUUUUUCUACAUACAUUGUGAUUCGAAAUUUUAGAAACAAACAUAUAUUACUUAAUUAAUAAAAAAAUAUGUGUAUUCAACGUCCACAUCGGCUAAACUUUUUAGACAAUAAUUAUAAGUUAUAUUUUAAAUAAGAUCAAAAUGAAUCAAAAUCCGAAUAAGCAUGAACCUUAACCUAACAAGCAUCCAAAUUUAAAAGUUUGUAUUCGGUUUAAUUCAGUUUUUAGUUAAACUGUUUAAUUUUACUGGAAAUGUUUAAUUUUAAAAUUUUAAAUAUUAUAAUUGUUAUAUUUAAAAUAAAUAAAAUUUUUAUAAUAUUAUGAACAUUUGAACGUAUAAUAAAAUAAAAUAACACGGGACAAGGUUAUAUGGCGGGACGGGUUUGAAUCAAUAUUAAUAAAAAUUUAAAAUAUCAUUAAUCCAAGUUAAAUCCUCAUUUUAUUCUUUUUAAACACAACUAAUAUUAGAUAUAUCAAAUCAGUCUGAUUUAGAUAAAAUUGUAUACUAUUAUUUAAUAACAAUUGUAAGUUGGGAAAUUAUUAAAAAUACCCCUUUUGGUGUGCCCCUUUUCAAAAAUGCUCCUUUUAGAUGUCCAUUUUUAAAAAUGCCCCUUUUUAAAUCUGAAAUUUUUAUAAAGUUUUAUUAGGUUUAUAAGGUACUUAUGGAUUGUAACUACUACUUGAAGACUCGAUACAAGUAUUUAUAAGGUUUUAUAAGGUGUUUUAAAAGGUUUUACAAGUUAUUUUAAAGGAUUUUUAAGGUUUUUCAAAGGUUUUACAAAAUAUUUUAAAAGUUUUUAAAGGUAUUUAAAAUGUAUUUAUAAGAUAUUUAUAAAGUAUUUAUAAGAUUUUAGAUAUAUAGAAAUGUAGUUUGUGUAUGUUUUAAUAAUAUUACAUACAUAUUUGGGUAAAUCUUAUAUUUUUAUAAGGUUUUUAAAAAGGGAUAUUUUUGAAAAGUGACAUUGAAAAAGUGGCAUUUUUGCAAAAGCCCCUUGUAAGUUAUAUAAUAUAAAUGUAUUAUAAAUAAUAUAAUUUACAAACAUUUUUAUAUAAUACAUAAUCAUUAAAGUUUUAAAAUCCAAUUUUUUUUAAAAAGUAAAAUUUUUAGGUGUAACACAGAUUAAAAUCUAGUUUUUAGUAAAACAAUUAUGAUUUAUUAAAGGUGAAGACGUGAAGCAAAAAAUUAAGUGUGCAUAAUUUUUUUUUUUUGUUUUUCAUAAUUAAGUGUGCAUAAAUAAAUAAGCUACUUUAUUUUCAUAGUGCGGGAAAAAAAAAAAAAAAAAAAACAGGGUCCUGCAGUAAAAUCUGAACGUGAACCACACGCGUCUCUUCUUCAUCUAGAUACGUUGCGUCUUAAAACACAACACGUAGCAACUCUUUUUAAAAAGAAAAUACGUUUAUUAUUUCUCAACAAUAUAAAAAAAACACAGUCGAGGAAGGCAAUGACCUUUCUCAGCCGUCAGAUUCUCAGUUGAAUACAGUCGCCACUAAGAUUGAACGACUCAGAUUAAUCCAUGACGACCUACUUUCUUUAAUUAUUUUUUUGUCGUGACCUAAUCUUCUAGUUGUUAUUCAUUAGUCACUUAUUUUUAUAUUUAUUUUCUUAGGUCUAUGUGGACCACAGUGAUUGGAAAAGAAAAAGAAAAAAAAAACAUUUUUGUCAACCAUAAAUAAUUAACUUAUUUUUUCAAACGCAUUGUUUGUAGCGUACUGAUUUAUUAAAUACUUUUUUGCUUUGAAUAUUUCCCGAAAUAUUGUAUGGUUAAUUUAUGAUGUCGGGUUUUUGAUUUUUUCCCACAAUAUCACUAUAGAAGAAAUUUUAUAAAUCAUGGUUUCUUUUUUGUUAAAUCAAAACAUUUUAUCAGUUGACUUGAUAACACUAGGUGACAUCAAUUUUCGUUAUAUGUUUGAAUUUCACUUUUCUGAUACAAAAGUUAAUCUAUUGUGAAAAUCUAUAUUUUUUUGCGACUUGUUAAAUAGUUUCCAAAAUCAUAAUAGUCUGUUAAUUAAAUAUUCUUCUGUACUUAAUUAGCAUUUGAACAAAAUGUUUAACAAAUAAACUUCCCGUAAUUUUAAUUAAUUUUUUUUUGUUUUUUUUUUUUUGUAAACAACUUUAUUAAGUUAGUUUAAAAUAGCCAAUUCUAAGAAAUAUUGUUUACAUAGAUGAUAAUUUUGAUAAUUUUUUUUUGUCUUACUUGAUAAAAGAAAUCAAUUUUCCCUAGUAGUAUUAUUUUUUAUAUUUAAUUCCAUAUAAUAUUUUUGAUAAAUAGGUUGCAAAAAAUAAGAAAGAAUAAAUAUCGGAAUAAAUGGUCAUCUCUCAGCUCUGUGCAAGUCUGAACACACCCACACAUAUAUACUCAGAUAUACAUACACACAUAUACACACCACAAAAACCAAUUAUUUUCCAAUUAAUAAAAAAAAAAGUUUCUGUGUUUUUUUUUUUUUUUUGAUAAUUGAAACAUAUGAAACAAUCGUCAUAGAAGCAGAAGCAGCAGAGAUUCACCUUCUUCUCUUUCUUUCUUUAUCUUUCCCUCUCAUCAACAGGAAAAUAAUUCAAAAAAAAAAAAAAAAAGUCAAGCCAAAACGAUGGCGUUUCAUCACAAUCAUCUCUCUCAAGACCUCUCCUUCAAUCAUUUCACCGACCAACACCAACCUCCUCCUCCACAACCGCCUCCUCCUCCGCCGCAACAACAACAACAUUUUCAAGAAGCUCCGCCUCCUAAUUGGCUCAACACGGCGCUUCUUCGUUCCUCCGUUAACAACAAUUUUCUUAACCUCCACACAGCUACCGCUAACACCACCACCGCAAGCAGCUCCGAUUCUCCUUCCUCCGCCGCCGCUGCUGCUAACCAGUGGCUUUCUCGCUCCUCCUCUUUCCUCCAACGAAACAACAACGCAACAGCCUCCACCGUUGUCGGAGACGGAAUCGAUGAUGUCACUGGAGGAGCAGAGACUAUGAUUCAGGGAGAUAUGAAAAGCGGCGGUGGAGAAAACAAAAACGACGGCGGAGGAGCUGCGGCGGCGGACGGAGUUGUGAGCUGGCAAAAUGCGAGACACAAGGCGGAGAUCCUCUCUCAUCCUCUUUACGAGCAGCUUUUGUCGGCGCACGUUGCUUGUUUGAGAAUCGCAACUCCGGUUGAUCAGCUUCCGAGAAUCGAUGCUCAGCUUGCUCAGUCGCAACAUGUCGUCGCUAAAUACUCAGCUUUAGGCGCCGCCGCUCAAGGACUCGUCGGUGACGACAAAGAGCUUGACCAGUUCAUGGUAAUACAUAGAUUUCGGCUUUUAUAUUUUCUUUUCUUUUUCUUAUAAUUUAUAAUUAACGAUUUCAUAAUUUAUUAUUUAGCACAAAUUUUAAUAACACACACCGAGUUAAAUUUACGAAAUAUAUGUUUCUUGAUUUUGAAAUCUUAAAAUCAAGAUUUGUGUUUUUUUUUUUGGGGGAUAAACAAGAUUAAAAUCCCCCAAAAAAUAGCUUAUGAUAUAUUAAUGGUGUUUUUUUUUUGGAAAAAGAUAUAAUAAUGGUGUUGAUGGUGAAGAAGAUACAAAUUUUGUUCUUUGUCAAUGUUUAUUAUUGUGUGUUUGAUUAAUGUUUUUUGUGGUUACAGACACAUUAUGUGUUGUUACUGUGUUCUUUCAAAGAGCAAUUGCAACAACAUGUUCGUGUUCAUGCAAUGGAAGCUGUGAUGGCUUGUUGGGAGAUUGAGCAGUCUCUUCAAAGCUUAACAGGUGAGAAAAUGAAUCUUGUGACCUCUUUUAUGUGUGUUUAUGAAUUUAGUAGUGUUAUCUCAUUGAAAGUUUUUGACAUUUUUGAAUGAGAUAGGUGUGUCUCCUGGUGAAGGGAUGGGAGCAACAAUGUCUGACGAUGAAGAUGAACAAGUAGAGAGUGAUGCUAAUUUGUUCGAUGGGAGCUUAGAUGUGUUGGGGUUUGGUCCUUUGGUUCCUACUGAGAGUGAGAGGUCGUUGAUGGAAAGAGUUAGACAAGAACUCAAACAUGAACUCAAACAGGUAAUAUCUUCUUGAUCAAGUAGUAGUAUAUGGAUUGAAUUGUUUGCGAAGCGAAGUUCAUGAUCUAACAAUGUAGAGGAUUUGUUUUGGUGAAAAGGGUUACAAGGAGAAGAUAGUAGACAUAAGAGAGGAGAUAUUAAGGAAGAGAAGAGCUGGGAAAUUACCAGGAGACACUACCUCUGUUCUUAAAGCAUGGUGGCAAUCUCAUUCUAAGUGGCCUUACCCUACUGUGAGUUCUCACUCUCUUUCACUCAUUCCAAAAUCUCUUUCUAACUUCUCAAAGCAUAUUUAUGAACAUUAAUAUCAAAUUACUGAUUUUGCAGGAGGAAGAUAAGGCAAGGUUGGUGCAAGAGACAGGUUUGCAGUUAAAGCAGAUAAACAAUUGGUUCAUCAAUCAGAGAAAGAGGAACUGGCAUAGCAAUCCAUCUUCUUCCACUGUCUUGAAGAACAAACGCAAAAGGUAUAUAUACUAUAUCAGUUUAUUGUCUUUACAUAACCGAAAACUUAUUCGAUUGGACUUAAAGACUGAGACUUUUGUUUGGAUGAUGAAAGCAAUGCAGGUGACAAUAGCGGAAGAGAGCGGUUCGCGUAGAAAGAACGAACAUAUGAUGUGAAUUGGGAGGUGGAAGAUGGGAUUCGAAUGCAGGGUUUAGGGGUUUAAAGUUUGAGAAAUUUAUGGAGGAGUUUGGGUUAUACAGAGAGAGAGGGGACAGUAUUAGAAAGUAACUUUUUGUGCAAUUACAUAGUACGUAGUUUGGUUAUGUGAUGCCCAUAUAUUUUAUUAAGUAGUACACAAACCAAAAAAAAAAAAAAAGAUGAAAAAAGAAGAUUCAGGCUUUUGUUUAAUGUUUUUUGUUUGUUUGUUUGUCUGCAUGAGUUUUUAGUUAUGAACCAUCAGAUAAUCAUCAUCAUCAUCAUCGUAAUAUAUCUUGUGAAUAAAGUUAGUGAGAGGAGAAGAUUGGGAUGCACAAGUUUUCUAGCCUUUUUAUUUCUUAAAUACUGACUUUCUAUGCAUAAGUUUUCCAUUUGUUUUUUUUUUUGUUUUAAUUGUAUUACACCAUUUGAUUCGCUUUCAUUAAAUGGAUGUUGCGGACAAAGCGAUCUAAUUUGUCAGUGGUUUAGUCCAUUCUAUUUUUGGGGUGGACAACAAUCUGCCGCGGACCAAGUUUAUUUCUACGUAAAAACGGUUUGUAGUUAGUCAGCGACGGAUUUCUUCUAUUUUCUUUAACCCGUACCACUACAGAUUAUAAUUUAUGACUCGUAAAUAAAAAGCAGUCCAUCUACAAACGGAUUUCUCCGCUCCAACCGCCGUAACUAUUCGAACCCUUAUAUGUUUCGCAUUACUGGUACUUGUUCCAUUUUAUCUGUUUGUUUCGUAGUAUUUAUUGCGAUGUCACAUUACAACUCGUGAUAUUUAAGGAAAAGACAUAUACAUGGUAGAUGAAGACAAAUAUAUAACAUACCCUAUCUUAGAUAAUGUAGCUUGCUGCGUACUUUUGUUAUUUAAUAUUUUGAAACGUGUUUCUUUUCUAGUCAAUUUUUUAUCCUCAUCUUGUUGUUUCGUUUUGUCACGUUUGUGACUGAUAGCUACAAGUUACAGGAAAACGUUUUCGAGAGAUUUUUCUAUCGGAGUUUCUGCACAUAUGAACAAGAUAAUUAGAGUGUCCUUAGUUAUUUUGGCCGCCUGUCAAAGAUAGUCAAAGUGCAAGGACGAACAACGUGAUCAUCAAAUUUGGAAAUGGGCUUGCUGAAUGAUUUGUGGUUCAGCUCUAAUCAGUCGAAUAUCAUUGGUGACGAUCUUCUUGUAUUCUUGGGAGAUUUGAGGAAAGCAUUAUCUUCAUGCCACUAGGUUACAUGAAGUUAAAACUAUGGAUGUGGAGUUUCUGUUUAUAUCAAAAUCAAGCAGUUAUAGUUUAAUUUUUACAUAAAAUUAUUUAGUUGUUAAUUUUCAUGGAUGAUUCGACUGAAUUUAGACAUUUCCAGACCAUAUACAGAAACGUACAUAUAUCUGUUUUUCAUAAGUUUUUGUUAUUAGCAUGCUUUUCAUAAGUUCUUGAGUCGAAAAAUAUGUAUUUGGAGUAAACAAAUAGCAAAAAUGGAUGAAUAUCCUCCUAUUUUUCCUAAGAUAUGAGAACAUGAUCCUAAAAGAUGACACAUUAAAAAGACCUUUUCAAUCGACUUAUCAUCAUCCUUAACUUAAAUACAAUAUAUGUAACGUACAACACUCUACCCCAAGCCCACAAAACCGGUCCGGUUUGUUUGGAAUAAAUUGGACCUACACCCUAGAAAAGCCCAUAAAUCCACUAUGAGGUAGAAACCCCAAGCGGCCACCCACCACUCCACCUGACCUGCACUAUUGACCAAGUCAUUCGCAACCGUAUUAGCUGGUAAAUAUGGAGGCCUCCAAAUUCGUUGGCUUAGCCAUCAAAAUCCUUCUCUAAACUAGCUAUAUUCUAGCCUAAGUAGCACCGAGAUGGAUACGGGAAUAUGAAACGGGGACGGGAAAGGGCAAAAGAAAUAAUUUAUAGAAACGGGUACGACAUGGGUACAAUGAGAAGCAAAAACGAAAUUUAGAUGUUUGUUUUUUCUUCACAAAUGACAUAUGGACUAGAUCGUACUUAUAUGAAACAUGACAUUUGUCCGCAAAACCUUCUAUUGUUUCCGUGAAACAAAACCACAAGCACAUUUUUAGCAAUAAUACUAAUCCAUGACUAAAACUUACACACAACUAAAACUUAACUACAACGGCCAUGUCCUCCCUCACAACUUAUGCAAGUUCAAGUGAAUUGAAGUACUUGCGGAUUUUGAAGCUCCACAGAAUGGUCUGAUGAAGUUAUUGUUUAAUUUUAUAGUAAAGUUGCUACGUAUACUAAGACUAAUCCAUAUUUUUGUAAGUGGACUACAAAUAUUGCCAUUCAUAUAAAAUCAUUUCAACAACACAUGUUCAUAAACCGGAUCACUUUGCAAACAUCUUUUGGCUCUAGCAUGUUCGAGUUUUGAAUAUCUAUCGUCUUUUUUUUUCUUUUCUUUUUUUCCCUCAAAAUAUCUAUCGUCGAAAUUUGGGCAUUUCACAUUUGUAAAUUUACACGCACCAAUAAUUUUUUUUAUAGUAUAUGUGUAUCUUAGUUAGAUAAGCACACGUAUAUUUAAGAUUUUGAGAUAAGUACUAAUAUAUUCGGGAUAAACAUCUGAACCAAAGUGAAUCAGUACAAAAUCUGAAGCAAUUUUAUAGUUUUGUGCUAAUAACUCUUUAAACUAUAAUUUACCCAAUCACGAAUCUAGUUAGUGACGAUCGAACAUCAAAGUUAGACCUAAUUUAAUACGAAAUUAAUUGUAACUCCUUAUAUAUGUUUGUAUUAACAUAAAAACCAAUAAUAAAAAAUUAUACAAUUAAAAGAUAAGUAAAAAGAAAUUAAACUUUUAUGACAACCGGAGCUACAAACCUCUCCGGUGAAGAAUCUUCGCCGUCGCCGCAGCCGCCGUCAUCGAAAUUAAGACUAUAGUUUUUCAGAUCAUAAGUAAAAUCAACAUCUCUCUUCAUCUUCUUUCUGCCACUACUAAAACUUCUUAUAAAGUUUUUCCACUUUGGCCCCGCAAUUUUCUCAGAUAUCUCUUUUAGCCCCUUAAGUUUCUCACUUCCCCACUUUCCUCCUCUUUCUUCCUGCAAACAACCACUCCAACCACCGCGACUGCGAGACUCGUCGUCUCUUCUCCGCCACCGGACUACACAUAAUUUACGAAAAAACCCACAUCCACAAAACGUCGCCGUUUCUUCAUAAUCAUCAGCGAGCAGAUUCUCUCUAUCAGUGGCCAUGAUAAAGAAAACAAAAACAGAGAGUUUUGAUUAAUAGAAGAGACUCGAUACAUGUAUAUAUAUAGGUGAAUGAGAUUAUGACACGUGGCGUAUCGACCGUUAGGUGAUUGUAGUGAUGGGGUCUGUUAUUGGACUGUUAUGCUAAUAGUGUGACAGUGAUGUGAGAGUAGCGAGAUUAGGAUUCGCUGGCUAAUGAUGAAAUACAGCUGUGAAGGCGGGAGCGAAACGGUUGCUUUCUUUUCUUUUUUGUCUUUAAGGAUAAUUAUGAAACGAUUUAUUGAUAAAUAUUGAGUAAAUAUUAAAACUUUAGAAGAUAUCUGAAAAAAAGUGUAAAGUGUUUACAAUUAUUAUUUUAAGAACUGAUUGAUGAUGAUGAUGAUAAUAACUGAUUGAUAUUUUUAUUUUGUUUUUGUAUUUUUUUGUUGUUGUUCAUAUAAUAAUUAAAUUUUGUUUGCAACUUUUUUUUUUUUUUUUUUUUUUUUCAUAUAUACAGUAGAAGAGAAAAAUCUUGACCAAAACAUGAUUCUAAAAACGUUGAAUUACCAAAACAUUUUAUACUAGUUUUGGAAUGAACUUCCAUAUUUUUGAAAUUUUAAUUUCAAUUUCCAUCAUAUUGUUUAGGUAAAUUCUUGUAUUGACUAUUUACGUAUGAAAUUCUUUGAAUCUUGUAAGGUAUAUUUUACAAUCAAAUCUCGUAUAAAUUGUAGAGUAUGACUUGAUUUAGUUAUAUUAAACUUUAGUCGCUAAGAACAGUGAUAAUAAGUGAUAAAUAAGUAAGAUUAAAAAGUGCUAAGUAAGACAAAAAGAUUAGAGGUAACAGCGUAACAGCCUGGCAAAUGAUGAUUAGCCGUUGGGUUAAAAAGCAAAACUAGUGUAAGAGAUUUGCUAAACCAAAUCAAACCAAACCAACUCACACAAUAUUUAAAAAAGGCAGUCCAUGUUGCAUUGUUGCCUAAACUUAUCUCAUUAUUAUAACGAUGACUCACUGAUCAGCCACUAAUCAUUAUAACAAAGAUUGCAUUAUGGAAAGUUUUUGUUUAGUUAAAUACUUGAUCCAAUCUAGAGUAUAGAUUCAAACAAGACUUGGCUAAACUGAGAAACAGUGGUCUUCUAAAUUGCUUCAGAUUUUUUACUAAUUCACUUUGGUUCAUAUGCUUAUCCCGAAUAUAUUAGUAGUACUUAGCUAAUUAGUCCAACAAUUUCAGUGCUAUCUUCAGUUUUUGAGGCUUUUAGAUGGGCCUAAUUAUCUAUCUACAGUUUGGGCUUUGAUAUCUUUCAAUUACAGAGAUUUCAUGAAAAUUUUAAAUGUUUUCACGUAACAAAUAUUUUAUUUAAAUUAUGCAUUUUGUUUCAUGAAUAAAUUGUUCUUAUAAAAAAAAUUUAAUUCUUACGAAAAAAUAAUUUUAAUUUUUUCUUAUGAAUAUUUUUUUUUUUUUGGUAAGGUUUUCUUAUGAAUAUUUGUAUACAGAAAAAAAAAUUAUUGUUUAGAAAAUAAUGGCAAAAUAAGAAAAGUGAAGAUUUGAAUGGUAUGACGAGAUUUUGCACAAGAAAUGGUAUGACGAGAUUUGCACAAGAAAAAUAAAAUCUACAACAAUAAAUUCAGUAAGUAACCGCGUGGAGAAAAUAAGGGAAGAUCAUAACAAAACAAAUCAAAUUAAAAUAAGUUGCCAAAAUAGAAAAUCCGACUCAUAUGAUUUGAAAUUGCAAAACUUACCCAUUAGCCACUUAAAGCAAAAACCAAAAACCAAAAAGAGAAAAAAAUCAUUAAAAAGGAGUAACUAAAGGACUCCAUAUUUAAUAAAAAAGAAAAACUCAAGUCUCUAGCCGCCAAUAAGCGAUUGCUUCUCUAAUUUGGUAAUACAGAUUUUUAUUUUAUAGUUUUAAAACCUCAAAAAAUUAAAAAUGUAGUUUCUUGGAAAUGCGUCGAAGCCUUUUUUUUUUUUUUUUUUUCUUUAAGACCAAGUCUUGUUACAUAUUGACAACUAUAUAUAUAAUAAUCAGUUCUUAAGAACUCAAAACAAAGUCUUCUAAAUCAUUUGGGAGAAAAGUCCCAAAUCAUCAAAUCAAAUCCUAAAGAUGUUCAAAGUUGCAAGAGCGUCACAGUAUUUGGCGAUCACCGGUGCUGGUAUCGAAGACAUAAAGCUUUCGAAGAAGUCAUGGGUGUUUCCAUGGCAAUCUUGCACCAUCUUCGAUGUUUCUCCGGUGAACUACACUUUCAAAGUCCAAGCCAUGAGUGCAGAGAAGCUUCCUUUUGUUCUCCCUGCUGUUUUUACGAUUGGUCCUCGUGUCGAUGACGAUGAAGCGCUGAUUCUGUACGCUAGGUUGAUUUCUCCUCAUGAUAAAGAAUCUAAUCAUGUUCAUGAGCUUGUUGAAGGUGUUAUUGAAGGAGAGACUCGUGUUCUUGCUGCUUCCAUGACUAUGGAAGAGAUCUUUAAAGGUAAACUCCAAAUUCAGGGUUUUAGAUGUUAAGUUUAUAGGUGAAUGUGAAUGAGGAUGUUGAAAAGUAAGUUAGAAUUUGUGUAGCCUAGAAAUAGUUUUCGGGUUUGAUUGGUGACCUAAAGCGGUAAGAGUUUCUUAGUCGUAGGAGAGGACGGUAAGCGAUUGCGGAAUAGGUAAAAGAACGGUAAGACUAGGGUUUUGUACAGCUAGUCCGCUAUUACUUAUUGGUUACAAUAGUAGCGGACUAGCUGUAUGUACACCCCUUACUGCAUCAGUAAAUGGUUACCAAUCGCAUUUCUGAACGAUUUAAUAAACAGAGAGUUUCAAAUUUGAGAAUCCGUAAUCUCUGUUUACUAAACGCGUUUUCUGAACGAUUUGGCUAAGUCCUUGAUUAAAUGUUAGAUUGAGUGGUUAUAACUUAUAAGUUAUAGAAACAGUAUCAAUUGGUAAAAUAACUCUUGAGGAAUUAUUGGUUUAUGUUUGUUGAAAUUAUCAUAUUUGAAGUUCUCUCUUUUCAUUAGUAAACUUUAUAAUGUUUUUUAGAUACAUUUUGUGAAACUUUUGGUUAAUAGAGUUUUUGAUUUUGUGAAUUUGAAGGGACAAAGGAGUUUAAGAAGGAAGUGUUUGAUAAGGUACAAUUGGAACUAAAUCAGUUUGGUUUAGUAAUCUACAAUGCCAAUGUGAAGCAGCUUGUUGAUGUGCCUGGACAUGAAUACUUCUCUUACUUGGGUCAGAAAACCCAAAUGGAAGCAGCAAAUCAGGCGAGGAUCGAUGUGUCUGAGGCCAAGAUGAAGGGAGAGAUCGGUGCCAAGGAACGGACUGGUCUUACCCUCCAGAACGCAGCGAAGAUUGAUGCGGAAUCAAAGAUCAUAUCGAUGCAGAGGCAAGGAGAAGGGACAAAAGAAGAGAUAAAAGUAAAGACUGAGGUUAAAGUGUUUGAGAAUCAGAAGGAGGCUGAUGUAGCUAAGGCCAAUGCCGAGCUAGCGAUGAAAAAAGCUGCUUGGACCAAGGAUGCUCAGGUUGCUGAGGUUGAAGCAACCAAAGCAGUGGCUUUGAGAGAAGCUGAGCUUCAAACUCAGGUCGAGAAAAUGAAUGCAUUGACCCGAACCGAGAAGCUUAAAGCCGAGUUCCUUAGUAAAGCCAGUGUUGAGUAUGAAACCAAGGUUCAAGAAGCAAAUUGGGAACUAUACAACAAGCAGAAGCAAGCAGAGGCGGUUCUAUAUGAGAAACAAAAGCAAGCCGAGGCACAGAAAGCGCAAGCAGACGCAUCAUUCUACUCAAAGCAGAAAGAAGCAGAGGGACUUGUUGCCUUAGCUAGUGCUCAAGGGACUUAUCUAAGAACCCUCUUAGACGCUGUUCAGAAUGACUAUUCUUGUCUUAGAGACUUCUUGAUGAUUAACAAUGGUAUUUAUCAAGAGAUCGCUAAGACUAAUGCGAUGGCGGUUAGAGACUUGCAGCCCAAGAUUAGUGUUUGGAACCAUGGUGGAGAACAGGGUGGUGGUAGUGGGAAUGCUAUGAAGGAUAUAGCUGGACUUUACAAGAUGUUGCCUCCGGCUCUUGAUACGGUUUAUGAGCAGACUGGGAUGAAGCCACCGGCUUGGAUCGGUACUCUAGGCGAUGUGGAACCGAAGCAAGUGACGCGAAACUGAGAGGUUGAGGUUUGGAUAGUGGCAUGGUUUGGUUAUUUACUUGUGGUUGAAGAUACAUCCUUGUCCUUGAGAAUGUAAAUUUUUAUUUUUUAAUCCCGUUGGAAAAAACUUGGCUUAUUCUGAAAUGUUUUUUUGAAGAGUUUUAUUUUUUUUUUCUUAAUUCAAUCGUAUUCUUAUAUGUUGAAAUUAAAAUAAAAUGAGGGACAAAUACAAGAUGGUAUUCGACACUUGUUUGAAAUGAGGUAAACUAUGUAUGGUUCGGUUAAAAAGUUAUCUUCGGAAAGGGUUUCAGAUGCUGGGAAUGAUAGUUCGUCCUUUGGGGAACAACCAAAACCAACGCUUUCCGAAUUGCGGCCUUGCGGGCAAGGCAGAGCCGGCCCUGGACUAAAGCAUAUAAGACGUGGACAUUGGGCCCCUAAUUUGUUUUGAUGUUAGUAAUAAAAAUAGCCCCCCCCCCCCCCUGCCCCCCUAAUUUUUUUUUGUUUUGCAAAAAAAGACUCACCAAAUAAAAAUCUCUUCAUUGUUUUCAUUUAUAAGAACAUAUCUAUAAAAAAACCUCCAAAAAAGAUUUGGUUUGGGACCCUCUAAAUUUCAGGCCCGGCCCUGCUUGCGGGGUGAACUUCUCUUGAGAGAAAAUUAGUUCGGAUGGUGGCUACACAAAACAAAAUUCUGCGGUUUUGGUGAAAAAACACAUCAUGGGACUGAAAAGUGCUAUGCGCAUAGUCUAAUGGGAGAUGAUCUAGUAACUGACUGACUAGGAAGUGUUAUGCGUGCAGUCUAAUGGACGGUGAAUGUAGGAGUAGCCAUUGGCGAAUUAGGACGCGCUUUGGUCAUCGACCACGACAGGAGCAGCUACAAGCUGACUAUACAAAGUCUUCUUCAUUGUUGAUGUAUAUAUAUACGUAUUCUAAAAUGUGUAGUUUCUUGGAAGUGGGUUGAAGUUUUAUCUUAUUAAGGAAUUUUCAAAAAGUCUCCUUUUUAUUCUAAUACCAUUUGUCAUAGUCAAACAAGUUUGGAGAGAUUUUGGCAAACUCAAUGCCUUUUAUUAUCAAAAUGCCUUUAAUGAAAAUUCAGAAAUUGUAAAUGUAUAUAAACUUGGUCAUGGUCAACAUUUAAUAUAAUAUGCAUGUAUACCUAUACGUAAACAUUCGUGAUUAAAUUAGGUUUACGUUUUUUUUUUUUUUCCUUCCAAAAGCUUUAUUAAAAUUCAUGUGACAAGUCACUGUUUACAGAGUUUAAGAGGAAAGGAGGACAAGAGUGGUACAGAGACCAUUGAUUAGUACAUGCCACUGCUUUUUUUGCUAAAGUAUCUGCGCAGAUGUUUUGCUAAAGUAUCUGCGCAGAUGUUUUGCUCCCUGGGCUGAUAAGAGAAACUUAUAGAAGUGAACAUUUGUUGCCAGAGUUUAAUGGUUUCCAGGUAGUGCUGAAGCCGUGGGUUAGAGCCGCUGCCGUUGAUAAGGUUGGUGAUAUUGCUAUUAUCACCUUCAAACUCGACUUUCCUGUAUCCAAGUCCCCAAGUGGAUUGCAUAGCCCAAAUUAGUGUCGUACAUUCCGCUUCCUCCGCGGUUGUUCUGCCUUGGAAUUUUCCCAUCCCGCAGUCAUGGAAAAUGCCAAUCGAGUUCCGGAUUAUCCAACCGAGGCCAGAGGGCCUGUCUCCUUCAUGAUGAGAAGCAUCAUAAUUGCAUUUCAUCUAGACAGAUCGUGGGCAGCUCCACUUCUUCUUCUGUGCCCUUGCUAUUUGUUUCCUUGAAGUGCUUUCACUUGCAGUGAUUGUGUUGUCCAACCAUUCUUUUGUAUCCAGAUGUGCUUGACUAACAAUUUCCGGUGUCUCGGUCCUUUUCCGGUUGAAAACCAAAUCGUUUCGACUCUUCCAAAUCCUCCAUAGUAACCAGAAGGGGAGAUAACAAAUGACUCUAUCAAUGUUGUCACCGUUAUGUAUUUUAAAGAUAUACCUGAGCUUGUCUUCUAUAGGGAUGUCGGGAUUGCAAAGUUGUUGUGUUGGGAUUCCAGCAGCUCGCCAUACUACAAGUAUAUGUGGGCAGGAAAAAAAGGCAUGGUCACUUGUUUCUAUUGCCGUACAGCAGCGGGAACAAUAGGGGUUAACAUUGAUGUUCCGUCGGCGAAGAUUUUCCGCAACUCCUAUUGCUCUUGAGGCUAGCCUCCAUAAAAAGUGCUUGAGUUUUGUGGUGAUGUGUAGCUUCCAGGUACUUGUAGCUAUGUCCGGCGAGGUUGUCAAAGGUGGUUUUGGAGUAUCUUCAUCUAUAGUCAGAUUUACUGCCGUCCAAUACCCCGAUUUAACUGUAUAGAUGCCAUUUUUCAUUGGGCUCCAUAUGUAUGAAUCAGGACGUGGUGGUGAAGGCAACAAGAUCUUUCGAAUGAGAUGGUGAUCCUCCGCUAGGAUAAGCUUUGUUAAUUGACAUUCAUCCCACUGGUGAGUUUGUUGAUUAAUCAGCUCCUUGACAUUGAGCUCCGGAUCCGCUGCCGGCAUCAACUUUGGUGGUCGUGGUGGUGUUGUUGGGAGCCACGGGUCUAUUCCCAGUUUUGCUGUUCUACCAUUGCCAAUGCUGACUUGUAUUCUUGUUUCUAGGAGGUCCCGACCAAAGCGAAGUGAGUUCCAACCGUAAGAUGGUUGUGUGCCUCGCGUUGCGGAGAAGAAAGUCCCAUCACGGAAAUAUCUACCUUUGAGGAUACGAUAGAGUAGGCUGUGUGGUUUUUGUAAGAUUUUCCACACUUGGUUUGCAAGAAGGGCUUGAUUGAAUAGAUGUAUAUCACAGAACCCUAGGCCACCAAUUUUCUUUGGUGUCUUUAAUUUCCUCCAAGCAAUCCAUGAGAUUUUUCGCUUAUCUUUUGUUGAUCCCCACCAGAAUCGUGCGAUCAUACUAUCAACCUCGGAGCAGAGUUCCAUCGACAACUGAAAGUAGUUCAUAGAGUAGACGGGCAUUGCAUACGCCACUGCUUUUAUUAGCGUUUCUUUUCCGACGGCCGUAAAAAAUCUUGUUUGCCAUCCUUCGAGUUUCUGCUGCACCCUCUCUUGUAUAUAUUGCAACAUUUCUUUUUUCUUUCUACCAAAUUGUUCCGGUAGACCCAAGUACUUGCCACCACCACCAGUGUUGGGAAUUUGUAGUGUCCUCAUGAUGCUAUCCCUAGUAUUUUGGUAAACUCGGUUCCCAAAUAUGAUGGAUGAUUUCUCAAGAUUGAUCAUUUGCCCCGAUGCUUCCUCGUAUUCUUUGAAAAUUUGUGAUAUAUAGGUUCUGGCUGUUUUUGUAGUCCGCUUUGAGAAAAAAUAGGGAAUCGUACUGCUACGAGAAUAUGAUAUCCCUAUAAAUGAUCUNNNNNNNNNNNNNNNNNNNNNNNNNNNNNNNNNNNNNNNNNNNNNNNNNNNNNNNNNNNNNNNNNNNNNNNNNNNNNNNNNNNNNNNNNNNNNNNNNNNNUUCUUGGUUUGCUUUUGUCAAUAGUGAACUAAAAACAUCAGCACAGAGGAUAAAGAGAUACGGAGAGAGAGGGUCUCCUUGACGCAGGUCGCGGCUAGCUUUAAAGGAUCCAUAGGGGCUCCCAUUGAUCAGAACUGAAAAGGAGACCGAUCUUACACACUCCAUGAUCCAUGUUAUCCAUUGUUCGGCAAAGCCUUUCUUCUUAAGGACCUCUUCCAAGAAUUUCCACUCGAUCUACUUGUUUCUCAGAUUCCCUUUGAGGUUAGGAGAGUGAGUCGAUUCGACGAGUCGAUACGAUCGUACGCUUUGCUUAUGUCUGUUUUAACAGCCAUAUAAGAGUUGGCACACCGCUUUCGUACGCGUGAGGAGUGCAUGAUUUCAUGCGCAAUAAGGACGUUGUCGGUGAUGAAUCUACCCGGAAUAAACGCAGCUUGGUUUUCCGAGACAACGGAUGGCAACACAUUUUUGAGGCGCUUAACCAAGAUUUUCAAAAUAAUCUUGUACGUGACGUUACACAACCUGAUGGGUCAGAAAUCUUUCAUUGUUUUUGGGUGGUUGAGCUUGUGUAUUAGACAAAGGUUGGUGUGGUUCCAUUCAGUUGGAAGUUUCUCUGAGAUAAAGAAAUUUUGUACCUCAGUUACUAUCGCUGGACCAACUAUCUCCCAAUAGUUAUGGUAAAAGGCUGCAUUGAAUCCAUCCGGUCCUGGUGCACGGGUUGCUCCGAUAGAAAAGAGGGCCUCACGGAUUUCUUGAUCAGUAACUUCAUUGGUUAGAGACAGAUUCAUGGACUCUGUAACAAUCGGCUGAAUGUUGCAGAGUGUUUUAUGUGGGUCAGUGUGGUUAUUACUCGAGAAUAAAUCACUGUAAUAGCGAAUAGCUUUCGUAGCAAUAUCUCUGUUCCCGUGAAACUCUGUGCCAUUCAAAUCUUCAAUGGAUGUGAGUCGAUUUCGUGCGACUCUGUUUUUUGUGAUGGCAUGAAAAAACCGAGUGUUGCAAUCUCUUUCAUUUAGCCACUGAUUACGACUUUUAAAUUUCCAAAAAGUCAACAGAUCUCUUCGAAGGCUACGAAUCUGUUCCAUCGUAGUAGAGUUAUCCGUGUGUGCCAUAUCAAUGGCUCGAGUGAGUUCCUUGAUUCUAGUUGCAGAGUUGUUAUUGUUUUCCCUCUUCCAUGUAGAUAUAUCACGUCUGCAACGUUGAAUCCUUUCUGCAACAGAGCUAUUCUCCAUGAUUAAGUUACUGUUCCAGCUUUCAAAGACUACUUUUUCAAAGUCUGGGAUUUUGCAGAGUCUUGUGUCAAAAUGGAAAGGUUUGAAGCCUUGAUCUGUCUUUUUUCUGAUUUUAAUUAUUGCUGGCCUAUGAUCCGAUUCUACCAUCUCCAAGUACUUUACCUCCGAAGCCGGGAACGUUGCUCUCCAUUGAUCAUUUGCCAUAGUUCGAUCUAGCUAACUCUCUACCACAUAUGUUCCACGUUUUCCAAGCCAAGUCAUGUUGUUUCCUUUAAAUGGGAGAUCAGAAACUCUACAAGUAUGAACCAUAUUUCUGAAAUCUACUAAGCUCCAUGGUUCUCUUUGACGCCCACCUCUUUUUUCAUUUGCAUUAAGGACUUCAUUAAAAUCUCCACACAUAAGCCAAAGACCAUUUCGUUUGAGUGCUAUGCGUUGGAGUCUUUUCCAUAAGAUAUGUCGUAGUUUUCGUUUUGGAUGACCAUAAACACAAGAGAAGUAGAAAGACACAUCUUUAUUACUUAUUUUACAAUCGAUGAGUCUUGGAUCAACAUCAUUAAAGCAAACAGAAAUAGACUUGUUCCAUAACAAAGCUAAGCCACCCCCAACUCCCAACGGAGAAACACACUUCACAUAAUCGUAACCCAAUUGAGCAGCUACAUCACGGACGACAUCAUCGGGAUUCUUCGUCUCGACCAAAAAGAGUAAGUCCGGGGAAUAAGUUGCCUUAAUUCCCUUUAGGCGUCGAACUACCAGGGACCCUUUUAAGCCCCGGCAAUUCCAAAAGGCUGUAUUCAUGACGGCUCAGGUGGCUUUUGGCCCACCGUGCCUUCUCGGUUGGUUGUUGGGGUAGUCAGAGCAGAUCUCCCGGUGUUGGUUGGUUGUGCUGCAAGAGUUGCGGGUAUCCAUAACCAGUUGCGAACCUCAUUUGCUUCUGAUUGUCGACGGCGUCUGGUGACAGCAUCAUCAAUGUCUUCAAUGGCGUAGCCCUGUCUCAUUUUACAAACCAGAAAUGGGUAAGCAGUGACAUGUUCCAUAGGUGGAGACUCGAUUUUCCUCUUCUUAGAUACAGACUGCGAAUCUUCAUCUUGUCCAUUAUUCUCGCCACACUUAUAGUCCUUUGGUGUAGUACCUUCCUUAGGUUGAUUGUUUCCUGGCGCCUCAGGAUCGUAGUCCGGAUCCUCAUCAUCAUCUGCUGGUGGGGGAGGAGGAGGAUCAUUGUUCAGAGGGCAGUCUGGUGAUUCGUGUGUGAGGAGUCCACACAUGGAACAGAAGUUUCGCAAUUUCUCGUAUCUGAACUUAAGAACACAGGCUUGGUCCCCAAAUUGGAAAAGACGUUGCAAGCGCAAAGGAUCUUCUAUGUUUCAGAGGAGACGAACACGAACAUAGUCAACAAGCACUGCACCGUCACCGCCAAAAUCUGUUUCCAGAAAAUGGCCUAGCCUUUCUCCGAUUGAAGUUAUCAUUCGCAGUGUAAGGAAAUGGAGGGGAAUUCCCCUAAUUUGGACCCAGAAAGGUAUUUGCUUCAAAUCAUUGUCGGUGUGGAGUGGAUUCCACUUUUGAGUUACACACAUCCACUCGUUAAAGGACCACGGCCCGCGGCGGAGAACAGAACUCAUCGCCUCUUCGGAUUGGAAAAGGAACUGAAUCUUUUGAUUCUCCAAAAUACGCCCCGUGACUUCGUCACCCACACCCCAAAGACGAGGCAUAGUACUGAGCAUUGCUCGAAGGUUUUAUUUCCGCGGGUUCACAGGUUUGACGACUAGACUGAAUUGUGUUUCAGUAAUCGCCUCUUCACAUAAAUCGACCGGGAGAUUGAUCGCAUCAUCUUCAAUUCCUAAAGCAAUUUCUUGCAAUUGUCUCCGGAUUCUAUCCGCCAUGAUCAAUAUGAACAAAGGAAAUGAAAUUGUUUCACUCUGAUCAACCCAAGGAGAACAGAGACAUGCGCAGGGAUUAAAUAGGUUUGCGAUGAGAGCAGUUAAGGGAUCAAUAACCGCCAGCCUGUUAUCCCACCCUGAAGAAACCGCCGGUAACCGGCGACCAACGCUCACAGACAAGAGACACGAAGAGAAAGUCAACAGAUGCGAUCGCACAAAAAAUCGCUUUUUCUCUCUCAUUUUUUUUAGUCAAAAUAUCCUAUAUUAUUUUCAUUAAAUUAGGUUUAUGUAAAUGGUGUACAAUUCAUAUUAAAUAUUUUUAUGAAUUAUGAUAUAUUUUUUUUGUUUAUGUAUGGUGCACUUAUGUAUAGUUUUGGUUUUGUUUAAUGUACAUCUACAUAUAAAUCCUGAAUUUUAUCAAAAAAAAUUUCAUCUAAUUUUAUUAAAAUGACAAAACUUUCAAUAACAAUUUUAGCUUGACAAACUCUACAUAGAAAGUCAAUAAUGAAACAUUCUACACAACCAUCCUUUUUUGUAUGUGAUAUAUACUCGUUUGUGAAAUUUCAUGAACAUUUCUCUAACAGUGACAGACAAAGUCUUCUAACAUGUCGACGACUAUAUGUAAUAUAUAACAACUUGAUCUCACGAAAUAAAAAAAAACAAGUAUAGCUACUCAUUCUUCGUCUUCAAAGUUCAAAACCAUUUCGUCGAAAAACUUAAAACCAUCAAAUCCUUAGAUCUUAGACAUGUUCAAGGUUGCAAGAGCAUCACAAUAUUUGGCCAUCACCGGUGGUGGGAUCGAAGACAUCAAGCUCUCGAAGAAAUCAUGGGUGCUUCCAUGGCAAAAAUGCACCGUUUUCGACGUGUCUCCAGUGAACUACACUUUCAAAGUCCAGGCUAUGAGUGCAGAGAAGCUACCUUUUGUUCUUCCUGCUGUCUUCACUAUCGGCCCUCGUGUUGAUGACACUGAAGCGCUUAUUCUGUACGCUAGGCUGAUUUCGCCUCACGACAAACAGUCAAAUCAUGUCAAUGAGCUUGUUGAAGGUGUUAUUGAGGGAGAGACUCGUGUUCUCGCUGCUUCCAUGACCAUGGAAGAGAUCUUCAAAGGUAACCCAAAGAUUUAUUUCUAUUAUUGUUUUGUUAAAACAUAUGGUGGCAUUACUAGCACACAAACUUAUUAAGCUAUAUGUCAUGGUCUAUUCAUCUCCUAAAUAAGGAUUUAGAUUAAAAAAAAAAUUAGGAGGUUUGAGUAUAAUGUCUAAGGCGUAAUAUUUAAAUUUAUGUCGCCUAGAAAUAGUUUUAAAUUGGCAAUAUUACAUUAUCAUAAAUUGAUUGGUUUUCUAAAAGAUAUGGUUUUGUUUUUAUGAAUCUGAAGGGACAAAGGAGUUUAAGAAGGAGGUGUUUGAUAAGGUUCAACUAGAACUGGACCAGUUUGGACUGGUAAUCUACAAUGCCAAUGUCAAACAGCUGGUUGAUGUGCCCGGACAUGAGUACUUCUCUUACUUGGGUCAGAAAACCCAAAUGGAAGCGGCCAAUCAGGCCAGGAUCGAUGUGGCUGAGGCCAAGAUGAAGGGAGAGAUCGGUGCCAAGGAACGGACAGGGCUUACGCUACAGAACGCAGCGAAAAUUGACGCGGAGUCAAAGAUCAUAUCGAUGCAGAGGCAAGGAGAAGGGACAAAGGCGGAGAUCAAAGUGAAGACUGAGGUAAAAGUGUUUGAGAAUCAGAAGGAAGCUGAUGUAGCUAAGGCCAACUCGGAGCUUGCCAUGAAAAAAGCUGCUUGGACCAAGGAUGCUAAGGUUGCUGAGGUUGAAGCAACCAAGGCUGUGGCUUUGAGAGAAGCUGAGCUUCAGACUCAAGUUGAAAAAAUGAACGCUUUGACUCGAACCGAGAAGCUCAAGGCCGAGUUCCUUAGCAAAGCCAGUGUUGAGUAUGAAACCAAGGUUCAAGAAGCAAAUUGGGAAUUGUACAAUAAGCAGAAGCAAGCAGAGGCGGUUUUAUACGAGAAGCAAAAGCAAGCUGAGGCACAGAAAGCUGAAGCAGACGCUACGUUCUACUCAAAGCAGAGAGAAGCAGAGGGACUUGUUGCUCUAGCCAGUGCUCAAGGAACAUAUCUCAGAACCCUUCUAGACGCUGUUCAGAAUGACUAUUCUUGCCUUAGAGACUUCUUGAUGAUUAACAAUGGCACUUAUCAGGAGAUCGCUAAGACUAACGCACUUGCAGUCAGAGACUUGCAGCCCAAGAUUAGCGUUUGGAACCAUGGUGGAGAACAGGGGAUUGGUGGUGCUGGUGGGAGUGGGAAUGCUAUGAAGGAUAUAGCUGGACUUUACAAGAUGCUGCCUCCAGUUCUUGAUACGGUUUACCAGCAGACUGGGAUGCAGCCACCGGCUUGGAUCGGUACUCUAAGCAAGUGACGCUGCCUCAACAGCUAAAAGGUUGAGAGCAUGGUUUGGUCGUUUGUUUGUGAAUUGUGAUUGAAGAUACAUCCAUGAAAAUGCAAUUUUUCUUUUUUUAUUUAUUUUAAUCUCGUUGGAAAACUUGGCUUAUUUCUUAAGUGUUUGAGGUUGUAUUUGUUUUUAAUUUAAUUGUAUUCUUAUGUGUUAAAAGUGAAAUAAAAAUGAGAGACAAAUAUAAGAGGGUACUUAGACACUUUUUGUUUGAAAUGAAGUAAACAAAAAUAAUAUUUCAUGAAUUUGCAGAGACCAUGAAGGUUGUUUUGUAGUAUGAUGUAUGUACAUAUUUGAGUGGUAUAUGUAUGUGUAUCAAGUCUAGGCUUAUUGUAAUUUCUCCUUUGGGAUGCUUGAGGACAUCAAAGUCUAGUAGAGACCAGACUGAAAUUGGAGAAGUUAAAUGCCAAAGAAAGGCUUUGUUUGGAAUGCUAUAUAUGUUACACAUCUAACCACAACAAGGGAGAAACUAAAGAGCAGGACAAGGUAUUUUGAAAAGAAAUGAGCAACUCACAGGUACAUAUAGAUUACGGCUUCUUUCUCGUUGUCUCUCUCUAUGAUCCCCAGUUUGGUAUGUUGGCCGUGGCUUCAUUGAUCAUCUUUACUAAUGUUACCUGUCAAUACAUUAAUGAAGAGAACUGAGCUGUGCUUGUAAUCAUUUGGCCUAAACAUUCUGACCCAUGGACUGUAACAGAAAAUGGGUAAUGUGUUUUCAGAAAAAUGAAGGCCGGAGGACAUGUAAACAUACCACACUUUGUGAAACACCGGGUGGAGGCAUUGUAAGGUUCCUCGGUGGUGGUGUGCUAUCAUACGAUCUUUUGUCAAAUCUCCAUUGCCCAAUUUUCCCAUAGGUUAAUUUACCCUGAAAUCACCACAAUCAUUCUUUUACAUUCUCUGUUAUCAAUUUCAAAUCAUAUGCUAAUCUCAAUAAUCAAUUUCUCAAGUUUGUAUAUAUCGUUGAUUACUGUUGUUCAUAUAUCAGAUCAGAAUUUGAAAACUUACCUUCAUAUCGUAGUCACAUCCAUAAGUGUAGUGUAUGAUGUACUUGUCACCAACCUCUAUAUCCCAUGGAGGCUGAUUCAUUACCACAAACAAAACCAAACCAAAGUCCAAAUCUCUUUAGUUUAAUGCAUAGAAAAAAUAUUAUCCAUGUAACAAGAAACAACACAGAGAAUUUCUGAGGUCCAGGCCAUAACUAUUUCACUCUCCAAAACCUCAUUUAGUAUCAACAAAGUUCAUGGAACAUUUCCCACCCUUGGCCACGACGACGUACUCUAGAUUAUUUAUUCAUUUUAUAUUGUACUAGCUCACGCAAAUGGACAUGGUGAUACACUUUUGCUUCCAUUCAUAACCGCUACACGCUUAAAAACGAUAUACAAAUUUGAAAAAAGCCAAAAUGUGUGUAUAUGGUUACCUGAAUCAUGAAGUCUUUGUGUAGAAUAUUGCUAACACCAUGCAAUGCAGAUGAGACAGCAUAAGCAUACCUAUACUUCCACAAAAGAUAACAAAAAUUUGUCGUCAAGUCUACCCAAUCGACAAUCUAAACAACACAUUCGAUAUCAUAUCAAGAUAUUUUUACAUUUCAAGAACCCAUCCAAAAGCCUUGUCUGCUUCAGGAUCCUUCUUCAUAGCCAAAGAAACAUUCAUCCAAGUUGGAGCAAUCUUCUUUAAAGCAUCCUAAAAAACCAUAACAUCAAAAAUCUUUAGCGAGAGACACCCUUUACAACCUAAUCCCAAAUCGUACUUUCUACGCAACAAAAACAAACCUUUCCCACAAUGACAGGAGAGUUUCCUAUCGGAUCGAUAUUAGUAACCGGUCCUCUCUCUUCUGGAUAAUACUUCCUCAACACCUUCUCAUACUUUUUCGGCUCAAUGUAAAAGAAAGGAAAUGCAGCACCAAGCCCAUCUUUAGCUAAAUUUGGUAUAGGUUUAACAAUGAUAUGAUCAGGCUCAGACAUCAAAAUAUAACUGCACACAACCAAAAAACAACAUAUCAGCACAACAAUCACCCCUAAGUCAAUCACCAAAACAAAGAGUAAAAUCAAAAGCAUCUUAACUCUUCUUUAAUAUCUGUUUGUUGAAGCCAUUGUACAAAAGCCCAUGGCCUAUUCAACACAACAUAACCCUACAAAAUUAACCAAAAACCACACUCAAAAAAUCAAUGUUCAAUUUCUCAAAAGAACCAAAAUCAAUACACAUUACCUGAUCCAUCCCAGAAGGUAAAGGCUGAGCAACAAAAGUAGGAAUCUCAUCCAUAUACUGAUCCGGUUUACCAGAAUGCAAGAUCCGAGUAAACCCACCCAUUUCAGAACCGGGUCCAGCAGAAGCUUGAACCUUUUUGAACCAAUAGUACAUAACUCUACAUUGCCAAGUGUUGUAGACGGAAUCAGACGCAGUCACCGCCGUGUGGAAAAGUCUCGUCCUUUUACCAUUGUUGCGGUUUCUGGAUCCGCCGCCACGAGGUAAUUCGAUGACUGGGUCAAUGGAGAUAUCGGAAGAUGAAGAUCGUCCGGGGAAGCCUUGUUUGAGAGGAGCAUUAGCGGAGAUGAUGAUGUUGUAAGUGAUUAGAGCAACGGAGAGAGUUAUGAGAAGUGGGUAGAACAAAGUUCCACCACAACCCAUUUGAGAGAGAUUGAGAUUUGGAUUUGAGGAAGAGAUUGUUUCUUCAAAGUCGUCGUCUUUGUCUUUGUCUUCUUCUUCUGCUGCCUAUGCCAGUUGGUGAAGAAGAAGAAGAUGCCGAAGAAAUGGCUUACCUUUUUAUAAGUUCUAUAUUGCUUUUACAGUUUCACUCUUUAUUUUGUUUCUCUGUUUUAUAAAUUUUACUAUUAUUACUAUAAGUAAAAACAUUUUGGUUUUUCGGUUUAGUUCGGUUUUAUAAGACCAUAUUUAUCGGAAUAACUUAUUUGGGUGUUCUUAGGGUUAAUUAAGUAUUAAAAUAAUGUAGAUAGAAAAACAGUUCUUGGGUAAAGAGAAGAACAUGUCUAAACAGUUGUUGGGUGUUCUAAGACCAUUUUCUUUUAUUUUAUUAUUUUUUUGAUGGUAAGAACAUGAGAUAAAUUAUCCCCUUACAUAUGCCCUAAGAAUGCCAACCAAUAUUACUUUGGUUUGGUAUACUACAAGGUUCAUGCUCUAAGAUUGCAAUGUAGAGAGAUUUACAAGAUCUUGAAAAAUAAACCAAAAAAAUUCAUCAUUUCAACUGAGGACUUACUAUUUAGUAUUUACCAAAGGUAUUAAGUAGGACUGCUACGGUUAACCAACCCAAACUGUGCUGGUUUUUUUGGUUAACAUAACUAUUUCUAGAGGGUUACCCAAAUUAACCGAAGAAAAUUUGGUUUUGAGAAUUAAUUCUGGUUAAUUCUGGUUUUGAGAAUUAUAGUUUUUUUUUUCCAUAAUUACAUUUCGAGGGAGUAAAAAAUUUCCAAUGUGUUUAAAAAUUUUCAGUGUCUAGACAGAAACUCUCUCCCAAUGUAAGAGUUUACAAUAGAAACCUCUUAUAUAGGGAGAGAGUUUCGGUCUAGACACUGAACCAAUUACAAUUAACCGGUUUAUCAUAAACCGUUGAAUCAAUUUCAUUUAUAUGUCUAAUAGCUACUUCAGUUGACCGAACCAAAUCGUGUCGGUUUUUUGGUUAACCAAACUAUUUCUAGAGGGUUGCCAAAAUUAACUGAAAAGAAAUUUGGUUCGGUUCUUGGUUAAUUUCGACUCUUUUUUGAGAUUUGGAGAAUUCGAGGGAGUAAAUUUUGUCAAAUGUGUUUAACAAACUAUUGAGUACCAAAUACUUUGUUAAACACAUCAAGAAGUUGCUCGCUACUACUGUCCACCUUCCAAGUACAUAUUGUUCCUUCUUUGAUUGAUUAGCUUCCCGAUAUUGAUUUCCAUGUGUUUCGUCCAUUCAUGAAACACAAAGUUUGCAACAACUUUUGCUUGAUUGUCACAUCACAUGCUUGUUUGUGUAUGCGUCACAUCUAACUCAACAACAUCAAAUAUCAUAUACUGAAUCAACCGUGUAAAACCACAUUAUGCUCAUACAUAUGAUCCAUUUCUCGAUUCUCGACUGCAACCACUUUCAAAAACAUUCGAACAAUAGACAUUUUUGGAAGAAACACAAAUGUUUUCGAAUGCCUUUCUUACUACAUAUGCCCAAGCAAUACCAGUAUUUUAUGCGCUCACAACACAAUACGAGAUUGGCUCUGUUUUUGCACUUACAAAAUUGACCAGAAAUUUAAAAUGAUCAAAACCAAUUUUGGUGUCCUCGACCACAUUUAUUGUAAACAUUAAGCUAAAGAGUUCCACUGCAGAAACUUGUCCUUGUGGUCCUCAAACACAAAGUCAAGAAAUUUGGCUACCAAACUUCACUUUUGACCAGAAAUUUUUUUUUUUUUUUUUGACUCUCCCUCUUAAAUACUCUCAUGCCUUAGCAUCCCCUCCUCUAUAAUUCGGUACUAAUCUAUAUAUGCACUUAUGUUUAUUAUUCGAGUACAAGAUCUGAAAAUAUUUUGGGUGAGAGAAAGUAACAUAAAAACAAAAAAAAAAAUGGAGAUGUUUUGGUUAACACCACCAAUACCAUUGAAAGAAAGAACAAUCAAAGCUCAGAAUAAAUUACCACAUAAGUAAAAAAAAAAAAAAAAACUAUCGUUCUUCAAAAAGUGUGCUUCCCCACUCUUCGCUUUUGCGCCAACAAUCUCUCACUCUCUCUGCAUUAACAUCAUCACAUGUUUAAGUAAACACAGACCAAAUGAACACAAACCAAAUCAAUCUUCAUAUUUACCCUCUGACGUUUCGACUCUGGAGGUGACGGUGGUUCAGGUCUCCGAUUUGAAUUUCCUCGCGCUGUACCUUCCUCCUCCUGCACCUCGUAUUUAUCCGCAACCAACACUCAUUAACACAUUUGUAUAUUCUCACCAGUUACCAUUUAUCAGAUUUUAGUAACCCCUAAGCACCGGCUUUGAUAAGGUUUACCACUUCUACUCCUACACAUCUGUAUAAUUCUAUACACAACCCAAAGCUCUACGAUCUUUCGCUAUCCAAUUACUCCAACAGGAAUUCCCCACAAGUCAAUGACAUGUUGCAUAAGGCUUCUAAGGAAAUAACUAAAUAUGUAACAUGUUAAAAGGUCAAAAAAAUGGUGGAGAUAACAAAGUACCUCUCUUGAAGAGGCUUGUCUACUGCUGUUGCUGCCUCUGCCUGUAGCAGCUUCACCUGAGCUUGACGAGGCUACGUUUUGAGAUAUAAAAGGCAUGAUCUGCUGAAGAACACUUGAUAUGAAAUUCCCUUCAUCCAUCGUAGUUGCCGGCUCUGCUUGUGCAUUUGCAACUGCUUCGUUUGUUUCUGUGGACGCUGUGGCAGAGGGGUUUGCUGCACCCUGAGACUCCGUGCUCCCGGCUUGGUGUUCUCGACGAGAUAAGGGCCUCAAAAACUGAUGGAUUCUGUUUCUCAAUUCAGACAAACCCCGACCGCCAGGAGAAGCACUGCUAUCACCUACAUAUUUCAGAGAAGCAAAGAUUUAUGACAUAGCCUGCCUUAAGGUAAAACAUCAUCUACAGCAAAGGGAAACAUCAAAUCAAACAUAAUUUGAGACAACCCAGUAAUAAGAGGCAACAGACGUGAAGUUUUCUCUUAUCGACAAUUCAACAAAUAAAUCAGUACAAUACUGUAGGGAAGUUAUGUUAAAACUAACCUUCUCUUCCUGGAGUACUGGCGCUCUGUGGCUGCCUAGAAGAUUCAGUAACAGGCUGAUGUACACCAUCCAAUCCAGUAGAGCUGCGUUCACCAAGAGAUAUCUGCUGAUAUCGAGCAACAACUGGUAUAACUAAGGCCACAGGGUUUCGAGGAGGUUCAGCCGAACCUCUUGUUGAGGGGGCAGAAUCAGUAGUGCUACUAGGUGCUGAAGGGAUUGACUGCCCAGGGGUUUGUUGUGUAGUACUUUCUUCUCUCUGGUUGGUCCCACUGGCGGGCACCCAAGAUCCUAAUAUAACGUCCAUUUUUCAAGAUUAAAAAAGGAACUUAAGCUGAAGAUUUUCAAUAUAGCAGGAAAGAACAGUUUAUACUUAGAAAUUAAGUGUAUGAAUAGCACCUGUACGUAUUCUUAUCUCAAUAUUUCUUGGGGCAGAGGCAAGUGAUUGUCCAGCAAAAGGGUUAGAAUGUGCGGUUCCUGCUUGUAAGCCUCCAAUACUCGUCCCCAGCCGAGAGGAGUGUGACUACAAAAAUUAAAGGUAGACACAAAGGUAAUGAUGAGCAGGACAAGUGGACACACUGGUAAUGAUGAGGGAAAGAAACAGAGAGACAGACAGGCAAGGGAUUUCUCCCUGUAGGGGAUAUGAACACUGCAGGCCCAGCAUUAACAACAGCAUCAUCCUGACAUGUAACAUACCAAGUGUCAUAUAGAUGUACGGGUAUAUCAUAUUCUGUGAACAAAAUCAUAUGCAAACUAAUGCAUCAUUAAAAAAAUUGUAAGAUUCAGAUCCACGAUAUGUAGGAAAAGAAUACGCACAGGUGUUUGUCCCAAACGAAGCAUCAUCGUGGCACGGCCAAGCUCCAGGAGUGAAAUGCCUAAACUCUCCAAGAGGGAUCCUGAUUGAAGCAUGUUUGACUGGCACAACCUUCGGGUUGGCGGAUCGGUCACAUUUACAUGAUCCACGAGCUGCCUCGAAAGAUUCUGCAGAAGAGAGAUAUGAAACGGUUAUUCUUGUUUCCCUGGAUUUGAGUAACCAAUUCCAGCUCAAGUCAGUCAGUAAAAAGAUAACAAAAACACUGCAUGUCACUAAUGUUGAACUAGCCUUGCUAACUUCAAUGUUUCUCACAUUGCAACUUUCACAAAAAAGAAACAGUUAUUCCCAUGGCACAAAAGUCGGAAACAAUGAGUCUACAGGGCUUGGAGGUUUCUAUUAAAAGUUUAUCUGAGUCCCAUAAAUUGAUGUAAUAAUUUCCGCAUUGGUUAAGACUGUCAAAGCAAAGACACAAGUAGCUUUCUCAAAAAGAAUGUAAGAAGCAAAAGUAAAAGAGCAUACAGUUAAGCAAGCUGCUACUUCACCGAUCAACAAUUGCCUUGUCGAUUGCAGCACUUCUGCCAAGUGAGAUGGUCUUGGAAUCCGACUCUCUCCAGUAGUAGAAGCAGAAUCUUGCACAUUGCCCAUUGAAUUUUCAGAAUCUUGCAAGUUAUUAGCAUUGCUACCUGCAAAAAUCACAGUACCACUGUCAGGCUCUCGAGACUUGUUUUCAACACAGAACCAAACAUUUAAAAAUUAGUCUAACCGUUAGCAGCAAAUUCUUGUCUCAGAUGAUUCAGAUAUUCAGAUAAGGUUGUCAAUGAAUCUGGAAUCGCCUGCAGUGGUAAAAAGUAUAGCUUUCUCAUGAACAAAAACAUGAUGUGCCUUACAAAAAUUAUGUAACAUGAGUAAUCAUGGAAACUAGGGAGCUCGUACUGCUGGUUGUGAAGAUGUCAAGGGGGUAGACGUCUGGUCCACAGCAUUUGGUGUGGCAGCUCGCCCUCCGGAAGAAUCUCUUACAGUGCUAGGACCAGAACUCCGAGACAGCCUCUCAUGAAGAGGACCCUGAAAAACAAAGGGAACUCUAUAACAUCCAAAACCGAUAUAUAGAAAUACGCAGCAAAUUAUAGGCAAUUACCAUAGUAUCAAUCCCUUCAAUACCACCUUCUGGAUUAGAGAUCCCAAGUGAACCCAGAACUGCUGAAACUAUCUGCCAGACAUAAAACAAAGCUCAUGAAAAGGAUCACAUCUAAUCCAACACACAAAAAUAAAAACAGAUCAAACAGAUAAAAGAGGGUAUACCUGACCAAGAUCUGAAUAGACUCCAUCUGCUUGUUCAGCAAUGUUGAAGGAUCCUACUACAACUCGUGAUCGUUGACUGCCCUGGCUGUCACCAGCACUCAAAGCAGGAUCAGCCGCUAAGAAAACAAGUUCUCCACUUAGCAUGUUGAAAUAUAGUCUCACAAAUUGGUAUGUUGAAAUUCAAAGAUGAUUAGGAGCAGUUUUUUGGGACCACAAAUUUGUAAGGGAACUUGAGACUACCUGCAUUACUAGUUGAACUCUCUGAUACAGGUUGUCUGACUACCAAAUGCAGAGUGUGGCCAUCUUCAACAUCUAAGAUGGAACCGUUAAAAGAAUUUUACCGGUAAAAGGAAAAGAAAUUACUGGCUAUCAUACGACACUGGAAUUGUUAACAAGGAAGUCAAAACCAAGGUCUUGACAAACAACAUUAGCAAACUAGGGUUCACAAAUCACAACUGAAAAGGAAAGCUCUAAGAAAGAACCGAUGCAAUAUGCUGGAAAGAACAAAAAGGAUACGAUAGGCUGAUAGGAGUUGAUCGUCCUUCAUAACUUUUCCACGACAUAUCAAGCGUUGUUGUUCCGUAACGACACCAGUAACGGAAGCAACCUGCUCCUUCAAUGCAGGAACAGGGACCUGAAAUGAAACAAGAAAACAGAAAGCAAAUAUAUGAAAGGCUAUCUAGGACACAAAUAAAGAAGUGAGGACUGAAAUAAGGCAUUAGUUCCACGAUUUUAGUCAAAGGAUUGAUAUUAGUAAUUAGAAACUUCAUUAUGCAACACAUGCAUGCGACGAAAGACAGACCUUACAGGUAGUAGUCUCAGUUCAUGGAACCAAAUUGUAUAAUACAGUGACAAGAAUUCACAAUAGAGAAAAUGAAACAUCAAAGAAAAGUAAACUACUAUGGCUCGUUUUUCUUACGCAUUUAUCUACUCGUAAGGUGUACGUUUGAGAAUCCAAAGUCUUUAUCUUUAUCUCAACCAUAGCACUGGCGCAUUGCGAUGCCUCGACCAUAAUUUCAUCUUUCCCAUUGUCUCCCAUCCUUUCAAAUGCCUUCAAACACCUGGAAACAAAAAAAAACUAUCAGCUUACAUCUAUCUCAGCUGCAUGCAAAAACAACCUUUGAUCAAACUGGUGUUAAAAAAUGACUCAUCAAACACUGAGACAAAACUCAACACUUUUUCGAGUCUAUCGAAGAAAUUUUUCAUCCAAAACCCUAAAAAAACAAACUUUCAUGGACGGCACUAAUAACAAUUUCAACAUGAAAAUCAAACUCGUUCAAAUCAUGUAGACAUCUUAAUCAUACAACUCGUUCAAAUACCUUUUGCCAAAGACGAAAUUCUUAGCUAAAAUCUCUCAAAAUUCGUAAAGCUGGACACUUUUCAAUCAAAUUCAAGAGGAGGAUCAUGUCUUUAGCUACUCCAACUCCAAAGAAGCAAACUGGUAAAAGAUGUGAUCAUAACCAAUAAACACUUAACGCAAUCUCAACUUCGAGAAUUCUUAAUAAAUAGCAAAACAUAUUCAUCAAAUUCAAUCAAAACACCAGAAGAGUUCUAAGCUUUUCCGGUGAAGAAAAACAGAAGAAUCGAUCUAAAACCCUAGAAAAACGAACAAAAAGCAAUCAAGAAGACGAAUCAUUAUGAAAUUAGUAACAGAGAGGAAUCAAAACCUAGAAAAUUGAUCGGAGUUGAAAUUAGCUGAGGAAGAGAGAAGGAGAUUUGGGGCUAAGAAUCUGUAACCCUAAGAGUCCUUUCGCGGCUCCGAGAGACGAUUCCGCGGCGAAGGAGAGUGAUGAGAGAAGCCUGGAAAAAAAAAAACGAAUUUUUCUGAAUUUUGCCUUUCUUAUUAUUAUUAUCACGUGAGUAUUUUUUAAAGUAAUUUCAAAUUUGAUGAUUUUAAUUUUUAGGCAAGUAAUUUUAAUUUUGCUGAAUUAUAAGAAAUAAAUUUUGGUUUUUGCAUUAUAGGAGAGGUUUAUAAAGUAAAAAUAUCUUUGACUUGGCAUUUUAGUAAAGAGGAUAUUAAUUUAUACAGAUUUGGUAUUUUUUGUAUUUACAUGUAAAGGAAUUUUAUAUCAAUAUUAUUUUAGAAAUAAAAAUGAGUGAUUUUUUUUUAAGCAUUGUCGUGAUUGAUGAAAGUUUUUUUUUCUAGAACUAAAUGAGUUGUAAAUGUAAACUUUAUUUAUAUGAAAAUGGUUCGGAAAAAAUCAUUUUGGUGAAUGUGAACUUCAUUAAUUUGGUGAAUCUAUACUAUAUAAAAGUCGAGGCUAUAAGCUCCUUAAGCCGUCCAUCUAGGAUUUUAAAUCACCAAUCGCGGUUUGACAUCUCAUUAACUAACUUUUUUAACCAAGACAUUAAUUAACAUUUUUAAAUUUGGAUAUUUUCUAUACUAAAAUAUUAAUUAAAAGGAAAACAAAUUAUGGAAAGAAGAGAAAUGUGAAUAUUUGAAACAACAACAUAUAGAAAUAAGACAAAUGUAAAGUAUAGAUUACAAUAUUAUUUUUUAUAUAUAAAAGUCGAAGCUAUUAGCUCCUGAGACAGUUCACGUGAUUUUAAACGACAAGUCGCAGUUAGUCAUCUUGCUAAUUAACAAAUUUUGCCAUUACAUUAAUUAACAUUUAUAAAUUCGGAUAUUUUCUAUACUAAAAUAUUAAUUAAAAGGAAAAAAAAAACAGUAUAUGAAAAGAAGAAAAAUGUGAAUUUUUGAAACAACAACAUAUAGAAAUAAGACAAAUGUAAAACAAUUAUGGAAAGAAGAGAAAUGUGAAUGUUUGAAACAACAACAUAUAGAAAUAAGACAAAUGUAAAGUAUAGAUUGUAAAAAAAUUAUGGAAAGAAGAGAAAUGUGAAUAUUUGAAACAACAACAUAUAGAAAUAAGACAAAUGUAAAGUAUAGAUUACAAUAUUAUUUUCUAUAUAUAAAAGUCGAAGCUAUGAGCUCCUGAGACAGUCCACGUGAUUUUAAACGACCAGUCGCAGUUAGUCAUCUUGCUAAUUAACAAAUUUUGCCAUUACGUUAAUUAACAUUUAUAAAUUCGGAUAUUUUCUAUACUAAAAUAUUAAUUAAAAUGAAAAAAAAACAGUAUAUGAAAAAAAAGAGAAAUGUGAAUUUCUGAAACAACAACAUAUAGAAAUAAGACAAAUGUAAAAUAAUUAUGGAAAGAAGAGAAAUGUGAAUAUUUGAAACAACAACAUAUAGAAAUAAGACAAAUGUAAAGUAUAGAUUGUAAAAAAAUUAUGGAAAGAAGAGAAAUGUGAAUAUUUGAAACAACAACAUGUAGUAAUAAGACAAAUGUAAAGUAUCAAUUACAAUAUUAUUUUCUAUAUAUAAAAGUCGAAGCUAUGAGCUCCUGAGACAGUCCACGUGAUUUUAAACGACCACUCGCAGUUAGUCAUCUUGCCAUUACGUUAAUUAACAUUUAUAAAUUCGGAUAUUUUCUAUACUAAAAUAUUAAUUAAAAGGAAAAAAAAAACAGUAUAUGAAAAAAAAGAGAAAUGUGAAUUUCUGAAACAACAACAUAUAGAAAUAAGACAAAUGUAAAAUAAUUAUGGAAAGAAGAGAAAUGUGAAUAUUUGAAACAACAACAUAUAGAAAUAAGACAAAUGUAAAGUAUAGAUUGUAAAAAAAUUAUGGAAAGAAGAGAAAUGUGAAUAUUUGAAACAACAACAUGUAGUAAUAAGACAAAUGUAAAGUAUCAAUUACAAUAUUAUUUUCUAUAUAUAAAAGUCGAAGCUAUGAGCUCCUGAGACAGUCCACGUGAUUUUAAACGACCACUCGCAGUUAGUCAUCUUGCCAUUACGUUAAUUAACAUUUAUAAAUUCGGAUAUUUUCUAUACUAAAAUAUUAAUUAAAAGGAAAAAAAAAACAGUAUAUGAAAAGAAGAGAAAUGUGAAUUUUUGAAACAGCAACAUAUAGAAAUAAGACAAAUACAAAGUAUAGAUUACAAUAUUAUUUUUGGUUAUAUUUUAUCGAUUAAUAUCUUUUAAGAUAGUGAUGAAAAAUAUUAAAAAUAUUUAUUUAUUAUUUUUACUUAAAUUUCGUUGAAAAAUAUUAGUCCAUAAAUCUUUGACCGCCUAUUUUUUCCUAGCUAUAUCUUUCACAAAUUAUAGGAAAUGUUUUAUAAAAACUAAGCUGAUAGUGACAUGUGUAUAUAGAAAAACAUUAUUAUUCUUGUAUAGAUAUCGUCAAGUUGAAAAAUAAAUCCUAAAAUUUCCUUCGCCUCUUAGUUUCCUAUAAUUACCUUGAUGAGAGUUUUUGUUUAGCUCAUAUCAAGUUCGGCGAGCUUUUGUUAAAAGAAAAUCUUUUUGUUUAGCUCAUAUCAAGUUCGGCAAGCUUUUUUUAAAAGAAAAUCAGACGGUAAGUUUGUAGAAACGUGCAUGUGCUGCCGUUUCAUGGGCAGAAGAACCAUACACAGCUUUUAAGUAGAAGAUGUAAAUAACAAAUGAAAAGACCUUUAUUUUAUUAUAGCAGACUGAUAGUUCGUUUGUAGGUUGGAUGAGAAGAGAAUGUGCAUAUUGCAUCCGCUUUUUUUACUUUAUUUCUGAAUAGAGGUGAAGAUCACAACAUAUAUGAAAUCGGAUCAAAAGUUACGAAUUUUGAUGAUUCAUGAUUGUAAUGGGCAUGAUGACGUUUGUGUAAAUUUUCAAGAGUGACGCAGAUGCUACGUUAGUGUGAAGGCGGAGAGAGGGAUCUAUACUUUUGUCGCUCAUAAGUCAUAACCAUGUUUUUAUGCUUGAAUGUUAAUAUAUAUAUAUAUAUAUAUAUAUAACAUAUUUUUUUUUAAUUUUAACUCUCAUCAUCAAUUGUUACGAUCGCUUUUUGUUGGAUCUAACUUUUCUCCAUCCCAGAUGUUAUAUCCUGUGGAGAUCAACCUCUAUGUUACUUGGAGGUCUUCACCACCACUUAAUAUAUUAUGGUUCUGUUUAUUAGAUUGUUUGUCAUGUGAAACUGAAAGUUAUUUUUAUUGUUUUGGUGAGAGUAGUUUUUAUAUUAAGCUUCUAAACGAGUCUGGUUGAGUUUGUGUAUGGUAAAUGUGCUAAUUGGGAUAGAGAAUGAAACAAAGACAUUGAGUGCUUACAAAAAGAUAGAAAUAGUGAUACCUCUCGAAAAAAAAUUGUAAAGACGGAAAUUCAUAUACAUAUUGAAAAUAAUGUAAGAAAAAUAUGAUUUGUUAACAAGAAAGUAUAGAUAAGCUAGCUUAGUAAUGUUAAAACGGGCUACCCGGUCUGUUUAGGCCCGAACCCGUUUAACAAAAAAAUUAAAGCCCGUUUAGGUUCAUACCCGUUUAAGCCCGCCAAAUUUAUAAAAGCCCGUUUAGACCCGUCUAUUGUCUUCCCUGAUUUUAAAAAAAAAAUGCUAUACUAACUAAUGCAGAAAAUAUCCUUUAGUAAGGAUCUUAUAUUUAGAAGAGCUAUACUAAGUUAGUAUACUUUAGUAUUUCUAACUAAUGAAGUAAAUAUACUUUUGUAAGGAUCUGAUCUUAUACUUAUCAUAAGCUUAUGAGUAAACUUUUGUAAGGAUCUAAUAUUUAGAAGAGCUAUACAAAUUAAUAAAGUGAAUAUAGACGAAAUACAAUAGUGAAAUUGCAAUUACAAAAAUGAGAAAUUCGUCGAAGUUAGACCCAUAAAAAAUUUAUUUAUUUCAUGAAAAAUCUUGUCAUCCAAAUAUCUAAAGCUAAAGAGAGCGAGCUAUUAAACAAAAAAGAUAUACUUUUGAUAAAUGUUGUAAAAACCUAAAUGUUGUAUUAGAAUUUUUUUAAGUUGUAUAUUUUAAUUGAACUAUUUGUCAUGGUAAUUUUAAAAUUCAAAGAAUUUGAACUAUUAACAAUAACAAUAAGUAGAAAUAUAAAAACAUAUAUUCAAAGAGUUUAAUAAAUAUUACUAAUCACACAAAAUUUUAUUAAAACAAAUUUAAAAAUAGACCCACGCAUAGCGUCGGUUCAGAACCUAGUAAUGCAAAUAAAUUUUGGUUUUUUUCAAAAUAUGAGAGGUACUUAAAGAAAAAUAUCUUUGAUUUUCAGCAAAUUAGUAAAGAGGCUAUUAAUUUAAUAAUUUAUACAGAUUUGGUAUAUUUUUAAUUUUCAUAUAAAUCAAGUUUAUAUAAAACAUUAAACUAAAAAUGAUUUUUCAAAAUAUUUUGGUAUUUGAUGAAUGUUUUUCCAGUGAGAUUCCGGAGAGAAAAGACGACAUAUUUAGAAGGGUGGAUGGGAUCUAUGCGAGAUGUUUGGGUUUUUAAAGAAUUUGUUUCUUGUAAAGUCGCAAACUUGAUCUAUUGUUUGGAUUUUUGCAAAAUUUGUGUUUGUUUAGUUUGCAUAUAUGUGCAAAUAUUCGGAUCUCGUAUCGAAUUCAAGUCUAGAAAUAGUAUCUUGUUCUAUUCCCUAAGUACUUUCAAUGAUUUGAUUUUAUUUUCAAGCUCUAAGUGAUGUUUUCUUUGGGUAUUUGUCUUCUUUAAUUUUUCCAAAACUUGUGUAUACCCUUUUUUAAGGGGAAUUAUUACAAAAUGCCUUCUUCUAAAUGCAUCUUUUAAAAAUGUCCUAUCUAUAACACCUUAUAAAAAAUACCUCUAAAAAUCUGAGAUCUACUCAAAUACGUGUGUAACGUUAUAAAAACAUACACAAACUACAUUUACACGAAUAGUAGUUACCAUUAUUAAGUACUUUAUAAAACCUUAUUAAAUGUUCCGAUUUAAAGAGAGGUGUUUUUGAAAAUAAACAACUAAAUUGAGCAAUUUAGAAAAAAGACACCCUUAAAAAGUGUUGAUAACAAAUAAUUAGAUCAUCACUUUUUCUUUUCAUUUUGGAUUUUUUCACCUUAAUUGACCGUAGAGAUGGAGAUUUACGAAUAAUAUAUUAACCAUCAUCUAAAUUUAAAGAGAACGAAGACAUAUUUUCUAUGUUUUUAAUUAUUUAUUAAUAUUGUGUAAUGUAAUUUCUAUAUAAGAAGUUUUAAAUAAAAAUAAUAUGUUAUUUGUUGCUUAUCGUUUAAAAUAAAAUAAUUGCGUUGAGUUUAUAAUUUUAAUAAAUAGAUGCUCAUUACAAAUAUUAGUAACUAAAUAUGAAAAAUAUAUCUAAAAUAUUAUUUUUAGAAUAAAAAAACGGAGAAAUGGAUUGGAGGAAAAUCCAACUCCAAAAUAUAAAAAUGAGUUUGAGAUGCUUUUAGAGAUGUCCAUUUUUUCUUUUUUUCUUUUUUUUUUUUUUUGUUAAAGAAAUGUAAGAUUCGUCCAUUUUUUCCUUAAAUUUGAGUAACUCCAUUUUGGAGUUGAAUUUUUCUCCGACCCCUAAAAUAGAGAUUUCUAAAUUUAAGUGUAAAUUAAAAAUAGAGAACUUCAAAUAUAGAAAAAAAAAAAUUCUCUAUUUUGUAGUUGAAAAUGGAGAUAGGUUGAAGAACUCUUACCCCAAAAUAAAGUUUGGGAAGUGAAUAUGAAGAUGGUCUAAGCCUCUAUAUAAAUGAUCUUAAUAUGAUGUCAUGUUGUUCUUUAGAGUAACAAUGGGCACUCGGUUAAUCAAUUAAAUAGGUUCGAUUUUUUUGUUUUCAGGUUUUUUGAAUUUCUGAACUUUUAUUUGGUUUGGUUCGGUUUGAAACUUAUUUUUUUUCUGUUCAGUAAUAGGAUUUAAAAUCAAUUCUGAAAUAAACAGAAUUUUUGAUAAUUCGGUUAAUUCAAAUCGAAUUAGACAAAAAUGAAAGUGAAGAUAAUGGGGCUAAUCUAACAAAUUUACGAUACAAAUCAAUAAAAUAAUGGGUUACUCCCAAUAAAAUACAAACCCAACUUAAAUAACAAACUCAAACUCGUCAAAAUUUAGGGUUUUCGCCAACCAUGUCGUGAAAGAGAAUAAGAUGAUUAAAAAAAAAGAGGUGGUGAAGAAGAAGAUAAGAAAAGAACGAAGAAGGAGGAUCUCGGACUGCGGAGAAGAGACUGAAAACAAGAGAGGUAUGAUUAGAAAUCUAGGGUUUUUUACUUUUAUAUGGUGUUCGCUAAACUAAUAAAAAUGAUCAGUUUUGAUGUAUCGAACCAAAAAUAACAGAGAACCAAAAUUAGUUUAGAACUUCGUCGAUCGGUUUAUAACUCUGAACCGAAUUGAAGCCAAAAACCAAUAUUAUUAGUUCGGUCAGAUUGGUUUAAACGGUUUAUGAUGAUUGUUUAAGGCUACUUUAAAGUAUUAAAUAUAUAUGUAGAUAUGAGAUGAACUCAUAAUUUUAUUACAAUGCUCUAACACAAAAUUAGAACGGUGUUAUGGUUCUUAUGACUUAGUUCAUAUGACAUGAAAUACAAAGAGAACUUAAAUUAAGAUUAGUUCUACAAAGAAGCGGCUGAUAGCCUAUAAUGUUUUAUCAUUUAGGAGGGUUAUUAGGGUCUCUUACCAUCCAUGGAAGUACAAAUCCUGGUGGUUUAUCGUGAUGUUUGGUAAAGUAAAUCCCAUCUUUAUAUGCAAUCCAUCGACGUAGCUCCCCACAUCGACGAAAAGUAGCUGCUCUAUAUACUUGAAUAUCAUAAUAAUAUUCUAGUUUAUAUUUUUUAGAUAUAUACGAUAAACGACACAUCCAUGCUCUCUUUUUGUGAUCGAUGGAUUUAUCCUGGAAUUCCAUGAUAAUUGGGACAAUAGCAUCUUUUAAUUGUUUUACUCCUACAUCACCGUUUGGAUUCUUGGAACGACAGUGAACUUGUAGAAUUGUUCCAGGAGGAAGGUGGUUUUGAAUUUCUAUACGAUUAUACCUGCAAGCUUCAUUCAACCAAAAAAACAUAGCAAUGUAGAAUAUUGUUGUUGUUGAAAUAAAGAUAGUUUUUGGAGUAAUAAAGGAAUCAAUGUAGAAUAUUUAUACUUUGUUUUGUAGAAAACAUUUUACCUUAAUUUAUCAAACAAACUAUUUAUGGUGUUGGUCAAAGGAGAGUUUAGUGUCUAAAAGUAUGGUUAACCAAUAGGAUCAACUAAUCUUUUCUUAUUUUUUUGGUUAACACUAGCCAUUCACUGAUCCACAUCAGCUAAUAACGUUUUCUAAAAUCAUACCAUGAUAGCAAAUACAAAUGGGCUAAAUAAAAGUAUUGGUGGGCUAAAUUAGCAACAACUCAAAUUAAUUCUUUUGCCAGCAAAACGCUUUGCAUAAGAAAUUAUUUUAACGUUUUUUUUCAAAUACUAUUUAAAGUUUAAUUUUCGUGGUAGAGAAAUACUAUCUAUCUACAUAUACAUUUUUACAGGGUUUUUUUUGCAUAAAUUCAUUUGGAUCCGGUUUUACCCGGGUUUAACUCUAUCCGGAUCUUGAAUAAGAAAUUUUAGGAAUGUUGUAAUAAAAACAAACAAAUAUUUUGAGUAUAAUUGCUCUUAUAAUUUGGUUUAAUGUUAUUACCUAAACUAAUUGCCAUAUUAAUCGGCUCUAUUCCUUUUUAUCUCUAAUUGAUUUCGAAUCUUUACACAAUCUAAGCUAAGAAAAUUCGUUAAGGAAAUCUUAAAUAAAAAACGACAUUAACUCUUAAAUUACCCAUAUUUUAUGGCAAUUGGAUCUUCAAUUAAAAAUCUGCAAAAUAAAAACAAAUAAGAACAUAAAUGGUUGAGUAUAUGACGAAAUCAAUAAUAUAUAUUGAAAUCGGAAGUUAAUAUACGCCCUGAUUUUAGGUAAUUACCAUAAUUACUCGAUAUCUAAUAAAAUAAAUAUUCGAAAUUUAAAUUCAUAUCUCAUAUAUUAAGCAACUACCAAAUCAACAAAUAAUCAACAAAAUCCUAAUGAAUAACAAUAAGCUUCGUUUUUUCCUAAAAUAUCGAAAUCAUUAACUAUAACCGCACGAAAUCAGGAACGUAAUUUUAUCAAAUCAAAAAUUAAGGAAUGAUGAUUUGAAAUAUUUUAUAUGUUCACUGAAUGAAAGAUUUGAGAUAUUCAAAAUUUAUGGGAGAAUAUUCCUAAACCAGAAACUAAAUAUUGUAUACUUGAAAGAUAAUGUAUAGAUUUAUUCAUAUUUAACCUAAAAGUAACACUGCAUAAGGCGAUCUUCUUGACUAUAAAUACAUCAUCCCAUUUCUACAAUUCUCAAUAACCCAAACGUGUUGGAUUCACGUACCUUGACGACAAUGAGCCUUUCAAUAUAAGUUGGCACAGUCAUGUGGAAACGUGUGGUAUCAAGUUGUUUCUAAUUAUUUUUAUUUUUUUUAUUAUUGUGGAACUAAGGUUGUGUUUUCUCACAUGCAUGCUAUCAUAUGUGGGAAAAAAAAUCGGUGAAAGAUAUGAAGAGACUCUCAAUGUGCAUUAACACUCCUAGAUCGUUCAUUUGAUGAGCAAUGUCCAAGUAUACAAAAUCUUCUUCUUAUAAUGAUUUAAUUGUAGUGUUUCUUAUAAUUAAGUGAGAAAUAAUGAGAUUCACAAAUGAUAUACUAUAUCUUACUAACUAUUCUUUGUUUUUAACUACAGAUUCAAGACCUAAAAUAAGGAGGUAUCUACUCCUAACUAUAAAUCUAAUGAUUUGAAUGAUUUGAAUGUUUUGAACGUUUUUCGUUAAUCUCACUAUCCUCUUUUCCCUACGUUUUACUAAUAGUAGUGAAAACUAAUAAGUUACAAUGUCCACUUUAUCUACAGCAUCAUCUACGAGUAGAAUAAACGACUCGGUACUGAGGUAUAAUAUCUAUACAUUCUUCUUAACAAAAACCAGCUUCUACUGGAUUAGGACAUACACUACUAAGAAUUCUAUUGUACAGGAUCUAAAUUUGUGUGGGAUACUUGAAGAAAUAGCGAGGCGUGGAAUGUCAUUCGAUGAAUUACUCACCAUCCCUGAACAGGAUGAAUGGGUUUAUAGUGACGGGAAAUCAACAGCAUGUGUUGCUUUCAUCCUUGCAAUGUACAAAGCCGCUGGUGUAUUCGGCCCUCUCGCUAAUCACAUUCAAGUCACUGAAUUCACGGUGCGUUUCUUUUCUUCUUUCGAUAUCAAGUCUUUCCAUUUAACAUCACUCUUGAGCAUUUAUUUCUUUCCUAUUCUCAGAUCCGAGAUGCGUACACUCCGAAGUUAUUUGAGUCUAACCAGACUCGGCUACCGAGUUGGUGCAACACAGAGGAAGAGAAGCUUGACUUCUGUCAGAUUCUAGGUGAAUACAGAAUGGAGUUGUUUUGUUGUUUGUAGCAAAGCAAUUGGGUUCAAAGUAAUUGUGAUGAUGGAUACACAUUAAUUCCAAAUACGCUUUUUUGUUUUUUUUGUUACAUAACAACAUUCAUAUCGAUUUUAUUUAUAAUGGAUACACAAUUACACACAUUCAACACUUUAAUUUUAUUUGCACAAAAGACAUGUAUAUAGAUAUUGGAAUUUUUAAUAUUUAUUUGCUGAAUAAAAAUUUACAAACUAAAUCUAAACUCAUAUAUUAUGUAAAGAAGAAAAUAAAUGCAUAUUUUAAUACUCUAUACAUGAGUGCGUAAUGAACUAUAUAUCUCUAUCUCUAUAUUUUCAAGAAUAAAUUUAAAAUAUACUAAUCCUACAAUAUAUAGAUAUAUAUAAAUCUAUAUAUAUAUAUAUACAUUUAAAUCAUAAAAAAUAGCAUAUAUGUAAAAGAAAAACCUUAAAAUAAAAAUUCAAAUCUUUAUUAAACAAAAAUAUAGGCCCGCGGUGUACCGCGGGUUAAUUUCUAGUAUAUAUACAUUUUUGGUGAAGAUUUGGCCUCAAAAAUCCUUUUACAAGUUCAAUAUUAUACAAUUAGUCCCUACAAAUAAAAUCUGACAAAAUAUUUAUCUUAAUGAAAUUUACAAAUCAAUUAAUAAACUCUUCUAACAUUUCCUAUUUUUUUAAAAACGAGAUUUGAGAUCCUAACAUAUGGAAAUCAAAUAUUCGAAAUUAAAUAAAUUCCUAAUUUUGCGAUAACGAGAUUUGAUAUUCAAAGAUAUGGAAACCAAAUAUUCAAUUUUAAAUGAUAUAAAACUUUAUAAGAAUUAAAGAUGUUAACAAAAGAAUUAAAACUUUCUAAAUAAUAUAUGGUAUAUAUUAUUUGUUUCUAUAAUCUCGAUCGGAUUUUCCAUUAAUUAUUUUUCUAAACAACUAACUUAAUUUAAUACAUUUUAAUCGAAAUUUUUGGAAUAUUAAUCACUUACCAUAAAUACAUUUUUUAGAAAAACGUUUAAUGCUGAAAUAUUUUAAUUCAAUAAAUUAUUUGAAAAGAUAUUCCAAACGAUUUAUAAAUUAAUUUGUUUCUAAAAAUCUCGAGGUAAAUCUUUCCAUAUAUCUCACCAUUUCUCAGUUUUUGAAAUCAUAAAUCGUUAACACACACAUCUUUGCCAAUAUUCUCGGCACAAUCUUAGUAAAAAAUCUCUACACAAUUAAUUGAUACUCUACAAAAUAUUCAUACCUUAGAUUUUAUGGAAACUAAUAACUAUUAUUAAUACUCCCAUUUUCAGCAUAUACCUAAAAACAUUCCAAUUACAUAUGGUUGAUUCCAUAUUUAGUUAAGAUUGCGACUUAUUUUUUGCGUGAUCACCAAGAGAAUAUUGACCUAAUCGUCUGAACCUAUAUAUACUCUAUGGAUUUACGUCUCAUCACAUCAUCAAAAACACACAUGUCAUUUAUAAACCCUGCAAACAUUUCUUCAACUGCAAAUGGCUGCUAUAUUUGCUUAACGAAAAGACCUUUACAUAUCUAAAGGUAGGGAGAAGAAGAAGAUGAGCUUUUGUUAUCCAGCAGUAAUAGAACGGCUAUGGCGGAAGCCUAAGAGCUUUUCGACUACGAAGCUCUCUGUGCCAAAAUCGAUAGUUGCGAUGGCGUUUUUCACACUGCUUCUCCGAUGACCGACGAUCCCGUAAGUUCAUAAUUUUUUUAAUCGGUUGAGGAGUAUUAGUAUAAGUAUAAUACAUAUGUUUUCUUAGUUUUAAUUUUCUAAAUUAAUCUAACUAAUUAGGAGACAAUGUUGGAGCCGGCGGUAAACGGAGCCAAGUUCGUGAUUGAUGCAGCGGCUAAAGCCAAGUUCAAGCCCGUGGUUUUCACGUCAUCAAUUGGUUUAGUUUACAUUAACCCUAACCGUGACCCUCAAGCCAUAGUUGACGAAAACUGCUGGAGUGAUCUUGAUUUCUGCAAAAAUACUAAGGUAUGGUUUUAUCUAUGUUAUAAGUUUUGGAGAUGUGCUUCUGCAAUAAAAUCGAACAUGCGGCUAGAUUAAGGUUUAGGUCUUUAACCUUAAAAGUUAAAACCUAGACCAUGUUACUUUUGGAAUUCUAACUUUUCUUUUUAAUAAUCUUCCUUAUAGAAUUGGUAUUGCUACGGGAAGAUGGUGGUGGAACAAUCGGCGUGGGAGACGGCGAAGGAAAAAGGUGUAGACUUGCUGGUGAAUUAAAUCUAGCGGUAACUUUUUUAUUUUGUUCGUUUGCAUAAAUAAGUUUAUUUCUAUUGAUAUGGUUAUGGUUAUUUCUAUUAACAAAAAAAAUUCUUAUAUUGCUUCCCCAAUUUGAGUGCAGUUUAACUUUCUAGCACAUGACGAUGAGCAGUAUGUGUGGGAGUCUCAGGCCGGUGGGUCUUUCACUGUGACCAGAGACACCUCUGGGGAGGCUCUUGGUAGAGGAACCAAGAUGGUCCUUUACCUCAAGGAAGACCAGUUGGUUAGAAUAUUGUUUUUCUCUUAUUAGUUUUUGAAGAUGAUGGCCGAUUGAUUUUGUAAGAUUUACAAUCUUUUAUUUUAGGUGACAGGUGAGGAAGCUAUUAAAACAGCCUUAGGGGAAAUGGAUUCAACCAAAGAAUCUUUACUAUUCUGGAAAGACCAUUCAAAAUUUGAUGUUGGAACAUCUUUGUUAACCAAGUUUUUAAUGCAUUCAACAGAUGAAUUUUCCUAUUAAAGUUUUUUUUUGUUUGGAUUUUUAAUUUUCCAAUCAACGAUGGUAUGUUUCAUCUCUCCGUUUUUAGGGUUUCUUUAACUGUAAGCUCAUUAAGUGAUAAUGAAAUCAAUUACUUCAAUAUAUUAAUUUGAAUCUAUAAAAAAGAUGAACUGGAAGAUUCCAGUUGCACAUGUAACUCCAGGUGUGUUUUCUCAUCUUUGAGUUUUAUGAAAAGAUUUGUGUGAUGUAUUAUUUUGAUGAUUAAAGCCAAGUUGAAUUAGAAUUUGGUUUCUGAUUCUUGAUAUAUUUUUAUUUGGGUUGUAGAAGCUAACAGAAGCUAUGAAGAAGAAGAGGAAGCCCCAUUACACUCUUCAGCAAGGAUAUAUGAGGGGUUAUUGGUUCAUAGAUUUAUAUGGAAUUAGAAAUCCAAACAAAAAUCAUUUGUUAUUCAAUCAUUGAUUUUAAAAUCCUAAUUAAAUUCAUGUGUUAUUGGUUCUAUGAUUUAUAAAUACUAGUUAAAAUCUUAUGUUAUUCGUUUAGUCAUUUGUUUUUGGAUUUGAGAAUCCAAAUUAUGUUUUAAAUGGAAUUGAAUGGAAUUGAAAGAGAAAAAUAGAAGGAUUCAAAUCCAUGGGUAAACACAUGUUAUUUCAAAAUCCAUAUAUCUUGAUUUCAUAAUUAAUAGAAAUUUUCAAAUUCUAUAUGGAUUUACAAAUUAACAAACUAAUAACACCCCCAUAGAUUAUUGUGAAACUGAGAUUUCUGGCUUAAGUUUUUUUUUCUACUUAUUGUAACAUAGGAUUUUGAUGGUUUCACUUUCAUCUACAUAUUUUCAAUUUACUACUUUAUCCACUUUCAUAUAUUACAAAUAGCAUACUCUCUAUUUUCUUAUCUCCAUUACUUUAUAAGAGUGAUUUAUAUGUUUAAAUUUAAGAUAUAAAUACAAUCCUUUCAUAUUAUUUCAAAUUAAAUACAUGUUUGUUUGUAACUAACAUACAAUGACAGAGUCAAAUAAAAUUUCUUAAAUGUAGUGUAUUACCAGGUUAGUCGACUAAUGUUCAGACCCAUCUAAAUUCUAACCCGCAGUGUCUAACAUGAGAAGAGAAUGGUAACAACGACCAACACUAAAAUGAGUUUUAUACUUGAUUAACAUAUGCACUUCAUAACUCCAAUAAAAUUUUACAAUAUAAACACAUUGUAUAUUACUUGGCUUGGAAUUAAAACACAAAAUUCAGUUCUACCACUAUAUUUCAAAUUAAAAAUAUUAUACUCAAUACCACACAAAAAUUCUCAACCAAAAUCUAUACUAAUAGAUAACAAAAUUUCGCAUAUAUUAACAACACAUAAGACUCGGGCGAAGCACGGGUUAUGGUUGAUGUUAAUAUGGGAAGGUAUACCACAAGUGAAAUUCUAGAAUUAACAAUCAAAAUAUAAUUAUAUAAUCUUAAACACUAAACAUAACAAACAAUAUUAACAUAUCAAAUAUAACUUACAAUUAAAAUUUAUAGUUAAAGAAAAAUUGAUUCUCAGUGUACCCAAAAUCAAACAUAAAUUUAUACCAAUAAAACAUCAAAAAUUAAUACAACAAUAUAAUAAAUUUAUAACUAUAUAUAUAUAUAUAUUACCCCGCGGUACACCGCGGGGUCAAAUCCUAGUUUAAAGUUAUAUCAUGUAUUGUAAUAUUCUACUAAUUACGAACCAAUCUUUGUUACAAUUGACAUGGGUGGCAUGAAGCGUUAAGCAUAUAAAUUUUCAUUUCUUGAAUGGGUUACAUGAUUCCAGUGCUAUAUUUACAUGACAACUACCUUUUGACAUUAAAAAAAAACCUUCGUUGCUUUUCUUAUUGUUAAAUAAACGACCUUCAUGGUUUGUAUGAAAUAGAAGCACACUUUUGAUGUGCAAGCUCGACAGAAAACAAUAAGCAUCAGUAAAUGGCAUUAAUAUACAUACCAAUUUAAAAAUAAAAAUUUAAUUUAAAUUUGUAAAUAUAACUUACAAUAAAAAUGAUAUAUAAAAUGAAUAAUUAAUAAUAACACAUACAAUUUUUAGUUUAAAAAUAGGUUAUCAUCUUUUUAAUCUUCUAUAUAUACAUUUUUGGAGUACACUUACUAAAUAAAUCCUAGAGUUGCUAAGUAUUUACAAAGAAUGCCAUUAUCAUAAAUGUUUAUCUAUUAAUUAAUAUUACAAAAUAUAUUCGAAAAAAUCUUUUAGAAACUAUGGCUUCCAAAUAUGAAUUGAUUUUGUUUCUAAAUUUUCCUAAAACAUCUCUACCUAAUUUAAAAAUUAAUGUAUGAUUCUUCUUUCACUUUUAUAUGAUCUUAUAGUAAUUUAUUUGGAAUUUAUAUAAAAUACAUAUAAUUAAUAAAAUAAUAAAAAAAAUUUUGCAUAUAAUGUACACAUAUUUCGACGAUAUUAAUUAUAAUAUAAAAUAAUUAAUUAUUUUAUUUCUACACCUACAACUCUUCUAAGUACACAUAUUUCGACGAUAUUAAUUAUAAUAUAAAAUAAUUAAAUGAAUUUUUUUAUUUAAUAUCAAAUUAAAAUCCAAUAAAUUAUAUAUUAUUAUAUAAAAUACAUAAAAUACAAUUUUGUCCCGCGGUGUACCGCGGGUUAAAUCCUAGUGUAAUGUUAAAUUUUAUUCAAGAAAAGUUAGUGUCUGUUACAUCAAAUGCCAAUGUUUUUGAAUAAAUUUGAGUAGGUAAUAAGUAAUAACACAUGAAGAUGACAAUUAACUUCUAGAGGCAAACCAUACUUGGAGAUAUAGCUCGUAUCUAUUAUAGCUUGUAGCCAGAAUCAUUGAGCGUUAAUUGCGGAUGUGAUGUUAUUCGAAUGCGGUUCCAAAUGUCUUUCGUUGCGAAUGUAGCUUUAUAAACCACAUGGUGGUUGGCGAGUGGUUCUCGUUUGGUUGGAAGGAUCGCCCUGUUGGUCUAGGCCAGGGAUCGAUCCUCCCCAGACGCAGUUUCGCUCUCUCACUCCUGUGGCCACCUGGGAAUUUACCUGCGGACUUGCUCAGGCGCCCCAGACCACCAGUUUAUCAGGGGGCCCUUAAGUGGAGGCUUAAAAAUCCCUGUGACGCGGGCUUAGGCCCAGUGGGCUAGUCAGAUCACUGUGUGGUCUGUAUACUGGGUUAUCAAAAAAAGAAUGUAGCUUUAUAAGAGUCCCCUCUAUCUGGCCAUAAUAGAGACCCUCAGCUAGCAUAUAUCUACUUUGCCACUUCUGUUCUAGUGCAUUCUCUACCAAGUUUAGAUUUUGACCUGGUGUCUUUUUUUUCUUCGAGUUCUCCAUGCAUUAGCCAGAGAAGCAUUCCUUCCAAUCCCCAAGUCAAUGACGCCUCUAGAACCAGCCAUAUCCAUUACGCACCGAGAUUCGACCAGUUGUCAUACAAAAAUGAAGUUGAUGCUCCAUUCCUUAAUUCACUCUUACAAAACGUUUAAGCCACUUUCAUAUAUUUCAACAAUUUUUGCAAUAUUUACGAUUCUGAACUCGUGUUCUCCCAAUUAGAGCAAAACAAUUCUGUCUUAACAAAUUAUUUUAAAAAUACUACUCGGUCCGUUUCAAAAUAUAAGUCGUUUUGGAGAAAAAAUUUGUUUUACAAUAUAAGUCGUUUUCAAGUUCUUAUACAAAUUAUAUAUUAUUUUAAUAUUUUAUAACUAUUUAUAAUAUGCAGUUUCUUUUACGAUUGACUGAACUUUUUAAAAGUGUAUCUUUUUAACCUGCAUGCUUUUAGAUAAAACAACUUAUAUUAUAAAACGGAUGGAAUAUUAGUUAUCAAAUAUAUACCUAGACAUAACUUAAAUUAUUAUUUAAUAUAACGCAAAAAACUAGUCAUAAUAGCUAUUAAAGCCAUCAAGCCAUCAAUAAAGAAUGGUGGUAAUAUUCAUUUUAAUUACUUGAAAAGAAAAAGAAAAAAAGAGUAUAGAUUUAGGAUACGACAUAGGACGAAAUCAAACUCACUAUUUAAGAAUAAAGUAUGAUUAGAUUAUAGAUUAUAAAUAAGAGUAACGUUGAUAUUAUUGUUGAGAAUACGAAUUUCGAUGAAUAAUAAAUAGAGAGAUGAUUAGACUCCGAGAGCGGAGGCUUUGCGUUGCACUAAUCAAAUAAUUAGGCGCACCAAAUUGGCUUUAUCGCUUAGCUGGAGUCUACUGUCCACUCUCUACCAUAUUAAUAUUAAUUAUUGGGACUCUUAUUUAAUCAUCAUCAAUCAUCCUUUAGUAUUCCCUUCGUUUCAAAAUAUAAGGCGUUUUAGCUAAAAACACGCCGAUUAAAAAGUUCUAUUUUUUAAACGUUCAACCAAUCAUAAAAGAGACUGCAUAAUAGAAAUAAUCAUAAAAUAUUAAAGUAAUAUAUAAUUUGCAUAAAAACUUGAAAACGACUUAUAUUGUGAAACAAAAAUUUUUUUCCAAAACGCUUUAUAUUUUGAAACGGAAGAAGUAUUAUCAAUACUAUAUUAUUCGAAUAAUGUUCGAUAAUAAGGUUUUAUGAAUAUACCUUUUCCUUAAUCAUAAUUUGGAACCCUUGAUCAUGUGGCGUACAAACACUUCACAAGCAGGAAUAUUUGAAUUGUAAAUUUUGAUAAUAAUGAGGAUAUAUAAUCACAUGACGCAUGUUAUAUCUCUACUCCAUUGUCGGAGUUAGAUUGAUAACUCUUUUGAUAAUUUUUUGCUGCAUAGAAGAAAUAUACAGUUUUGAUUGUUAUAAAUUCCGAAAUUAUAUAAAAAAUGAGAUAUACCAUAAUCUAUCUCUUACCGUUAAAUUUAUUGUCAUUUUAUGUCACUAAUUAGAUAUGUCAUGAUGCAAGUGCAUACAUGUGUCUUGAUGGAUUUCAUAGGUGUAAAAUUGUUUAAUAGUUCUCUUAACUUUACCCAACAUGACACAACGUUGUGCUGUGCUUUGUGACUACUGUCAUUAUUUAUUAGCCUAAUUUAUAGUUAUAAUUUAAGUUUUGUAGAUUCGUCGGAAUUAACCGUUACAAUGGGUGCAAUGAACCAUAUAUUUAAUAAAUGCGUACAUUAUAGUUUAAUAUUCUAAAAGUUUUCUUAAAGCCAUGAAACUAGUGUGGACAAAUUAUUCGUCUUUAGUAGUAGUAGAAGGCUAAAAGCAACUUGAACGUAAUGGUUUUGAUAUGUGGCAAUUUACCAUGGCAGCAAAAUCUUGUAGAAAAUAUUAUCAAUCGGAAAAGGGUAAAGGUUAAUAAACAUAAAUAAAAUCAAAAUUGUCAAAGAGCCAAUAUAACAAGCUAGCAAAAUUAAUGAUUGAUAAAAAAACACUAAAAAACUGAGAGAAAGUGAUCAAAAUCGAUAGAAUAUAGCUUUAUAUAUAUAUUGUUGAUAAAAAAAUUAACACAUUUUCUCUUAAAAAAUAAAAAAAUAAACACAUUUCUAUAUUUUUACGUUUUAUGUAUUAGUUCCUUUUUAAUAUUUCAUUCAUGUAUUGUUCAUCAUUUAGUUAUUUGUUAAUUUUUUUUGAUAUCAUAAUGUCAUUUACUUCAGUUUAGUUAUGUAUGUGGUCAUUUGACAAUUUUCUCUAAUCUUUCUUACCUUUAUCUUUAUUCUUUAAUAUUAAAAAGAUAUUUCUCUAUGUUUGUCACACUAUUAAAAAGAUAUUUCUUCAUAUGUUUACCUUUAACAAAAACAAUAUCUGUUUUUUUUUUUUUUUGUUACCCUACUAGAAAGAUAUUUGUUGUGAUGCUUUUUCUGUCAUCGCCCCAAUCUAGUCAAUAUACCAAAAUUAAUUAAUUUUUUUUUGUCAUCUAAAAUUUUUAUUGAUUAACUUGUUAUGGAACCGAGGUGGAAUACAAACGCCCAAAAGAGGGAAACAAAACCGGCAGACGACAUGAAUGUCCCCAAAGUCAUAGCCAAAGGAUAACGAGAAAUCCCCGGAAUCUAAACCUUAUGAAAAGAAAACUAAAGAUACUGAAAACACAAAGCUGAAUUAUUUUAACAUAAACCGAAAGUGGACGAAACAUUCAACUUAUUUUAACCUAGUCAAUAUACCAAAAUUAAUUACUCGAAGACAAAUCUUACAUAUAAUAUUAAAUCUUAUAAUGAAAAAGUCUAAAAGCGUAUGACUUGACUCCGAGGCCUAGAAGACUUGCUUUAAGACUAGUCAAUUAGGAAGUACAGAAGCAAUGUAUAAAUCUCAACCUCUUCGUGAUAUAUUCUUCUUUCUUAUAGCCAACUAAAUUACAAGUCUACGUUAAUGCAACUAUUACAAAUUCAAAUAUUGGUAGAUAAUAUUGUACUUACCACAAAUUUUUAAAUCUCCAUGAUUCAUACAUUUAAAAAGACGACUGUAUUCUCAUUGCACUAUAAAUAUGUUUAACUUGCAUAUAUUCAAAGUGUAUACAAGUCUUUUUUUUUUUUUUUUUUGGGCAAAGAGUGUAUACAAGUCUAACUUGCAAUAAUUAGUGUAACAUUUUCUUUGUGUCUAAAUUGCAACAAUAAGUGUAACCACUUCUAUCUUUUUUUUUAACAAAUUAAGGGGAGUGUAUUCAAUAGAGGAUUUGAAAUGAUUUGUAUUAAAAUUUUAAAUCCUAUAUUAUUCAAACAUGAAUUCUAAAAAAAUUUCUAAAAUCAAGUGUUAUUGGAUUAGUGAUUUUAAAAUUUACAAUCAAAUCCACUGUUAUUGGAAACAUUUUAAGUUGUAGAUUUGAAGUGACUUGAGUGACUUUGGGUGGGAUUUCAGAGAAUAUCUUAGUUAAAAAUUCAAACAUCCAAAUCCCAUGGUUUUAGGUGAGAUUUGGGAGAAUUUUAAUAACAAAUUUCCUAAUUCACCAAAAUUCACCAAAAUCAUCUCAAAACUCAUUAAAACUCAAAUCACUCUAAAUUCUUUCUUCAAUACAUCCCCCUAAGAAACUUUGGUUUUUAGCUAUUCUAAAAAUUCCAUCGAAUCCAUCAAACUGAUGUUACAGUUUAUUGCUUAACACAUACUCCCUCUGUUCCUAGAAGAUUGACUUUCUAGAGAUUUCACAUUUCUUAAGAAACAAUCAUUGUUUAAUUAUUUAUUUUUGUUAAAUAUUUUUUAAUAAACUAUGAAUCAAUAGUAAUCUGAAACAGUUAAUCAUUACGUCUUAAAAUCUACGAUUUAUUAAAAUCAAUUAAUUAAAAAUUAAAAAAAAUCUAGAAAAUCAAUCUUUGUGGAACAAACUCAAAACACUAGAACAUCAAACUUUAGUACAACAGUAGUCAUCUAAGGACAACAGUUUCUUUCUAUUUUAUAGUACAACGAUUUUGCUAAAGAAUAAAUAAGUUGAUUAUGAAAACAAUCAUUUCUUAUCAUAUUAUAAAAAUGUAAAGUUUUCAAAUUCAACUAUUCUUGAUAUUUUGCAAUACAUUUUUUUCCUUGUUUAUUACUCCCUCUGUUUCAUAAUAUAAGUCGUUUUAGGUAAAAGCACGCCGAUUAAGAAGAUCUAUUUUUUAAAAGUUCAACCAAUAAUAAAAGAGACUGCAUAAUAUAAAUAAUUAUAAAAUAUUAAAGUAAAACGACUUAUAUUGUGAAACAAAAAACUUUAUCCAAAACGUCUUAAUUAUGAAACGAAAGGAGUAUAUGUUAGUGUUAGAGCUUUUGUUUUUUGAAUGGUGACAAAAAUAUCAAUUUCCAUUAUAACUUUAAUAAAGUUUUUAUUUCCACUAUACCUUUAAAAUAUACAUUUUUCAUAAAUGUCAUAACAAAUCAUUGUGAUCACACUUCUACAUCUUUCACUGAAUUAUAAUGGAUUUGUGUAUGUAAAAACAAUUUUAAAGCAACUGAAACCGAGAAUAAAACUUUACUUAUUCAUGUAUCUUUUACCCAAAAGAAGAGGAUAAAAACAUUACAAAAGUGAUAAUAUGACUGAAUCUCAUAAAAUUCAAAAGCUAAAAAAAGAUGGCGGUUAAAAAGCUAGAAAAAGAGUGAGUGUAAAGAAAUUUAUUUUCCCAUAGAUUUUGGCAACAAGACUGCGACCCAAAUCUGAACAGACUGACACAUAAUUGUGUUGAAGUCACGCUCCCUCACAGCUAGGAACAUUAUCAUUCAUCACCACCAUGUGCAUUUAUGUGCUCAUCAACUAUUUUUACAUUUAAUAUUCUCCAAAAACAUUGUAUUAUUAAGAAAAUGAUGAAUAAUUAGUUAAUUACAAUGAAUAAGUUUACUUUUAAUAACAUCAGAAUAUUCUUUUCAUAAGAGAUUACAUAUAAUUAUGAAAUAAAGUAUAAACGGAUCAUUUGUAAAAGCGUAUUAAAAGUGAUUAGUUUGAUUAUAGGAAAUUUUUUCCAAGUUUUGUUCAAAGUCAGCAAAGUCGAACCCAUAUUUGUCUGCGGAAACUUCAUGCGUCUUUGUCGCCAAUUGCCACAUAACGUUGGAAGUUUAUUCCAUAGUCAAUGGACGACGAUGGAAGUUAAUUUCUAAAAUUUUACCAAGAGCGACGGGAAAUAUGCAAGCCAAUGAUUUAUAAUGAUCACUUGCACAUAUUGCAUAGUCAACUCAACUCUAUAACUUAUUAAUACUAUAAAAAUUGGAUAAAAAUUCGUCGCUAAUUAAGCACAUUGCAUCAAAUCAGAACCGGUCCAACGUUAUCAAAAACGGUACUUAAAAUUAAAAAUUUUUGUUAUCAUUUUUGAAUGUUAUAAAUUUAUAAACGUAAAGAACAUUAAAAAUUCAAUGGUAACGAUAAAAAAAAAAUGUUAAUCAUCAAAACCAAACUAAAAAAAUAACAAAUUUUUGGAUGUAAUUAAAUUUCAUCAUUUCAACAACAUUUUAUAUCAGUAAUUGGAUGUCACACAAGUACGAAUGAACACAAUUUGGAAGAUGGUCACAUUCACAUAUAAUAAAUUAAUCUUUUUUUUUUGUCAAUAAGAUACAUUUUACUGGAUUUGAAUAUAGAUUGUGACAUCCUUUUACCAUCUUAUAAAUACAUUUCUUAUUUUUGUAUUUUUUUGUUAUAUGUUAGGGUUCCUACGUUGACAACAAAGUAUUUAUAUACGUUUAACAAGCAAUAUAUGUAAACAGGUAGAUGGUUCGCCGACCUUUCAAACCGAAAGAAGUCGAUAGCACUAUUAUGAAGACCGAUUAAUUAAGUUUGAAUCGAGUUUUGAAUUCUAAAAAGCCGGUUUAUUUAAAUUAUUUAAUAACAUCCUACGUCGUACGUACUUGGUUGAUUAUAUUUUAAUGUAUUUUAUUAGCAUUCUUAUGGAUUCAUUCUUUGUUUCCUUGUUGGACAAGGGAUGCUUAAUUACGUAUUAUAAUUCGUAGGGUUUAUGUUUAGAGAAUAAAACGAUUCAUCUACAUUUGACAACAAAACGAGCCUUUUGUUAUAUAGAAUAUGAAUUAGCCUAAAUACAAAACUAUAUAUCAUUCCUCUUCCAAGUUGUUACGUUUUGGUUUAGUUUCUUUAUGUUAAACUUGAUUUGCUUCUCAAAGUUUGGUGAGAACUUUUAACUCUAAAAUGAUUCUUAAAUUCUGUGUUCGUUGAUGAAACAUAUUCUCUGUUUUAGUUUGAUUCUAAUUAAAAUUUAGAUAUCUUACGAUGCAUUUCAUGAUAUUAUUUUUAUGGUCAAUUUUAUUUUAUGAAGUAUAGACAUUUACAUAUUAUUAACAAUGUUAUUUAUCAAAUUGGAAUCCGACACAAUUUCUGGGGUAUGAUUUAUAGGAGAAAGCAUCCGUAAAACGUAAUACGGAGUGAAAACAAAUUCUUUUUCUUUUAUAUUCGUAUUAUUUAAUGGUUAACUAUCUCAAAAUAAUCAAAAACCAACCUCAAUAUUUAUUAAUGUGUAAUAAAAAAUUUAUUAGUCAGUCUUUGAUCGUAAAACAAACUAAAAAAAAUUGUACGAUAAGUAAAUAUCCUCUCUUUAUUUUUCUGGUAAAAAAACUCAAUAUCAGUAAAAAAUAAAGUUGAGUUAAAAAAAAAAAAGAAAAAAUAAAAAAAAGAAGUAAAUUUUUUAACACGAUAAGAGAAAGAAAAUAUCUUCCUCUCGGCGAUAAAAAUAGAGAAAGCUAACAGUCCCGUUUAAGCGUGUGACCGGCGCGUGGCGGCUUAGAUAGCGUCGGCGUCGGUCCUUCUUGUUAGUCUUCUGUUUUUUCUUUGUCGUGUUGGAGCUGUCGUCGUUGUUGGCGAAGUGAAGAUUUUUCUGGAUCUUAGAUCUAAAAAGGCUUGGUUAAGGGUUUCGAUUCGUCGGAGCCUUUGGCCUUUUGCGUGGUUGGAGUUUCUUCUCGGUGUUGUGGAUGUUGUGGUCUCUUCCAUGGUCGUUUCAGUUUUGGGUCCGACGAAGGUGAUGAGAGAUGGUACUUGCCGUGGCUAAUGUUUGCUGGAGGUCUGGCUCUCCUUCUUUUGAUGGGGUGCGACGGUAUCUGGUAUCUUAGCGUUUGUGGUUUGGCUACUGUCUUCUUUGUGCUUUCGUUAGUUUCGUUCUCUCCGAUUUCACUUGUGUUCAUGUCUUUGUGCCGUCAUUGAUGGGUGGUUGGAGAUUGUUUUGGGAUUCUGUUCUAUAUCCAGUCUUUUGUGGUUUAGCAUCGUUUUCCUUUGCCUAUUCGUUGUCUUGUGGAGUAAGUUUGUUUUUCGAUCCGGUCCGUUCUCUUGCCGUCUUCAGUCUUUGGUUGGUUGCGGAUUUGUUUGGGCUCAGUCCUUGUCUCUAUGCUAUAGAUCUGAUCGAGAUCUCUAUAUUGCUUGGGUAUCUUUCUUGGCGUUGUCCGAUCUUGGUUUUCUUUUGCCUCGAUUUCGCCGUUUCAAGGAGAUGUUUGGUUCUCUUCUUGCUGGAUGGGAUGCUGCAAUUAUUUGAAUUGUGAGGUAGUCUUCUUUUGUUAUAGGAGGAGUCGCUAUCCGGUGUUGUGGAAUUGAUCUUCCCCUUCGUUUAGCCACUACUGCAAGCUUUUCUAUUAUUUGGAUUGAUGGUAGGCAAAGCCUCUUGUGCUAGAUUCUGGUUAUAGUUUUUGAUCUUCCAUGCUUCAGUUUCUCUUUUGCCCUUCCUUGUAUUUCGCUUUGUUAUGCAUUUGAAGUUGUGUUUUUAGGCUUCCCAUACUCUUGGGCUUUAGACUCCGAGGAUUUCAUGUUAUCCGUCGGCUUAGAUUUUGGGGUUAUCUUGUUAAUCGCCAGCUUUGUAAAACUUAAUCUAUUUAUCUUUCAGUUAAAAAAAAAAAAAGUUAUAAAAAGAAGUGGUUUAUCUAACAAAUGUUAAGUAACCUAUUCUGGUAUAAUAUUGUUCACUAACCAUACAUAAUCAUAAAAGGGAAAAAACCCGAAAAAACCGCCAUUUAUUUUUUUUUGACCGUUUAAUACCUAUAGUUUUAAAUUUAGAAUAAAAAUACCUCGUUUAUUUUCGGUUGCCUUUUAAAUUCAUUGUUUUUAAAAUCUUGGUAAUUUCGGACCCGGGACUUAACAGCUGUUAAUAGACGUAACGGAAUGGUUUUAACCAUACGUUUUUAAAUAUAUAAAUACAAUAGGUUUACAACAGAUUACGUAUUUGUUGUCUUGGUCUGGUGGUACAACCCUUUAAUUUUUUUUUUUUCAUUUUUUUUCCUUUUUUAUCUCACUUCGUCUUCUCACGGAUCCCUGCAAUCGAUUUUAUUUUUUUCAAUUCAGUUCUCAUCAUUUAUGGUGGUGGUGAUGAAGAGAGAUGUGAUUGAUGGGAGGAAGGAUGAAGAGAGAGUUAGGGAUUUUGGUUUAAUGGUGGAGAUUGAUGGGGAAGUAAAGGAAUUGAGGAGUUUUGAGGAAGAAGAAGUAGUGGCUAGAGAUGAAAUCGCCAUUGACGCAGAGAAAAACUUAGUUUUUUUUGGUGAAUUUGGGAGAAAUUUUGAGGAGAGUGUGAGAUUUUGUGAAAAAGGUGAGGAGGCAAAAAAAAAAAAAAUUGUACGAAGAAGAUGAAGUGAAAUGAAAAAAGCAAAAAAAAUAUUAAAUGGGUUGCAGGCGGUUUCGAACCCUUCAGCUAGGGAUUAAGUAAGACGUGGGUUACCACCAGAGACACAAUAAGUGUGGAAACACAAUCAGAGACAAUGAAUUCUACGUACGGUUAAAAGUUAACUCCGUUAAACAAUUUCGUUACGUCUAUUAGCGGCAGUUAAAUCCCGGGUUCGAAAUUACCAAGAUUUAAAAAAUAAUGAAUUUAAAAGGCAAACGAAAAUAAACGAAGUAUUUUUAUUCCAAAUUUAAAACUAUAGGUAUUAAACGGCCAAAAAAAAAAUAAAUGGCGAUUUUUUCAGGUUUUUUUUCCAAUCAUAAAAUAACAAAAAUAAUUAUCUAAUUGGUCCCAUUACAUCAAUUAAUAAAUAGCUGGUAGAUAAAUAUAGAAAAAGUGAUAAAACAAUCUCCUUCAAGAAAAAGAUAUCCCAGUGGGCGACUAGGGUCAAUGAAAAUGAAAACAGAGACAAAUGGCAAUCCGUAAUUAUUCACAUUUAUGUCAGGGUACUUUCGUAACUUCUCAGCUGACCGUUUCUCGAAUCUGAUUACGUGGCAGUCAUCACAAAUGCCCACAAGAGCACUUCGCUGAAACUCAAUCUCAGCCGUUAGAUCAGAAUCCAAUUCUUUUCAAUACGGCAAGUUGAGAUCCCCAAACCCAUCCUGCUUAACCAUGGUUAAGUCAAUUAACCCAACACACAGAAAUCUCCUAAAAUCCCCAAAAAAGGUCACAAACUUUCUUAAUAAUUACAUAAAAUGCCAUUUAGAGGUUUAGCUAUAAAUUCGUCUUCUGAGACUCGCUAGGUUUGCCGAACCAAUCACCCUUAGGGGACACUUAAGAGAGAAACAGCAAAAUCCUUCUAAAAAAUUCUUCAAUCUUCUUCUCGAAGCUUCUCCAAUGGCGAUUACAUCUUCUAGAACCACCAGAUCAAACGGAUCUGCUCUCCGAUCCAAAUCACCGUCCGGUCGAUUCUGCGGCGUAUACUCAUCAUCAUCAUCUCCGUCGUCGUCAGGUUUCGCUUCUUCCACAAGCUCAAGUUUCUCGUCGCCGUCUACAGCGUUUUUCAGCAGCCACAAUCAAAACAACCACCACCAUAACCACCAACACAGAUCUGCAUCUCCGACGCGUGUGAAUCUAUUCACAUCAGCUCCGAUGACGCAAUCGUUUCGUUACUCGAUCGAUAACAGAUCUAUAUCACCGAAUCGAUCCAUUGCUGUUUCUUCCAAUAAACCUAGUAAUCAUCAUAAGAUUCCAGAUUCGAGAAGGAGAUGUAUGUGUUCUCCGACGACGCAUCCUGGUUCUUUCCGAUGUAGUCUACACAAGAACGUCGCGAAUCCACACGGUCAAGGUACAGGAACGUAUCCGACGAAUAGUUUGAAUAUGCGUAGAUCUGCGAUGACGAAUUCGCUUGUGAGAAUCGGUGGUGUUGAAGGUGAAUGGGUGAGAAGAGCUUUGACUACGUUGAUUAGACCAUCGUCACAUCAACUCAAGAGAAGAUCUGCUUAUGAGCCUCGUCGUAGCAGACUCGCGUCUAUGUCGAAAGCAGAAGAUCUUUGAAUCUUUCAGGUUUGUUCUUGUUUUUGAAAUCGGCCACAGGAAAAAAAAAAUACUCAGAUCUGCCAUGGAAGGAGUGAAAUUCGGAGCUGAGUCAUACCGGACCGAGUGAAAUUCGGAGCUGAGUUAAACCGGACCGAGUUAUGUAAACGGUGACCAAGACGACACCGUUUUUGUUUUGUUGGGUGGGAGAUGAGAUGAUGAUGAUGAUGAUGCAUUGUACAUACACAUAUUUGCUUAUUGAAGCAGAGAAAAAUAUUUCGCAAGUCGAAAGUAUCUAGAAAUCUAAAAUUGGAAAACAGUAGUGACAAAUUGGGUAAUUAAAAUCUGGAAAAGGACUUAGUAGUAAAUUUUUUUGGAUCCAAUUUUGCAAUUCUCUCCAUCGUUCGUUGCCUUCACCGUUAGUUUGUUCCGUCAAGUCAACGUUCUCCAUUCGCCGUUGACCCGUUCCGUUUGCCGUUAACCGUCGUCGUGUGUUAUGUGUGUUCCGUUAAUAUUCCCCAGGUAUGUGUUGUUCGUCGUGUCAGGUAUGUAUGUAUUUUCCGUUUCUUAUUUAUUUGGUUAAUUUUGUUUUAUUUUUUUGUGAACGUUUGAUUUUUAUUUUUUUUAGUUUGGUUUGUUUUUUUUCAGGUUUCGUACAAUGAGGAGAAGAAGAUUACUUAGUUUAACCGUUACGUUCAACUUUGGAAUAUUUUGGGGACUUUUGUGGACUAUGGCAAAAAAAAUGAAAUUGGACUAAAGAGAAGAAUCAAAUAUUUGAAAGAUUUUGAUUCGUGAAAAAAUUAAUUUUGGAGCUAAAGAAUGUGAAAGAUUCAAAGGAAUCAGAUUUUUCCUAAACAUCUCAAGAAGUAAAAGAUUCGUGGAACUAAUUUGUGAAUCACAGAUUGAGUGAGAUUCCUGAAACGGUCGAGGUUAAAGUGAAAGAUUCAAUGGAAUCUUAUUUUUACCUUAAACAUCUCAAGGAGAUGAUUGAUAUGAUAGGGUAAAUGAUGAAAUUUUUGAGGGUAAGUUUGGAAAGUAAAAGAUUCUUGAGGGGUAUAGUUGAGAAAAGGACAGCUGGCGGAUGAAUGGAAAACAGCCCAACAUGAAAUUAAAUUAAAGGAACAAAUCGAUAAAAAGAAUAUUAUGUUGGGGAUGCAACGUCUACCUUAUCUCCUUAUCUCGGGAUUAAAAAGUUGGAUUAUAAUACUCUCCAUCUUACGAAGAUAAAUUUGUCACAUAAAUAUAGAAGUUUUGUGUUUCUAAUGUCAAAUUUAAAAUAAUUUACCUGUUUUAUUUUUAUUAAACAACAAUAAAUAAUAUACUUUUUAAAAUAUGUUAAAAGGUUAAAAUUAUCAUUAUAUAUUAUUUCUUAAAGAAUGUGAAAUUUCUAAAAAUCUUUGUGGGACGGAAGGAGUACUAUUUUACGCAUAGGUAGAUUUUAUAGAUCCCAUUGAUUAAUUAGUUAAUAAAUAUUCUUUUCGUUUUUUUAUAAGUGAUGUUUUAAAUUUUUAAUUUUGUUAUUAAAUAGAUGAUGUUUUCAAUUUUCAUUGCAAAAUUAAUUACUUUUUAUUGGUUUUGACGUUUUAUAUUCUGUAUGUUAUUUUUUUAUUGGUAUAUUAGAUAAUAAAUGAUGUUUUAGUUUAAAAAUAAACAAAAAUUAAAUGAUUUAUUAAUCUAUGUGUAUUCUCCUAAAACAUCACUUAUAAAAGAACGGAGGAAGUAUUAAUUAGGUUUGAUUUAGUUGACUGAUUUGAUAUGGAGUAUAUCGUAAUCUCUAACUACUAGGUUCUAAGUAACAUUUUCUUCACGGUAGAUGAUGGAUUCUUUUUCUAAGUUAGAGCAUCGAAUAUUAGAAACUGAGCAUCACCAAUUCAAUUAAGAGUGAAUUCGAUAAAGAAUUUCCAUCGGAUGGAGAUUUUUCUCCUAUGGAUGUUAAUUGGCAUAUGCAGUCAAGAUCUGAGUAUCUUAAGGGGCAACAGAAAUGGAAAAGGAGGCAGCCAUCGAAAUCGAAAUCACGCUUCACUGUUGCACCAAGGGCUCAGGACUCAGCUGCCAUCACAAAGCUGACAUACAUGAAGAGUGGGAAAGAGAUGUCUUUCGUCAACCCAUGAGUUAGCAGCUUGACAUCAAGGAGUCAACAGCUUCACUCUACUCUAUCUUCAUCUUUCUCAUUGACCUUGAAACAUAUUAUUCUUAUGCUUGUUUUCUGGGACGCACUGUCAAUUUGGAAAGUCUCUAUAUUUUAGCUUCCACUCUAUUUAAUUUCAUAAACCUUGAAACAUAUAAUAAAAAAAAAAUUGAGGUUUUAUUUUUCUUAUAAACUUUCUUUACUCGUUUAGUAUACUGUACUUAACUAUUUUUUAUAUAUAUGUUAACUUUUUUAGUAUUUGUUUUCGUCAUUGUUUUUGGAAGUUAAUGAAUUUAUUUCAUAGUUUAUUAGAUGUUUUGUAUUCUAUUCAUCAUUAAAAUAUAUGAAGUUUUUUUUUCUCGUAAUCUGAAGAAUUUAAACUUACACAGAAAAUAUCACGAUUUUCUUGGAGUUCGUCUAGGACCAUUAGAGGUAUACAUGCCAAUUGUUUCUAAAGUUCACUAGACGUUUUAUGUAUGAAAAUACCUUCGACACACUCAACUCAUAAAAAAUACAAUUAACUUGGGGUCUUAAUGGUAAUCGAGGAAUCCGGCUGAAUUGCUGAAUCUGGCUGAAUUUAUUUGUGAUAUUUUGCAGAAUAUGGCUGAAUAAACUGCUGAAUCUAGCUGAAUUUUUUAAAUAAUAAUUAAUCAAAUAAACUUCUAAAGUAUUUAAUUAGAAAAAUAUUCCAACAAAAUGAUUUAAAAACGAAAUAUUAUGAAAAACUUGUAAAUUGUAAAAACUAAGAUUGAAUUUUGAAGAAAUUUAAAAUUAUUGUAUUAGACAGAUAACCAAGUUACCUAAACACCAAUCUGAUUUAUGUUUUUAAAUUAAUUAAGGCCAUGAAUGGAUGUUGUUUUUCAAUUUGGUUUCUGGAUUUUGUUUUUAGUUUUUGAAUUUUAGAUUUUAGUUUUAGAUUUUGUAAAUAGAUUUUUGUUUUUGAAACCCCAAAAAAGUGGUUUUGGUUUUUGAGAAAAAUAACGUAGAUUGAGUAAAAACUAGAUUCCCUAAAUUAUAGGAAAACUAAAAAUCUAAAAUCUUGAAUGGAAGAUCACAACAAAAAGGUGUUUCUAAAUUGUAGAGAAACCAAAAUUUGAAAAACUUGAUUGGUGUGAAAUGAGUUUUUCCAAAACAAAAACUAAAAACUCUUUCAAAAACUACGAAACAGUCAAAGCCUAAAUUCGAAAAUAUCUAACAUUUCUUAAGAUUAAAAAAAUUAUCAAAAGUUGUAAGUUAAUAUAUUUAAAGUUUUAUCAAACAUAAUUAUUAUAUUUUUGGUGAUUUAUGGUGAAAUCUAAAGUUAAUAUAUUUGAUAAUUUAAUCAAACAUAAUUAUCAUUUGAAACCAUAAACUCUUAAACUUAAUUUUCAUUUUUGAAUUGUAUUUCGCUAAUUUUUAAUUUUUUUAAUAACAACUUUUACUAUUGAAGUUAAAUAUUUAUAGUUUCAAGAAUUAUUUAAUUUUUGAUUAAAACAAAAAAAAAACCUAACAAAACAAAAUUCCUCAAGAAUUCUACUAAUUCCUCAAGAAUUCUACUAAUUCCUCAACAAUUCCUCAAGUCUUCAAAUGAUGUAACAUAAUUUUUUUCCACCAAAAUUCCUCAACAAUUCCUCAAGACUAAUGUUACCAUUUACACCCGCGCGGGGAAGAGCAUCUCAAAGUAUGGGGCAAAAGAUCAAGCGCUUUUACUUUGUUUGGUGCUACAAAAUUUGUGCAAAAUAAGUUAAUGAUGUAAUUUUUUAAUAUCAUGUUUAUUGAUUACUUUUUUUUUGGUAGGUCAUGUUUAUUGAUUACUUGAGUCAAUCAAAUAUCACAAAAAUUACUGAUAUGAUUCUAAAAUAUUAUUUAAUCAUGUUAUAAACAAUAUGCUAAAAUAUGUUAGACUACUUACAAUGGUGUGUUUAAUUUUUAUAUUAAACUGAUCGUUACAAUGGUUUGUUGAAAAAAAGAAAAAGGCUGAUGUGGAUUAAUUGGUGUUGAAUUCUUUCAACAUGUUGAAUCCGUAAAAGAGAAUAUUAACAUGUACACGUGGCGCCUUUUAAUUGGUAAAGAAAAUUACUUUUGAAUUAGAUAUAAAUUAAUGUAUUUGCUAUUGUUUUAUUGGCUGGUAAGGAUUUUUGGUUUUUUCUUUCUACCAAAAUAUUUAAGAUAAAUUAUCUUAUAGUAAAUAAAUUACUUUUUAUUUUUAUUUAUAUCAAAAUUCAUCAUUUUUUAUACUCUAUAAAUAGAGACUUAUUUCAUUUGAUUUGAGCAAAGAAAAAAAAUCAUUUUUUUGUGAAAUUGAUCCCAACAAUAAUCCAUUUAACAUCCAAAAUACUUCUAAUUACUCUUUUAAACGCACAAUCCUAUCCAAUCCGAGUCCGAGUUUACUAUUUGCACUUCGGACAAUAUUAUCCAAUCCGAGUCCCACUAUUCAUAAUGAAAUUCUAUAUGUUCUUCUUCUUUAAUAUUACUUUGAUUAUUUUUUUUAAGAAUUUAAAAGAAAAAUUAAAAAAUUAUUAACCCUUAACUAUUUUAUUUCAAUUGUUAUUGGUAUAUAAUCAUAAAACAAAAAUAAAAAAAAAAGAAAAUAAUAUAAAAUAAAAGAGUAGGGUAGAGUGUUGAAUUUUAUUAAACAAAACUACUGUAAAGAUUAAAAUUGAAAUGAAUGUUGAAUUAUUAGGUGGAAGAGAAACAAAAUGAUAUGGAGUGUUAAAAGUUAAAAAAGAGGGUGUUGAAUAAAUCAACCAUUGUACAUAGUCUUAGGCGGUAAUUCUAGGUUCAGAGUUGGCCUAUUGUUUAACUAAUAAUUAUUCAUAGAUUGGUCGAUAGCUUAUACCAAAACUGAUAUUUUUUAAUCGAAUUUUUUUUUUUAUGGAUUUUAAAAGUUUUUAGAAAGUUUUUAUUGUUUAUGCGGAUGUGAAAAUGUUUAGACAGUCAUUUUUUAAAUUUUAGUGAAGUAUAAAAACGCUAUUACGAGUUUAUUUUGAAGCUUAGAAAAUUUUAUAACUCUUGUAUUUGGAACCAAUUUUAACUGGUUAUACACAACUUAGUAUGUAUAUAGAAAAAGCUAUCAGUAUUAUUUUAGUUAAUGGGUAUACUAUUGCAAUAGAAAAUAUUAUCAAGAAAUUUUAACUCUAAUCAUAUUUGUUUUUCGUAUGAUGUAAUCAUUAGUCGACAUGAGAGUUGUUUGCAAGAUAAGAUAUUUUGUAAAGUUCCAGCCGACCUCCUAACAAAGCUAAGCAAACCGUAAGAAAUGAGCUUCUAGGCUAUAUAAUUCAUAAUUUCAUAUUAUAUGAACUAUAUAAAAUAUAAUUAUAUACUUAUUUUCUUCCCAAAUUAUUUGUCACUUGUGGGUCUUCCUUUUGGAUUUCGCUUUUCUAUCUUUAGUAAAUUUGCUAAAAUCGUCUUCUCCAAGUUUAAGGUUUAAUAGAAAAAAAAAAAAAAAAAAUUCCAACUGGCCCUCAAAAAUAAAAAAUAAAAAAUAGAUAUUCUAAUACAUGAUCAUCGAUCGAAGACUUUUCGGUUUCAAGUUAUUACAACAUACAAUAAUUACUCAUUCUAUUUGUAGUGGUGGUUCGUCGACUAGUGAACCGUGGCGACUCGCGAGUAUUCGUAUUGGCAAAUCUUCUUCAACUUCAUCAAACAUGAAUUCUUGAGACGUCUUUGAGAACAUCAGAUCCUAUUUUUUAUCUUUGAGAGAUCUUAUUUUCUUUUCAAAGAAAACUGCCAAAUACUUGAUCAACCAAAAAAAAGAAAAAAAAGACUUAGUUGAUUCUCUUUCAAAUCGUAUUAAAAUAGAAAUUUCAGAUAAAAACAAUAAUGGGGGCUAUCAAUUUCUCAUCCACUCGAUAACAGCUCAUCACGAACUAAGCAACUACUAUUUAUCUCAUUAAUUUAUUAAAAAUGUUUUUUCUUUAAACAAAAAGUAUCCAAAAUGCUAAGGUUUUUAGCUUACUUAUCUAUGUUGAUGUUGCUAUCAAUUUUGUCAACAUGUUAUUAUCCGAAUGUGUAUCUAUAUUUUAGGAAAUAAAGAUAAAGCUAAAGAGAAACGAUCGGAUAAUGUCUUUGGAUUAUGAUGUCAGGCUAUGAUUAUUUACAUUCACAUUCAUGCACUUUAUGAUUUAUCUAACAAAAAGCAAAGCAAAAAACAAAUUUAUUAGGUUUUUUGUGACAAAGAAAUAGGUGUUGGGAUGUGAAAGGACUCUUGACCCACAAGCCACAACAAUUUUAUGACACCACAUGUGAUGUCUGAUGAGACCACAAAAGAGAUAAGGUUUUCUGUUUUUGUGUUGUUUUGGGUUUUGGCCAUUUGCAUCACCAAAUGUCAAAUCCUUUUGAAAUUUACGAUUUUCAUUUUUCGGAGGCAUUACUUUAAGGUUUUAUCGUUAGAAGUUAGAACCCUUUCACAUGUAUGACCCACAUACAUAUAUGAUAAGGUUUUAAAAUUUUCCUCACCUAUUAAUUAAGUUUUUCAAAUUAAUAUUCGAUCACGUAUCCCGAUCUUGCAUCCAUAUCUAUAUGCUCUUUCAUUGAAAGUCCUAAUUUAUAGUGAGGUUUUAGAUAUGGAUUAGCAAGUUUUGUGGGAGAAAAAAGUAUGGAAGUCACGUUCAUAAAAAGUGAAAACUAUAUAAAUUAAUUGAAAUUAAAUUCGUUUAGAAAAAGAUUUCGACAACGCAUCAACAACUAACAAAUAAAGAACAUAAUGUGCUACUAAACAUGGAAAAUAAUUAUAUUUCUAUGACGAGCUUUUGCGUGCGAGGGGAUCCGUCUUGGUUAAUCUUGACUACUUGCCCCAAGUUGGUUGAGAAUAAGGCCCAUUAUUUCUUAAUAACUUAUCGUUUAUGGUAAAUAGAUUCCUAAAUCCUAUCCUAUCUCACCCAUGGAUUCUUCAAUAGUUAAAUGUAAAAAAAUAAAAGUAAAUUUGAUAGUUAUUACAAAAUAUGUUAUCAUAGAAUUAUAUCAAAUAAGAAAUACUAAUCGUUUUAACAAAAAAUAUUUUGAAUAAUGUGAAGACCCAUUGGAUAUGGAGUAGUAAAAAUCCAUCGAAUAUAAGGAAAAAUAAAGAUGUGUUCAAUAAAAAUACUGAAAUAAGAAAAUAUUAAAGUAGUAGAGAGGAGGAAGGAGACGUGAUCUUUCUUUAUUAUCUCGUUUUCUUCUUUCUACGUGUGUUGCUUCAACUUCUCAAAUGAGAAGUAUAUAUAGUACAACAAAACUUGGAGCCUAAGCUAAUAUUUAUGAAUGGAUAAACUAUAAUGAAGAUAAACUUUAACUACUUAACUUGGGGACCAAGUGACGUGAGGAGAAGAUGUAAUGGAUAAUCAUCAUAAUAAAUAUCUAUUUAUAACACUCCCCUUUGAGUAUCCAUCACUAUCGAUUUAUUGCGUACUGCCUCGUUAAAAACCUUAUUAUGGGAAAAUCGUAUAGGAGAAAACCCAUGAUAAAGGAAAAAAGAGUACAGUGACGCAAUCUCCCCCUAGAAUAGACGAGUCUUGUUUUCUUUAUAGGUUUCGUAGAUGAUGCAUCUCGAACAUUCUCUUCGCUCUUUUUGAUCUCGUCAAUAUAUAACAAAGAUUUUGAAGAGAGAUAGACCUUCACUUCGAUGUCUAUCUUUUGCGUGUUAUUUAAUUUGCUGCCUCGUUAAAAACCUUGUCAUGGAAAAACCCAGUGGGAUAAAAACCAUGAUAAGGGAAAAAGAGUGCAGCCACGCUCAUCAUCAUAUGUCUCCCCCUGAAAGCAUCUUCUUCAAAAGAUGAAUUUUGAAUGGCGUAGCAGGCAGCGUCUUUGAACAAAAACUGCUACACUAUUACUUGGCUGGAUGUACUGGACAUCAACUUCUUGCUUCUUCUCAGACUCUUGGGUGCAAGAGAAGAAUCUUGAAGAAAUAUGUCUUGUCAUCUCGCUAUUGACAUAGGUUCCUUUGAGUUGGAAAAUAUUUGUAGCAGUGACUUGUUGUUGGCUCUUCAUUGGUGCCUAUAUUGCUUGCUUCUUGUAUAUGAUGAGGCAUCAAUCUGAGCCAUACAAAUUCUCGACAUGCUUCAUGGAGCGCAAUAAUUUUGGCAUGGCUUGAGCAAGCGGCGACCAAAAUUGGUUGUUGGAAACGUCACGUAGUUGUUGUUUUGCGAUAUAUAUUUAUAUAGAUCUGAUAUAGAUCCUCCAUCUGCAAAACCAACUAAAUCAAACUCGGGAUUUCUAGAAUAAAAUAAACCCAAGUCAAUUGUACCUUGCAGAUAGUGGAAGACACAUUUGAACUCAUUUCAAAGGUCUUGUCGGAGAAAAUGAAUUAAUCCUGCAAGUAGAUCAGUAGCAAAUGCUAGGUACAAUAUAUUCACUAGAUAUAUAAAUGCUCGUCAGCAUUUAUAUAUGCUAGCUACAAUUCACAAAAUAUAUAAAUACUCGUCAGCAUUUAUAUAUAGUGCUUCAUGAUCAAACUAUAUAGAGUCGACUUCUUUUAGAAGUGGCUAAUAUAACAUCUCUUUCUUUGGAUGUUUAGUUGGAAUAUCUUGAGACACUUUUGUCUUUCCAAGAUCUUUUAUUCCAAAUAACUCUUAAAGAGUUUUGAUGAUGUUCAAAAACAUCAUGCUUAUAAGUUCCCGGGAAUAUAACUAUGAUAUCAAAUAUUUUUCGGGGAUUAGUCCUACAGACAUCCCAAGAGACGCAAUUCAAGUCAUUUAUUUAUCAACUCAAUAUCGAGUGAUUUUGACAAAACCCGGCGCGACACACCAUUUUGUCUUAAGUAUUAUAAUACUCUUUUGAUGCUUGGACCAUGUGUCCAGGAAUUACUCGUUUCUAAUACGAAAUUAAUAUAGACUUGGCUGUCUCUUUGUUUAUUGGCCAAUAUAUAUCUCUUUACGCUCACAGAGCGGAGAUUUAUGAUCCUCAUUAAUUUUAUUUGUGCGCUAGAUCAUUUUUCUUGUCGACAUUGUGUUGUCUUUGGUUCCAUAUUUGCCGUAAUGACAUGGUUAAUCGAUAUCUCUUGAUCAUUACAAAUGAUCUUAUUCAGGUACCUGAUUUCGUCUUUAACCAUGCCAAUCGGUCUCUUUUUACUCCUCUUUAGGAGUCUCUUUGCUCCGCUUGAGGAGUCUCUAUGCUUCUCUUUAGAAGUCUAUACGCUCCUCUUUUAAGAGUAUAAUCCUCUUUUUAGUAAUAAUAUGCUCUCUUUUUUUCGAAGAUUUUCUUUAUAUUUGGAACCAAAGUUGUCUAUCACGUUUUUAUCGUGUUAUAGACAAUAAUAUGUCAUCCGCCAGAGACAUAAUUUUGUAGAGCAUUUUUAGCUAGGACAAGAGAUUUCCUAUGAACUUUAAGUUCAUAUGUAUUUAUACGAGGAUCAAUAAUUUCAUGAAAUCUCAUCCAUCAGCUUGUUGCAUUUGAUUUGCAAUUAUCUUGCAAUAGGCACAUCUCUCAUAAGAUGGCUCAAUAUUAUAGAGCAGAGACUCAUCUCUAGCGUCUAUAUAUUUCAUCCUUUUAGGAUGUUAAUUUUUAUGCGGUGCAGAGGAGCAUUUAUAUAUAUCUCACACCCAUAAAAUUCAAAAUGAGAAAUAUUUGAUCUCCAAUCAUGUAUAUAUAACAUUGGAGAAAUAUUUCUUAUAAAUCGUUGGCCUUGUAUAUAAUCAUUAAUACAUGCAAAACUGCAUGCUCCAUGUAAAAAACAUAGAGACUAAAUCACCAUGAAUCGUUUUGCAAUCUCUUGGAUUUGCGCUAUGAACGAUUCGCUUAAAGCUCAUUUUGAGAGUGAACAUCAUUUUUAGAUGUUCCACUUUAUCAAAAAGCGAUAAAUUUUAGGAUAUGACUUCACCAGAGUUAUUUCGCUCUGGGUGUCAAACUCACCAAAAUUUACCGACUUAUUGUCGAUGUGGGAUUCCUUUAAUUCUCCCCCUCGAGAUGAUAACUCUUCGAGUUCAUUCAUCUCGAACUGAAUCCCACUUUAGGAUCAAUAACAUAUCCAAUAUGGAUCAUGUAUUUAUUUUUAGAUCCUUAUAAAAAUAUGGGACUUGUAAUAACCCCUCCCAAGAUGAUGGCUUUUCAAACCUAUUUAUCUUGGCCCGAAUCUAUUUUUUUUUAGACCGGUUAUACACGGGGUUUAAUUUGGAGAAAUAUUACGGGAAUCGACCAUUAAUGAGCUUAUCAAAGAAAAAUGGUGAUUUGGCCAAAAAUCAUAUGUUUCUGGAGGCUUAGCCUACUACAGAAUUAAGGAGGAGGAGAUAUAUAACCUUCAACUCCGUAUAUAAUAUUAAAUUUAAAUUUAAAUGAAUUUAAAUAAAUUCAACAUAAAUUAAAUGUUACCUCUGAAAUGUGGACGGAAGCAUGCAGUGCUUGAAUAGCAUUCUCUUUGUUUAUAUAACGUGUUUAUAUAAAAUUUUAGUGAUAUUUAAUCACUCUUUUUAAGUUCCAAUUUAGGUCAUCAACAUAUAGAGCAAUGAUCACAAAUCUUGAUGGAAAUUUCUUAAUAAAGACGCAAGAACAUAUUUCAUUAUAAACAUACUCUUUGUUUAAGAAAUGAUCGCUUAAGCAAUAUAUCAUAUGCGUCCGGAUUAUUUUAAUACGUAAAGUGAUCGCUGUAAUUUGACCGUACAUAUUUCAUUAGACUUUGAGUCUAAUGGCUCAGGAACUUUAAAUCCUUCUAGGAUUUUUAUGUAUAUAUUAAAUCCAACGAUCCAUAUAAACAUGUUGUCACUACAUCCAUAAGGUACAAUUCUAAAUGAUAAGAGACUGUUAGGCUCGUUGUGUACCUGAAUGUAAUUGCAUCUAUGACUGGAGAAUAUGUUUCUUCAUAAUCAACUCCAAGUCUUUGAGAAAAACCUUGUGUAACAAGUCGGACUUUAUAUCGUGUGAUUUCAACUUUUACGCACGAAGACCCACUAGCACAUAACAGGUUUUACAUCUUUAGAUGUAGUGGCAAGAGGUCCAAAGACAUCUCUUUUAUUAAGGAAGAGCAAUUCAAUAUAUUGCACUUUUGUUUUUUCAAUCAGGCCUUUGCUGGCACUGAUACGGAUCUUGGAUCUGGAUCAUUAUUUUUAAUUGCAUUUUUCUACCGGGAUGGCUUAACCGGUUAUACUAUGCAAUAGCAAUUAGCAAACUUCUGUUUACUAGCAUAAAUAUUUUUACCAUCUUUAUUUUGCAUGAUAUAAUCAUACAUUUGUGUGUCUCCAUUGUGGUCGGACAUUCGAUACCACAUUAAUUUAUAGUCUCAAUAUAAUAAUUAUAAAGAUCAAUUUCUUUGAAACUACACGAGUUUCUUUGAGACUUUGGAGAACACGAAGCAUCGAUUAUUAUGAAUCUGAUGCAUUUGGAAGUCGAGAGGAUUUCUCAUCUAGACCUUCCAAUUAUUUUGCACUGUCUAAAAAUAUAUUGACAUGUGCUUUAUAUAUUCUCAUAAGAGAAAUAUAUUUUUGAUUUUAAAGACAUAUUUCAAAGUCUUUAAAUCUCAUAUAACACAUAUUUAUUCUUUACGAAUAAAAUAAAUUAAAAUACUUAAACACAUAAAUAUAUAAAAUUAAUAAUAUAGAGACCAAAGCCCUUUUGUACAAGAAUUCAGGAGGCAUCGCCUUCCAUUAAGAAUUCAAUAGGCAUAGCUUUCGUUUGAUCGUAGAGAAUGAGGCAGAGCCUACCAUAUAUAUUGAUCAAUCCGGAAAAAAUAUAAAUUUUCAUUUGAUCGUUAGGAAGGUAAAACCUACCAUAUGACGAUCGAUCCGGAAAAAGCAUAGCCAUUUAUUUUAUCGUAAAAGAGGCAUAGCCUACCAUAUAUAACGAUCUAUCCGGAAAAGACAUAGCUUUUUAUUUGAUCGUAAAGAAGGCAGAGCCUACCAUUUAUAACGAUCAAACCGGAAAAAGGCAUAGUCUCACGAUGUCUAAAAUAAUUAUGUUCUAUAAACAUAAAUAAAUUUAAAUAAUAUAAAUUUUUACUUACCUCGUAAACGCUCAAACGGUAAAGACAUCGUGCUGAUAACGUGUUGAAUAAAAAUACUGAAAUAAGAAAAUAUUAAAGUAGUAGAGAGGAGGAAGGAGACGUGAUCUUUCUUUAUUAUCUCGUUUUCUUCUUUCUACGUGUGUUGCUUCAACUUCUCAAAUGAGAAGUAUAUAUAGUACAACAAAACUUGGAGCCUAAGCUAAUAUUUAUGAAUGGAUAAACUAUAAUGAAGAUAAACUUUAACUACUUAACUUGGGGACCAAGUGACGUGAGGAGAAGAUGUAAUGGAUAAUCAUCAUAAUAAAUAUCUAUUUAUAACAAGAUGUAUAUAUGAGUGAAAUAAUAUAAAAAAAGAAUGGAUCUACAAACUAAACAAUCAACUUUAAGUUUAAAGAACGAGAAACAAAUAGAAACAAAAUUUUUCUUCAUCAAUGAAGUUUUAAAACUAAAAUUUAAAAUUUUAAACCAGUACAUGCCAUUGGGCUUCUUUGAUAACGAGAGGCCCAAUUAAUAAAGUUGAAAAACCUUUGUUUCUUGUUCAAGAAACUAAGAUCACAAUCUACGAACAAGCUUCGAUUCCCCAUCUCCAGUUCACAAGCAAGCUUCGAUUCCCGAAACUCUAGAAGCAAUUAGACGCGAUUGAUACUUUGAUUAAAGUUUGGAAGCAUGUUGACUCUCUGGUCGGGAGAUUCCCAUGGACAUCUUGAGAUCUGUGUUCGAACGUUUGAGGUUUGUGGAUUUCCACCGCGCUAAGAUCGUGUGUUCGAAUUGGUAUUCGUGUUCCAAACAAACUUUACCUCGAAAAAACACAUCUCCAUGGCUGAUUCUGUUUCCAGAGGAGGAUGGUAAUUGUGCUUUGUAUAACCCGGAGGAAGCUAGGGUUUACAAAACAAAGAGAGACUUAUCAAGAUUUCGAUUCUUGGCAAACUCAGGUAACUGGUUCUUAGUUCUAGAUUCUAAGUCCAAUAUUGUGGAAGUCGAAACUAACACAAUCAAGAUUUGUCUAGGGUUUUAUUUUAGGGAUACGAUAAUCGUGAAUUCUCAAAGAACAACAGAAACGAUUAUAACCAAAGAUGGCGUUCUUGAUAUUAUUAAGAAAAAGAUGACUUUGAUCGUACAAGAGUUUGAUCGUAAAAGGAAAAAGAUGUUUGUGCUGUGAGAGCUUUGCGUAGUGUAAAUUCUAGAGCGAUCUUGCCUGUCCUUCUGUGAGAGCCUUGAGUCUCUUUAUAUAGGGGUGAUAAACCGCCUCUCCAGCGAUAUUCUCGGAAGAUUUCUAUUUAUCUUGAAGUCGGCUUAGAAUAUCGCGGAAUAAGGAUAAUUUCCUUAUUCUUCGGAGUUUCUUGGAAGAUAUCCUGAUUUGAGUCGAUCCUUCUAGAUUCCCUCUUAUCAUUUCCGGGUAUAUCGGAAAUGAUGUCUUGCUUGGAAAUGAUACUUUUGAAGGCGAAUAUUUACUAAGUACUUGCCUCGGGUGUCUUUGAUGAUUUCGGCUCGGGCAGCUUGGACGAUGUCAUGACGCCCGACCCGAGCUGAGGAGACUUUGAGAAGAUUGGGCUCGGAUACUCUCGUCGACUGAGCUCGGGUACUUGAGGGGAGGCGGCUCGGGCGACUUGUGAAGUUGGCUCGGACGAAGGGAGAACCCAGCUCGGAUAUGAUGGCGUAGUCCUUUUGCCUCGGGCGAUUCUGCGAAGUCGGCUCGGGGUGAAAGGAAAACUUUCUUUGCGUAGUCCCGAGCUGUCACGGCAAACGUCCCCGAGCUAGUAUAGGAUGACCCGAGCCGUAUCAAUCGGCAUUCUACGAGCUAGUUCAGUGACUGAUCCCGAGCUGUUUUGGCAGUUCCCCGAGCCGGUUUGGUGAUACGUCCCGAUGUGUUAUGUCUUAGCUCGGACUUAAUGCGGGUGGAAUCCGACCCCAACAGUUAGCCCCCCAGCUCGUUGUCUUGAGGAGCAAGUGAUGAGCUUCAUGAUUAUUAGUCCGAGCAGUUUAAACAUUGUCCCGAGCUUAUCCUUGUACGCCGAGGCUAUCGGAGAGUUUGAAUCCUUCGGUGGUCUGAAAUCUCCUGACGAUUCGAAUCCCUUCGACACUUCAUCUUCUUCUAGCGUGUGACGGUUGAAUUUCCCUCUCGAGAAGUGGAAAAGUUUUCGCUUAUUCCCGAGAAUUGCGGCGGACGUGAUACUAUCUCAGAGUCCACGCGCGCCCGACGCGCCGAAGCGUUUUAUAAAUACUCCUCUCGCGACUCAUUUUUCCAGUUCUGCAAUUCUUGAGCAAAAUUUUAAAGGUUCGUUUCUUUUGCUCUGAUCUUGAUUUCUUUGUUUUCCUUUGCUCCGCUUUAUUUUUCCGUUGUUUCUCCACCGUGUUAGAUCCUAGAUUUGAUUUUUCCGAUCUCCGAAUCUUGUUUAUCCGGCUGUUUCUUCGAUUCUCCCGAGCCCAAAAAAUGCCGCUUUCAGACUCAAGCGAUUCGUCCCGAGGUAGAAAUGUUCCGGUUUGCAAACGAAAGAUGGUUUGGAGCAGUUUAGAUGGGUCCGAGGCCAUUUCAUCGGGUCGACCCGAGCCGGGUAACAGAGCGGAAUCGUCAUCUGAACAACGUGGAGAUCCGAGCCACUUUGUGGCUCGGGAAGAUGCAAUCGCUGAUAUAGCUCGGGAUGAGGAUCUCCCUGACGAUCUCGAGGCGGUUUUGAAUAAGAGGACGCGUCCUCCGGCUUCGGAUGAAGCUGGAGUCUCUUGUUGGCAAGAUGUGCCCGAGCUGUCGGUUUUACCCGAGGUGAAGGGUGAAAUGGUUACCUAUGAUCCCGAGGAGGGAGCCAGGCUCCUUCAGUUGGCAAUUCAGGGUGCAAUGGCUCAAAGGAAGAAAAACCGAGCCAAGAAAGUGAAAAAACCGGAUCCUCCUGGUUCCACUCUGUCGACUUCAGACUCUCUUCGAGACUUAAAAGCACGUUUCAACUUUGGCGAAGGGGUGGCUCUGCGAUUGCCGACUUCCAGUGAGAGAGCCGACGAUCCUCCCGAAGGGUUACCUUGUACGAAGGAUUCUUCUACUUCUGCUUCCUCUGGUUUCCAAUCCCGAGGCCGAUCGUUGAGUACUUAUGGUCGUAUAAGCUUGCUUUGGCUCAGAUCACGACCCGAGGCCUUCGACACUUAGUCGGAAUCUUAGUACGUGGAUUCGAGACGUACAACGACAUUGGUCUUGAUCAUCUAAGGAAUUUGCUGGAGAUUCGCCGUGUUCCGAGCUGUGAGAUGGAGAGAUAUUAUAUUUCUCCACGUCCGAAGCGAAGGGUUAUCGGCGGCUUCCCGAGCAAAGAUGAGAAGUACACCGAUCAUUUCUUCUUCGUCGCCCUUGACGAAGAUUGUGUCCCCGAGGGCUGCCUUGAAAAGAUGAUUGGAAAAUGGAGAAAGAUUGGUAGUUCAUCCGUGAUUCUUGUUUGUUUUCUGUUAUAACUUGGCUUUAAAUGAUGUUUCGAUCUUCUUUUGCAGAUCGAGGCCCGAGCUUUCUGGAUCGUAUUCCCGAGGACUUUUUCAGCGUGCGUGAGGAGUUGGCUGCUCGGAAGUGUCACUGGAUUAAGCAUUUCUCCCAAGAAAGGGUUGAAAAGGCGUUAAGGAUUCUUCACGGCGCGUCCUGUUCCACUUCCUCAUCUUCUUCAGACCAAAGGCUAAGUUUUUUUACGGAGAUGCAAGGGGUGAAGAUGUCUUUAAGGGAAAAGAAGGCCGCCGAGAAGAAGGCGCGCGAAGAGCAGAGAACGUUAGAGGCGGCUUUCGGACCGGUGGCUCCGCCCGAGGCUAUAGCGGGGACCGAGGCAACUACCGUCCCCGAGGUGAUCGUUGAUCCCGUAGAAUCGGGUGCUGAUUUAGCUGUCACCAUGGCUCUGUCCGAGGUGCCAGAAGGUAUCCCGAUUGGGGAUGUUGCAAGCCAGGUUCCCGAGGCGGGAAACACGUUGGUGGUUGGUUUGCCUGCUGGUGGGCAGACCAGGUCCAAGAGAAAGCAUCCCCGAGGAGAACACUCCGGGGAUAGGCGUAAAAGGUCGAAACGGGCUCAUAGCUCCUCUCGGCCGAUAUAAAAGGACAAGGUUGCUUCCGCCAACCUUAUCGCUUCUUGCGCUUGGCCGCUACUUCCCGCCCCCGAAGGCUUAAUCGAGGCGGAGCGAUAUGGUGAGGCUGCGGCGAAUUUCUUGAAGGUACGUGCUCAGAUCCAUUCUCGUACGAGGCAGUUUUGUUUCAGGACUUGACACAUCUUUGUUAUUCAUUCUCCAGGCCUUUUCUUCGAUGAACACGAUGGUUCACUCUUACGACUCAGGGGCUCGUGAUAACGCGCUGGCUAUCGAACGGUCUGAGUCUGCUAAACUGAAGGCUGAGAAGACGGCGGCCGAGGCUGUUGCAGCAGCGCGAACUGCCGAGGCGUUAGUUAUUGCCGAACAGGAGUUGCGGAGGAAAGAAUCCGAGGAGAAUGCUCGAAUUCGCCGUAAGGCCGAGGUAGAGAUUGAAAGGCUCAAGCGUUUGCUCAUCGAAGAGAAGUCUCUUCGUGAAGUUGAAGUGGCCCGGGCGAAGAAAGCUGCCAAAAGAGAGGUCACCGAGGAGUUUAUGGAGAAGGUUAAGAGGACCGAGGCGAAGUUGUCAGAGUUUGACAAAAUCUCCGAGCGGUACGUGUACUUCUCUCAGGCAAAGGCUAAUGCAGAGCUAAUCGCCGCCCUUGAAGCUGGAGGGCAGUUCGAAGAUGAGAAGCUUGAGGUCAACAAGUGGAAAGAAGAGUUUGGGGAUGCCGAGGCUGAGUAUGCUAGGCUCGGGGCCGAGCUGCUCAGAGACCUCACAGUUCCUCCGGUGUCUCCUGGCUCUACUCAUGAUAACCUUGGAAACCGAUCGGUGGAAGGUGACGCGGUCGAAGUCGGAGUCACUGAUCAGGCUGGAACGAACCUGAGUUCCGCAGCUGCACAUUGUGAGGAGCGGGAUGAAUAAGCUCGAGGCGUCUUUCUCUUUUGUUUUCGAUUGUUUAUCGUUCUUUUGUAAGACCUUCGCCUGGAUGGCUUUAUCCAUUUGAACGUAAACGUUAUUGUUAAGUACUCGAGUCGUUUCAAGCUAUUUUGACUUAAAUACUAAAAUUGGAUGCCAGCGUUAAAUGACUGGGUUUCAUAAAUACGACUCUUUCGUCGAGAAGUUAAGUUUUUAGGUCCGUUUUAACUUCCGAGUCGAAAAAGAGUCGUGCACCAGUGUUAAGGUAACUGGGUUUUUACAAGCGUGUGACGUCAAGAAGUUAAUUCUUCCGGACCAUUUCAACCUCUGAGCCGAAAGUGGAAUGAUUCGUGCACCAGUGUUAGGACAACUGGGUUUUGGCUACGUGGGACUAAUCUUUAUCGGUUGCGACCCGAGCUGAUAUAGUCGAAGCCAGUGCUUAGAAGCGAACUGGGGUACCAGUGUCGAAGUCAACUGGGUUUUCUGAAGACAAUUUCUUUGUGGCCAGAUAUCUCUGACCGAAUUGUCUCGAAUAUUUAUAUAGCGCGCUGUAACCGAAGCGGUGAAAUGAGCUCUAUGUUCGGGGACGUGGCCAUCGUCCGGACGAACUGUUGGCUUUGUGGGUCGAUAAGAGGACCGUAAAAGUUCUCGAGAUGAGUUUUUGGGAAAGAUGUCGAGGUGAAUAAAAAUUGAAUAUCCGAAGGGUAAAAACUUAGAGAAUUUGAAAAACUUAGUGGGAGUAUAUGUAUACGGACCCACUCCCCCCCCUUUUUUAAUUAGGGGGGGUAGCUGAACUCGUCCGAGGACGAGCUGCCUACGUACCCUUUUCAGGGAUCAAGCCACCCCGUAGUUCAAGUACAUGCGUACCUUAGGUUUUUAGCGGUAAUAUUUCCUUAGAUGCAUUGCGUUCCAGGAUCUAGGUACCGCUUUGCCGUUCAUGUUGAUGAGUUCGUAGACGCCGGGACGGAUUACCUUUGCGAUCGUGUAAGGUCCCUCCCAAUUCGUACCGAGCUUACCUGCGUUCUGCUCGGCGGUAUUCUGGAAAACUUUGCGCAGUACGAGCUCUCCUUCGUGGAAGCGACGAUGCUUCACGUGAGAAUUGUAGUACCGAGCCGUUGCAUUCUGAUAGUUCUGCAUACGGAUCAAAGCUGAAUCUCUUCUCUCGUCAAUUAAGUCCAGCUCGUCCAGCAUCAUCUGAGUGUUGGAAUUUUCCUGCUCGGGGAGAAAACGUCUUCUCAGUCCCGGGAUCUCGGCUUCGGUGGGAAUCACACAUUCCGUGCCGUAGACAAGGGCGAAAGGUGUUUCUCCCGUGGUCCGCCGCGGCGUGGUUCUGUGCGACCAUAAUACUCCUUCCAAUUCGUCGGCCCAGCGGCCUUUCUUCGCGUCGAGACGCUUUUUUAUUCCGUCGAGAAUCGUCUUGUUGGCUGCUUCGGCUUGACUGUUUCCCUGAGGGUACCGAGGCGUAGACUUACUGAGGCGAAUUCCCCAUUUCUCGCAGAAUCCUUCGAACCGAGACGAAAUAAACUGCGAUCCGUUGUCUAUAACGAUUUCGUAAGGUAUCCCAUGGCGGCAUAAGAUGUUUUUCCAGACGAAGUUCUCGACCUGCGCAUCUUUGAUGCUGGCGUAAGAGUCAGCCUCGAUCCAUUUGGAGAAAUAGUCUGUCAGUACGAGGACGAGUUUCUUCUGCUUGGAGUUGUGUAGAGGUCCGAUGAUGUCCAUGGACCAUCGCAUGAAUGGAUAAGGCGAAGUUAUAGAAGAGAGGAGCUCGGCGGGUUGAUGAAUGGUUGGUGCGUGCCUCUGGCAUUUAUCACAUCGUUGAGAAAAUUUCUCGCAGUCUUUGACUAUCGUCGGCCAAAAAUAUCCGUGGCGUUUGAUCUUUAUAGCCAGAGCUCUUCCGCCAUAAUGGUUUCCACAAGAUCCGCCGUGAACUUCUUCCAUGACUCUCCGAGCUUCAUUUCCUUCGACACAGAUAAGGAGGGGACCGGAAAAUCGCCAUUUAAAGAGUUCUCCGUCGAUCAGAGUAUAUCGAGCCGCUUUGGCCUUAAGCUUCCGAGCUGCCCAUUUUUCAGUAGGAACUUCUCCAUCGGCGAUGUAGCUUCGGAUGGCUCCGAUCCAUUUGGCAUCGCUUCCGUAUUCGGGCUCGAUUGCGUCCGUAGUUUGCUGGUCUAGCUGUUCGAUGUCCAUUUUUUCCGGUUCUUCUGUCUCCCGAGCUGUUAGAACUUGAUCUUUGCUAUUAUCUUCAAUGCUCGGCUUUUCGAUGAACUCAACCGGUAUGAUUCUCUUCAGAUUUGGGUCGGAGGUUGAAGCUAGAGCCGAUAAGGCAUCGGCCGAUGUGUUCUCACCUCGUGGGAUUCUGGUUAACUCAAACUCUCUGAACUGUUUCGCCAAGUCUUGCGUGAGAGCAAGAUACGCUUCCAUUCGUUCGUCGCGAGCCGCGUAUUCUCCAUUGAAUUGAUUAGCCACGAGCUGGCAGUCGCAAAAGGCUCGCAGCUUGUUGAUCUUAAGUCCCCGAGCCAGCUUAAGUCCUGCUAUCAGCGCUUCGUACUCAGCCACGUUGUUAGUCGCGUCGAAAUUUAGCCGUAAGGAUUGUUCCAGGAUUUCACCCUCUGGUGACGCGAGGCGGAUUCUGACGCCAGAACCUUGUUUUGAGGAUGAGCCGUCGACGUGGAGGAUCCAAACAGCGUUGGGUGACUCUUCUCGGGCGUUCUCUGUUGGUAGCUCGAUGAUAAAAUCGGCCAGGACUUGAGAUUUUGCGCAUGUUUUGUUCCUGUAUUCGAUGUCAUACUCGCUGAGUUCUACUGCCCACUUAGCUAGGCGUCCUGAUUGGCUCGGACUGUGCAAGAUGGUUCGGAGUGAUACGGGCGCCAUGACGACAAUUGAGUGAGAUUGAAAAUAUGGCCGUAGCUUCCGAGCUGACAUUACUACGGCGAGGGCGAGCUUUUCAGUUUGCGGGUAGCGUGUUUCCGCGUCGGUGAAAGUUUUCGAGACAUAAAAUAUCGGCUUCUGCUCCCCUCUGUCUUCCCUGACUAUGACUCCACUUAUAGCCGUAUCAGAGACUGCGAUGUACAGGAAUAAUGGCUCGCCCGGGACUGGUUUCGCUAACACCGGUGGAUUGGCCAAAUACUUCUUCAGUUCCUGGAAAGCUUCUUCGCAGCGAUCGGUCCAUUCGAAUUUCUUGUUCCCGCGCAGAGUAUCGUAGAAAGCAAGGCAUUUGUCAGUGGACCGCGAGAUGAAUCGGUUCAAGGCUGCGACUCUCCCGGUGAGACGUUGGACUUCGCGCUUGUUCUGUGGUGAGGGCAUGUUCAGUAGAGCAUCGAUUUGCUUCGGGUUUGCUUCGAUGCCUCGGUGAGUUACGAGAUAUUCCAAGAAUUCUCCCGAUUUUACCGCGAAACGACAUUUUGCCGGAUUGAGCUUCAUGUUGUGCUUGUUGAGCUGGCGAAAAUAGUCGCGUAGAUGGGCUAUGUGAUCGCUUUCCUCAAGGGAUUUGACUAACAUGUCGUCGAUAUAAACUUCCAUCGUCUUCCCGAGCUGCUCGGAGAACAUCCUGUUGACGAGCCGUUGAUACGUUGCGCCAGCAUUCUUGAGUCCGAAGGGCAUGACUUUGUAACAGUAGAUACUUCGGUCUGUGAUGAAUGCUGUCUUCUCGCGAUCGUCGGGGUGCAUGAGAAUCUGAUUGUAUCCUGCGAAAGCAUCCAUGAAUGAUAGCAACUUAUUUCCCGCGGUUGCUUCCACUAAACGAUCGAUAUGUGGGAGCGGAAAACUGUCUUUAGGGCAAGCUUUGUUCAGAUCGGUGAAAUCGACGCAGACUCUCCACUUGCCGUUCUUCUUUUUAACCACGACAGGAUUUGCUAACCAGUCCGGAUAUCUUGCUUCAGAGAUCGAGCCGAUCUUCAGGAGCUUUUCUACUUCGGCGUUCACUGCAUCUGCGCGAUCCCGACCCAAUUUUCUUCGCUUCUGCUUGAUGGGCUUGAAAGAUGGAUCAACAUUCAGCUCGUGGCAGAUUACGUCGAUGCUUACCCCGGGUAGAUCUUCGGCCGAUCAGGCGAAGGUGUCGAUGUUCUCUUUGAGGAAUGAGAUGAGCUCGGUCUUGAUUUCUUCGGUUAAGUCGCUGCCAAUUUCCACGCAUCGUUCAGGCCGUUCGUCGUCGAAGCUAAUGGAGAUUACAGGAUCCGAGGUAGGCUUCUUCUCCUCGCGCGCCUCCUCGAUCUGUAAUUGCUAUAACUGUUUAGAUAUAGCCUUCUCUUCACUCCGGCCAAGUUUUGAUAUCUUGUGAUUGGUUUCAGCCUUUGCUUCGGUGACAGGGUUUCGAAGUUUGUAUGCUGCCAUGAAACACAUCCGAGAAUUUUUCUGACUGCCCCAUAUCGUCUUCACGCCAUUAGGGGUCGGGAAUUUGACACACAGAUGAUAUGUUGAUGCGACAGCUCGCAUUAGAUUUAACCAUGGGGUUCCCAUUAUGACGUUGUAGAUGGUAGGUCGAUCGGUGACUGAGAAGUUGACUAUCUUUGUUACCCCGCCGGCUCGGACUGGUAGUUGGAUGGUUCCAAGCGUCAUCAAAGUUUCCCCUGAAAAUCCGAGGACAGGCCUCGGGGUCGGAAUCACCUGUGACAUGUCAAUGUUCAUUCGUUGGAGCGUUUCGCGAAAGAUCACGUCAAUGGUGCUGCCGGUGUCAAUUAAUACUCGGUAAAUAUCGUGGUCUCCUGUUGCUAAUGUGACGACGAUUGGAUCGUUAUGAGGCAUAUCGAGCCCGUUUGUCUCGCUUUCUUCGAAUGUGAUCACGUCGUUAGGUCGAUCGGAGCGUCUUGUCCAGUUGCUAGGCGUCUCGGCUCGGCGUUGAUAAGCUUUGAUUGCCGCUACGGUGUCAGGACAGUAAGGUGAUCCACCCAUUAUGGUAAGAACCUUCUGCCGCGUACCAUCUCGGUCUUCGUCUUCCGACCCCCGGGUUCUUUUCUGAGACUCCUGGUUCCUUGGUUCGGGGUCUCUUCCUGGGUUGGUCUGCUCGGGCUCUGGUUCGAGGUCCUUAAGAGUUACGUUUGUCCCGAGCUCUCCAGCUAGGAAUUUGGUUGCUAACUUGGCUCCGAGGCUUCGGCAUCUCGAGGUAUGAUGGCCGAAAAUUUUGUGGUGUUCACAAUAUUCUUGAUCAUUGCUCGGUGGCUGAUCCCUCGUCCAAGUGAAGGACUCUCUUCCACGCCCACGGCCUCGGCCUCUGCCGCGGCCACGGCCUCGGGGCGUGUCAAUCUAGUAGCUAUGGUAUCCUGAGAAAUUGCGCCCUUCGUGAUGCGUAUACGUACCGCUCUCACGCGUUUUCUUCUGAACCGGAGGUGUCGCUUGGGCUUUCUCGUUUUUCUUGGUUCGGGACGCCUGUUUUGUUGGCUCGUGCCUCUUUGCUAGUAGCGCCAUUUCUUCUUCGUGGGCGACGAAAUCCGAGGCUCGAUGCAGCGCGUCGCGAAUUGUUGUUGGUUUAGACAGGUUCAACUCUUUCCUGAAUUCUGACUUGUACCAGAGAGCUUUCUUCAAAGCCGAGAGAGCUGCUACAUCCGUAAUUCCUUCGACCUUGGCUAGCGUCGAUUUGAAGGUCUUGAGGAAAUCCCUUAAUGGCUCGGUGGGCUGUUGAGACAGAGACCACAGAUCCGCGUCGGAAGUUCCGGGGUCGAUGAGCACGGAGUAUUGUUUGAGGAACAAUGUCGACAGCUCGUCGAAACUAUCAAUCGAGUUUCGUUCCAAUCUCGAAAACCAUUCUAAUGCGGGUCCUUUGAGGUGUUCCACGAACAGUAGGCACAGACCUGCAUCCUUUUCCCCGGGUUUGAACCUGGCUCGGGCCACAGAUAUCACGAACGAUUUAAUGUGGCACUUAGGAUCGGUUGAUCCGUUGUAAGAGUCAAUUUUGAACUUUCCCAGAUUGGACAUCGUCGUUUCGGAAAUUCUUUUGGUGAAAGGCGUGUUCCGAGAUUCUUCCAAAAUUCGGUCGAUGUUUGGUGCGGAGGAUGAAACGCUAUGUAUCUGGGUUUUGACGAGCUUCAUAUCAGCUUCCGCCUUGGCUAGGGAGGCUCGGAUUUUGCUUAGCUCGUCUUCUCUUUCGGAUUCUUCGGCCCACCUUAUGUUUUCCUCAGUUUCUUCAUCGUCAGUGAGAUCUGUUCGCUCGGCGGAGUUAGCUCCGGCUCGGGUACGCUCAUCUUGCAGAUCAUCUGGCUCGUCCGUCAAGUCCACUGCGUCCGGCUCGGUGGGAUCAUCUUGGUUCUCGCGUCUGGCAGGGUCGGCUCGGGUUGCGACUCUUGUGUUGCCGGUUGGUGUCGCGAACGUGAGUCUUGUUGUGUUGAUGCCAGGCAAGUCCCUCCGAGCUCGUGGCGGCCGAGUCUGGAAACGUGUGGUUUUUUGUUGCCCGCGUGUUGCGAUUUCGUCGACUCGCUGCGCCAAGGUUUUGUUGGCUUUCUCUUGGUCGUCAGCUUUCUUCUGGAAUUUAACCAUCAGGUCUUUCAGUUCGGCUAGAGUCGCCAUGAUCGUCGGAUCGGCUUGAGGAUUCUGAGGGUUCGGAGGGUUCGGGAUCCCUCCUCCAGCUGGUGGUGUAUGACGACCGUCUUCGUUCAUCGUCCUUUUCGGUAAUCGAGUUCUGCGUCUUAGGGUAAGAGAAUUCUAAAGUAUCCCCACAGACGGCGCCAAACUGUGGAAGUCGAAACUAACACAAUCAAGAUUUGUCUAGGGUUUUAUUUUAGGGAUACGAUAAUCGUGAAUUCUCAAAGAACAACAGAAACGAUUGUAACCAAAGAUGGCGUUCUUGAUAUUAUUAAGAAAAAGAUGACUUUGAUCGUACAAGAGUUUGAUCGUAAAAGGAAAAAGAUGUUUGUGCUGUGAGAGCUUUGCGUUGUGUAAAUUCUAGAGCGAUCUUGCCUGUCCUUCUGUGAGAGCCUUGAGUCUCUUUAUAUAGGGGUGAUAAACCGCCUCUCCAGCGAUAUUCUCGGAAGAUUUCCAUUUAUCUUGAAGUCGGCUUAGAAUAUCGCGGAAUAAGGAUAAUUUCCUUAUUCUUCGGAGUUUCUUGGAAGAUAUCCUGAUUUGAGUCGAUCCUUCUAGAUUCCCUCUUAUCAUUUCCGGGUAUAUCGGAAAUGAUGUCUUGCUUGGAAAUGAUACUUUUGAAGGCGAAUAUUUACUAAGUACUUGCCUCGGGUGUCUUUGAUGAUUUCGGCUCGGGCAGCUUGGACGAUGUCAUGACGCCCGACCCGAGCUGAGGAGACUUUGAGAAGAUUGGGCUCGGAUACUCUCGUCGACUGAGCUCGGGUACUUGAGGGGAGGCGGCUCGGGCGACUUGUGAAGUUGGCUCGGACGAAGGGAGAACCCAGCUCGGAUAUGAUGGCGUAGUCCUUUUGCCUCGGGCGAUUCUGCGAAGUCGGCUCGGGGUGAAAGGAAAACUUUCUUUGCGUAGUCCCGAGCUGUCACGGCAAACGUCCCCGAGCCAGUAUAGGAUGACCCGAGCCGUAUCAAUCGGCAUUCUACGAGCUAGUUCAGUGACUGAUCCCGAGCUGUUUUGGCAGUUCCCCGAGCCGGUUUGGUGAUACGUCCCGAGGUGUUAUGUCUUAGCUCGGACUUAAUGCGGGUGGAAUCCGAUCCCAACAAAUAUCUAUAUCAUAGAUUUGUUUAGCGAGAAAAAGAUCGAUCUUCCACCUCUAGAGUCAAUCAAAGGUGACAAGUAUAAUCUUAAGAGAGUCGGAGAUAAAAAAUUCGAGGAGGUAGUCUUAGGAAUCGGUUAUACCUCUUUUGUCAUCCGAAAAAUCUGAAAGGUCUUUUGUGGAUAGACGAGAAGAAAGAAGAGUAUGUUGUUGUGUGGUACUUUAGUAUAUUAAGGAGAUAGCCUUUUGCAAGAACGGAGAAGAUCAUUAUCGUGAGAUUCCGACGGCAUACAUUGAGUUAACAGACAUAUCUGAUAUGGUACUACAACGUGGUGACAGUCUUUACCUCUCAAGGAGUUGUUAUUACUUUCGAAAAAUUGAUUUGUCUAGACAAGAUUUCAAGGUUGUGUCCAAGAUUCAUAUAUUAGUACCAUAUCUUCCGAGGCCAUGUCUUGAUAAUGAAACAACAAUUAGCAAUAACAUUUCUGUUACAACAUCAGGAGAAGUUUUGUGGGUCAUGAGCAUCUUUUACAAAACAACAAAAGAAAUUUUCACGUUUCCAAUGAAAAAAAGAUUUACUCUCAACGUUUGGCAAACUGAGAUUUCAUUCUCAUGGUUUGACAGUUAAAGCUUAUUAUGACGAAAAUACCCCUAAUGAAUUAAACCAAACAACACAGUUACUUUCGGUUAAACCAAACAACACAGUUACUUUCGGUUUAGUUACUUUUUCUUUUCUUUGCGGUUUGGUUUUUGAAUUAAAAAAAAAAAACAAUUACGAAGAAAAGGAAGAAGAAGAACGAGAGAGACUUGAGCCAUACUUUGGCUUCUUGUUAGAAAAAAAAAAAACCCAAAAUUGAAUUGAAAGGGGAAUCUAGGGUUUACUCAAUAAUCGAGAUGGUUCCCAAAUCAAGCGACGGCGAGGCCAAGGAUGGAUCUUCAAGCGAAACCCAAUCGACGGAGUACAUGGAAAUUUCCACGGGCGAUGAAUCUUCUAUGCUGGGGAAGCGCAAGGUUGAAACCCCCAUCCUGGAGGAUCUCAGUGAAAACGAAGGCGACAUAGAAGGUGUCGACGAUGAUAGUGAUUCCGAAUGGGAUAAGGAUAGCUUCGAUGGUCUGGAAUAUCAUUCCUGUGAUGAUCAGAAGGAGUAUAUCGACAAAUAUUUUGAGAAGAGGGCCCGUUUUUACAAGCGCACGGUCAUCGAAACCAAAGUAUGAUCAUCAUUUUCAUCUCUAUACGUAUCGAAUUUUGAGUCUUUUAUUGAUUGGGUCAUAUAAAAUCAAGUAACAUUGUUGUAGUUAAAUUUUUUGUUUUGGUUUUAGGUUUUUUUUGAGGCAACUGACGAAUUCCCACCUUACCUUUUGGCUGGAAUUGCUACAGUCCCUGGACGAUGACCUUGAGGAAGGUUUGACCGUUCGUCAGUUUUUAGCAAACAUGACAUCUCUGUGUCUUGACAAAUAUAACAAACGAAAGGUAACAUCUCUAGUUUGACUUUCAGAGUCCUAGGCAAUAUGAGAUGAGCCAUUCUUGUCUCUUGUUUUCAGGGAUUCAAUGUGAAGUUGGAGCAUGUUUUGAGGGCUAAUUUCAACCCAGGGGGCAGGACAACAUACUACAUCACAUUUGCUGCUAGAGAGUCUGAUUCUCCUGAUGCACCUCUAGUGGAAUAUCAAGUUAAGGUGGAUUGGUCUGCGGGCAAUACUUAUCCCAUCCUUUGCAGACCCACUUCUCCACCACAACUGGUUGAAGGUAGCCGAGGAGAUCUGAUGCGGUCAUCAACCCAAGAACCAACCAUGGAGAAGAUUAUGGGCGAGAAACAACAACCCAGGAGCAGCCAAGUGGGAAUUUUAACCAAGUUUUAUCCAAAACUUCAGGACAAAGCCAAUUCAGCCUACCCGAGAAGACCCCUCAGCAUUUUUCAGUCCAGACGAAGGCCAAGAUCAAUUCCUCCUGCCCAGAGAUCACUUGGAAUACAUUCUCAGCUCAACUACCGACAACCACGAAGAAGAAUCAGCCCAAACGGAGUUCACACGAAGGAGUUAUUCAAUUUUCAAACGGGAUGAUCCCCAACGAACUCGGUUUGGACCUACGUGCAGUUAUUGGAGGAUUCCGACCAAACCAGAAGGCGUUAAGAUACAAAGUGAAUUUUCGUACACUCUUGACUCAUCAGAGGAGCUUUUCGAAUUGGAGUCAAGUCAAUACCGAUUUUGGUUUAGAAGAUAUUAAUUUUCUAAACCAGAUGAUGCUCAGCUUGCCUUAUUUGGAAGCUGACGGGUUUAAUUACUUGCAAACCAAACUUUGGCGUCCAGGAGAGUUUCUAUUACAACUAGAGACUCCUAAGAUCACCUCAAGCUUCAUUCUCAGCCCUUGGAUCAAGUGGAUUCAAUCUUUCCUAAUCAUACACCAAGAGUUACCAUAUCUUCUGAUUUGGUGCGAAUUAAGGGAGUUAUUAGAAGAUUAAUAAGCCAUGGAAUCAUCCAGAAGCUGUCAAGAUACAAGAUCCCACGAAUUACUCCUUUUGGCCUAAGCAUUCAAAGCCUAACGGCUAAUAUUCUUUCAAGGCACAUCUCCACUUGAUUUCUUUGAUUUAUUUCGUGUAUUGCUUUCCUAUUUUGAGUCAUGAGACUGUUGUACCAAUCCUAGAGUCGAGCCUAUAUAAGCUCAAGUCAUUUCUUUGUAAAAACCACCCUUGAUCAAUUUUAAAGUAAUAAGAAACAUUUUCUUUUUGUCAAAGUUCGAGUCUUUGUCGUUUAUUCAUUAGUCUUAAGUGAGUGAGUCUCUUAGGCCUAUUUGAAUCUGCGGAUUAAGUUUGUUGAUAAGUUCAACAUCCUUCUUUCGUUCAUUGAUCGAGUGAGUCGAUUAAGUUGGCUCUACUCUUUAGUUUAUUUCUUCGUAAUCUACUCUACUCUGUUUGUCUUUAUGCAUUGUAUUCCCUUUUUUCGAGCAGUUAUAUUAUGAAUGAAUGAACUUUUUAUUGUUUGCAGACAACAUGUAUGAAAUACGUAUGGUUUUGUGUACGUACACUGGUUUUGUACAUAGCGGAUUAAACUUGUAAAACGUACGACCACUUAGUAUAUUUCAACAAGUAUGAAAGACUUUGUCUCUGGUGUACGUACACUAAAAAAGUACAUAGCGUAAAACUAAUAUUACGUACAUAGCCGAUUAAACUAGUAAAAUAUACGACCACUUAGUAUAUUUCAACAAGUAUGAAAGACUUUGUCUCUGGUGUACGUACACUAAAUACGUACAUAGCUGAUUAAACUAGUAAAACGUACAUAGACAAUAUAUUUUAAUAAUGGCGUAUAGCUGUACGUACAAGUAGCAUAUAUUUUAUUAUUCAUAGUUUUAUUUGAAAAGAACAAUAACUUUAUAUAGUUUAAGAAACAAUACACUUCGUAAGCCUCAGCUGCGGUAACUAGCCGAUGAUCAUUCAGUGACCCACUUGCUGAAGCUCAAAUACCACACUCGAGAACAUCAUCCCCAGUGACUUUGUCUAUACCAUUAAGAUUGGUAUCCAUGUACGUAACAAAAUCACUUUCGCAGCAUGUAUCUUGUACACAGUCUCUAGUAUACGUACAUUGGUACAAACCAUGUUGACACGUACGUGUUGGAGUCACGGUUGGUGUACUGUCACCCAAAUGAGAAAAGUUAUCUCCGCCAGGUACACGAUGACUUGUGUACGUACACUCUGCCAAUAGACGACUGAAUUCCCCUGGAUGUUGAACCGUUUGUUGAGUGAGAAUGACGUUCUCCUCAACAUUCUCUAUUCCAUAUUCUUCAACAAUUACAUCGUUCCACUUGUUGUAAUCGUAAUCUUCGCCAGUACCUUCACUACCGUCUAUAGUAGGAUCGAGGGUACUUCCCCCCAUAGAUCUAUCAUCACCCUGAUAAUCAUCAUACCCAGCACCAUCUUCGUUUUCCUCCUCCUCUUCUUCAUCCUCAUAUGUUUUAUCGUAUUCAACGUCGUCUUGCUCAUCUACGGCCUCAUUAUUUCCAUCUACAUUUGAAGCCGCUACGAUGGGAUUUGGUGUUGUUGCACUCCCACACACACGGUAACUCUCACCAUCGUCACCAUCGGUCCUAGGGACAGUAUUCCCGAGUGCCUUGACGGUUGUAAUGAAAGAGACAAACAAGGUGACACUAAGAUCCCCACCACGAAUCAAAAAGAAGGUAUUCAGGCUCAUUUGAUUGUUAAUGUAGACAGGAGGGCGUUUACUUUCUAUCAUCACUGACAUCUUUCCCGGCAUCCAGUAACUAAUUAUUGGAUUGCAUUCGGUGGACUUCAAACUGAAAACCUCGCAUAAUGUACGUACAAAUUCCGUGUACGUCAUGUUUUCCUUAACACGUACACAACGACCAAACCAGCCUUCCCAUGGUUCAAAUUUCCAUUCUUCUUCUUUGCAUCUCCACUCACCCACCAUAGUAAAUACAGGAAUAUCCAUUACUCACCUGCAUCAUAAAUUCAGCAGAACCCCAUUAAAUGCAAAUGAAAGCAUGAUUAUAUCUACAAAAAAACAAAAAGAAUUCCCAACUACACACUUAUAUACAUAAAUCUAUCCUCAUUUAGCAUUUUCAACUAAAAAAAUUGGAAAUAAAAAUAUUCUGGGUUUUUAUAUAAAAACAAUGUUGAUUUCGAACACAAUCAAGACGCUAGUGUGUUAUAAUAAAAAACUUCUUAACUAAUUUCAUUACUUACACGAUCAAUGCUUGUCUUGGCUCCAAACUUUGUAAAUCAAGAAGAUCAAAACUUCUCCAGCAUCACAUUCGUUCAAAAUAAUUUGUUUGUUUGAUGGAUCAUGUUUGUCUCUUACAACUCCUUCAGCAAAUAGCUCAGCUAGUCCAUCAACAUGUUUGAUGUCCGCAUCAUACGACCUCUCCAAACAGUUACAUCCUAAAAAUGCCUAAAUCACAUAAGUCUUAUACUAUGUACGUACACAAAAAUAUUUAUUGAAGCGUACAUGGUACAACAUUAAUUUAAUUUUUUGACAUCAAAAUUAAGUUAUUAUGUCAGUUAUUUGUAUGACUGUAUUUUUUUCAUAUGUUGUUCAUACAUGAUUUGAAUGUUUUGUUUUUAUAGUCAAAAAAUAUUUGAAACGUAAAUAUACAAAUUAUUUAGAUAUUUACGUACAUAUAUACACACACAUUACUACCGUGUACGUACACAUUAUUACCGUGUACGUAUAUAUUAUUACCGUUACACACAUAUGUGUAUAUGAUAUUGCUAAUCCUGAAUAGUCUUCGAUAAUAAUAAAUAAAAUAUUAUUUAAAAUAGAAAUAAAAAUAUGAAAAUGGGUCUGAUAGAAAAAAAAGAAUUUUAACUAAAAAUAUAAAAACAAUAAAUAUUUAUAAAAUGGAAAAGCGAAUCAUCUACUGACAAGUGUUUAAGAUUUUCAAACCACACACGGCUCUGUGUCACGUUUAAACAUACUAUUCCUCAAUGUUUUUCUUUAGUUGUGAGGUUUGUUUCUACUGCUUCUCGUAUUUGACAUAUGAUUAUGUAAAUUGCGUAACAGAGCUGGAGUUUUGUGAGUCUCAUUAGAGUCAAUUUGUGUGUUGAUCAUAGUUGAUUUCAAUUAUUUACUGAAAACAAAUUAUAAAUAUUUUUUUAAUUGAGUUCGUAGAAAACUUGUAUGAAAUUGGUAAGAUAUUUUUGGUAGAAAUAUGUCCUUAUUUGAGUUUUUUCUAUUUACAUGUAUGUAGUUUACGGUAUACACAGUAUUGAUUAUAAAAUGGAUAUGUACUUCAGUUAUAUCAUGUACUAUUGUGGAGACGGUGUACGUAAUAUUUAUAGAGUUUGUAUUUUAGUUUUUCGACUUCAAAAUACGCUAAUAUAAACUAGAUUUACAAAAUCAAUAAAUAAAUUAAAUGUAAAAAAACAAAAGAUUAUAAGAAAAUUGUGAACAGUCAAUCGCAUAACUGAACCGCAUAACUGAACCGUGUACAGUGUACGUAACUGAACCGUACAGUGAACAGUACAUCGCAUAACUGAACUGCAUAACUAAACCAGAACAGUGUACAUAACUGAACCGCAUAACUGAACCGUACAGUGAACAGUACAUCGGUACGCUGGCAGGGGUAAAAUGGUCAGAUUUUGGCUAAAUUGUCAAAACUUGAAAGUCAAUUCUCACUUUGCCAAAACAUGAAAUUAAAACUUGGUCUUAUGCCAAAACAUGCAAUUUACCCAAACAACAAGGCUUAGGAUCUUGCGUCUCUACAAGAAGGAUCCUAAUCCAGACCCCCUUUCAUAUUAUCUACAACCCGAACCCGUUUGUUGAAUUAGAUUCUCUAGGUGAUGCUGACACUACCCUCAGUAUCGAACCAAACUCUGUCUAUUUUACCUGCCAUGACCAUGCUUGUAACGAUUGCUGGGAUCAGAAAUGUAUUGGCGUUUUAUUUCCCAAAACGACUUCGUUUUAUUUGAGGGGUUUUACUUUUUGCCAAAACGUUGCCGUUUUAGGCAUCUCUUCUUCGCUUAACAAGCAGAUGCAAUUUUUUUGACAUUUGAGUUUCACUUCUUCGUUCUUCACUUGAUUACAUUACAGACUUGCGUAAUUUCGGAAUCAGUAACUUUGCACAGCAAAUCUUCUGUGUCGAAGUUUCUAAAGGGAAGAGGUUAGUUCUUCUUCUAGCUUGUGUUUCUAGGUUUCGACUGAUUGAAUUAGGGUUCUGAAUAAUCUUCAAAUUAAUCUUCAAAUUGGACAGAGAAACACCAAAAUUAUAGUCUCUUGCUUGUUUGUUACUUUUUUGUUAUAUCCUCUCAUUGUCCAUUUCUCAAUUCUACCGCUUAAAUUUUGAUCUUUCUAGUAACAAAGUUUAACUUUUGAUCAAUUUGAUAUUUCUAGAAACAAAUAAAAGCAUGGAGACUACUAAUUCCGGCCGCUGGUCGGAGCUCCCUAUAGACAUCUUGAGAUCUGUGUUCGAACGUUUCAGUUUUGUGGAUUUUCACCGCGCUAAGAUCGUGUGUUCGAAUUGGUAUUCGUGUUCCAAACAAUCGUUGCUACGAAAAACCGGAUCUCCGUGGUUGAUUCUGUUUUUAAACGAUGGUGGUUGUGCUAUGUACAACCCGGAUGAAGCAAGAAUUUACAGAACGAAGAGAGGCUUUUCCGGGAUUCGAUUCUUGGCAAACUCAGGUAACUGGUUCUUAGUUCUAGAUUCUAAGUCCAAUAUCUAUAUCAUAGAUUUGUUUAGCGAGAAAAAGAUCGAUCUUCCACCUCUAGAGUCAAUGAAGGGUGGCCUUUUUAGUCUUGAGCAAGUAGGAGACACGGCAUUCAAGGCGAGAUUAAAUAAUGGUAGUGCAUAUUCAUUCCAUAAUGCGGAAGAUCUGAGAGGUCUUUUGUGGGUAGACGAGAAGAAGAAAGAAUUCGUUGUUGUGUGGUUUUUCGACAAAGGUACCGAAUAUUUAGCCUUUUGCAAGAACGGGGAAGAUCAUUACCGCGACAUUCCGAUACGAAAAAAUGUUGGUAAAGAGUUACAAGGCUUAUAUGAUAUGGUACUUUAUGGUGGUGACAGUCUUUACAUCUCAACCACUCGUCAAUCGAUUCAAAAGCUUAACUUUUUUGGACAAGAAGGUUUCAUUGAUGUCUCCAACAGUGAGAUAUUACCAUUUCGUAAAAUCUCAUUUUAUCUCCCAGAUGGAGCAAGAUUUGGCAAUAACAUUGCUGUUACAAUAUCAGGAGAGGUUUUGUUGGUUCAGAACUUCUUUUACGAGGCAACAAGAUAUAGGAGCUUCCGUCUGUACAAGAAAGAUCCUAAUCCAGAUUUGAAUACUAUUAUCAACAACCCGUACCCGAUGGUUGAGGUAUAUUCUCUAGGUGAUGAGGCUCUGCUUCUAGAUUUGGGUAUCACCGUGUCUGCGGACGGUACAUUACUUGGUAUCGCACGGAACUCCAUCUACUUCACCCGUCAUGACCGUGUCCGUAGUGGCUGGAAACAUUCAUGUCUGGACAUCUGUGUGUUCAAUCUUGCAACAAAGAAACUCAAACGCUUCCCGGGUCUCUCCAACUUAAAGCUCACGGAUGCUCGAUGGUUUAUCCCGUCUUGAUUUGUUUCUUUUUCAUCCUUUGUGGUGUUCUUGAGAGUUUCCACACAUUAUUUUUAUGUUUAGGUUUCGGUUAAUAUUAGGGUUCUCGGUUUUUCAAGUUUCAGUCAAAUUCGUAUUGUUGAUAUUUGGGUUUGUUUUGUCUCGUUGAUAUUCAUGUUAGACUUUAAAUCUGUGUGUUCAUGCCUGGACAUCUGUGUGUUCAAUCUUGCAACAAAGACCCUCAAACGCUUCCCCGGUCUCUCCAACUUAAAGCUCAUAGAUGCUUUAUGGUUUCUCCCGUUUUGAUAUGAUUUGUUUUUUUUUUCUUCUAAUCCUGUGGUGAAUUCUUGAGUGAAAACUUGAUGAUAAAAAAUAGUGAAAUCUUUGCCAAAAAAAAAAAAAAUAAAUAGUGGAAUCAUGUUUGCAAAAUGUGAAUAAAUAGUAUUACAUUUCAUCACCAAUACAAAUUUGGUUUUCUUUUGUGCCAACCUUGAUAAAGAGACGAGAGUUAUCACAAAACUAUUAGUUGUAAGUUGUAACCAUAGCUCACAGGCUACACCCGAAUACUCACUUCUAGCUUGGUUUGCAAUAAAGAAUCAUUUAAUAACAGGAGAUAAAAUGCUAAGUUGGAAUUUCGGAGUAGAUAUUUCAUGUGUUUUUUGUCAUGAACCGUUGGAAAAUCGCAACCACUUGUUCUUCACAUGUCAAUACUCGGCAGAGGUUUGGUCGGGACUAACUAUGAAGCUCCUCUCUCGACACUUCUCAACAACUUGGGAAACUAUCAUCAAGCUCCUCACAUAUACGUCUCUUGGGAAUGAGUGCUUGUUCUUGACGAGAUACACAUUUCAGCUCACAGUACAUUCGCUAUGGGAAGGAUGGAACAGUCGUAGACAUGGAGAAGUACCAACUCCCUCAGCUCAAGCAAGUCCGAAACAGAAUAUCCUCCAUUCGAAAACAAGGCGAUAGGAAAUACGAAAUAUAAGAAAGACGCAUUCAUCUUUGUUUUUAUUUUGAUCUUUGUAUUCUAAAAUCGCUCAAACAAACGCAUUCAUUUUUCCGAAUAAAUUUUAUAUUUUAUUCAAAAAAUAAUAAUCAUAUGAUCAUUUUUAUCAGGAAAAAAAUAAAAUCAUAGAACGUUUGUGCUUCCCUUAGUUAAGCCUUUACUUUUUCAUCCUGGGGUUUUCCCCUUUUUUUUUGGCAAAAACGAAACGCACCGUGUUGUUUGGUGUUCUUGAGGGGGAUUUCCACACUUUUUUCUCCUGUUAUAUUCUUUUUAUUGCUGUGUCUUUUAUUCUUCCCUUUGUUUUCCAAAAAUUUUACGACUAACCUUAGUUCACCCUUCAAAACUAAAUCCACUCUAUAUUUUGCACAAAAUCGUUCCACUUUAUCGUUCAAAAAUCUUGUUAAGUUGGAACCACUGCACAUCUAUUGACAGCUUUAGUUUAAUGGUACUCCAAUUGUGAUGGUCGUAACAGUCUUUACGUCUCAUCGACAUGUCAAUUCAUUCAACAACUGUACUUGUCUAGAAUAGGUUACAUGUGCCUGCUGACCGUAACCUUGGUAUCGAACCAAACUCUAUAUAUUUCACCCGUCAUGACCGUGCUUGUUACCAUGGCCGAGAACCUUCAUGCCCGGACAUAUGUGUGUAUAAUCUUGCAACAAAGACCCUCAAACGCUUCCCCGGUCUUGGUCUCGAUCUCUCCAACAAUUUAAAGCUCAAGGAUGCUCGAUGGUUUCUCCCAUCUUGAACAUUUUGGUGUUCUUGAGAAUCUCCACACCUUUUCUCCUAUUUUUCUUUUUAUUUCUAUUUCUAGUCGGCUCCAAAAGUUUACAACUAACCCUAUAGCACCAAACUUGAAGAGAAGUCAAAUUGGGGUUUCAUUUGUGCCAAAAUUCUUUUUGUUGGAACUCGGUUUACGUGUUAGCAAGUUAUAACAAUAGAUUCUUUCCAAAAAAUCGUUACUCAAACAUAAGUAAAGCAUUAUACUAACCUUCUCUUUAAAAACCAUAUUGUUUCUUUUGGUAUCACCAUUUUGUUGUGGUGUGUUAUUGUUGGAAUUCAGACCAUGAAUUAUGCUCUAGAGCUUUUGCACCAAAUCGUUCCACACUAUCGUACAAAAACGUAAAUGGGCCGGCCCGUUUUCAAAAACGGCGCCGUUUUAGGUUCACUUUAGUACUACGACAAGCAUUUGGCAACAAUUUUCGAGAUCCUCAAGCUUCUGUCCUGUGUUUCCGAGGUUAGUUUUUUUCGUUUCACUAAAUUCGUGUUUUGAUAUAUUAGGGUUUGUUUCGAUCGGAAUAAUUAUAAGCAUUGGCAACAAUGAUCUAUUACAUGUUAGAAGCUUAUACAUAGCGAAUUGCGUUACAUUAUUUAUUUGAUAAAACUCAACUAUAUAGCUGUAUUAAACACAUGAUUCAGAUAAUGGAUAAUUUUUUUUAAUAGAUCAGUGAUUCUAAAUUUUUUGGAAUUUUCAUUUGCAGAUAUGGAUUCUGAAUUUCAACAAACAACUGCUCAGAGUGAAUUUCUAGAUAUGAAUGAGGAAGAUUGUCAAAUUGAGAUCAAUGAGAAAGAAACAAAAAUUCAAGAACAUGAUCAAAGUGAUGAAUCUCAAGCUAAACGUAAGAGACGCCGCCUAACUUCUUCUGUAUCACUACGUGGAGAAGCAAAUGUCAAAGAAACAGAUAAAAGCAUGGAGACUCCAAAUUCUAGCCCCUGCUGGUCGGAGCUCCCUGGUGACAUAUUAAGAUCUGUGUUUAAACGUUUGAGUUUUGUUGACUUCCAGCGCGCUAAGAUCGUGUGUUUGAGUUGGUAUUCAUCUUCUCCCAUCUUUCUUUGUUGUUUCUCUCCACAUUUUGGUGAUAAAUGUUAAGAGUUUUGGUGUUUUUCCUUUUUAGAUUAAGAUUAUGAUUUGGAAUGUCUCGUGGUCCUAUAUAAGGGUCUUUGGUUUUUAAUAAAACUCAAAUUCCAACGAUUAACCUAAUUCUCUAAGAGAGAGUUGGGUUAAGAGAAAGCUUUGUUUUAAUCUCUUUCUACUUUCAAGCUUUGGCAAUGGGCCCAGUUACAAGAUCUAAUAAGUGUAAGGCUUUUGGCUCAUUACAUUUGGUGAUCUUGAGAGAUUUCCACACUUAUUGUCUUCUGUUAAUUUCCUUUAUUUGCUUUGAAAACAUAUCCUGGACAUGUAAGUUGUUUACUUAAUUAUAAGUCUUGAACAUGAAUGUAAAUAUCACAAAUCAAGUCAUCUCUUCAUAGACACAGUCGCAGGACAAAAUGCUUGAUUUUUUAUUUAUAAAGUAGAACAUAUAAUCUUCUCUAUAUAAUUAGCAAAUUCUUUGAAAACAAUAAACCUUAGGUUUUUUUUGUUGCCAUUAAAACAAUAAACCUAGUUAUUUUGUUCUAUAACAUAGAACCUAUACACUUUGCCAAAUGAACAUAACCAAUCAUUCAUCUAUAUUAGUCUUUUUGAAGUUAAUUUUGUACUUGGAUUGGGUCAAAGCAUAUCCGAAAUUAUGAACCCGAUAUCCAUAUAAUAUUUCAUAUUUAAUAAUAUAAAUAUUUAGAAUAUUUGGUUAAAAAUUUAAAAUUAUGAUUUUUCCAUCAUCUUUGUAUGAUUUUUUUACUGUUUUAAAUCAUCAUAUAAUACAUAAAAUUUAAAAAAUUCUCAAAAAAAUUUCAGCGUAGAUUGUGAUUCAAAAUUUUAAAAACAGAUAUAUAUUACUCAAUUAAUAAAAAAGGUAUGUGUUCAACGUCCCACAUCGGCUAAAAUAUUUAGAGAAUGAUUCAAAGUCAUAUUAUAAAUAAGAUCAAAAUGAAUCUAAAUCCAAAUGAGCAGAAAGCAUCCAAAUUUAAAAGUUAGUAUACGGUUUAAUUCGUUUUUAGUUAAACUGUUUAAUUUUAGGGAAAUUGUUAAAAAUACCCCUUUUGGUGUGCCCCUUUUCAAAAAUGCCCUUUUUAGAUGUCCAUUUUAAAAAAUGCCCCUUUUUAAAUCUGAAAUUUUUAUAAAGUUUUAUUUGGUUUAUAAGGUACUUAUGGAUUGUAACUACUACUUGAAGACUCGAUCCAAGUAUUUAUAAGGUUUUAUAAGGUGUUUUUAAAGGUUUUACAAGUUAUUUUAAAGGAUUUUUAAGGUUUUUCAAAGGUUUUACAAGAUAUUUUAAAAGUUUUUAAAGGUAUUUAAAAUGCAUUUAUAAGGUAUUUAUAAGAUUUUAGAUACAUAGAAAUGUAGUUUGUGUAUGUUUUAAUAAUAUUACAUACAUAUUUGGGUAAAUCUUAUAUUUUUAAGAGAUUUUUUAGAAGGUUUUUAAAAAGGGGUAUUUUUGAAAAGUGGCAUUGAAAAAGUGGCAUUUUUGCAAAAGCCCCUUAAUUUUAACAAAAAUAUCAAAUUUUACUUUUAAAAAGGUUUAUUAUAAUUAUUGAUAUAAUUAAAAUCAAUAAAAAAAUUAUAAUAUUAUGAACAACAUAUAAAAAAACACUGGACGUGUUAUAUUCCAGGACGGGAUUAUAUGGCGGGACGGGUUUGAAUCAACAUUAAUAAAAAUUUAAAAUUUCAUUAACUUGCCUCAUUCAUAUGGGUUAAAUCUUCAUUUUUUAUUUUAACACCAUCAAUGUUAGGCAUAUCGAAUCAAUUUAGAUAAGAUUGUAUAAAACAAAAAUUAUCUCGUGGUAUACCGUUAGUUAAUAACAAUUGUAAACUAUAAAAUAUAAAUGUCUUAUAAAAUGAUACAAUUUGCAAACUUUUAUAUAUGAUACAUAAUUAUUAAAUUUUAAAAAUCACUAGUUUUAGAAAACAAAUCCUCACGUAGUGUACUACAUGUUAAAAUCUAGUUAUUGAAAAAAAAAAAACAAGCAGUGGAACUAAAAAAUUAAUUACAGAAGCUCAAUACCCAAUUUAAGCAUAAAAGCUCUUCGGAAUAUAUAUAAUCAAAAAAACAGUUGAAUCAGGCCCGAGUAUAUUGGUAAACUCAAUCCCCAAGAUCAAACUCUAUGUUUUUCUUUUUUAUAUCAUACCUUGUGGUGGAUGAUCAAAUAUUCUUCUUGUUCAACGAAUAAAGCAUUAAACUUGUCAGUCUCUGCGUUUAACAAACCAACAAAAAUAGAUUCCGCGAGGGCUGGAGACAAAUAAUAUUCAAAAUUUAUACUACAAUUAGAAAUCAAUGCUAUUCUUCAUCUUUACUGCCUCGACAUAUAAAAACCAAAAAUGACCAUGGAAGCAAUCGCAAUCUGGUACCAAGCAUCCCUCACCGAGUGACCCAUAAACACAUCGAUCUAAUGCUCUUCACUCAUGAGAGUAAGACCAUCUAUUCUUUCCUGGAUGCAGACAAUCGGUCGACCAAGCUCAAUCAUAAUAUCACGGAUACCUGUUAACAAGUGUAUACCCUUGCAUUAACCGGUAGGCAAGGGUGACCGCCAUUGAACUCACUGUAAAUCCCGGCGAGGUGGAAAAUGGUUAGCCCUUCCUCUCCUACAUCCUCGCCAGGAUACAUGUGCGUCACAAUCGUCAUGCACGAGGGACACGUGAGGGUAUCCAGGUUGGUCUCGCUACUACAAUAUUGGUAAAUACUAAAUAGUAAUAUGAAUAAUUUCAAAAAAUUACAUAUUAAGUGUAAAUUACAUAAUGUGUUUUAUUUUUUUUUUGGUAAAAGGUGAAAUUUUAUACCAUUUUGAAUUUGUGACAGAAGUUACAGAGGAUACAAGAAACAGAUUAAAGCACACUACAGAAAAUUAAAAACAACAUUACUACUCAAAAUGAUUCGGAUCGAAACUGAACGAACAAAGCGAAGUCGAGAGGGGAAACACCGAUUCCGAGAUCGCGAAACCCGGAAAUUUGCGUGGUUGCCACAGAACCGAAGAACUGGAGUCCUCAUCGUUGUUGCCACGAGCCAAUCUAUCCGAAGCCCGUCCUCAAAACUUCGUGAUAGAAGCUUACAGCUUCUCCGAGAACUAACGCAAAAACACAUAGACAACCGCGGACUUCUACACUAGUUCAGCGAACUAGCGAUGCCACUUAGAUCUAUCCGCCGCCUCUAUUCAACCCUCGUGAAACCAAGCCAAGCACCCAGAAGCUCACCUGCACAAAUUGAACCGUCACCGACGACAACAAACCACAAAAACUCCACCUAAAAGCAACCGGAGCCGAAGCGAAAGGGACCAAGCGAAAAGGUCAUGGAAACGCCAUAACCAUGGCCUUGGAGGCUGCCACCCUAAACUGCCCACCAAUGGAGGAGAGACGUUGACCACCUGAAACAAAAACCACAACGCCACUAACCGCCACGAACAAACCACAAGAGCAAAACCGAUCCUGUGACUUGCCUCCACAAGAGACGCUUGAUAGAUUCCAAUCCAACCACCUCCGGAGCGGAGAAAACUAAGGUGGAGAGACCCGAGAAGAGAAGAACCGCCACUCCGCAAACACACCGAAAAGCCCAAACCACAAGAGAACCGGCGAUGUCUGAAAAAACACGGCGAUGCACCACCAGAAAUUCAGACCAAAUGAUGGUCCCGCCGCAAGGAGCAAAACGCUGCUAGAUCCGCCGCACCAGAGCCACAACCAAAAGCGGAGGGAGACACGCGCACGAGGAUAGAUCGAAGCCAAUCUCGCCGGAGGAGACAACCAGAAACAACACCGUCCUCAAGCGUUGACAACCAGGCUCACCGGGAGAGCGAGGCGAACUGUCCAUUGACCGUGCGAGAGCACUCGUCGCUUCACCACCAACAAGAGACGAGAAGCUAGCUGCGGACAGGGCAACGGAGCAUCAAAAGAGAGACGGAGGAAGCAAACAGAGACUUAAGAGAAGGAGAAGGAGAGAAGCCCUCUCCGACAAACGGCAAAGAGCACCGUUGCCGGAGAGGCAAAUCGAUCUGCAAUUAGGGUUGUCGCAGUCGCCUUGUUUGAGAGAGAAUUUGGGGGCGCGUGUAGCCCACGCGCAGGUU
rnacentral:lncRNA from 1 species